AGGAGGCGAAGCUGAGCUCGUUCCAGCAGGAGAUCGUGCAGCUGGCGGCGGUGCUGAACGGCGACCACCAGCUGAGCAGCCUGCAGGAGAGGAUCAGGGAGAGGAUGAACGUGAGGGAAGGCACCUCCUACAUGAGGUCGUCCGUGCGGCGCUUCUUCGAGGCCGGCAUGUCGGCAAAGAGGAUGGGCCUCGCCGGCGAGGAGCAGAUCGUCAAGAUGAGGCCUUCCCUCACCACCAGGACCUCCACUGCAGACCAAGAUGAUCGUCCCUAGAGAGCAUACAUACAUACAUAGGGAAUUGAUUGAUGUUGGGGAAACAAUUACUAGCACUACACUCUACACAUAGAAGAUCAGCCAGCGUACGUAGCCUAGCCAGUACCAUACGGUGUGCUCGUGCUAUAUGGGAUGGAACUGCUGUAGGCCGGAUGGAUUCGGCAAUACAUGGGCUGUAGAAAAACCAAACAUUGGUACUGUGGUAUACAAAUACAAGCAAUGCAGCAUUCCACCAGUCAGCAUUCGGAAAUGCAGCCUUCCUGCAUGCUGUUUAUGAAUCGUCAUCAAGCAGGGCCAAUAUACAUGACUACCGAAGCUAUACAUGACUACAAAAGCUAAUUAACAUGACUACCAAAGCUAAUUAACAUGUCGAUCUAAAAGCCAUGAAAAGUCAGGAGGCUAGGAUCUAGGAUCCUAGCUCGGUGGGCACCUUGGCCACCUGGGUUGGAAACAUCUCGUGCCUAAUUGCGUCCUACCUUUUCGGUGUUCGUCUGCUCAAAAAGCUUCCCAAUGGGGAAUUUCCGAGUGUAGUACUUUAUGCUGGCAUCGCCAAAUAUUGAUGGAAAAAACCUAUACAAUGUGUGUUUAUAAAUAGGGUUGAUUUGCUAAUGUGGCCAACAUUGCCCGUCUAGCUCAGUCGGUAGAGCGCAAGGCUCUUAACCUUGUGGUCUUGGGGCUCGUGGUCUUGGGUUCGAGCCCCAAGGUGGGCGUCCAAGUUUUUUUUUUGAAUUUACAAUAUUGAUUUAAUAGGAAAAAAAUAGUUGAAGUUGUUUAAAAAAAAUCUAAAUAACCCCACUUUAUCGUUGAUUAGGUGGGAUAAGGCAGAAAAAACAAAAAGCCGGUGAUAUGCGUCAUAAAAGUGAAAGUUAAAACAAAAAUAUUUAAAGUUGUGAUCUCUAUAAUCGCCUUUUGCAUCUUGAGUAAAUUACAAUGUCCAACAAAAAAGAUACCAUCUGGUGGAUUUGACAUCUGAUGGUGUCUUCAUAUAAAAUCUUUUUACAGAAAACUUGUUAUUAUAGACAAUGGCUUCCAACAGAAAUAUAUGUGGAAAAUAAAAGUUGCUCCUAAAAUUGAAGUGUUCUAUUGUUGAUGGUUAAGAAGAGCAUAUUGUUGAUGGGUUCGAGCCCCAAGGUGGGCGUCCAAGUUUUUUUUUUUUUUGAAUUUACAAUAUUGAUUUAAUAGGAAAAAAAUAGUUGAAGUUGUUUAAAAAAAAUCUAAAUAACCCCACUUUAUCGUUGAUUAGGUGGGAUAAGGCAGAAAAAACAAAAAGCCGGUGAUAUGCGUCAUAAAAGUGAAAGUUAAAACAAAAAUAUUUAAAGUUGUGAUCUCUAUAAUCGCCUUUUGCAUCUUGAGUAAAUUACAAUGUCCAACAAAAAAGAUACCAUCUGGUGGAUUUGACAUCUGAUGGUGUCUUCAUAUAAAAUCAUUUUACAGAAAACUUGUUAUUAUAGACAAUGGCUUCCAACAGAAAUAUAUGUGGAAAAUAAAAGUUGCUCCUAAAAUUGAAGUGUUCUAUUGUUGAUGGUUAAGAAGAGCAUAUUAACCAAAGACAAUUUUCUGAUGAGAGGUUGGAUAGGUAAACAAAUGUUGUGCUUCUUGUGGUAUUGUUCAUCUUUUUUUUUCAAACGCUUAGUUGCUAAAUGGUUUGGAGUUUGUUCAAAUGAGCUUUCGAUUUGACAAAUCUUCCUGGCAGCUUAAUCACUUGUUUUCGUGCUUGCAUUAUAAGUUUUUCAAAGAUAAUUAAGAAUCUGGUAUUGGUGGGGGUUUCUGCAUUCUUUUGGACUAUAUGGAGAUGCAUGAAUAAUAUCACUAGUAGAAAAUGACCCAUUAAUCCCGGUUUCAGAGGGGUCCCGGUACUAAAGGGUCGGGACUAAAGCCCAAAAUCCUUAGUUAAGCGAAGCGGGGCUAAAGGAGCUCCACGUGGCCGCAGCGGGGCGCCCAGGCAGGAGGACCUUUACUCCCGGUUGGUAACACCAACCAGGACCAAAAGGCUGCCACGCGUCAGCAGCUCGCAGGCGGUGGGUUUUUUGUUUUUUUAAAGGGGGGGUCACUAGUAGAAAAGGGGGCAAUGGUCCAGGCCGGGUCAGCCCAUUAGUCCCGGUUCAGUCCAGAACCGGGACCCAUGGGGGCAUUGGACCCGGUUCGUGAGCCCCGGGGGCAGGCCGGGCCACGUGGGCCAUUGGUCCCGGUUCGUCUGGAUCUUUUGGUCCCGGUUGGUGGGACGAACCGGGACCAAUGUGCCUCACUCUAGGCCCACCACCAUUGGUCCCGGUUGGUGGCUUGAACCGGGACCAAAGGCUUCCCUUUAAUCUCGGUUCAUGCCACAAACCGGACUAAAGGGUUGGUCCUUGUUGCGGUCAGAGUUUAGUCCCACCUCGCCAACAGAAGGGCGUGCACACCGGUUUAUAAGCCCCUCCCUCUCUGCCUUGUUGAGCUCCUCUCAAAGUGAAAAUAGAUGCCCUUAUACAGGGAAUUUGACCUAAAUUCAUACUGAAUUUCUCUGAAAUUCAUAGAAAUUUAUUAUGAAUUUAGGUUGAAUUCUCUCUAUAGGCGCGUCUAUGCUCAUUUUUUAGUGAAGUUAAUCGCAAACUUGUGAUUCACACAAAUUUCAAAGAAUUCAAAUUUUAACUAUUCAUGCCACCAACCGGGACCAAUGAUAUGCCUACAUAUACCAUGCCAAAAUGAAAGAGAGGCGCAAUGCUCACCUGCACGUUACUUAGCUUCAGGCCAACGUGCAGGUGAGCACUGCGCUUCUCCCUUCAUCGUCUCUACACUCAGGGCUUAUAAACCGCUGCGAGUGCCUCUCGCUUGGUAAGGUGGGACUAAAAAACAGCUGCAGAAAGAAUCAACUAAAAAACUCUUUUACCGGUUCAUGCCACGAACCGGUACUAAAAGGUGCUCGUGGGGCACCAGCCUUAAAACCUGUAGCAAAUAAAAUGCCUUUGUAACAGCCUUAGAACUGGUACUAAAGGAAUCAACUAAAAAGCUUUUAUAAACCUCUAGUAUUAUUGAAACUAAAAUUAUAUAGAAUUUUGUUACAAACUUUAAAAGCAAAAAGAAUUAUCAUAAAAGAAAAUAAAUAAGUAAUUAGAAUUCUGUUCAAAACAUUAAAAGCAAAAAGAAUUAUCAUAAAGGAAAAUAAAUAAGUAAUUANNNNNNNNNNNNNNNNNNNNNNNNNNNNNNNNNNNNNNNNNNNNNNNNNNNNNNNNNNNNNNNNNNNNNNNNNNNNNNNNNNNNNNNNNNNNNNNNNNNNNNNNNNNNNNNNNNNNNNNNNNNNNNNNNNNNNNNNNNNNNNNNNNNNNNNNNNNNNNNNNNNNNNNNNNNNNNNNNNNNNNNNNNNNNNNNNNNNNNNNNNNNNNNNNNNNNNNNNNNNNNNNNNNNNNNNNNNNNNNNNNNNNNNNNNNNNNNNNNNNNNNNNNNNNNNNNNNNNNNNNNNNNNNNNNNNNNNNNNNNNNNNNNNNNNNNNNNNNNNNNNNNNNNNNNNNNNNNNNNNNNNNNNNNNNNNNNNNNNNNNNNNNNNNNNNNNNNNNNNNNNNNNNNNNNNNNNNNNNNNNNNNNNNNNNNNNNNNNNNNNNNNNNNNNNNNNNNNNNNNNNNNNNNNNNNNNNNNNNNNNNNNNNNNNNNNNNNNNNNNNNNNNNNNNNNNNNNNNNNNNNNNNNNNNNNNNNNNNNNNNNNNNNNNNNNNNNNNNNNNNNNNNNNNNNNNNNNNNNNNNNNNNNNNNNNNNNNNNNNNNNNNNNNNNNNNNNNNNNNNNNNNNNNNNNNNNNNNNNNNNNNNNNNNNNNNNNNNNNNNNNNNNNNNNNNNNNNNNNNNNNNNNNNNNNNNNNNNNNNNNNNNNNNNNNNNNNNNNNNNNNNNNNNNNNNNNNNNNNNNNNNNNNNNNNNNNNNNNNNNNNNNNNNNNNNNNNNNNNNNNNNNNNNNNNNNNNNNNNNNNNNNNNNNNNNNNNNNNNNNNNNNNNNNNNNNNNAGAAUUAUCAUAAAAGAAAAUAAAUAAGUAAUUAGAACUCUGUUCAAAACAUUAAAAGCAAAAAGAAUUAUCAUAAAAGAAAAUAAAUAAGUAAUUAGAAACAAAAAAGAAAGCAAAAAAAUUGGGAAAAAAUUAAAAAAAAAGUGCCACCUAGAGGGCCACCACGGCCUGCAUACGACUAGAAACCCAUUACUAGGGCCAGGAUGCAGGCCCACAAGCACAGAGAGUGAUUUUAGGCCCGUAAGCCUGCAGUGGAGAGGAGCUCGAGAGGACAGCGGGACUGGGGCUUAUAAACCACUCUCGAGCUCCCUCAGCUAGCGAGGAGGCACUAAAUUUUCGUGCCGCGACGCGGGCAGCACAAGGCCUUUAGUCCCGGUUGGUGGCACCAACCGGGACCAAAGGGAUGCUUUGGUCCCGGUUCGUGGCACCAACCGGGACCAAUGACCCCCCUUUAGUCCCGGGUUGUGCCACCAACCGGGACUAAAGGCCGCCGCUUCCCGCCCUUUGGGCUGCUGAAAAGAGGCCAUUGGUCCCGGUUGGCGGCUCCAACCGGGACUAAAGGGGGCAUUGGUCCUGGUUGGUCUUAUGAACCGGGACCAAUGCUUUGCCUAUAUAAGCAGGACUCCUAAAAAUUUGAUUCAGUUCCUUCUUCCCCGCUCCCGACGCCGCCAGGCUGCCCGUCUCCGGUUCGCCGUCGCCGUCGUCAUCGUCUCCCCACGCCGUCCCUUGCCGUCCCUUGCCGCCUAGACGUCGUCGCCGCCCCGCGCCAUCUCGCCANNNNNNNNNNNNNNNNNNNNNNNNNNNNNNNNNNNNNNNNNNNNNNNNNNNNNNNNNNNNNNNNNNNNNNNNNNNNNNNNNNNNNNNNNNNNNNNNNNNNNNNNNNNNNNNNNNNNNNNNNNNNNNNNNNNNNNNNNNNNNNNNNNNNNNNNNNNNNNNNNNNNNNNNNNNNNNNNNNNNNNNNNNNNNNNNNNNNNNNNNNNNNNNNNNNNNNNNNNNNNNNNNNNNNNNNNNNNNNNNNNNNNNNNNNNNNNNNNNNNNNNNNNNNNNNNNNNNNNNNNNNNNNNNNNNNNNNNNNNNNNNNNNNNNNNNNNNNNNNNNNNNNNNNNNNNNNNNNNNNNNNNNNNNNNNNNNNNNNNNNNNNNNNNNNNNNNNNNNNNNNNNNNNNNNNNNNNNNNNNNNNNNNNNNNNNNNNNNNNNNNNNNNNNNNNNNNNNNNNNNNNNNNNNNNNNNNNNNNNNNNNNNNNNNNNNNNNNNNCGCCCCGCCCCGCCCCGUCCCAAUUUUGUUAGAUUUUUUUGUUAGAUUUUUUUGCUCAUUUAAUUAUUUGAUGUAGUAGUUAAUUUAGAUGUGUAGUAUAAUUUAGAUGUGUACUUAAUUGAGUUAGAUUUUGUUAGGUUUUUUUGUUAGAUUUUUUUGUUAGAUUUUUUUGUAGUUCAUAGAUUUUUUUGUUAGAUGUGUAGUAAUUUAGAUGUGUAGUUCAUAGAUUUAUUUUCAUAUUGUGUAAUUUGUUCAUAUUUUGUUAUAUUUUUUUUCUGUUAAUAGUUUUUUUUGUUGAUAUUGUUGUUGAAUACGCAUGUUUGUAUGUUCGUAUAUAUGCAAAGAUCGAAUAUGUCAAUUUGUUAUGAUUUUUUUUCUGUUCAUAGAAUUUUUACGACUUUUUUCUGUUGUAAUUUUGUUCAUAGAAUUUUAUUGUGUAUGUAUAGGAAAAUUGUGCAUGAUCAAAGUCAUUUAUGAAUAUGUACAUAUUUAGAAUAGAGGAAAAAGGAAAAUAAGAAGAGAAAGUGUUUAAUAUAAUUAGUUAGAAAAAUAAUAGAACUAUAGUUAAACUAGUUUAUUUUUAGUAAGUACUACUUUAUUUUAUUUAUAGUAAGUGCUUCAUAUAUAGUUGAACUAGCUAGUUGAUUUAAUAAACUAAUUUAUUUUACUAUAUAUAGAAGUAGUUUAUUUUUAGUAAGUACUACUUUAUUUAUUUAUAUUAGUGCUUAGUAGUUGAAGUAGUUGAUUUAAUUAAUAAAACUACUUUAUUUAACUAUAUAUAUAGAAGUAGUUCCCGCAUCGACGUCGGCGAUGCCUAUCCCGCAUCCUCGUCGUCGUCGACUCGGCGGUGGAGGAUUGUUUGAUCAGAGCCAUGUUCGGGACUAGGCUCCGCCGGGCUGGUAUUGGGAGGUGCUACCUUCCGGGGGACGUAGGUUGGUGAGGAGGCAACCCGUUGUUGACCCGAUUCUUGUUUGGUGGCGGUCGCAUGGGCCAGUGACGGUGCCGAGGCUUCCGGACACCGCGGAGGUGGUAGGUCACCGUGUCAGCGAGGAGGACGAGCACGUCCGUCGCUACAUGGUUGCAUUGGAGGGCAGGUUCGACUAUACCUGGCAGGUUCUUCAGUGAUCGCACUGGAGCUAUGAUCCUGUGAUGGUUCUUUAUCUUUGGGUAUCCACCGCCCGCGACGAUACCCGUCGGGCGCUACGGUUCUAGCUGUAUUAGUGAUGCUAUAUGUAUGAUAGUAUUCUAGGAGUAUUAGUGAUAAUAUUUGACGAUGUAUGGACACAAGAGAUGAUGUACUUUUGCUUAUAAAUGAAUGCAUGCUAAUUUAAAUAAUACUUUAUUUUAUGAUUUUGUUUUGCUUAUUGAAUGCUCAUAUUGGAAAAGUACUCCUACUUUGAAUGCAGAAAUCUAGGAGCCCACUCCAUCAUCCACUCCGUCGUGGGGGUAGCUUCUCCUUCAUUCCCGUGUGCUAGACAAUUUGGUGUAAUAAUGCACUCGAGAAUGAAAGGAGGAGCUACGUACCAUCACCGAUAGUCAACCCGUGAUUAAUAAUAAUGAUCUAAUUUAGGCUUUUUAGUACAUAUAUUUAAUUGUACAAGUUUAACAUUUGAAUUAUGAACAUAGGCCGGAAAUGUCGUACUCGCACGACGAAAACCGCCCGGGGGAGUGCGACUGGUGCCACGACGACCGAGGUAUGUGCGAUAGGUUCAUUGAGCUGGACGAAGAUCGGCGCUUCAGCAUUAAGCUCGAGGAGACCUUCGAUGUUCAUACGGUACGCAACGACGACAAUAGUUUUUUUCGUAAUUAAGCACGACUUCAACUAUGUUAACGUGUAUUUUUCAUCUUUUUCAAUUCGACUAGCUUAUCUCAUGCUAUGCGAGACGCUAUGUCUUGGAGAGGAUGAGUUUUGAAGACCAUGAAAGUAUGGAAACCAAAAAAUUCUCCUAAGGACCCAUUAUGGUGUGGAUUUUCAAGUAAAGUUGUACAAUGCUGAGAGUGUAACACAUUUUGGUUGCAAAAAUUGGGAGGCAGUUUGCAAGAUGUAUGGUUUUGAUGAGGGUAUGCUUGUCAGCAUGGAUCUUAGUGAUCCUACAAUCGAGCAAGACAGACCUUCGAUUUGGGUCCUUGUGGAUACACCUCCAAUUCUUCCCCAUGUGAGCUUAACAUAGUUAUUAAGUAAUUUAUAUUGUUUAUUUCAAAAUAGUUGACAGCUUAUUUCCAUUGACAGCUUAUUUUCAUUCUUCAAAGAAUGUGCGGAAGAUGGUAGACAAAACCCACUACACCGAUGGCUCCGAAUUAACUUAUAGGGAGAAAAUCAUCUGAUCACAUUUUGUACUAAUCUUGAGAAUUACAAUGUCUACAAUCGAACUCCUCAACAUUAUGCUCAAUAAGUGCCACUAGUGCAUGUGUUGAACUACGGUAACUACCAUGGAGAUACCCUGGUAAGAUUUUUUUACUAUUACGACAUCCGUGCAUCUUUUUGCACACUUCUAAAACUAGUACAUCAUUGCUAACUACGAAGUUAUUACUAUGUUUUUCAACAGAUAAUCCCGAAUGAUUGUGUGGCUCAUCUGAUGUAUACACACGGUAGCCUUCAUGUUUUGAACAUACAACCAGGUCUUCCUACGAAUCUCAACUGUCCAUACCGGGUUUCUAAAAGAAGUGGAGACAUGACAAUCAAAGAAUGGAAAAAAAUGUAUGGACAAUCGUAAGGAGCUUCUUGGAAGCAAAAGGCAGCGAGGCGCAAGAAUUGGAGACAGGAUGAUCUCCAUUCUUCAUAAUGGAGAGUCAGGGUCUAUAUUGUUUUAUGCUAUUUUACCUUAAGGGUGUUUAGGUCCUACCUGAUACUGAUGAUCAUGUGCUAAGAACAAUUAUGUAGGUUUGGGUUCGAUGACUAUGAGGAUGAUGAUCGUAUGACUUUUUAUUAAUAACGAGUAGAAGUUGUAUGAUAAUGCAUGAUUAGGAGGACUUGUUAUUAUAUAUGAUGAUGUAUGAUGCGAGCAUGCAUGAGUUAUUAUAUAUCAGCGGGUGAAAUGAACAUAGCAGUAGCGUUGGUAAACCAACAACGAAGAUAUAAGAGAGGACACUUCUCUCUAUUAGCUAGCUAAUAACAACCUAAAAUUAACCCCGCAAACCCCUAAACCAGCCACUUUUUUUAAAAAGAAAAACCUCAGCUGCUGACACGUGGAAGCCUUUUGGUCCCGGUUCAUGUCAAGAACCAGGGACCAAAGGCCCCCUUUCCUGGGCUGCUCACAGUGGCCACGUGGAGGCCCAUCUGUCCCGAUUCGUGUUAGAACCGGGACUAAAGGGUGGAGGCAUUAGUAACGACCCUUUAGUCCCGGUUCAGGAACCGGGACUAAAGGCCCUUACGAAUCGGGACAAAUGCCCUGUUUUCUACUAGUGGGUGUUGGGGUUUUGGAGGGUUAAUUUAGGGGUUUCAUAUUGUGUUAGCUAGCUAAUAGAGAGAAGUGACCUCUCUUUCUCCGUGCUUGAUCGACGCUAGCUACUAUACAUAUAGAUAGAACUCGACACGCUAGCUAGUAAGCAAAUGAAGGAACCAUUAAUUACACAAGAUCAUCAUGACACUAGUAGAAAACAUGGCAUUUGUCCUGGUUCGUAAGGGCCUUUUGUCCCGUUUUAAGAACCGGGACAAAAAGGUCGGUACUAUGCCCUCCCCCUUUAGUCCCGGUUCUUACAUGAACCAGGACAGAUGGGCCUCCACCUGGCCACUGCGGGCAGCCCAGGCAAGGGGGCCUUUGGUCCCGGUUGGUGACAUAAACCGGGACCAAAAGGCUUCCACGCGUCAGCAGCUGGCUGGAGCUGAGGUUUUUCUUUUUUUUAAAAAGUGGCUGGUUUAGGGGUUCUGGGGGUUAAUUUAGGUUGUUAUUAGCUAGCUAAUAGAGAGAAGUGUCCUCUCUUAUAUCUUCGUCCUUGGUUUACCAACGCUACUGCUAUGUUCAUUUCACCCGCUGAUAUAUAAUAACUCAUGCUCGCAUCAUACAUCAUCAUAUAUAAUAACAAGUCCUACUAAUCAUGCAUCAUCAUACAACUUCUACUCGUUAUUAAUAACAAGUCAUACGAUCAUCAUCCUCAUAGUCAUCGAACCCAACCCUACAUAAUUGUUCUUAGCACAUGAUCAUCAGUAUCAGGUAGGACCUAAACACCUUUAAGGUAAAAUAGCAUAAAACAAUAUUGACCCUGACUCUCCAUUAUGAAGAAUGGAGAUCAUUCUGUCUCCAAUUCUUGCGCUUCGCUUCCUUUUCCUUCCAGGAAGCUUCUUACGACUGUCCAUACAUUUUUUCCGUUCUUUGAUUGUCAUGUCUCCACUUCUUUUAGAAAUCAAGUAUGGACAGUUGAGAUUCGUAGGACGACCUGGUUGUAUGUUCAAAACAUCAAGGCGACCGUGCGUAUACAUCAGAUGAGGCACACAAUCAUUCGGGAUUAUCUGUUGAAAAACAUAGUAAUAACUUCGUAGUUAGCAAUGAUGUACUAGUUUUAGAAGUAUGCAAAAAGAUGCACGGAUGUCGUAAUAGUAAAAAAUCUUACCAGGGUAUCUCCAUGAUAGUUACCGUAGUUCAACAUGUGCACUAGUGGCACAUAUUGACCAUAAUGUUGAGGAGUUCGAUUGUAGAUAUUGUAAUUCUCAAGAUCAGUACAAAAUAAGAUCAGAUGAUUUUUCUCCUUAUAAGUUAAUUCGGAGCAAUCGGUGUAGUGGGUUUUGUCUACCAUCUUCCGCACAUUCUUUGAAGAAUGAAAAUAAGCUGUCAAUGGAAAUAAGCUGUUAACUAUUUUGAAAUAAACAAUAUAAAUUACUUAAUAACUAUGUUUGAGAAGCUCACUAGGGGAAGAAUUGGAAGUGUAUCCACAAGGACCCAAAUGUCCAUAUUGUCUUGCUCGAUUGUAGGAUCACCAAGAUCCAUGGUGACAAGCAUACCCUCAUAAAAACCAUACAUCUUGCAAAGUGCUUCCCAAUUUUUGCAACCAAAAUAAGUUACAGUCUCAGCAUUGUACAACUUUACUUCAAAAUCCACACCAUGAUGGGUCCUUAAGUGAAUUUUUUUGGUUUCCAUACUUUCAUGGUCUUCAAAACUCAUCCUCUCCAAGACAUAGCGUCUUGCAUAGCAUGGUAUAAGCUAGUCGAAUUGGAAAAGAUGAAAAAUACACGUUAAAAUAGUUGAACUCGUGCUUAAUUAUGAAAAAACUAUUGUCGUCGUUGUGUACCGUUUCAACAUCGAAGGUCUCCUCGAGCUUAAUGUUGAAGCGCCGAUCUUCGUCCAGCUCAAGGAACCUGUCGCACAUACCUCAGUCGUCGUGGCACCAGUCGCACUCCCCCGUGCGGUUUUCGUCGUUCGAGUACGACAUUUCUGGCCUAUGUUCAUAAUUCAAAUAUUAAACUUGUACAAUUAAAUAUAUGUAUUAAAAAACCUAAAUUAGAUCAUUAUUAUUAAUCACGAGUUGACUAUCGGUGAUGGUAGCUCCUCCUUUCAUUCCCGAGUGCAUUAUUACACCAAAUUAUCUAGCACACGGGAAUGAAGGAGAAGCUACCACCACGACGGCGUGGAUGAUGGAGUGGGCUCCUAGAUUUCUGCAUAGAGUGCCCUUCAAUUUUAGCAUUCAAUGUAGGAGUACUUUUCCAAUAUGAGCAUUCAAUAAGCAAAAUGAAAUCGUAAAAUAAAGUAGUAUUCAAAUUAGCAUGCAUUCAAUUAUAAGCAAAAGUACAUCAUCUCUUGUGUCCGUACAUCAUCGAAUAUUAUCACUAAUACUCCUCGAAUACUAUCAUACAUAUAGCAAUUCUAAUACAGCUAGAACCGUAGCACCCGACAGGUAUCGUCGCGGGCGGUGGACACCCAAAGAUAAGGAACCAUCACAGGAUCAUAGCUCCAGUGAGAUCCCUGAAGAACCUGCCAGGUAUUGUCGAACCUGCCCUCCAACGCAACCAUGUAGCGACGUACGUACUCGUCCUCCUCGCUGACACGGUGACGUACCACCUCCGCGGUGUCCGGAAGCCUCGGCACCGUAACUGGCCCACGCGAACGCCACCAAACAAGGAUCGGGUCAACAACAGGCUGGCUCCUCACCAACCAACGCCCCGCCGGAAGGUAGCACCUCCCAAUACCAGCCCGGCGGAGCCCAGUCCCGGACAUGGCCCUGAUCAAGCAGGCCUCCACCGCCGAGUCAAUGACGAGGAUGCGGGAUAGGCAUCGUCGACGUCGAUGCGGGAACUACUUCUAUAUAUAGUAAAAUAAAGUAGUUUUAUUAAUUAAAUCAAAUAGUUCAACUACUAAGCACUUACUAUAAAUAAAUAAAGUAGUACUUACUAAAAAUAAACUACUUCUAUAGUAAAAUAAAGUAGUUUAUUAAAUCAACUACCUGUUCAACUAUAUAUUAAGCACUUACUAUAAAUAAAAUAAAGUAGUACUUACUAAAAAUAAACUAGUUUAACUAUAAUUCUAUUAUUUUCCUAACUAACUAUAUUAAACACUUUCUCUUCUUAUUUUCAUUUUUCCUCUCUUCUAAAUAUGAACAUAUUCAUAAAUGACUUUGAUCAUACAUAAUUUUCCUAUACAUACACAAUAUGAACAUAUACAUAAAUUGACAAAGAAAAUUCUAUGAACAAAAAAAAUCAUUAAAAUUCUAUGAACAAAAUUACAACAGAAAAAAAAUCAUAAAAAUUCUAUGAGUAGAAACAAAUCAUAAAAAAUUGACAUAUUUGAUUUUUAUAUAUAUAUGAACAUACAAACAUGCAUAUUCAACAAGAAUAUCACCAAAAAAAUCUAUUAACAGAAAAAAAUCUAACACAAUAUGAAAAAAAAUCUAUGAACUACACAUCUAAAUUACUACACAUCUAACAAAAACAUUUAUGAACUGCAAAAAAAUCCAACAAAAAAAUCUAACUCAAUUAACUACACAUCUAAAUUACUACACAUCUAAAUUAACUACACAUCAAAUUAAAUUAGCAAAAUUCAACCUCACGGGAUGGCGAUGGCGUGAGGGGCGGGGCGAGGGCGAUGGGCAGGGGACGGCGACGGCGAUGGUGCGUGAGGGGCGGCGNNNNNNNNNNNNNNNNNNNNNNNNNNNNNNNNNNNNNNNNNNNNNNNNNNNNNNNNNNNNNNNNNNNNNNNNNNNNNNNNNNNNNNNNNNNNNNNNNNNNNNNNNNNNNNNNNNNNNNNNNNNNNNNNNNNNNNNNNNNNNNNNNNNNNNNNNNNNNNNNNAAUUUUGACGAGUGACAGUUAUAUAGACGAUGCAUUGGUCCCGGUUUCUGAGACAAACCGGGACUAAUGCGACUUUUAGUCCCGGUUGGUGGCACCAACAGGGACCAAAGGCCUCUUUUCAGCAGUCCAAAGGGCGGGAAACAAAGGCCUUUGGUCCCGGUUGGUGGCACCAACCGGGACUAAAGGGGGGGCAUUGGUAUCGGUUUGUGCCACCAACCGGGACCAAAGCCACUCUUUAGUCCCGGUUGGUGCCACCAACCGGGACCAAAGGCCUUGCACAGCGCGGUGCGGUGGGAAGUUUAGUCCCACCUCGCUAGCUGAGAGAGCUCAGCACCUGUUUAUAAGCUGCGUUGCAGCUCAGGUGCUGAGCUCCUCUCUAAUAUGCAGGCAUUAGUUGCCUACCCCUGUCACUGCCGUGUUGGGCCAAUUGGGCCUGCGGGCCUGCAUCCUGGCCCAUGUACAGAUGGGUUUCUAGUCAUAUGCAGGCCGUGUGGCCCAUUAGGUGGCUUUUUUUUUAUUUUUUCCAGUAUUUUUUUGUUUUUUGAAUUAUUUAUUUUCGUUUGAUUUUUGCUUUAUUUUUUAUUCUUUUUUCUUUUCACUCAGAAUAUUAUAAUCUUUCUGUUACUCCAUUAGUUUCCAAACUUGAAUAGUUUAAAUUUUAAUUCUUUGAAAUUUGUGUGAAUCACUAGUUUGUGAAUAACUUCACUAUAAAAAUAUAUUUUGAGUGAUUCUUUUUCUUGCUAUUUAAUAUUACUGCAUUUUAUCAUUAUAUUCAAAAAUAGAUUUUGUUAUUUUAGUUUCUAUCAAAAAAAAUCUUUAUGACAAUUGUUUUUGCUACUAAAGUUUCUAACAAAAAAUUCUUUAUGAUAAUUAUUUCUGCUUUUCAUGUUGUGAACAGAAAAUACUUUGAUAAUUUUAGUUGCAUAAAUUUAUAUAAUUUUAGUUUAAAAAACAUUAGAGGUUUAUAAAAUCUUUUUAGUUGAUUCCUUUUGCUAUUAGAGUUUUAUAAAAGCAUUUACUGGUUUUUUGAGCUAUAAGACCUUGAAUUUGAAAAGCAUUUCAAAUGAACUCUGAAAAGGUUGAAAGUUGUCAUGGUAUCAUCAUUUCACCCACAUAGCAUGUGCUAAAGAGUUGAGAGGGUUAUGCGAAAAACUUGAUAUACUUCAUGUACAAAAUGGACAAUCUCUGUCGAAGUAUCAGGGUUUCAUACGGAAACUCAUCUGUUACACAGGGAUUUCAUUUUUUUAAACUUAUUUGAACUCCUGACUUUUUGUGUGUUCAAAAUGCACCAUUCAAAGCCACAUCAUCAAUUUUCAACCCUUUCUGACUUCAUUUGUUAUUUUUCAUGCAUUUACUGAUUAUUUUGAGCUAUAAGACCCUGAAAUUGAAAAACAUUUCAAAUGAACUCUGAAAAGGUUGGAAGUUGGCAUGGUAUCAUCAUUUCAUCCACAUAGCAUGUGCAAGAAAGUUGAGUGGGUUACGGCAAAAACUGGAUGCACUUCAUGUACAAAACGGACAAUCUCUUUCGAAGUAUCAGGAUUUCAUACGGAAACUUGUCUGUUACAAUAGGCAUUUCAAAUGAACUACGAAAAGGUUGAAAGUUGGCAUGGUAUCAUCAUAAUAGUUGUGGACAAAGUCUUCACUUUUUCUUCGCUUGUGACCUUUCCUUAUUGCGUCGUAACCAUGGAUAAUCUUCAUCAUUUAUCAGGAUGCUUGGGUCAGCCUUGACUUUGAAGGGAGGAAUUUCAUGAAACUUUUCAUAAUCUUCGGACAUGUCUGUCUUGCCCUCCACUCCCAUGAUGUCCCUUUUUCCUGAAAGAACUAUGUGGCGCUUUGGCUCAUCGUAUGAUGUAUUCGUUUCCUUAUUUUUCCUUUUUCUCGGUUUGGUAGACAUGUCCUUCACAUAGAUAACCUGUGCCACAUCAUUGGCUAGGACGAACGGUUUGUCAGUGUACCCAAGAUUGUUCAGAUCCACUGUUGUCAUUCCGUACUGUGGGUCUACCUGUACCCCGCCUCCUGACAGAUUGACCCAGUUGCAUUCAAACAAAGGGACCUUAAAAUCUACUCCAUAGUCAAGUUCCCAUAUGUCCACUAUGUAACCAUAAUAUGUGUCCUUUCCCCUCUCGGUGGCUGCAUCAAAGCAGACACCGCUGUUUUGGUUGGUGCUCUUUUGAUCUUGGGCGAUCGUGUAAAAUGUAUUCCCAUUUAUCUCGUAUCCUUUCCAAAUCAUUACAGUCGAAGAUGGUCCCCUGGACAAUGAGUACAACUCCUCACAAACAGUGUUUUCACCUCUGAGACGUGUUUCCAACCAACUCCUGAAAGUCCUGAUGUGUUCACAUGUAAUCCAGUCGACGCACUGCUCCGGGUGUUUGGAGCGUAGACUGAUCUUGUGUUCAUCGACAUAAGGGGUCACCAAGGUAGAGUUCUGUAGAACUGUGUAGUGUGCUUGAGACCAAGAAUAUCCGUCCCUGCAUAUUAUUGUCUCCCCACCAAGCGUGCCUUUUCCAGUCAGUCUUCCCUCACACCGCGAUUUAGGGAGACCUAUCUUCUUAAGGCAGGAAUGAAGUCAACACAAAACCCAAUGACAUCCUCUGUUUGAUGGCCCAUGGAGAUGCUUCCUUCUGGCCUAGCACGGCUACGGACAUAUUUCUUUAGGACUCCCAUGAACCUCUCAAAGGGGUACAUAUUGUGUAGAAAUACGGGCCCCAGAAUGACAAUCUCGUCAACUAGAUGAACUAGGAUGUGCGUCAUGAUAUUGAAGAAGGAUGGUGGGAACACCAGCUCGAAACUGACAAGACAUUGCACCACAUCACUCCUUAGCCUUGGUAUGAUUUCUGGAUGGAUCACCUUCUGAAAGAUUGCAUUGAGGAAUGCACAUAGCUUCACAAUGGCUAAUCGGACGUUUUCCGGUAGAAGCCCCCUCAAUGCAACCGGAAGCAGUUGCGUCAUAAUCACGUGGCAGUCAUGAGACUUUAGGUUCUGAAACUUUUUCUCUGCCAUAUUUAUUAUUCCCUUUAUAUUCGACGAGAAGCCAGUCGGGACCAUCAUACUAAGCAGGCAUUCAAAGAAGAUUUCCUUCUCUUCUUUGGUAAGAGCGUAGCUGGCAGGACCUUCAUACUGCUUUGGAGGCAUGCCGUAUUUUUCAUGCAAACGUUGCAGGUCCUGCCGUGCCUCAGCUGUAUCUUUUGUCUUCCCACACACGCCCAAGAAGCCUAGCAAGUUCACGCAAAGGUUCUUCAUCACGUGCAUCACGUCGAUCGAAGAGCGGACCUCUAGGUCUUUCCAGUAGGGUUGGUCCCAAAAUAUAGAUUUCUUCUUCCACAUGGGUGCGUGUCCCUCAGCGUCACUCGGAACUGCUAGUCCGCCGGGACCCUUUCCAAAGAUUAUGUGUAAAUCAUUGACCAUAGCAAGUACGUGAUCACCGGUACGCUUGGCGGGCUUCUUUGGGUGAUCUGCCUCGCCUUUGAAAUGCUUGCCUUUCUUUCGACAUUGAUGGUUGGUUGGAAGAAAUCGACGAUGGCCCAGGUACACAUUCUUCCUGCAACUUCCCAGGUAUAUACUUUCGGUGUCAGCUAAAUAGUGCGUGCAUGCGUGGUAUCCCUUGUUUGUCUGUCCUGAAAGGUUACCGAGAGCAGGCCAAUCGUUGAUGGUUACAAAUAGCAAUGCAUGCAGGUUAAAUUCCUCAUGUCUGUGCUCAUCCCACACACAUACACCGUUUCCAUUCCACAGCUGUAAAAGUUCUUCAAGUAAUGGCCUUAGGUACACAUCAAUGUCGUUGCCGGGUUGCUUAGGGCCUUGGAUGAGAACUGGCAUCAUAAUGAACUUCUGCUUCAUGCACAUCAAAGGAGGAAGAUUAUACAUACAUAAAGUCACGGGCCAGGUGAUGUGAUUGUUGCAUUGCUCCCCGAAAGGAUUAAUGCCAUCCGCGCUUAAACCAAACCAUACGUUCCUUGGGUCAUGUGCAAACUCAGCCUAGUACUCUCUCUUGAUUUUUAUCCACUGCGACCCGUCAGCGGGUGCUCUCAACUUCCCGUCUUUCUUACGGUCCUCUCUAUGCCAUCACAUCAACUUGGCAUGCUCUUUUUUUCUGAACAAUCGUUUCAACCGUGGUAUUAUAGGAGCAUACCACAUCACCUUCGCAGGAACUCUCUUCCUGCGGGGCUCGCCAUCAACAUCACCAGGGUCAUCUCGUCUGAUCUUAUACCGCAAUGCACCGCAUACCGGGCAUGCGUUCAAAUCCUCAUACGGACCGCAGUAGAGGAUGUAGUCAUUAGGGUAUGCAUGUAUCUUCUUCACCUCCAAUCCUAGAGGGCAUACAACCUUCUUUGUUGCGUACGUACUGUCGGGCAAUUCAUUGUCCUUUGGAAGCUUCUUCUUCAAUAUUUUCAGUAGCUUCUCAAAUCCUUUGUCAGGCACAACAUUCUCUGCCUUCCACUGCAGCAAUUCCAGUAUGGUACCCAGCUUUGUGUUGCCAUCUUCGCAAUUGGGGUACAACCCUUUUUUGUGAUCCUCUAACAUGCGAUUGAACUUCAGCUUCUCCUUUUGACUUUCGCAUUGCGUCCUUGCAUCGACAAUGACCCGACGGAGAUCAUCAUCGGGCACAUCGUCUGGUUCCUCUUGAUCUUCAGCAGCUUCCCCCGUCACAGCAUCAUUGGGCACAUCGUCUGGUUCCUCUUGAUCUUCAGCGGCUCCCCUCGUUGCAGCAUUAUCGUAUUCAGGGGGCACAUAGUUGUCAUCGUCCUCUUAUUCUUCGCCGUCUUCCAUCAUAACCCCUAUUUCUCCGUGCCUCGUCCAAACAUUAUAGUGUGGCAUGAAACCCUUGUAAAGCAGGUGGGUGUGAAGGAUUUUCCGGUCAGAGUAAGACUUCGUAUUCCCACAUUUAGUGCAUGGACAACACAUAAAACCAUUCUGCUUGUUUGCCUCAGCCACUUCGAGAAAAUUAUGCACGCCCUUAAUGUACUCGGAGGUGUGUCUGUCACCAUACAUCCAUUGCCAGUUCAUCAGCGUGCAUUAUAUAUAAUUAUGUGUGUCAAAAGUAAGAAAAUCAGACAAAAUAUCUAUCUAAAGUAAGAAAAUCAGACAAGUAUCAAAAAGAAGAUAAGAACAAGAGGCUCACCACGGUGGUGCCAGCGACGAGAUCGGCGCGGGCGAUCAACGAUGGUGAAAACGGGGACGAGGCGUGACGGACCGCUAAAUCUAGAAAAAUCUCGAAAAAAUGGAGCUCCGAGGUCGAGCUUCGAGAGGAGAAUGCUUAACUAGUGUGGCUCGAGCAUUUUAUCAAACACCUCAUGUGCAUAGGAGUUGAACUAGAGCACCCAAAUGCCCUCUCCUCGCCGGAUUGAAAAAACAGAGCACUAUGGAGUGCUCUGACGCGGCGGUGGGUAUAUGUAGGCAAGUUAUUUGUCCCGGUUCGUGGCAUGAACCAGGACUAAAGCACACCCUUCUGUCCCGGUUCAAGCCACGAACCGGGACCAAUGAUUGUGGGCCAGGAGCGAGGACCAUUCGUCCCGGUUCGUGGCUUGAACCGGGACAAAUGGUUCCACACGAACUGGGACCAAUGCCCACGAGGCCCCGGCCGCCCCCUGGGCUCACGAACCGGGUCUAAUACCCCCCAUGGGUCCUAGUUCUUGAAGAACCGAGACUAAUGGGCUGGCCAGGCCCGAAUGUUAGCCCUAUUUUCUACUAGUGUGAACAUAUACAGAGAGAAAGUGAACUCUCUUUCUCUGAGAGAUUGGUCGAACAACAAGUUUUUGUAUAUCGAUCCGACGCUACUAUAUAUAUUCAAUAUAACAUCUCUUACAAUCCCUAACAUCUAUAAUCAAUUUCCACAUGGUAUUCUCCCUUCUCAUUUAUGAUGUGGUCAAGAAAGAAUCCCACCAAUUCCUCUUGAAUAGCUCGAAUGCGAUCAUGUGGUAGGAUUUCAUCCUGCAUCUGCCACAUAUAAUUUAAAGAAGGGGGUCAAUACAUAUAUAUGAAUAAAACUCAUCACAUAUGAUGGUAAUAAAAUAAAAUUGUGAAUAUUAUUGUUUACGUACUUCAUAUUAUUUUGCAAAGGGUCGCAUUGUAGAUGAACUCGCAAACGUAGUAUCCACAUAAAUUAUUCCCGCCUUCCUGCCACAAGACCUUUACGAGAAAUAGAGUUCAAUCAAACUAAUAAUCAAGCAUGCUAAAUGGUAUUGAUGAAACUAGAAUAAAUGGGAGAUGCACGGAACUAGCUAGUACUACUUACUUUCGGGUGUGUAAAUCGUAGCUCCCUCGGAAGUCCCGGAACUAUUCCGGUGAACUCUUUCCAAACCCUGUCAGACAAAGAAAAUAACUACUUGAUAUCAGGAAAUGAACAAAUUUGCCGAUAUGGUGCGAUAAUGAUCGAUUGAACUUACUUCUGGAGCAUUACAGUCAUGUCCGCAUAGUCCUGGGGAUCUUUUCGUCUCCAGUCUAAGACAAUUAUUACUCCCUGGUCAAGCUUAAUCUCUAGAAGAAUAAAGUGGAAGCUGCGCAUGCAUGCAUAACUCAUCAAUUACAAUAAUAUAAUUAACCUCGAGUAAGCGAAACCGAAUAUGCACAAGACAAUAACACUCACUUGCAGUUGUAAGGAAAGAGUAUUUUUCCUUCGUUUUGAUUUCGAUGCAACAAUUGUAGCAAGUUGUCCUCGGUAUUCGUGUCUCUGUUUUUAACUGACCAUUCAUUUAUGGUAUUUGAGUUAAUGAACCGAAUGUCAUAGAUUUGUUUUUUUGCAUUCGACGAUCUUCAAUCUGCAUAAUAUAGUGAGGAUAAUUAUAUAUACAUGCAAUGGAAGCCACACUGCUUCUCCACUGAGAUGGUGGGGUAGCUUCUGGUGAAGCGUCGAAGCAAGGAUCUUCGUACCGCUAAGAUGGUUGGCCGGUAGCUGCAAGUUCUUCUAGCUUUGCUAUUCUUGCAUUGAGCUUCUACAGCUCGCUUCCACUUUCCUCUUUCUGUAAAUAUCAUGUUGUACUCAAUAUGCCAGAUUGACAUUUUCAACUAAAUUGUCAUGUUCCAGUGGGAGUUAGUAGAAAAGUGCAUCUAGAGAUUUAUUCAAAGUAGCAACACUUGGGAAAAAAGGACAUAGAUGGAUCAACGUUGUGUGGGGAGACCUAGUGGAUGGGUGGACGACCUCGCCGCCGUCGAGCUCAUCGGGUGCGGGAGAAGGCGAGGGCACUCUGCUGACGCCUGAAAGAGCCGGGAGUAGGGGCAUCCACUCGACAUUGGCUAGAGGCAACCACCGUACCAUCGCAACUCCCGGCGACGAGCAGGGUUAGCCGCCCAACAUUGGCCAGAGCACCCGCCGCACCCGCCUCUCACACUGCUUCAGCCGCCCCUCUUGCCACAGAAUGUCCUCCGUGGUCCGCACGCUGAUGCCAGAGCAUAGCUCCUUGAAUAGCCGGUGAAGGGAUAAGGUGGUGUGUGUGUGUGGGGGGGGGGGGUCAGGCGCUUGCUGUUUACAGGUUGACAGAUUUAUCAUCAUGGUAACUCGAGAGCAAGAAAGAGAAAUAUUACAACAACUUUAUAUGGCAACCAAGGGCAUGACAUCAAAGUACACAUCACACACUACAAUUCAAGUGUUUGGAGCAUCUCCAAAAGAGGCAUAGGUCAAUUAAUAACAAGCUCACAAUAUGGCAUCAUGAAGUUAAUAGAAAAAUGGAACAUCAUUUAGGCAAAUUCAUAGCAACAAAAACAUAUGCUACAAGACUUAUAUGAGGCAUCAAACGGCAUGAAAUGAUAGAGCAUAACAUGGUUAAAAGAUGAUUACUGAACAUCUCCAUAAUAUGCAUAGAUUUGACGGUAGCAUCAAGCAAACAUGGCAUCUUAAUUUAACAGUUUCAGACUUGACAGAAAUUACCAAGUUCCUGAAAACAGAUAACAACAAGUCACCCUCUUUGCAAGCUUGUUCCAAACAACACAAGGCAUAUCAUGAUAAAUGGAUUACACUUCUACAAAGAUGUCAUGAUUAUGCUCAUAAAACAUGUUGACAUGAUGCUAAAAAAAAUCACAAAAACUGCUAUGAAAAAGACAAAUACACAAGUUACAACAGUUUUCGACAGUUUAUAUCACUUAGCACUUUUAGAACAAUGGUUUUGGCAUCAACAUGAAUAGCAACAUGCAUGCAAACUACACCAUCGUGUGGAGCAUCAAGAGAUGAACAUUUUUACAUAUCAUACACUCAAUUCAGAUACACAUGCUCAAAGUUACAUGAUCACAAACAUGCACACAUGUUGCUGGAAGAUAGGGACUUGGCCAAAAUUACUGAGGUGAGUGACGGAUAACUACAGAGUGCACAGGGUGGGGGAUAGUGGGUAGCUCACCAUGGGCUCAGCACAGGACGUGGAGACGAGGCAGCAGGCCGGCGCUGCUGGGCCGGGGAGUUGCUGGCCCAUGCGGGCCCAUGAGGCCGGGCUGAUACGGUCGUUGUCCUUGUGCGCUCGCACGAGCAGGGAGGCAGGGACGGCCGCGGCCGGCGAUGCUAGGGCGGCAGCGAGACUGGAGGUGGCCAGGUGAGGCAGGGACGGGCUGAUCCGGCCGUGGGGGACCGGAUCUGGGUGUCAACAACUGUCGGAGGGUCGCGGGGCGAUGCUGGGAGUCGGCAGGGCGCGGAUUGAUGUCUACUACACAACCUUCUUCUUGUAGACGUUGUUGGGCCUGCAAGUGCACAGGUUUGUAGGACAGUAGCAAAUUUCCCUCAAGUGGAUGACCUAAGGUUUAUCAAUCCGUGGGAGGCAUAGGAUGAAGAUGGUCUCUCUCAAACAACCCUGCAACCAAAUAACAAAGAGUCUCUUGUGUCCCCAACACACCCAAUACAAUGGCAAAUUGUAUAGGUGCACUAGUUCGGCGAAGAGAUGGUGAUACAAGUGCAAAAUAGAUAGUAGAUAUAGGUUUUUGUAAUCUGAAAAUAUAAAAACAGCAAGGUAACUAAUGAUAAAAGUGAGCGUAAAUGGUAUUGCAAUGAUAGGAAACAAGGCCCAGGGAUCAUACUUUCACUAGUGCAAGUUCUCUCAACAAUAAUAACAUAGAUAGAUCAUAUAACAAGCCCUCAACAUGCAACAAAGAGUCACUCCAAAGCCACUAAUAGCGGAGAACAAACAUAGAGAUUAUGGUACGGUAUGAAACCACCUCAAAGUUAUUCUUUCGGAUCAAUCUAUUCAAGAGUUCGUACUAGAAUAACACCUUAAGACACAAAUCAACCAAAACCCUAAUGUCACCUAGAUACUCCAUUGUCACCUCAAGUAUCCGUGGGCAUGAUUAUACGAUAUGCAUCACACAAUCUCACAUUCAUCCAACCAACACAAAGUACUUCAAAGAGUUCCCCAAAGUUUCUACCGGAGAGUCAAGAAUGUGUGCCAACCCCUAUACAUAGGUUCAUGGGCGGAACCCGCAAGUUGGUCACCAAAACAUACAUCAAGUGGCACAUGAUAUCCCAUUGUCACCACAGAUAAGCACGGCAAGACAUACAUCAAGUGUUCUCAUAAAAGACUCAAUCCGAUAAGAUAACUUCAAAGGGGAAACUCAAUUCAUCACAAGAGAGUAGAGGGGGAGAAACAUCAUAAGAUCCAACUAUAAUAGCAAAGCUCGGGAUACAUCAAGAUCAUGCCAUAGAGGGAACACGAGAGAGAGAGAGAUCAAACACAUAGCUACUGGUACAUACCCUCGGCACCGAGGAUGAACUACUCCCUCCUCAUCAUGGAUAGCGCCGGGAUGAUGAAGAUGGCCACCGGUGAUGGGUUCCCCCUCCGGUAGGGUGCCGGAACGGGCUCCCGAGAGGUUUUUGGUGGCUACAUAGGCUUGCGGCGGCGGAACUACCGAUCUAUCUUGAUAUUCAAUGGGUUUAGGGUACGUAAGCUUAUAUAGGCGAAAGAAGUUGGUCGGGGGGUGCUCGAGGGGUCCACGAGACAGGGGGCCGCGCCUUGUAGUGGGGGGGGGGGCUAUCUCCUGGGCUCCUCGAGGAUCUUAUGACUUGAUCUCCAAGCCUCCAGGAUGAUAUUCUUCCAAAAAAUCAUGAUGCCGAAGGUUUCAUUCCGUUUGGACUCCGUUUGAUAUUCCUUUUCUUCGAAAUACUGAAACUGGCAAUAAAACAACAAUAUGGGAUGGGCCUCCGAUUAGUAGGUUAGUCCCAAAGGUAAUAUAAAAGUGUAUAAUAAAGCCCAUAAUCAUUCAAAAUAGAUAAUAAAAUAGCAUGAAUGCUUGAUAAAUUAUAGAUACGUUGGAGACGUAUCAGCAUCCCCAAGAUUAAUUCCUACUCGUCCUCGAGUAGGUAAAUGAUAAAAGAAAGAAUUUAUGAAGUGUGAAUGCUAGAGGUGCACAAGUUUAAUCAAUGAUAAUUUCAAUUACCUUUUCUAGCAUGAUAAUAUGUCAUAACAGUAGUUCAUCUCAUAAAACUUCUCACGAUAAAGUAACAAGCAAUUCACAUGUCAAAGCAUAGACCAUAAACUUUCUUGAAAGCUAGCAAACUUCAUUCUUAGUCAUCAAAACAAUUGCAAUUCAUCUUACUUUCAGGAAGAGUCUAUGUCAGAGCUUUGAUUUAGCAAACUUCACAUACUCAACUAUCAUAUAGUCUUCUACAAUUGCUAACACUCACACAAUACUUGUGGUUAUGAAGUUUUAAUCAGACACAGAGAAAGAUUGGGGCUUUUAAUGUUGCCUCCAAACGUUUUCACCUUUGGAUGAUGUCAACAAUAAUAGUUCAUGCUAACGUACAUCCAAUUGGAUAUAUAUAUAUAUAUAUAUAUAUAUAUAUAUUUAUAUAUAUAUAUCAGGAUCACCCUAACACAAAGUGCUUACCAAAGGAUAAAAUGAAAAAGGGAAAGGUGAAGAUCACCUUGACUCUUGCAUAAAGUAAAGAUAGGCCCUUCGCAGAGGGAAGCAGAGGUUGUCAUGCGCUUCUAGGGUUGGAUACACAAAAUCUUAAUGCGAAAGAACGUCACUUUAUGUUGCCCCUUGNNNNNNNNNNNNNNNNNNNNNNNNNNNNNNNNNNNNNNNNNNNNNNNNNNNNNNNNNNNNNNNNNNNNNNNNNNNNNNNNNNNNNNNNNNNNNNNNNNNNNNNNNNNNNNNNNNNNNNNNNNNNNNNNNNNNNNNNNNNNNNNNNNNNNNNNNNNNNNNNNNNNNNNNNNNNNNNNNNNNNNNNNNNNNNNNNNNNNNNNNNNNNNNNNNNNNNNNNNNNNNNNNNNNNNNNNNNNNNNNNNNNNNNNNNNNNNNNNNNNNNNNNNNNNNNNNNNNNNNNNNNNNNNNNNAAAGGAUAAAAUGAAAAAGGGAAAUGUGAAGAUCACCUUGACUCUUGCAUAAAGUAAAGAUAAGCCCUUCGCAGAGGGAAGCAGAGGUUGUCAUGCGCUUCUAGGGUUGGAUACACAAAAUCUUAAUGCGAAAGAACGUCACUUUAUAUUGCCCCUUGUAUAUGGACCUUUAUUAUGCAGUCUGUCGCUUUUAUUGCUUCCAUAACAAGUUCGUACAAAGCUUAUUUUCUCCGCACUAAUAAGUCAUGCAUAUUUAGAGAGCAAUUUUUAUUGCUUGCACUGAUGACAACUUACUUGAAGGAUCUUACUCAAUCCAUAGGUAGGUAUGGUGGACUCUCAUGGCAAAACUGGGUUUAAGGAUAUUUGGAAGCACAAGUAGUAUCUCUACUUGGUGCUAGGAAUUUUUGGCUAGCAUGAGGGGGAAAGGCAAGCUCAACAUGUUUGAAUGAUCCAUGACAAUAUACUUUAACUGAGAUGUGAGAAAACAUAACCCAUUACAUUGUCUUCCUUGUACAACAUCAACUCUUUAGCAUGUCAUACUUAAUGAGUGCUCACAAUUAUAAAAGAUGUCUAUGAUAAUAUAUUUAUAUGUGAAAUCUCUCUUCCUUCAAUAUUCUUUCAUGAAUUGUUCAAAUGACUAAUACAAUGCUUGCUAACCAUCAAUAAAUUUACAACCUCUACUUCUUAGAUGUGAAGUCAUUACUCCCCAUGGGAUAAGAAAAUGAAACAUAUAUAAAUUCAGAUUUAUGACAUUCAACUCAUUCAACCAUUUACUCAUAGGAUAUAAGUGAAGCACACGAGUAAAUGAAAAACUACUCCAAAAAGAUAUAAGUGAAGAUCAAUGAGUAGAUAAAUAAUUAUAUAACUAUGUGAAGACUCUCUCUCAUUAAAGAAUUUCACAUCUUGGUAUUGUAUUCAAGCAGCAAGCAAAACAAAAAAAAAAUGACAUUGCAAGGAUAGCACAACUCAUGUGAAGAAGCAAAAACUCAGGCUCAACCGAUACUAACCGAUGACUGUUGAAGAAGAAAGGUGGGAUGCCUACCGGGGCAUACCCAAGCUUAGAUGCUUGAGACUUCUUGAAAUAUUAUCUUGGGGUGCCUUAGGCAUCCCCAAGCUUGAGCUUUUGUGUCUCCUUAAUUGCUCUCAUAACAUGGUUUCUUUUUAUCAAAACCUUCAUUCACAACAAACUCAACAAGAACUCGUGAGAUAGGUUAGUAUAAACCAAUGCAAAACCUUAUCAUUUUAUACUGUAAAAAAUCACUAAAAUUAUUAUUCAACAUUUCAUACUAAAUUCCCCUGCAUAUUUAAUACUCCUAUCCUUAAAUAGGAUCAUUAAACAAGCAAACAUAUGCAAACAAUGCAAACAUAACAGCAAUCUGCCAAAACAGUACAGUCUGCAAAGAAUGCAAGAGUAUCAAUACUUCCCUGACUCCAAAAUUAUUAACUAAAAUUCCCACUGUAAUAAAUUUAUCAGAGCUUAAUAUGCAAAAAGAUUCAACGUUAUACCAUUCUCUGACUUUUCUAGGGAAUUUUUGCAACAGCGGUAAACUUUCUGUUUUCAAACAGCAACAUGUAUACUAGCAAAAUAAGCAUGGCAAAGGCUAUCCUUGACAUUUUUAUUGAAACUAAAGAUGAAAAACAUUACUCUAACUAACAGCAAGCAAAUACUAACAAAAGAAAAUGACGCUCCAAGCAAAACACAUAUCAUGUGGCGAAUAAAAAUAUAGCUCCAAGUAAAGUUACCGAUGAACGAAGACGAAAGAGGGGAUGCCUUCCGGGCAUCCCCAAGCUUAGGCUUUUGGUUAUCCUUGAAUAUCUUGGGGUGCCUUAGGCAUCCCCAAGCUUAGUCUCUUGCCACUCCUUAUUCCAUAGUCCAUCGAAUCCUUACCCAAAACAUGAAAACUUCAACCACAUAAAACUCAAAACAAAAAGCUCCGUUAGUAUAAGAAAAUAAAACCACCACUUAGGUACUGUAAUGAACUCAUUCUAAAUUCAUAUUGGUGUAAUAUCUACUGUAUUCUAACUUCUCUAUGGUUCAUACCUUCCGAUACUACUCAUAGAUUCAUCAAAAUAAGCAAACAACACAUAGAAAACAUAAUCUGUCAAAAACAGAACAGUCUGUAGUAAUCUGUAUCAAACGUAUACCUCUGUAACUCAACAAAUUCUGAAAUAAAUUGCUGGACCUGAGGAAUUUUUCUAUUAAUCAUAUGCAAAAAUAAUCAGCCUAAAAACACUCUCCAGUAAAAAAUGGCAGCUAAUCUCGUGAGCGCUAAAGUUUCUGUUUUCUACAGCAAGAUCACAUAAGCUUCACCCAAGUCUUCCCAAAGGUUCUACUUGGCAUUUUAUUGAAACAAAAGCUAUAAAACAUGAUUACUACAGUAUAAUAAUCAUGUGGACACACAAAAACAGUAAGGAUAAAUAUUGGGUUGUCUCCCAACAAGUGCUUUUCUUUAAUGCCUUUCUAACUAGGCAUGAUGAUGACAAUGAUGCUCACAUAAAAGAUAAGAAUUGAAACAUAAAGAGAGCAUCAUGAAGCAUAUGACUAGCACAUUUAAGACUAACCCUCUUCCUAUUCAUAGGGAUUUUGUGAGCAAACAACUUAGGGGAACAAUAGUCAACAAGCAUAGGAAGAUAAAACAAGCAUAACUUCAAGAUUUUCAACACAUAGAGAGGAAACUUGACAUUAUUGUAAUUCCUACAAGCAUAAGUUCCUCCCUCAUGAUAAUUUUCAGUAGCAUCAUGAAUGAAUUCAAAAAUAUAACCAUCACCUAAAGCAUUCUUUUCAUGAUCUACUAGCAUAGAAAAUUUACUACUCUCCACAUGAGCAAAUUUCUUCUCAUUCGGAAUAGUGAGAGUAUCAUAAAAGACUUGAACACUAAAAAUUGUUUCCACAUUAAAAGAGUAAUGUUCAGAAAAAGGGUAAUCAUAAUCAUGACAAGUUUUAUAAAUAUAAUCAUCACUACUUUUUAUAGCAUAAGUUUUAUCACAAUAAUCAUCAUAAGUAGCAACUUCGUUCUCAUCAUAAUCAAUUGAAACCUCUCCCAAGAUAGUGGAAUCAUCACUAAAUAAAGUUGACACUCUUCCAAAUCCACUUUCAUCAACAUUAUAAGAUUCAACAUCCUCCAAAAUAGUGGGAUCACUACUUUCUAAAGUUGACACUCUUCCAAACCCACUUUCAUCAAUAUAAUUAUCAUAGGUACAAGGCAUGCUAUCAUCAUAUCAACUUUGCAUAUCAAAACUUGGGAGGCUAAAAAUAUCAUCUUCAUUAAACAUAGCAUCCCCAAGCUUGGGACAAACAUUAAUUUCAGCAAAUAUAUUCUCAAAUAUUUCAUACUCAUCAAACAUAGCUUCCCCAAGCUUGGGCCCUUUCAUAUCAUAAGCAUAAUCACUCUCAUCAUUAAAAAUAUGGAUAGCACCAAUAGUAAAGCAAUUAUCACCAUCACAAUGAGUAGUAGGAGCAACAUAAUUUGGGAGGGAUACCUUUCUACCUUUGUUGCUCCUUCUUUUCUUUUUCUUCUUCACAUUAUGUGUAGGUUCAACCUUCCUCUUUGAGCUCCUUAUUGAUGAGAUUGGUUGAAUAGAAAGCUCCUCCUCGUUACCUGAUUCAUCAUAAGAAAUAAUAGGAGGAUAUUGGGAAGUCUCUUCCCUUUCAUUAGUAUUCUCAUCAUCUUCCAUUUGCUUUCUAUUCUUUAGGUAAUUGGCAAUAUAAGGAUUUUCAAUGCAAUUCUCCGCACAAAACAUAUAAAUCUUUUCUAGAUCAAUAUCAAGGAAAUGCUUAAGAUUAAAUUCUGGAAUAGGCUUAGUAAAACGUUUCAACUCUUUAUAACCCAAAAGCAAUCUAAGUUCAUUGUAAUGAGAAAGGGAGAUCAAAUCAUCACAAUUUUUGGACACGAUCCGAUCAUGAAACAAUUUGCAUUGGAGGUGUAAAUGAUCUUGUUUAUUGCAAAAUUCACAACGGGAAAGAUAUCUUAAAUUCUCUGCACUCUUAUCUAGCCUUUCUUGCGACCUAUUAGUUUCUAAAUACUUAUGUUUCUUGCAAUAUAUAUAUCUUCUCUAUUUGGUGUGUUCAUGCAAACAUGCACUCCACAAAAGUUGACAUGCUUAUGAGAGAUAUUUUCAUCAUGACUAGAGCAAUCAUCAUUAGUACUAUGGAUAUUCAAAGAGUUCAUAGUAACAACAAUGCAAUCAUGCUCAUCAUUCAAAGAUUUAGUGUCAAACACUCUAUAGAUUUCUUCUUCUAGCACUUGAGCACAAUUUUCCUUUUCAUCAUACUCACAAAAGAUAUUAAAAAGACAAAGCGUACGAGACAAACUUAACUCCAUUUUUUUUGUAGUUUUCUUUUAUAAACUAAACUAGUGAUAAAAACAAGAAACAAAAAGAUUUUAUUGCAAGAUCUAAAGAUAUACCUUCAAGCGCUAACCUCCCCGGCAACGGCGCCAGAAAAGAGCUUGAUGUCUACUACACAACCUUCUUCUUGUAGACGUUGUUGGGCCUGCAAGUGCACAGGUUUGUAGGACAGUAGCAAAUUUCCCCCAAGUGGAUGACCUAAGGUUUAUCAAUCCGUGGGAGGCGUAGGAUGAAGAUGGUCUCUCUCAAACAACCCUGCAACCAAAUAACAAACAGUCUCUUGUGUCCCCAACACACCCAAUACAAUGGCAAAUUGUAUAGGUGCACUAGUUUGGCGAAGAGAUGGUGAUACAAGUGCAAAAUUGAUAGUAGAUAUAGGUUUUUGUAAUCUGUAAAAACAGCAAGGUAACUAAUGAUAAAAGUGAGCGUAAACGGUAUUGCAAUGAUAGAAAACAAGGCCUAGGGUUCAUACUUUCACUAGUGCAAGUUCUCUCAACAAUAAUAACAUAGAUAGAUCAUAUAACAAGCCCUCAAGAUGCAACAAAGAGUCACUCCAAAGCCACUAAUAGCGGAGAACAAACAUAGAGAUUAUGGUAGGGUACGAAACCACCUCAAAGUUAUUCUUUUGGAUCAAUCUAUUCAAGAGUUCGUACUAGAAUAACACCUUAAGACACAAAUCAACCAAAACCCUAAUGUCACCUAGAUACUCCAUUGUCACCUCAAGUAUCCGUGGGCAUGAUUAUAUGAUAUGCAUCACACAAUCUCAGAUUCAUCCAACCAACACAAAGUACUUCAAAGAGUGCCCCAAAGUUUCUACCGGAGAGUCAAGAACGUGUGCCAACCCCUAUGCAUAGGUUCAUGGGCGGAACCCGCAAGUUGGUCACCAAAACAUACAUCAAGUGGCACAUGAUAUCCCAUUGUCACCAUAGAUAAGCACGACAAGACAUACAUCAAGUGUUCUCAUAAAAGACUCAAUCCGAUAAGAUAACUUCAAAGGGGAAACUCAAUUCAUCACAAGAGAGUAGAGGGGGAGAAACAUCAUAAGAUCCAACUAUAAUAGCAAAGCUCGGGAUACAUCAUGAUCGUGCCAUAGAGGGAACACGAGAGAGAACACGAGAGAGAGAGAUCAAACACAUAGCUACUGGUACAUACCCUCAGCCCUGAGGGUGAACUACUCCCUCCUCGUCAUGGAUAGCGCCGGGAUGAUGAAGAUGGCCACCGGUGAUGGGUUCCCCCCUCUGGCAGGGUGCCGGAACGGGCUCCCGAGAGGUUUUUGGUGGCUACAGAGGCUUGCGGCGGUGGAACUCCUGGUCUAUCUUGAUAUUCAAUGGUUUUAGGGUACAUAGGCUUAUAUAGGCGAAAGAAGUCGGUCAGGGGGUGCUUGAGGGGUCCACGAGACAGGGGGCCGCGCCCUGUAGGGGGGGCGCACCCCCUAUCUCCUGGGCUCCUCGAGGAUCUUCUGACUUGAUCUCCAAGCCUCCAGGAUGAUAUUCUUCCAAAAAAUCAUGAUGCCAAACGUUUCAUUCCGUUUGGACUCCAUUUGAUAUUCCUUUUCUUUGAAAUACUAAAACAGGCAAUAAAAGAUCAAUAUGGGCUAGGCCUCCGGUUAGUAGGUUAGUCCCAAAAGUAAUAUAAAAGUGUGUAAUAAAGCCCAUAAUCAUUCAAAACAGAUAAUAAAAUAGCAUGAAUGCUUCAUAAAUUAUAGAUACGUUGGAGAUGUAUCACGGAUCUACUGGGGCUUGGGCUCCCGCGGCUGGAUCUGGCGAUGGUGGCGGGCGGCGGUGAUCCUCCGGCGGUGGUGCGGGGCGGCGAGGGAGGCGAGCUGGCGGCAGGGUCGAGGCGCGGCAUGGGGCGGAGGUCGAGGCCGGCAAGCUGCUCCGAUGAGGGGAGACGAAAGGAGGAGGGCGACGGGAGCCACGUGGCUCGAGGGCGCACGGGCGCCUGCGGGCUGUGGCGGCGGGUGGCUCGGGCUGAGCAGGCCACGGCUGGGCUUCGGCGGGCCAGGGGCGCGGUGGGAGGAGGCCACGGCAUGGGGCUGCGACGUGGCGUGACGCCACUAGUCAGGAGCGGCGGCUGGCGGCGGGUAGUGGGUGAGGUGCGGCCAAGUGGCAGGGUGGUUGGGCAUAUAAUGCGAGGUCGAGGUGGCCGCUGGGAGGUAGGGGAAGGGCUAGGCUAGGGUUUAGUUCGAAAAUGGAAGGGGGAGGNNNNNNNNNNNNNNNNNNNNNNNNNNNNNNNNNNNNNNNNNNNNNNNNNNNNNNNNNNNNNNNNNNNNNNNNNNNNNNNNNNNNNNNNNNNNNNNNNNNNNNNNNNNNNNNNNNNNNNNNNNNNNNNNNNNNNNNNNNNNNNNNNNNNNNNNNNNNNNNNNNNNNNNNNNNNNNNNNNNNNNNNNNNNNNNNNNNNNNNNNNNNNNNNNNNNNNNNNNNNNNNNNNNNNNNNNNNNNNNNNNNNNNNNNNNNNNNNNNNNNNNNNNNNNNNNNNNNNNNNNNNNNNNNNNNNNNNNNNNNNNNNNNNNNNNNNNNNNNNNNNNNNNNNNNNNNNNNNNNNNNNNNNNNNNNNNNNNNNNNNNNNNNNNNNNNNNNNNNNAGAGAGAGAGAGAGAGAGAGAGAGAGAGAGAGUCCCAACGAUUGUUUCCGGAGACCGAAAAUGUUCGAUGAAUAGAUCGGCUAUAUGCCACUAUAGUUAUCCGUUGGGGCAUCAAACGGACUCCGAAUGCAACAAAAUUUGACAGGCGGUCUACCUACACUAUAAUAAGACCACACGCCAACUUUCAAUCCAUUCCCAGAACAUUUUUAUCCACUUAUAAAAUAAUAUUUUGGAGGUGCCGCGGGCGCGUGCAAGUGUGUCUCUGGGCUCAGAACGGACAACAGAGCGGACUGGGAGUUCGGGCAACUACGAACGGAUGCAAGUUUUGAAAAACAUGCAGAUGAAAUGCACAUGAUGACAUGGCUAAGUGCAACACAGAAAUGAGUGACAUGGCAACGACGGAGAAUAAAUGGAAGACACCUGGAGCAUCAGUCUCGGGGCAUUACAAAAGAUGACAAACAUAGCAUUGGUCAAUGGUGCAAUUCAUGAAAAAGUUAAUAGGGAAGAGAAGAUUCACAUGCAAAUAUACUAUCUUGGACAUCUUUUGCGAUUGUGAGCACCCAUUAAGUAUUUUAUGUCAAACGGUGGAUGUUGGACAAGGAAGACAACGUAAUGAGUUAUGCUUGUUCAUAUUCGCGUAGAAGUUAUAUUGUCAUGGAUCCUCCAACAUGGGGUGCUUUCCCAAUACCUUUGCUAGCCAAAAUUCCGCACUAACUAGAAAUACUACUUGUGCAUCCAAAAGUCCUAAACCAAAUGCAUACCAUGAGAGUCCACCAUACCUACCUAUGGAUUGAGUAAGAUCCUUCAAGUAAGUUGUCAUCGGUGCAAUAAAGCAAUAAAAAUUGCUCCUAAAUAUGUAUGAUCUUCUAUUGUAAGGGAAAAUAAGCGUGGUACGAACUUGUGAUGGCAAAGAAUAAAAGCGACAAACUACAUAAUAAAGGUUGCUAUUAUAAGGGACAAUAUCACGUGACGUUCCUUUGCAUUAAGAGUUAGUGCAUCCAAAACUAAAAGCGUAUGACAACCUCUGCUUCCCUCUGCGAAGGGCCUAUCUUUUACUUUUAUGAAUUUACUUUUAUGCAAAGAGUCAAAGUUAUUCCCUCUAUUCCUUUUUUAUUUUACUCUUUGGCAAGCAUCAUGUGGUGGGGAAAGAUCUUGGCACAUAUAUCCAGUUGAAUGCGGGUGAGCAUGAGUUAUUAUUGUUGACAUCACCCUUGAGGUGAAUAAGUUGGGAGGCAAACCCUUAAGCCCCUAUCUUUGUAUGUGUCUGGAUGAAACUUGAUGCUCCAUAUGUAUGGUGUGAGUGUUAGCAAUCAUGAAAGACUAAAUGAUAGUUGAGUAUGUGGACUUGCCAAAAGGCUCCUACAUGUGACCCUUCCUGAAAGUACAAUGAAUUGCAAUUGCAUUGUUGACUGAGAAUAUAGUUUGUUAGUUUUCAAAAAAGUUUAUGCUUCAUACUUCAAUAUUAUGGUGAAUUGUUGCUUGCUCAUGAGAAGCUUAUGAUAGUACUUAUUGCUGCUACAAUAUUGUUCAUGAUGCUUCUAUGUCCGUAUUUUAUUUCUACUGACACCUCUCUCUCUAAGCAUGGGGUCAUGUUUUUCGAUUUAGGCUUCCGCUUGACGACAAGUGAGGUCUAAACUUGGGGGAGUUGAUACAUCCAUUUUGCAUCACGUUUUCCUACUGUUAUUUAUGAAGUUUUUGAUCAAUAUAACACUUCAUGGAGUAUUUCUAAUGCCCUUUCUCUCUUAAUAUGAAGGUUUACACAGAGGGAGAAUACCGGCAGCUAGAUUUCAGGGCCUGAAAAAGCUACAACAGAGAUACAUAUUCUGCACAUCUCCAAAUGGGCUGAAAUUCAAUGAAGAUUUAUUAUAGAAUAUAUAGAAAAAUAUUGGGCCAAAAAGUUACCAGAGGAGAGCCACCAGGUGCCCACAUGGCACUUGGGUGCCCCGGUGCGCCCCAAGUGCCAUGUGGGGCCCCUGGCCCAUCUCCGACUCCCUCCUUCUGGUAUAUAAGUCAUUUUACCCUAAAAAUUUUAUGAGGAGACUUUCGGACGAGGCGCCGCCACCACGAGGCGGAACUAGAGCAGGGGCAUUUUUGCUCUCCGGCGGGCAGAUUCCGCCUGGGGCACUUCCCUCCGGGAGGGCAAAAUCGAAGCCUUCGUCAUCACCAACAACCCUCUCAUCAUGGGAGGACCAAUCCUCCUCAUCAUCAUCAACAACACCAUCUCAUCUCAAACCCUAGUUCAUCUCUUGUAUUCAGUCUUCGUAUCAAAACUAUAGAUUGUUACCUGUGGGUUGCGAGUAGUGUUGAUUACUUAUCGUAGUUGAUGCUAGUUGGUUUGCUUUGUGAAUUACUAAAUGUUCAGAUCCUUUAUGUUAUUCAAUACCCCUCUGAUCUUAAAACUUCAUGAUGAUGAGUGAGUAGUUACUUUUGUUCUUGAGGACAUGGGAGAAAUCUUGUCAUAAGUAAUCAUGUGAACUUGGUAUUCUUUCGGUAUUUUGAUAAUAUGUAUGUUGUUAUUCUCUUAGUGAUGUCAUGUGAACGUCGACUACAUGACACUUUACCAUUUAUGGGCCUAAGGGAAUGCAUUGUGGAAUAGUAAAUAGAUGAUGGGUUGUUAGAGUGACAGAAGCUUAAACCCCAGUUUCUGAGCUAUUCCAUAAGGGGCUGAUUUGGAUCCACACAUUUAAUGCUAUGGUUAGACUUUGUCGUAACUCUUUUUUCGUAGUUGCGGAUGCUUGCUAGAGGGGGUAAUCAUAAGUGGGAGGCUUGUUCAAGUAAGAACAUCACCCAAGCAUCGGCCCACCCACAUAUCAAAUCAUCAAAGUAACGAACUCGAAUCAAACAAACUGGUGAAAGUGACUAGAUGAAAUUCCUGUGUGUCUUCAAGAAAGUUUGCAUCAUUAUAAGUACUCGUUCAGGCCUGUCCUUUGGACUCAAAAGGAUUGAGCUAUCUUGCUGCACUUUAUUUACACUUGUUACCCGUUACAAAUUAUCUUGUUAUCAAGCUAUCUGUCAUCAUUUAUUUCAGUGCUUGCAGGAAUUACCUUACCGAAAACCGCUUGUCAUUUUCUUCUGCUCCUCGUUGGGUUCGACACUCUUAGUUUUCGAAAGGACUACGAUUGACCCCCUAUACUUGUGGUUCAUCAGCGGUGUACAGAGGUAAAUGUCCAGGAGUCUACGAUUUAUGGUCUAAAUGCAAUGAACAAGUGCUUCGCUACGAAGGCAGCUCCCAAGACUCAUUCAAUAGCAGAGAGAAGGCAGAAAAUCAUUACAAUCAGUAUGUGCUUAAGCAGAAGAGAAAAUCUGAAUUAAUGGGUUCAGUGGAUGUGCUAGCCAGAAACGGCUUAUCGGGUUCAGCGGAUGGAAGAACAUGAUAGUUCUUCUUCAGUUUGUGAUAAUUGUGGUAUUGCUUUUAUUAUGUGGUCGCAUGUAGACAUGUAUUGACCACUUUAUUGUUUAGUAAGUAGGAACUUAUACUAAAGAGGUUCCUUGUCAUUUCAAAUAAAGUUUGUGUGAACUAUUUUAUACUAGUAAAUUGCACGUGCUUUGCACGUUUGUCCACAACAAAGCGGGAUAAUAGCGUAAGGUUAACCGACAACUAAUUAGGUGAGUGCAACUUCAGUUUUUUGGAAAAAGUACAAUUUGAGUUUAAAAUAGAAACAAUUAUUGUCAUUUGAAAAUCUAAAGAAAUGACUUAAGUUAUAAUCCAGAUUCUUUUGUCAAAGUCCUUUUUUUUGCACAUGAAUUGAGUUAAUUUUAUUUAUUUGUUGGGUUAGUAUCGAGUCAAGUUAAGGUUAUAUCGUGCAAAUGAGGCGCCCCCUAAUGUUUUUCUUUAUUUCAUUUGACGAUGGAAUAAGCUGUUUGACAUUGCUUUUUAGGUUUAAAUUACUGAUGUUGAUCACCCGUGCAUGUACGUAUUUAAUUUUCAAUGCGCUAUAUUGGUCUAUGGGCCCAAAUUAGUGACAAAGUUUGGCCUUGAACUAAAGGAGCUACUCGGUGAUGAUUAAGAAGGCGCCAUUUUUACACUAUUUGACCAUUCACAACCUAUUUGACCAUAGGAUCUUCUUUCUUUUGCUAGGAGUCAUCCCGAUGUUUCUCAUCUCAUGGUAGUUCUCGGUUUCUAGUACUGUGCUACAGGCAAUUAACCUUCUAUAUUCUGUCAUCAGAUGAUCCCGAUGCGAUGUCUCUGCGCCUGCGCGAGCAGCAACAGAAACCAGGGUCAACAACGAUAAUACCACCAACUAUGUUCUACUCUAUUUUGCCUUGGAGACUGACGAAUGCGUAGGAUUUUAUGGCAACCAGUACGCGGCGGCCGGCGGGAGACCAGCAAAAGCAGCGUGGGAAAGUGGCGGGGCAUGCAUGGUUGGCGUCGGCGACAGGGAUAUAGGGGUAUAGAUAUGGAUAAUGGUUAUGUGAGUUUGUUGUUAGACAUUGUCACUUGAAAUGCAUGUUUGUAUAUUGUAUAUCUAUUUUUGCGGCAGGGAUCCGAGGGAAAAAAAGUAGAAAGUGGUCUGGGAACGGAUCUUUACCGAGCGGGACUCUCGACAAAGUGGCAUGCGCUGGCAGUUGGCUGUGGCAGUUUUGCCGAGAGCCGCUCUCGGCAAAGAGCUGAUGGAACCAGCCGACGUGAAGUCACUUUAUUUUGCCGAGCGGUACAGUUUGCCUCUCACCAAACUUUUUGCUGAGUGCCUAUGUCCUGGGUCUUGGCAAAUUUCUGUUUGCCUGAGAGGUGGACGUCGGGUGGCCUUUGCCGAGUGCAACUCUCGGCAAAGGCGUUGCCAGCGGUUAUUGGUCCUUUGCCGAGUGUCCGUGGCACUCGACGUAUAUACCGAUUUCAGUAGUGUUUUUUUAUGCGACUGUAGAUUCUGACAUUUUGUUUUUGCCACUCUUAAUUUUUGACAAUUAUCAAAUUGCCAUUCCGUGGCAAAAGCAAUAUUUUUAGUGCCCAACACACAUAUCUUGUUUUUUUAGAUCCACACAGAUAUUUAGGCCUGCAAGUAUUUCGGCCAACCCAAGCCCAACCGCACCGCUCACACCCUACCCUAGUUUCUCCAGCCGCCGCCUCUCCCCUCUCGGUCCAUCCCCAAAUCCCCAAAUCGAAGCCAAAUCGGCGACGAGGACGACGGCAUGGGUUGCGCGGCCAUGAAGGAGGAGGAAGGCGGCUGCAGCAGCGAGAAGCGGCGGGCGGAAUGGGCGUCGCUUCAGCCGGACCUCGUCCAGCUCAUCGCCGACUGCAUCCUCUCCACCAGCGGCGUCGAGGAGUACAUGGACAUGAGGGCCGUCUGCCCCAGCUGGCGCUCUGCCUUCUCCAAGCCAUCUCCUCACGCCGCGGUCGCGGAUCUCCGUUUCAGGCCACGGCAGUGGGUCUUGGUUGACCGAGCAGACGACGACCAAGGCCGGCCCCUCUUCCUCAACGUCACCACAGGGCGCUUCCGCCGCCUGCACCGCCCCGUGCUCCGUGACUACAUCUUCGUCGGUGCAUCCGACGGCCUUCUCGUCCUCGGGGACAGGGAGCGCCCGCAUGCCGCUCGUCUCUUCAACCCAUUGACUGGUGACGUGUUUCCCUUUGCGGCGUCCAUACCUCCGGAACCUCGGGUGCACACUGCAAUCGCUGGCUCGGAACCAACGAUUAUCUUCUCGUUCGCACCGUGCCACGGAGAAUACCAAGAUAUCCCAGAUUAUUGUUCUGUUGCCCACAGGCCACGGUGUCACGCUGUUUACUCUGCUAAUCCCACAGGCCAGCUCCGCCCGGUGAAGUUUCAUGAUGCUGCUUUAAGCGACGAAGGCUUGUUCUACCUCAGGAGCAUGGUCACCUAUGCAGGCAAUGUUUACGUGCUCAGUACUGGAGGUAUUUUGUGCAAGAUCGUUCGGACCGGUGGCCACUGGUAUGCGGAGCGGUUACUGGAGAUUGACAUGCACUACACUGGUGGUCUCAUGGAAGCGGUCGGUAAACUGCUGCUUGUUAAAGAGGAAUCUGAAACGAUUCAAGUUUUCAACGUGGAUGUUAAGCGGGAGGUACUUGAACCAAGCGAAAGUAUCGGCAGCAGUGCGCUCUUUCUAAAUCACGGCAACUGCAUUGUUGUUGACGCAGAUAAGCUUCCUUCCAUCGAGCGCAACUGCAUCUACAGCACUUUCAUUGAUAGGAUAUACGUCUCGUAUGACCUCAGUGAUGGCAAGAAAAAAUGCAUCGCCAGCCUCCAUGUGCCGGGAGGCCUCGCUGAUGAUAUCAUUCAGAAGGCCCUUUGAGCCUUGCUCAGGUUCUCCUCACUCCGUAUCCAGAAGUUAAAGAUCAACUUGAUCGUAUCCUGCAUGAGAAAAAACUGAAUUACCUUGCAAGUGUUUUUCUUUCUCGUUGGACAGAACGGCGGAAUGCCAAGAUUGGUUGUUUGCUGGGCACAAGCUGAGGAUGCUCUAAGCAAGAGCUACAGCUGGGUGCCUGGGUUGAUUUUUGCACAUUUGCACCUGGAGAAUUGCUGAAGACUUGGUGCCAUUCUAUUUGUUUUGUCUCUUUAUCCAGUGGUGUAGUUCCUGUGCUUUUUUAGUUGGAUACUUCAGCUUUGUAAUGUAUCUGGUGCUGUUUCUGUCGAGUACUCCCUCCGUUUCUAAAUAUAAGACCUUUUAGAGAUUUCAAUAUGGACUACAUACGGAUGUAUAUAGACGCAUUUCAAAAUGUAGAUUCACUCAUUAUACUCCGUAUGUAGUCGGUAUUGAAAUCUCUAAAAGAUUAUAGUGUAGUUUUUGAUGUUCCGAGGUAUGUCAUUAACCUGGCUCCACCCUUGGUUUGUCCCAGACAUCUUGUACUGAUCUUUUUUGUGAGGGAAUGAAAUCGGUAGCUGUGCUCCUUAUAAUCCUGCCAUCAACAGCAUUUCCUGCCUUUUGGUGGCGCAGGGGUUCGAGCUCUAUCCCGUUGGAGAUGAACACCUCCUUUCCUCAGCCGUCGACUCCCCUGCCAAGAUUUGGGGUUAAAUUUCUUGGGUUUUGGUUGUUGUUUGGUUCACAGAACACAUUUUUAAGUUGAUUGUUUUUUGUGUCUAGAAAUAGAGUAGCACUCUAGUCUGUGUUGGAUGGAAUGUUUUUGCUGCUGAAUGGCUUAACGAUGGUUAAAUGGGUACCUGAAUUAUAUCUGCAGUAACUAUUAUGCAGAGAUAUAGGCCAUAAUAUAUAACCCAAUAGAAAAUAGUUCUCUCUUUUUUCAUAACUAAACUAAUUGAUAGGUCUCUCUUUGCAUAUAUCCUCACAGCGUCAUAGCGUGCCAGUUGUCAUCAGUUCAUGAUUAGAGGCUCAGUACUUUGGUGGGCAAGCUGAAGACCGUCCUCAGUUGUCAUGAACACGAUGUACAAUAUGUGUCUCAUGUAUUAUAUAUUCCACGCAUUGCAUGGUUGAACCUAUGAGGGACCGGCCGCAGCCGCUGCGUCUGUGUCUUUCACAUCGCUCUAUGGGUGCAUAGAAUACAAGGAGAGGCAAGCGUUUGGAGAUCAAAACUCAGAUAGCGGACUGUUUCAGAGUGUGUAAGCAACUGUACUGCCGGAAUUGACAACGAAUUUGGCCAGUGCCCAGUUGUUUGCCGAGUUCACGACAGAAGGACGUGGUCUUGAUGAUUUCUUUCUCCUUCUAUAUGUACUUUCCUGUGGAUCUCUGAUUGCAGGGAGCCAAUCGAGUAGGGUCCUUCCACUCCCUUGAGGUCCCUGCCAAUGGUGCGAGCGGCAGCCAUCAUUGUCCAGCAUGUAUAUCGUUGGCGCUGUCUAGGUAUCCUCACCUCCCAAUACUCAUUCUCAGCAGUCAGUGUUUGCUUCUGGUGAUCUUCAAAUAAUUGGGUUUAAGUUGUGUCUUUAUUGAUUAUUCCGAAUUAACCGGACUAUGUAGAUUAUUGAGAUGCUGGAUUUGAGAUUAUUAUGAGAUACUGAUUUAAUAUUAGAGGACAUUCAUAGUGGGCACCUGCAGGGCAACCAUGCUUGGCGACGUUCGAUCGGUCGGCGUCACCGCGAGUGUGCGAUCAUGAUGCAAGAGUGAUGCCAUUCAAACAGACAUCUGCAGUGGCGCGCAACGGCAUCAUGCUGUAGGCCAUCCUAUUAAAUUAACUGUUUGUGUAGUGUGUAUAGGACUGCACACGUUCCCGCCGAGCUUUUGAAGUAUGAAAAUUAACUAAAACUCAACGUGUAUGUGGAUUCAACCAACGAUGUCUUCAUUGAGUGCUCUAAGAAGUGAUCGAGGUCACUGUCCUGAAGUAGAAGAAGCAGCAUGACAAGUCAGCUUGGUGACAAGGUGUAGCAAGCACAAUAUAAUACAACAUGUGUCUUGCCCUCAAACCUCAAUACACCAGAUUUUUCUUAGUCCCAGCCAGAUGCAUGGGCACAACAAAGAGAAAUAUGAUGUGAUGCAUGGUCUUCAAAAACGAGAAAUCAAAAACCUUCAGCCAAUUGAUUUAUUGUCCUUUGAUAGAUAAUUCAAUUUCUAUUUACUAGCAAAAGGGCCCGUGCGUUGCAACUGGAGAAAAGAAUACCACACGCUCUUAAUUUACAAAAAAUGGUCUAUAAUCUGAGUAUUUGUAGGUACGAUCCAAACAAAGAUGAUCUUUGCCUGCAAAAGCGUAAGUUCAAGAUUUCACAUGUCUUCUAUUUAAACACAACUUGCAUGUAGAUUUAAUACGUACACAAAAAACAGGCGAGUGAUAUUCAAUUUCGUCUCUAGUCCUGAUUUUGCUGAGAUGUUCAUCACAAUCCGGAUCAGUACCGAUAUGAAAGAAAGACGGAUAAUGCAUUGUUGGUUAAGGUUGCACCCUAUAUAAUAUGAAAGAAAGACGGAUAAAUUAUUAACAUGUAAAAUAACAUCAUAUUCAGAUUCUAUAUAUUUUUCUAAUCAAAUUCCAUAUAUAACAUGUUAAAUUUGAAGUUACAGUUUAAAAGAUAUGAGUAUUUUAAAAAACAUUAGAUAUGUACUGCGGGUUAAUGUCAAAAACAUUAGGGGAUUUUCUAUAAAAUAGCGUGACGGACUAAGAAUACCUAUUUCUUUUAUUAUUUCUAAUAUAUAUAUAUGUGUAGCUAAUUUUUGUUGUAUUAUUUACUUUGGAGAGUUAGCAUGUUUGUCUAGAUCUAUCUCUUCCACCUUGUGAGACUAAGAAAGGAAAUCAGGUGGAAGUUGGAGCAUGUCUAGACUCUACAUGGUGCCGGAAUGCAGUAGCGGCCGAAGAAUAAUGAUUAGGAAAAUAUACAUAAUUGUGUUUCUCCCGUUGUCAUUCCAGUGUAGAUUAAAAGAACACAAUUGUGAUCAGUAACACUAAAUAUACAUAAUAGUUUUGGUUCGUAGACAAUCACAAGAACACAAUAAUUUUAAACAUACGUGUGUUUAUUCCUUCCUUUGUGUGCCUGUAUUUUUCUUUAUCAGUAGCGGCUGGAGAAUAAUGAUUAGGAAAAAGGGGGAUCGGAGGAGAUAAUCAUUGGAUCCCCAACUAACAUCCCAAGCUGUUAAGUUAAGUUUUUAUUCUAUUUAUGUAGAUGCUUAAUUAAUAUCAGCAAAAGUUGAUACCCAGCUUCUUGGGAGAAGUAGUAAUUUGUGUGUUCUUUCAGUUUUACCCACACCCAUGAGAAAUUUGAUCUAGAACAUACAGUGAUUUACUGAUCUAUAUGUUCUUGAUUGAUUGGACAUGACAAGGAAAUAAAAGUUCACAAGAUAUAGAAGAGUUUCAUAGCUAUCUAUUCCUAGAUAUUACUGGAAAAGUGCAAAGUAGGGCAUUGUCAUUUAAUAUGUGUAAUAUUUGUCUCCUCAGAUGGAACUCAUCACUGAAUCUGCUAAUCAGAUCAAUUAGGACCAUUGGGGGAUGAGUUAAAAUCUUUUUUUAUAGUUUUACAACAAAAGGUUUAGCUAAAGCUAGCAAGGAGUUCUGAAACAUGAAUGUUCUGCUUCUCUUCUGUAGUUCUAUCUAUGUCAUCGUAAAUUCUCAUUUUUUACAAUUUCGUGACAACCACUUUAUAUAAAGCCACCUGUAGGUAUGGUGAAACCUGAAAGUUUCUUUUAUACCCCUUCCUACAAUAUACGGUUAUUUUCUCAUAGAUGUUGCUUCUUAUGUAAUACUAACAUGUAUUGUGAGAGUGUUCAUGUGUUAAAUUCUUGAAUUCAUGACUGCUUUCCUUAUGGUUUACUAGCUUGACUUAAAAUAAGUAGAUGGUGCUACAAUUUCACCCUUGUCAUUCCAGUGUAGAUUAAAAGAACACAAUUGUGAUCAGUAACACUAAAUAUACAUAAUAGUUGGUUCGUAGACAAUCACAAGAAUUUGUAUAUGGAAAAAUACAAAAGCAUCUACAAAUGCAAGUCAAACCACGACCUAGCAUUCAAUCAAGAGAAUGGCCCUAUCUAAUUCAUUGCUAUGGGCAACUAACUCGAAAAUAGCAUGUGUACAUGCAGCUCCCCCUAAUUCUUCUUUUUGUUGCUUCGAGGAGAAAGGGAUCUUUUCAUAGAAAACUUUAAAAUAAGUGAAUAGAAAAACAAUUUCCAUGGUAUGAUAACGUACGACAUGAUAUCUUUACUAUUUUUUUUCCAAUUAUUAUCUUCAUAUUCACAGGUAUUUGUGUGAUUGUUAUGUCAACACAAGUUUAGAAUUAUCUUUCCCCAACUUCUCUAUUACAUCCUAGAAUUUCAAAUUCGAACCUAAUCUUACAUAUUUUGCCACAUUCUUGUCUCUCAUCAUGCAUAAAAUCUAAUCUUUAAUCUUCCUAGGAUAUCAUUUCCUUAAUUGUUCUAUCUUGUAUUGCCUUGAUAUUUUCGACACAACCAAUUUGAAUGUUUUCACGACAGUGCAUGUUGCCACUUUCUUAUUCGUUGCCUCUUUUCUUUUUUGGAGUUGUGCAAUACUGUUCCAAUAUCUAUUUCACGAAAUUAAAGAGGCUUUAGAAAACUAUUUUCUUGUGUGCUUUUGUAGAUGUAUUUUGUGUGUGUGCUUUCCCAUGUUUCUUAUUCGUUGCCUUCCAUGAUAAGAGCAUCUACAACCAUAAGCACCAAAAUUCUCCCCCAAAACGCCUGUGGACGCCCGAGCACGUCUGCAGACAGUGACCCGGCGGCACAAAAAUUGCCGGAUAUAUCCAUGUACCUCCAACUUCAUUCCUCAAUCCAUACAAGUCAUGCAGAUUAAAAAUCUAUGUACUACAUAGAGGUAUCCUAUCUACUCAUCAUCGGAGAUGUCCACUAUCUUCGUGGCUGGCUCCGGGUAGAUGGGCAGCCGCGGCAGCUCCAGCUCGUCGUCGGACGUACUAGAGGCGAAGAGCCCGUCGAUCUCCGCCCUUUGCUACUGGAUGAAGCACCGAUUGUCCUCCACAAAGGCCUCAUCCUGGAUGGACUCGAGAAUGGCAGUAUGCUCUGCCAUCUCAUCCGCCAAGGCCUGCUCCAUGCCGAAGCCCGCAGUCGGCUCCGCCGUGUCAUCCUCCUACGGCUUCGCCGCCGCCUCCUCCUCCUCCUACGGAUCCGUCGCUUCCGUGGGCAUGGGGUCUUGCUCCGCCUCCGGCUGUUAUCCCCCCUCCUCUUCCUCCCCCGGCUAUGGCGGAUUCGAAUGCAGGCUGGUAGCGACACGAGCAGCGCGCCUGACCCGGAUCUGCUCCUCGAGUUGCAACCGGCGUUCCAACGUCAACAUGGCAUAUGUGGCGAUCCUCUGCUAGGCCAUGGGAAGAGACUACGACGAGCGGAUGGAAGCUGGCGGCACGGGUGGGAGGGAGAGGGAGGAAUGGGGAUGGGCUAGGGCUUGGCUGCCGCCGUCCGGCUUAAGUAGGCGGACUUGCUCCCUAGGGCGGCAUGCCGGAGCGGUGUCAUGUGGUGCCAAGAAUGCAUCCGCACCGAGAACCGGAGUAGGCAGUCGUUGGACCACCAGUCUCUGCGUGUGACCGUGUGGGCCCUUGCGGUCAGUCUGACGCGGUGGCCAUGUCCGGGCGUCCCAUAUCCACUUAGAUUUUUUUUGAGAAACAUAUCCGCCUCAGAUAUGGGGGUCAGUCUGGGCCUUUGGGCCGAAUAUAUGUUCAACGGGUCCAAUCCCAAUCUGUAACAAUCAGUAACACAUAUUUUUUAUUUUAGAUCCACACACACAUUUCUACCAGCCCAAGCCCAAGCGCACCACUCACACCCUACCCUAGGCCCUAGCUUCUCUCCAGCCGCCGCCCCUAUCCUCUCGGUCCGUCCUUUCUCCCCCAAAUCCAAAGAUCCUAACUCGAACCCAAACCCUAAGCAUCGACGAGAUGUUUGUCGAGGACGACGACAUCAGUGGUGCGGCCAUGAAGGAGGAGGAGGGCGGCUGCAGCAGUGAGAAACGGCGUCGCUUCAGCCGGACCUCGUCCAAAGCAUCGCCUACUGCGUCCUGUCCACCAGCGGCGUCGACGAGUACAUGGGCAUGAGGGCCGCCUGCCCCAGCUGGCGCUCUUCCGUCGCAAAGCCAUCUCCGCAAGCCGCGGUCGCGGACCUUCGUUUCCGCCCACGGUAGUGAGUCUUGCUCAACGGGGCAGACGACGACGAAGGCCGACCCCUCUUCGUCAACGUCACCACAGGGCGCUUCCGCUGGCUGCGCCUCCCGGUGCUGCGUGAGCAGCGUGACUACAUUUUCGUUGGUGCAUCCGCAUGCCGCUCGUCUGCUCAACCCAUUGACUGGUCACGUGCUUCCCUUUGCAGCGUCGAUCCGUCCGGAUGAGACGGCAGUCGCUGGGACUGAACCAACCAUCAUCUUCUCUUUCCCACCGGUCUACUUCUCCGUGAGGUGCCAUUGGAGCGAACCGACGGUGACGCGGUUUACUCUGCUGAUCCCACAGGCCAGCUCCGUCCUGUGAUGCAUUUAUAGCACUGUUGCUGGAAACAAAUUUGAUAGCAUGUACGUUUUUAUAGAAAAGGGGGGCUCCCGGCCUCUGCAUUAGAACGAUGCAUAUGGCCAUAUUUAUAAAUAAAUAGGUUCGACAAUAUCUCAAAGUCUGGAAAUGGAAAUAAAGGUGAGCUCACAUAGAGCCUCAACGCAAACAGACAAAAAGCCACAUAGCCACAACCGGCUGGCAGUAUAAAGACAGGAGAACUAAUCGCCUAUCCUAUUACAUGACCGCCAUCGAAACCGGUUGAAGAUAUCCCGUGCAACCAUCUUCCACCGGACAGAUCCUGUAACCAAACGCUCCCUGGCCGCCAUCGGAGUGAGUAAGGACCACAAACGGAUCAGCGCCGUGGCACGGAAUAAAACCCGCAAAAAAUGAAUAGUUGUUGUUCUGUUAAAAGCCAAAUCAUUCCUGCAGUUCUAAAUUGCCCAUAACAACGCACAUACUCCUACACGAAUGUGUCCAGCUGUAUCGGACUCUAUCCCAGCAAGCCAUGUUCCAAACAACGAACCUACCGAGUCCGGAGGAGUAAUGUUAAAGGCUAUUUGCACAGUACGCCACAAGACUCUCGCCAAUAGGCACUCGAAGAAGAGGUGCUUAAUGGUCUCGUCCCGAUCACAGAAGCUACACCUAGUAGAGUCUGUCCAAUUGCGCUUAACCAAGUUGUCCUUUGUUAAAAUGGCUUGUGUAUGUACAAACCACAUAAACACUUUAAUCUUCAAAGGAGCUUUAACUUUCCAAACAUGCUUGGAACUAGGAAUGACACUAGAGUUAAUUACAUCGAUAUACAUUGACUUAACCGUAAACACUCCAGACCUAGUAAGUUUCCAACACAAUUGAUCGGGCUGAUGAGCUAACUGAACCUCCAUCAGUCUAGUCACCAAAUGAAGCCAAGCUUCCCACCUAUCACCAAUAAGCACCCUCCGAAAUUGGAUAUUAAGGGGUACGGACUGCAUAAUCGUUGCAACCAACGCGUCCCGUCGUUGAACAAUACGAUACAGGGACGGGUACUGGAACGCCAAUGGCGUAUCACCAAGCCAAGUAUCCUCCCAGAAACGGGUAUUGUUACCAUUACCGACGAUAAACUUUGUCCUAUUAAAGAAGGCAGCCUUAACUCUCAUAAGUCCCUUCCAAAACGGCGAGUCCGUUUGUCUCACGGUCACCUGUGACAAAGUCUUGGACUGCAGAUACUUGUUACGAAGAAUCUGUGCCCACGUUGUGUCUGUCUCAACAGAUAACUUAUACAACCACUUACUGAGAAGACAUCUGUUCUUGACCUCAAGAUUCUCAACACCCAGACCCCCUUGGUCCUUUGGUCGACAGAUGACAUCCCAUUUGGCUAGUCGGUACUUUCUCUUAAGAUCAUCACUCUGCCAAAAAAAUCUUGAUCGGUAAAAGUCCAGCCUUUUCCGAACCCCGACUAGAACUUGGAAGAAUGGUAGAAGGAACAUCGGCAUACUCGUGAGCACCGAAUUGAUAAGAAUCAGUCGACCUCCAUAAGACAUGAGUUUGCCCUUCCAGCAACUGAGUUUUUUCUCAAAUCGGUCCUCGAUGCACUUCCACUCUCUGGUUGUUAGCUUACGAUGGUGAAUAGGUAUACCUAGAUACGUAAAAGGUGAAGCCCUAAUUCACAUCCAAACAAUUGCCAAUAAGCCUCUUGUUCCUCCUUGGCUCUACCAAAGCAGAACAACUCGCUUUUGUGAAAGUUAAUCUUUAAUCCGGACAAUUGUUCAAAUAAGCAUAGCCCCAGCUUCAUAUUUCUCGCUUUUACCAAGUCAUGCUCCAUCAAGAUGAUUGUAUCUUCAGCGUACUGCAGAAUGGAGACACCCCCAUCAACCAGAUGAGGCACCAAGCCACCCACCAGAUCGGCCUCCUUUGCCCUUCCUAUAAGAAUUGCCAACAUGUCCGCCACAAUGUUGAACAAAAUAGGAGACAUCGGAUCACCUUGCCUCAGGCCUUUGUGUGUCUGGAAAUAAUGACCUAUAUCGUCAUUCACUUUAAUUCCAACACUACCUUUUUGCAUGAAGGAUUCUACCUGACGUCGCCAAGCUUCAUCAAAUCCCUUCAUAUGUAAGGCCUGUUGAAGGAAGGGCCAUUUGACUUUGUCAUACCCUUUCUCGAAAUCCACUUUAAAAAUAACCCCAUCCAGUUUUUUCGUGUGGAUCUCAUGGAGCGUUUCAUGAAAGACCACAACCCCUUCAAGAAUGUUCCUGUCCGGCAUGAAAGCAGUUUGUGUAGGCUGUACCACAUCAUGCGCAAUCUGUGUGAGCCUAUUAGUCCCAACCUUGGUAAAGAUUUUGAAACUAACAUUCAGAAGACAGAGGGGCCUGAAUUGCUCAAUUCUCACGGCCUCUGUUUUCUUAGGAAGAAGGGUUAUCGUACCAAAAUUUAGCUGAAAAAGCUGAAGCUGUCCAGAGAAGAGAUUAUUAAACAGAGGCAAUAGAUCCCCCUUAAUAAUAUGCCAGCACUUUUUAUAAAACUCCGCUGGAAAACCAUCAGGGCCCCGCGCCUUGUCAUUUUUCAUUUGCGAUAUGGCCUCGAACACCUCUUUCUCUGAAAAAGGAGUCGCGAGAAUAUCAUUCUCCACCGCUGUGAGUUGAGGAACAUCCUCAACCCUGGACUCAUCCAAGGACACGUAGUUAUCCUCAGGAGGACCAAACAGCUGCUUGUAAUACUCAGUAAUAUACUGCUUAAGGUUUUCAUGUCCUACAAUUGUUCCUUCAUCUUGCUCAAGCUGAAAGAUCCUCUUCUUUCUAUGUUUACCAUUAGCAAUCAUGUGAAAGAAUUGAGUGUUCGCAUCCCCCUGGACAAACCGUCGGACCUUGGCCCACAACGCCCACUUCAAUUCCUCUUACCGAAGAAGUUCUUUCAGCCUCAUCUCCGCAUCAAGCUUGGCAUGCAGCUCCGUGGCCGGCAGUACCGUGGUUUCAGCUUUCACAUCUAGGGCAUGAAUAAGGGAAAGGAGCCUUUCCUUUUCGACCUUAUAAAUCCCGCUAAGAUGCUUAGCCCAACCACGCAGGAAGCUUCUCAAAUGCCUAAUCUUAUUCUGUCAGCGCUGAAGCGCAGUCUUCCCUCCUGAAUCCUUAGCCCACUCUCUGGCUACAAGAUCAAAGAAACCUUCUCGUUCGAACUAAGCCAGCUCAAACGAGAAGGAGUUUUUAUUACCCAGGUGGGUGGCCUCACCGGAGUCGACAAACAAUGGCGUGUGGUCAGAAAUCCCAUGGGACAAAGCUGAACUGUUACUAGAGGAAACUUCUGUUCCCACUUGACGCUUGCCAACACUCGAUCCAACUUCUCAUACGUCGGAUUUGGCAUCGCGUUAGCCUAGGUGAAUUUCCUACCCGAGAGCUCAAUUUCUCUCAGGUCAAGACUUUCAAUGAUAAUAUUAAACAUGAAUGACCAUCUACCAUCAAAGUUAUCAUUGUUCUUAUCCUCACGCCGUCUAAUGAUAUUGGAAUCACCCCCACCAGGAUAGGAAGCUGCUCAGAGCCGCAAAUCCUAACGAGAUCAGCCAAGAACUCGGGCUUGAGUUCGGGUCGCGCAGCCCCAUACACUGCAACCAGAGCCCAAUUAAAUCCAUCAUCCUUCGAUCGAACCCGAAACUUGACCGCAAAGUCACCCAUAACCACACUUCGAACCUCGAGCGCCUCGCAUCAAAUGCCGAGCAAGAUCCCACCCGAUCUCCCUCUCGGUGGUAGGCAAUGCCAAUCAAAGUCAAUCCCUCCCGACAGAGUAUUAAGAAACUGAGGCGCAAAAUUGUCUCUACCGGUCUCCGAUAGAGCGAUAAAAUCUAAUCGAUGCUCGAUAUCCGCCUCAGCAAGAAAUCUUCUUUUAGCCAAGUCCUUUAGACCUAUGCUAUUCCAAAAGAUUUCCUUCAUAGUUCAUCAUGGAAUUUUUUGGCCGCACGAAUCCUAGCACUCCUACGCACCGCGGACACCGGGUACACCUUCCGUUUCCACUUGCGCUUAGGGUUAACAUGGCUUUACAACUAGUCCUCACAACCCAUCGCAGAAGGUCCAGGCAAAACCGUCUGAGAAGUAUCAUCCUCCUCCUCCGCCUCAGGACUAGGAUGAAUAAGGUCCGCACAGAAAGGAUUUAGCAGCCUAACCCCCAGAGCCUCAACCUCAGAAUCACUCAUGGGCCUAACCGCCGCAAUAUUACGAAUCAUCUCUAAGGCCCUCUCAGCCUCUAGAUCAAGAAGGUCAUUAACGGAAUUAGAGAUUUCAGUGACAUUACUACCAAGUGAGACUCCUAAUUGAUUUGCAUUUUCAACAAUCUCAUCAUUAGAAAAAUGCAUAAUGGAAUUAGAAGUAUUAACCGACAUACCAGUAGUGACCUCAACGUCAUGGAGCUUGGCCUCGCUCAUAGCGCACCGCUGCUGAAUGUCGUCCACAUCUGCCAGAGUCUGGAGGUGAUCGCUCACCCGUCGCCCCUCAGACAUCUGAUCCUGAAUCCGUCCAAACGCAAUCACCUCCUCACGAGAGAACCUGGACGGGGUGUGACCUCCUGCUUCACUCCUCCGGUAAGUCUGGACACAAGCCCCGACCACCGGCGUCGGGCUCACCCCACAAGGCGGAGCUGGAGGCGAGCGGGGGGAAGGGAGUGCAUGGGCCACCUGCCCGAACUCCCUACCCCGCACCGGAGAGGCCAUCGCCCUAGGCGCCUCAGGGGAGGAGGGCGCCGAGGUCACCUGCCCCGAGCCCCUCCCGAUGGCACGGACGCCACUGGCAGCAAAGACGACGCGACGGGAGAAGAGGUGUCCGGGGCCACCUGCCCAAGACCCCCUCCCAGCGCAGAGACGGACUCAGGCGCCACGUGUCCCAACAGUCCAACGUCGGCAGGAGAGGAGCAACCCGAGGCCGUCUGCCCUGGGCCCUCAGCCGACAAACCAGCCACGUCUUGGGGAGGGACACCGUGUUGAGCAGGAGAGGGAGUGGCCACCUGCCGACUCCCCUCCUCCACUCCCCAGACCGGAACCCCCGGAGUAGCACUCAGAGAAUCCACAAAAACCAAAGCAGGCAAUGCCAGCUCAAGAGCCUCCUCGAACUCCUCCCGAUCGCUCCACAGUCUCGGGAGAGCAGAAGCGGGUUCGAAGGACCCAAAUCUCAGAGCCCUCAUUGACGACAAGAGAAAAUACGUCAACUGCCCUCAGGUUCCUCAAGAUGUUCGUGGAGCUGAAAGCGGUACAAUACAUGAACGCCCUUUGAGCCUUGCUCAGCUGCUUCUCACUCCGUAUCCAGAUGUGAUAGAUCAACUAGAUCGUAUCCACCAAACCUAACUCGUAGGCCUUCAGUGUUUAACGACAUGCUCAAUUUCAAAUGUCAUGCUGCAACCUCGAAAAAGGAAUUGACUUCCUUGGCAACUAGUUUCUUUGUCACUGGACUUGAUUGCAGCUAAGACGCUUGUGCUACAGCUUCGGGCUACUGAGGUUCUAAACCAGGAGCUACAGCGUAGUGGAGAAUCGUUGAAGAGUAGUGAAAUCCUAUCUGUUUUGUGUAUUCAUCCACUGGUGUAGUUAAAGUCCUGUGCCUCGCUGUCGUUGGUGGAGCCCUGAUAGUGAUAGUGGUUGUGUAAUGGAUAUGUUGAUGUUUGUAUCAUGCAGUUGCAAGUGCUGGCUAUGUUGCUGUCGUUGGAUAUGAUGCGCCCUAGUAGCAGCUUUGUAAUGCAUCUGAUACCGUUUUUUUUCUUGAAUACGCACGAGUGUGCGUACUACUCCCUCCGUUUUCAAAUAUAAGCCUUUUUAAAGAUUCCAACAAGGGACUACAUAUGGAGCAAAAUGAGUGAAUAUACACUCUAAAAUAUGUCUAUAUACUUUCGUAUGUUGUAGUCCAUUGGCAAUCUCUAAAAAGACUUAUAUUUAAGAACGGAGGGAGUAUAUAUUAAAGAAAGGAGUGGGGUGAAGAGCCCUUCCACAAUUGAGCUGCAUAUUACAUGUGCCCAAAUCCGCCCUAGCGUUGUCUAGUGUAUCUCCUCGCCGUAGCCUAUGUUGAUAACGCUUCUAAGAAGUGCGCUACGUCUCCUUUGGUUAGUGCUGCCUGCUUCCAUAUCCUUGUUUCUCCUUCUAUCCUAUCAACUAUAAAGCUUAUCGACGGCACUACUCCAUCAAAUACAAUCGCAUUUCGGUGUUUCCACAAUUCCCAAAGAACCAGGAUGAUUAUUGCUCUGUCGUUCUUUCCAUUGCGCCGGGUGCCAAUCUUGCUUUGGCACCAUUCUGGAAGCUUCUCCCCUCGCGAUGGAAUCCAGUCUUGCUUGUCGAGUGCCUGGCAGAUGAUUGUCCAGACCUGGCGCGUGAACACACAACCCAGUAGGAGGUGGUUUAUCGUUUCUUCUUCCUGGUCGCAGAAAGGGCAUGCUUCUUGGUGAUCCAGUCCCCUCUAAGCAAGGCGGUCCGAAGUCCAGCAUCUGUUCCGUAGAGCCAGCCAAGUGAAGAAUCUACAAUGCAGAGGGGCUCUUGAUUUCCAUGUAAACGUCGCGGUUGGCGCCACCUCCCUGCCCCAGAACCUAGCCGCGUACCCUGAUCUGAUCGAGAAGUGACCAUCUGUCUCCCAUGCACAUGCGAUGGAGUCUUGCUAAUCCUGCUGUAUCUCUUAUCUCGUGAUCGCGGUCCAGAGGGUGAAGUACUCCUAAAGCAAAGUCGGUGUGAGGUCAGGUCCAAUAUCUCUCGCCUAAGCAUUGUCAGGUAUCGCCUGGUGCACUGUGCGUUCUUCGCGUGUCUUCCUCUUUACUCGACCAUAUAGGCCCGGCGCGAGCUCCUGCACCCGCUGCCCUUGCAACCAUCUAUCUUCCUAAAACAGUGUAUGUCUUCCAUUCCUAACUUUAGAUAGGGCAGCAGCUUGGUAUAGCUGUAGCGAUUGUCUUGGCACACCAAUCCUAAAUUCCGCCCAUGGCCUUGAGGGGUCUGAUCUCUGGAGCCACGGCCAUCUUGAUUGCAUCGCUAUGUUUAGCCAUUCGAGGUGUGGGAUGCUCAGGCCUCCAGCCCAUAUAGGUGUACAUAUUGUCUCCCAUGCAACAGAGCAUUGUCCACCAUUUGCCGUUGCCUUAGCGCACCAGAGGAAACCCCAACAGAUCUUGUUCAUCGCCGCAAUCUUCUUGUGUGGUAUGUCCAUGCAAGAAUGGCGUGAAGAGGCAUUGCACAUAGAACCGAUUUGACUAAGAGUAGGCGCCCGCUCUUUGACAUGCCGGCUGCCUUGCACCUUGGUAAGGCUGCCGCAAGUUGAUCCACCAGGCCCGAGAGUUGAGUAGAUGAUUGCUUAUGGAUAGUGAGUGGCAGGCCAAGAAACUUGCCAGGGAACGUGCCGCUUGGGCAUCCUAUGGUUGCCACCACCCUCUCCCGAGUAUCCGAAGGGCAACGGAUCGGGUAGGUUGCACUUCUGGUAAGGUUCACAUGUAAUCCUGAAGCGCCACCAAAGAUUCGUUGAAGCGAGGAGCAUGCUUGUAGGUCUUGAUCAAAUGGCUUGGCGAAGAUCAUGAUGUCAUCGGCAAACAUCGAGGGGCGGUGUUUCAUUCCCCUCCAUGCAAGUUGAGCCAUGAUUCCACGUGAGGUCGCAAGUUCAAACAUCCGUUGUAGCGGCUCCAUGAUUAACAUGAAAAGCAUCGGUGAUAGUGGGGCUCCUUGCCUUAAUCCCUUGCAAUUGUAUAUGGGUCCUCCUGGAGCUCCGUUUACCAUGAUCCUCGUGGAAGAGGUAGAUAGUGGGCCACAAAUCCACGCAAGCCAAUUAGGCCCGAAGCCCAUAAUUCGCAUUACUUCUAGGAGAAAAGGCCAGUGCACCGAGUCAAACGCCUUCGAGAUAUCCAAUUUCAACAUUACAACCUCCUCCUUUAGUGCAUGUAGUCGACGUGACGUGCCUUGCACGAGCAUGAAGUUCUCAUGGAUCAAUCUACCCGUCACGAAGGCACUUUGGUGCAUUCCAACAAGCGAUGGCAAGUCAGGCGCAAGUCUGUUUGACAAAGUCUUGUCAAAGAUUUUUAUCGUUCCGUGGAUGAGGCUAACUGGCCGGAAGUCUCGGAUGUCUACCGCACCAUCUUUCUUGGCAGGAGCGACACAAUGGCUUUGUUGAUAGCCGGCAGUCCUCUCAUGUCUCCUCGGUAGAAACGUCAACUUGCUCCAGACCAACGUCGCAGACAAGAACAGGAACACUGACCUGGCUUUCUUGAUGGACGACGCGAACAUGCUCCAGAGCGGAGGCAUCAUCACCUGGUGAAGCGCGGCCUCAUCUUGAACCAGAUACCGGUGACGCCGAUGCCAACGCCAACUCCCACGCCGACUCCAACGCCGCAGCCAAGCCCGAGUGAUGAUGCCUUCGCGAUGCCCAGUAGCAUAGAUGUCACGCCGCCCAGCCCAGAAGCCGCGCCGAUGCCGCCCAGCCCGCGCACGCCGACGCAGACCCUUCAAACGCCGGAGGCCAACCCCACCAUUUGAUGAUGCAUUCCUUGUGUGUCCUUUCUUUUUGUGCGCCGAACUUUUCAUUUGAUCGCCGAACUGUGGCACGGGGAUGAUCACCAAAUUGUUGCGCUGAUCGCCGGUUAUGGCAGUUUUUUGGAGCGGGAACGGACCAAGUUUGAAUAUGCUGCGCCUUGGGGGCGGCACCUAGGGGCGUGGCUAGGGCCUUGAUCGCCCCAGGGUGNNNNNNNNNNNNNNNNNNNNNNNNNNNNNNNNNNNNNNNNNNNNNNNNNNNNNNNNNNNNNNNNNNNNNNNNNNNNNNNNNNNNNNNNNNNNNNNNNNNNNNNNNNNNNNNNNNNNNNNNNNNNNNNNNNNNNNNNNNNNNNNNNNNNNNNNNNNNNNNNNNNNNNNNNNNNNNNNNNNNNNNNNNNNNNNNNNNNNNNNNNNNNNNNNNNNNNNNNNNNNNNNNNNNNNNNNNNNNNNNNNNNNNNNNNNNNNNNNNNNNNNNNNNNNNNNNNNNNNNNNNNNNNNNNNNNNNNNNNNNNNNNNNNNNNNNNNNNNNNNNNNNNNNNNNNAAUAAGACGAGCUUAGUAGUUGAUCUUGACCCGGCCUGGGCUUCCUAGAUCCCCCCCUUGCUAUAAAGUUCUGCCUGUGCGUUACUGGUAUGCAUGAUCUUGGGGGUGCCUGUGCGUUGUCAUAGUUGUUGCUGGUGGGAGUUCGUUUGUCAGAUACGAACCAAAUGAUUUCCUUUAUAUAAUUAAUAGAGCAUGCGCAAUCUGUGUGAGCUUAUUAGUCCCAACCUUGGUAAAGAUUUUGAAACUAGCAUUCAGAAGACAGAGGGGCCUGAAUUGCUCAAUUCUCACGGCCUUUGUUUUCUUAGGAAGAAGGGUUAUCGUACCAAAAUUCAGCUGAAAAAGUUGAAGCUGUCCAGAGAAGAGAUUAUUAAACAGAGGCAACAGAUCCCCCUUAAUAAUAUGCCAACACUUUUUAUAAAACUCCGCUGGAAAACCAUCAGGGCCCGGCGCCUUGUUAUUUUUCAUUUGCUAUAUGGCCGCGAACACCUCUUUCUCAGAAAAAGGAGUCGCGAGAAUAUCAUUCUCCACCGCUGUGAGUUGAGGAACAUCCUCAACCCUGGACUCAUCCAAGGACACACAAUUAUCCUCAGGAGGACCAAACAGCUGCUUGUAAUACUCAGUAAUAUACUGCUUAAGGUUUUCAUGUCCUACAAUUGUUCCUUCAUCUUGCUCAAGCUGAAAGAUCCUCUUCUUUCUAUGUUUACCAUUAGCAAUCAUGUGAAAGAAUUGAGUGUUCGCAUCCCCCUGGACAACCCGCCGGACCUUGGCCUGCAACGCCCACUUCAAUUCCUCUUCUCGAAGAAGUUUUUUCAGCCUCAUCUCCGCAUCAAGCUUGGCAUGCAGCUCCGCGGCCGGCAGUACCGUGGUUUCAGCUUUCACAUCUAUGGCCUGAAUAAGGGAAAGGAGCCUUUCCUUUUCGACCUUAUAAAUCCCGUUAAGAUGCUUAGCCCAACCACGCAGGAAGCUGCUCAAAUGCCUAAUCUUAUUCUGCCAGCGCUGAAGCGCAGUCUUCCCUCAUGAAUCCUUAGCCCACUCUCUGGCUACGAGAUCAAAGAAACCUUCUCGUUCGAACCAAGCCAGCUCAAACGAGAUGGAGUUUUUAUUACCCAGGUGGGUGGCCUCACCGGAGUCGACAAACAACGACGUGUGGUCAGAAAUCCCACGGGACAAAGCCUGAACUGUUACUAGAGGAAACUUCUGUUCCCACUCGACGCUCGCCAACACUAGAUCCAACUUCUCAUACGUCGGAUUUGGCAUCGCGUUAGCCCAGGUGAAUUUCCUACCCGAAAGCUCAAUUUCUCUCAGGUCAAGACUUUCAAUGAUAAUAUUAAACAUGAAUGACCAUCUACCAUCAAAGUUAUCAUUGUUCUUAUCCUCACGCCGUCUAAUGAUAUUGGAAUCACCCCCACCAGGAUAGGAAGCUGCUCAGAGCCGCAAAUCCUAACGAGAUCAGCCAAGAACUCGGGCUUGAGUUCGGGUCGCGCAGCCCCAUACACUGCAACCAGAGCCCAAUUAAAUCCAUCAUCCUUCGAUCGAACCCGAAACUUGACCGCAAAGUCACCCAUAACCACACUUCGAACCUCGAGCGCCUCGCAUCAAAUGCCGAGCAAGAUCCCACCCGAUCUCCCUCUCGGUGGUAGGCAAUGCCAAUCAAAGUCAAUCCCUCCCGACAGAGUAUUAAGAAACUGAGGCGCAAAAUUGUCUCUACCGGUCUCCGAUAGAGCGAUAAAAUCUAAUCGAUGCUCGACAGCCGCCUCAGCAAGAAAUCUUCUUUUAGCCAAGUCCUUUAGACCUCUGCUAUUCCAAAAGAUUCCCUUCAUAGUUCAUCAUGGAAUUUUUUGGCCAUACGAAUCCUAGCACUCCUACGCACCGCGGACACCGGGUACACCUUCCGUUUCCACUUGCUCUUAGGGUUAACAUGGCUCUGCAACUGGUCCUCACAACCCUUCGCAGAAGGUCAAGGCAAAACCGUCUGAGAAGUAUCCUCCUCCUCCUCCGCCUCAGGACUAGGAUGAAUAAGGUCCACACAGAAAGGAUCUAGCACCCUGACCCCCAGAGCCUCAACCUCAGAAUCACUCAUGGGCCUAACCGCCGCAAUAUUACGAAUCAUCUCUAAGGCCCUCUCAGCCUCUAGAUCAAGAAGGUCAUUAACGGAAUUAGAGGUUUUAGUGACAUUACUACCAAGUGAGACUCCUAAUUGAUUUGCAUUUUCAACAAUCUCAUCAUUAGAAAAAAUGUAUAAUGGAAUUAGAAGUAUUAACCGACAUAGCAGUACUGACCUCAACGUCACGGAGCUUGGCCGCCCUCAUGGCGCACCGCUGCUGAAUGUCGUCCACAUCUGGCAGAGUCUGGAGGCGAUCGCUCACCUGUCGCCCCUCAGACAUCUGAUCAUGAAUCCCUCCAAACGUAAUCACCUCCUCAUGAGAGAACCUGGACGGGGUGUGACCUCCUGCCUCACUCCUCCGGCAAGGCCGGACACAAGCCCCGACCACCGACGUCGGGCUCACCCCACAAGGCGGAGCUGGAGGCGAGCGGGGGGAAGGGAGUGCAUGGGCCACCUGCCCGAAUUCCCUACCGCGCACCGGAGAGGCCAUCGCCCUAGGCGCCUCAGGGGAGGAGGGCGCCGAGGUCACCUGCCCCGAGCCCCCUCCCGAUGGCACGGACACCACUGGCAGCAAAGACAACGCGACAGGAGAAGAGGUGUCCGAGGCCACCUGCCCCAGACCCCCUCCCAGCGUAGAGACGGACUAAGGCGCCACGUGUCCCAGCAGUCCAACGUCGGCAGGAGAGGAGCAACCCGAGGCCCUCAGCCGAACCAGCCACAUCCUGGGGAGGGACACCGUGUUGAGCAGGAGAGGGAGUGGCCACCUGCCGACUCCCCUCCUCCACUCCCCAGACCGGAACCCCCGGAGUAGCACUCAGAGAAUCCUCAAAAACCAAAGCAGGCAACGCCAGCUCAAGAGCCUCCUCGGACUCCACCCAAUCGCUCCACAGUCUCGGGGGAGCAGAAGCGGGUUCGAAGGACCCAAAUCUCAGAGCCCUCAGUGACGACAAGAGAAAAUACGUCAACUGCCCUCAGGUUCCUCAAGAUGUUCGUGGAGCUGAAAGCGGUACAAUACAUGAACGCCCUUUGAGCCUUGCUCAGCUGCUUCUCACUCCCUAUCCAGAUGUGAUAGAUCAACUAGAUUGUAUCCACCAAACCUAACUUGUAGGCCUUCAGUGUUUAACGACAUGCUCAAUUUCAAAUGUCAUGCUGCAACCUCGAAAAAGGAAUUGACUUCCUUGGCAACUAGUUUCUUUGUCACUGGACUUGAUUGCAGCUAAGACGCUUGUGCUACAGCUUCGGGCUGCUGAGGUUCUAAACCAGGAGCUACAGCGUAGUGGAGAAUCAUUGAAGAGUAGUGAAAUCCUAUCUGUUUUGUGUAUUCAUCCACUGGUGUAGUUAAAGUCCUGUGCCUCGCUAUCGUUGGUAGAGCCCUAAUAGUGACAGUGGUUGUGUAAUGGAUAUGUUGAUGUUUGUAUCAUGCAGUUGCAAGUGCUGGAUAUGUUGCUGUCGUUGGAUAUGAUGCGCCCUAGUAGCAGCUUUGUAAUGCAUCUGAUGCCGUUUUUUUUCUACUCGUGCGUACUACUCCCUCCGUUUCCAAAUAUAAGCCUUUUUGAAGAUUCCAACAAGGGACUACAUACGGAGCAAAAUGAGUGAAUAUACACUCUAAAAUAUGUCUAUAUACAUUCGUAUGUUAUAGUCCAUUGGCAAUCUCCAAAAAGACUUAUAUUUAGGAAUGGAGGGAGUAUAUAUUAAAGAAAGGAGUGGGGUGAAGAGCCCUUCCACAAUUGAGCUGCAUAUUACAUGUGCCCAAAUCCGCCCUAGCGUUGUCUAGUGUAUCUCCUCGGCGUAGCCCAUGUUGAUAAAUCUUCCAAGAAGUGGGCUACAUCUCCUUUGGUUAGCGCUGCCUGCUUCUAUAUCCUUGUUUCUCCUUCUAUCCUAUCAACUAUAAAGCUUAUCGACGGCACUACUCCAUCAAAUACAAUCGCAUUUCAGUGUUUUCACAAUUCCCAGAGAACCAGGAUGAUUAUUGCUGUGUCGUCCUUUCCAUUGCGCCGGGUGCCAAUCUUGCUUUGGCACCAUUCUGGAAGCUUCUCCCCUCCCGAUGGAAUCCAGUCUUGCUUGUCGAGUGCCUGGCAGAUGAUUUUCCAGACCUCGCGCGUGAACACACAACCAAGUAGGAGGUGGUUUAUCGUUUCUUCUUCCUGGUCGCAGAAAGGGCAUGCUUCUUGGUGAUCCAGUCCCCUCUGAGCAAGGCGGUCCGAAAUCCAGCAUCUGUUCCGUAGAGCCAGGCAAGUGAAGAAUCUACAGUGUAGAGGGGCUCUUGAUUUCCAUGCAAACGUCGCGGUUGGCGCCACCUCCUGCCCCAGAACCUAGACGCGUACCCUGAUCUGGUCGAGAAGUGACCAUUUAUCUCCCAUGCCCAUGCGAUGGAGUCUUGCUAAUCCUGCUGUAUCUCUUAUCUCGUGAUCGCGGUCCAGAGGGUGAAGUAAUCCUAAAGCAAAGUCGGUGUGAGGUCUGGUCCAAUAUCUCUCGCCUAAGCAUUGUCAGGUAUCGCCUGGUGCACUGUGCGUUCUUCGCGUGUCUUUGUUGGCGAACGUAGCAGAAAUUCAAAAUUUUCCACGCAUCACCAAGAUCAAUCUAUGGAGAGACUAGCAACGAGAGAGAGAGGGAGUGCAUCUUCAUACCCUUGAAGAUCGUGAAGCGGAAGCGUUGCAAGAACGCGAAUGAGGUAGUCGUACUCGUGGCGAUUCAGAUCGCGGUCGAUUCUGAUAUAAGCGCCGAACAACGGCGCCUCCGCGUUCAACACACGUGCAGCCCGGUGACAUCUCCCGUGCCUUGAUCCAGCAAGGAGAGAGGGAGAGGUUGGGGAAGACUCCGCCCAGCAGCAGCACGACGGCGUGGUGGUGGUGGAGGAGCGCGGUACUCUAGCAGGGUUUCACCAAGUACUACGAGAGACGAGGAGGGAGAGAGGUAGGGCUGACUCAUGUGUUGGGCAGCCCCAAAACCUCCACUAUAUAUAGGAGGAAGGGAGAGGCGGAGGUGCCCUAGGGUUUCCCCUAGGGGGGGGGGGCGGCGGCCAGGGCAGAUGAGAUCUCCCCUUUGGGUGACUUGGCCCCCAAGCCAGGAGGUGGGAACCCUAGAUGGGGCGCCCCAAACCCCCUCGUCAGGUCGGAAUAGGUGAGGGGGGCGCACAACCCCUUAGUGGGCUGGUUUGCCCCCUCCCCUUGGCCCAUGAAGCCCCCCCAACACUUGCCGGGGCUCCUGAAACACCUUUCGGUCAUGCUGGUCAUCACCCGGUACCUCCGGAACACUUCCGGACUCCAAAACCCUUCGUCCAAUAUAUCAAUAUUCACCUCCGGGCCAUUCCGGGACUCCUCGUGACAUCCGGGACCUCAUCCAGGACUCCGAACAACAUUCGGUAACCGCGUACACACCUUCCCUAUAACCCUAGCGUCAUCAAACCUUAAGUGUGUAGACCCUACGGGUUCGGGAACCAUGCAGACAUGACCGAGACAACUCUCCGGCGAAUAACCAACAGCGGGAUAUGGAUACCCAUGUUGGCUCCCACAUGUUCCACGAUGAUCUCAUCGGAUGAACCACGAUGUCAAGGAUUCAAUCAAUCCCGUAUACAAUUCCCUUUGUCUACCGGUAUAGUACUUGCCCAAGAUUCGAUCAUCGGUAUGCCGAUACCUUGUUCAAUCUCGUUACCGGAAAGUCUCUUUACUCGUUCCGUAACACAUCAUCCCGUGAUCAACUCCUUGAUCACAUUGUGCACAUUAUGAUGAUGUCCUACCGAGUGGGCCCAGAGAUACCUCUCCGUCACACGGAGUGACAAAUCCCAGUCUCGAUUCGUGCCAACCCAACAGACACUUUCGGAGAUACACGUAGUGCACCUUUAUAGCCACCCAGUUACGUUGUGACGUUUGGUACACCCAAAGCAUUCCUACGGUAUCCGAGAGUGUUUCAUCAAGUAAAUAUCCUCAGCAUCUACUCAAAUCAUCUGUGAAGUAAGAACACAACGACAUCCACUGCGUGCCUCGGCACUCAUUUGACUGCACACAUCAAAAUGUGUACUUCCAACAAGUUGCUUUCUUAUUCCAUUUCACUGAAAACGAGGCCUUUCAGUCAUCUUGCCCAUGUGGUAUGAUUUGCAUGUCUCAAGUGAAUAAAAUCAAGUGAGUCCAAAAGAUCCAUCUGUAUGGAGUUUCUUCAUGCAUAUAUACCAGUAGACAUGGUUUGCAUGUCUCAGUCUUUUCAAAACGAGUGAGUCCAAAGAUCCAUCAACAUGGGGCUUCUUCAUGCUUUUUAUACCAGUAUGACUCAAAUGGCAGUGCCACAAGUAUGUGGUACUAUCAUUACUAUCUUAUAUCUUUUGGCAUGAACAUGUGUAUCACUACGAUCGAGAUUCAAUAAACCAUUCAUUUUAGGUGCAAGACCAUUGAAGGUAUUAUUCAAACAAACAGAGUAACCAUUAUUCUCCUUAAAUGAAUAACCGUAAUGCGAUAGACAUAAUCCAAUCAUGUCUAUGCUCAACGCAAACACCAAAUAACAAUUAUUUAGGUUUAAUACCAAUCUCGAUGGUAGAGAGAGCAUGCGAUGCUUGAUCACAUCAACCUUGGAAACAAUUCCAACACACAUCGUCAUCUCACCUUUAGCUAGUCUCCGUUUAUUCCAUAGCUCUUUUAUUUCGAGUUACUAACACUUAGCAACCAAACCGGUAUCUUAAUACCCUGGUGCUACUAGGAGUACUAGUAAAGUACACAUUUAAUACAAUGUAUAUCCAAUAUACUUCUGUCAACCUUGCCAGCCUUCUCAUCUACCAAGUAUCUAGGGUAGUUCUGCUUCAGUGACUGUUCCCUCAUUACAGAAGCACUUAGUCUCGGGUUUGGGUUCAAUCCUGGGUUUCUUCACUGGAGCAGCAACUGAUUUGUCGUUUCAUGAAGUAUUCCUUCUUGCCCUUGGCCUUCUUGAAACUAGUGGUUUCACUAACCAUCAACAAUUGAUGCUCCUUCUUGAUUUCUAAUUUCGCGGUGUCAAACAUCGCGAAUAUUUCAAGGAUCAUCAUAUCUAUCCCUGAUAUGUUAUAGUUCAUGACGAAGCUCUAGUAGCUUGGUGGCAAUGACUUUGGAGAAACAUCACUAUCUCAUCUGGAAGAUUAACUCCCACUCCAUUCAAGUGAUUGUUGUACCCAGACAAUCUGAGUACAAGCUCAACGAUUGAGAUUUUCUCUCUUAGUUUGUAGGCUAAGAAACUCGUCGGAGGUCUCAUACCUCUUGACGUGCGCACGAGCCUGAAAUCCCAAUUUCAGCCCUUGGAACAUCCCAUUGAAGGAAAUAUGCCCUAGAGGCAAUAAUAAAGUUAUUAUUUAUUUCCUUAUAUCAUGAUAAAUGUUUAUUAUUCAUGCUAGAAUUGUAUUAACUAGAAACAUAAUACAUGUGUGAAUACAUAGACAAACAUAGUGUCACUAGUAUGCCUCUACUUGACUAGCUCGUUUAUCAAAGAUGGUUAUGUUUCCUAGCCAUGGACAAAUGAGUUGUCAUUUGAUUAACGGGAUCACAUCAUUAGGAGAAUGAUGUGAUCGACAUGACCUAUUCCGUUAGCUUAGCACUUGAUCGUUUAGUAUGUUGCUAUUGCUUUAUUCAUGACUUAUACAUGUUCCUAUGACUAUGAGAUUAUGCAACUCCCGUUUACCGGAGGAACACUUUGUGUGCUACCAAACGUCACAACGUAACUGGGUGAUUAUAAAGGAGCUCUACAGGUGUCUCCGAAGGUACAUGUUGGGUUGGCAUAUUUCGAGAUUAGGAUUUGUCACUCCGAUUGUCGGAGAGGUAUCUCUGGGCCCUCUCGGUAAUGCACAUCACUAUAAGCCUUGCAAGCAAUGUGACUAAUGAGUUAGUUGCGAGAUGAUGUAUUAUGUAACGAGUAAAGAGACUUGCCGGUAACGAGAUUGAACUAGGUAUUGGAUACCGACGAUCGAAUCUCGCACAAGUAACAUGCCGAUGACAAAGGGAACAACGUAUGUUGUUAUGCGGUUUGACCGAUAAAGAUGUUUGUAGAAUAUGUGGGAGCCAAUAUGAGCAUCCAGGUUCCGCUAUUGGUUAUUGACCGAGAAUAGUUCUAGGUCAUGUCUACAUAGUUCUCGAACCCGUAGGGUCCGCACGCUUAUGGUUUCGAUGACAGUUAUAUUAUGAGUUUAUGAUUUUUGAUGUACCGAAGGAGUUCGGAGUCCCGGAUGAGAUCGGGGACAUGACGAGGAGUCUCGAAAUGGUCGAGACGUAAAGAUCGAUAUAUUGGACGACUAUAUUCGAACUUCGGAAAGGUUCCGAGUGAUUCGGGUAUUUUUCGGAGUACCGGAGAGUUACGGGAAUUUGCCGGGGAGUAUAUGGGCCUUAUUGGGCCAUACGGGAAUAGAGGAGAGAGGCCGAAAGGAAGGAGGUGCGCAGCCCCCCUCUGGUCCGAAUUGGACAAGGGGUGCAGCCCCCUUUUCCUUCCCCCUCUCCCCCUCUUUCCUUCUCUCCUACUCCAACAAGGAAGGGGGGAGUCCUACUCCCGGUGGGAGGAGGACUCCUCCUGGCGCGCCCCUCCUGGCCGGCCGACCCCUCCCCCUCGCUCCUUUAUAUACAGGGGCAGGGGGGCACCUCUAGACACAACAACACAAGUUGAUCUUCGUGAUCGUUCCUUAGCCGUGUGCGGUGCCCCCCUCCACCAUAUUCCACCUCGGUCAUAUCGUCGCGGAGUUUAGGCGAAGCCCUGCGCCGGUAGAACAUCAUCAUUGUCACCAUGCCAUCGUGCUGACGGAACUCAUCCCCUACACUUUGCUGGAUCGGAGUCCGGGGAUCGUCAUCGAGCUGAACGUGUGCUGAACUCAGAGGUGCCGUACGUUCGGUACUUGGAUCGGUCGGAUCGUGAAGACGUACGACUACAUCAACCGCGUUGUCAUAACGCUUCCGCUUUCGGUCUACGAGGGUACAUGGACACACUCUCCCCUCUCGUUGCUAUGCAUCACCAUGAUCUUGCGUGUGCGUAGGAUUUUUUUUUGAAAUUACUACGUUCCCCAACACCCAUAUGUUCCGCGACCUUUCAAAAACGUCUUCGGCGCCACAAUUCUAAACCGUUUAACAUUACUGAACUAUCAUGAAGUCAUCAAAACGUGUAUGUCAGAUGUUCGCAACAUCCACAAACGACGUUCGAGGUUUAGCACACCGAGCGAUGCAUUAAGGACAUAAGCCUUCUGCGCAGCAAUGAGGAGAAUCCUCAGUUUACGGACCCAGUCCGCAUAAUUGCUACUAUCAACUUUCAACAUAUUUUCUCUAAGAACAUAUCUAAAUAGUAGAACUAAAGCGCGAGCUUACGACAUAAUUUGUAAAGACCUUUUUGACUAUGUUCAUGAUAAUUAAGUUUAUCUAAUCGCAUUAUUUGAUGAACUCCCACUCAGAUAGACAUCCCUCUAGUCAUCUAAGUGAUACCUGAUCCGAGUCAACUAGGCCGUGUCUGAUCUUCACGUGAGACGGACUAGUCAUCAUCGGUGAACAUCUUCAUGUUGAUCGUAUCUACUAUACGACUCAUGUUCGACCUUUCGGUCUCUUGUGUUCCGAGGCCAUGUCUGUACAUGCUAGGCUCGUCAAGUCAACCUAAGUGUUUCGCGUGUGUAAAUCUGGCUUAAUUACACCCAUUGUAUGUGAACGUUAGAAUCUAUCACACCCGAUCAUCACGUGGUGCUUCGAAGCAAUGAUAUUUCACAACGGUGCACACUUCGGGGGAACACUUUCUUGAAAUUAUUAUUAGGGAUCAUCUUAUUUACUACCGUCGUUCUAAGCAAAUAAGAUGCAUAAACAUGAUAAACAUCACAUGCAAUCAAAUAGUGACAUGAUAUGGCCAAUAUCAUUAUGCUCCUUUUGAUCUCCAUCUUCGGGGCUCCAUGAUCAUCAUCGUCACCGGCAUGACACCAUGAUCUCCAUCAUCGUGUCUCCAUGAAGUUGUCUCGCCAACUAUUACUUCUACUACUAUGGCUAACGGUUUAGCAAUGAAGUAAAGUAAUUACAUGGCGUUAUUCAGUGACACGCAUGUCAUACAAUAAAUAAAGACAACUCCUAUGGCUCCUGCCGGUUGUCAUGCUCAUCAACAUGCAAGUCGUGAUUCCUAUUACAAGAAUAUGAUCAUUCUCAUACAUCACAUAUAUUUCAUUCAUCACAUCCUUUUUGGCCAUAUCACAUCACAUAGCAUAUCCUGCAAAAACAAGUUAGACGUGCUCUAAUUAUUGUUUGCAUGUUUUACGUGGUUGCUAUGGGUUUCUAGCAAGAACAUUUCUUACCUACGCAAAAGCCACAACGUGAUAUGCCAAUUGCUAUUUACCCUUCAUAAGGACCCUUUUCAUCGAAUCCGAUCCGACUAAAGUGGGAGAGACUGGCACGCGCUAGCCACCUUAUGCAACAAGUGCAUGUCAGUCGGUGGAACCUGUCUCACGUAAGUGUACGUGUAAGGUCGGUCCGGGCCGCUUCAUCCCACAAUACCGUCGAAACAAGAUAGGACUAGUAACGGUAAGUAUAUUGAACAAAAUCAACGCCCACAACAACUUGUAUUCUACUCGUGCAUAGAAUCUACGCAAUAGACCUAGCUCAUGAUGCCACUGUUGGGGAACAUAGCAGAAAUUCAAAAUUUUCUACGCAUCACCAAGAUCAAUCUAUGGAGAGACUAGCAACGAGAGAGAGAGAGGGAGUGCAUCUUCAUACCCUUGAAGAUCGCGAAGUAGAAGCGUUGCACGAACGCGGAUGAGGUAGUCGUACUCGUGGCGAUUCAGAUCGCGUUCGAUUCCGAUAUAAGCGCCGAACAACGGCGCCUCCGCGUUCAACACACAUAUAGCCCGGUGACGUCUCCCAUGCCUUGAUCCAGCAAGGAGAGAGGGAGAGGUUGGGGAAGACUCCGUCCAGCAGCAACACGAUGACGUGGUGGUGGUGGAGGAGCGCGGUACUCCAGCAGGGCUUCACCAAUCACUACGAGAGACGAGGAGGGAGAGAGGUAGGGCUGCGCCUUGGGAGAGAGAGACUCAUGUGUUGGGCAGCCCCAAAACCUCCACUAUAUAUAGGAGGAAGGGAGAGGCGGAGGUGCCCUAGGGUUUCCCCUAGGGGGGGCGGCGGCCAGGGCAGAUGAGAUCUCCCCUUUGGGUGACUUGGCCCCCAAGCCAGGAGGUGGGAACCCUAGAUGGGGCGCCCCAAACCCCCUCGUCAGGUCGGAAUAGGUGAGGGGGGCGCACAACCCCUUAGUGGGCUGGUUUGCCCCCUCCCCUUGGCCCAUGAAGCCCCCCCAACACUUGCCGGGGCUCCUGAAACACCUUUCGGUCAUGCUGGUCAUCACCCGGUACCUCCGGAACACUUCCGGACUCCAAAACCCUUCGUCCAAUAUAUCAAUCUUCACCUCCGGACCAUUUCAGGACUCCUCGUGACAUCCGGGAUCUCAUCCGGGACUCCGAACAACAUUCGGUAACCGCGCACACACCUUCUCUAUAACCCUAGCGUCAUCGAACCUUAAGUGUGUAGACCCUACGGGUUCGGGAACCAUGCAGACAUGACCGAGACAACUCUCCGGCCAGUAACCAACAGCGGGAUCUGGAUACCCAUGUUGGCUCCCACAUGUUCCACGAUGAUCUCAUCGGAUGAACCAUGAUGUCAAGGAUUCAAUCAAUCUCGUAUACAAUUCCCUUUGUCUACCGGUAUAGUUCUUGCCCGAGAUUCGAUCGUCGGUAUACCGAUACCUUGUUCAAUCUCAUUACCGGCAAGUCUCUUUACUCGUUCCGUAACACAUCAUCCCAUGAUCAACUCCUUGAUCACAUUGUGCACAUUAUGAUGAUGUCCUACCGAGUGGGCCCAGAGAUACCUCUCCGUCACACGGAGUGACAAAUCCCAGUCUCGAUUCGUGCCAACCCAACAGACACUUUCGGAGAUACACGUAGUGCACCUUUAUAGCCACCUAGUUACGUUGUGACGUUUGGUAUACCCAAAGCAUUCCUACGGUAUCCGGGAGUUGCACAAUCUCAUAGUCUAAGGAAAAGAUACUUGACAUUUAGAAAAGCUUUAGCAUACGAACUACACGAUCUUGUGCUAGGCUUAGGAUUGGGUCUUGUCCAUCACAUCAUUCUCCUAAUGAUGUGAUCCCGUUAUCAAUGACAUCCAAUGUCCAUGGUCAGGAAACCAUGACCAUCUGUUGAUCAACGAGCUAGUCAACUAGAGGCUCACUAGGGACAUGUUGUGGUCUAUGUAUUCACACAUGUAUUGCGGUUUCCGGUCAAUACAAUUAUAGCAUGAAUAAUAGACAAUUAUCAUGAACAAGGAAAUACAAUAAUAACCAUUUUAUUAUUGCCUCUAAGGCAUAUUUCCAACAGUCUUCCUCUUUACUCGACCAUAUAGGCCCGGCGUGAGCUCUUGCACCCGCUCCCCUUGCAACCAUCUUUCUUCCCAAAACAGUGUAUGCCUUCCAUUCCUAACUUUAGAUAGGGCAGCAGCUUGGUAUAGCUGUAGCGAUUGUCUUGGCACACCAAUCCUAAAUUCCACCCAUGGCCUUGAGGGGUCUGAUCUCUGGAGCCACGGCCAUCUUGAUUGCAUCGCUAUGUUUAGCCAUUCGAGGUGUGGGAUGCUCAGGCCUCCAGCCCACAUAGGUGUACAUAUUGUCUCCCAUGCAACAGAGCAUUGUCCACCAUUUGCCGUUGCCUUAGUGCACGAGAGGAAACCCCGACAGAUCUUGUUCAUCGCCGCAAUCGUCUUGUGUGGUAUGUCCAUGCAAGAAUGGCGUGAAGAGGCAUUGCACAUAGAACCGAUUUGACUAACAGUAGGCGCCCGCUCUUUGACAUGCCGGCUGCCUUGCACGUUGGUAAGGCUGCCGCAAGUUGAUCCACCAGGCCCGAGAGUUGAGUAGCAGAUUGCUUAUGGAUAGUGAGUGGCAAGCCAAGAUACUUGCUAGGGAACGUGCCGCUUGGGCAUCCUAUGGUUGCCACCACCCUAUCACGAGUGUCCGAAGGGCAACGGAUCGGGUAGGUUGCACUUUUGGUAAGGUUCACAAGUAAUCCUGAAGCGCCACCAAAGAUUCAUUGAAGCGAGGAGCAUGCUUGUAGGUCUUGAUCAAAUGGCUUGGCGAAGAUCAUGAUGCCAUCGGCAAACAUCAACAGGCGGUGUUUCAUUCCCCUCCGUGCAAGUGGAGCCAUGAUUCCACGUGAGGUCGCAAGUUCAAACAUCUGUUGUAGCGGCUCCAUGAUUAACAUGAAAAGCAUCGGUGAUAGUGGGGCUCAGUGGCGGACCCAGGAAUGAGCCAAGGCCCAGGCGAACUGGGCCAAGGCCCAGACAGCUCUGUUGACUGUAGCAAUUUGCUGUAGCUACAGUGCAUAAGUGUAUGAAGGACAUGGGCCUCACGCCCCAGGCCGCUGCCCCUUCUGCGUGGGGCCUAAAUCCGCCCAUGCUUGCAAUUGUAUAUGGGUCCUCCUGGAGCUCGGUUUACCAUGAUCCUCGUGGAAGAGGUAGAUAGCAGGCCACAAAUCCACGCAAGCCAAUUAGGCCCGAAGCCCAUAAUUCGCAUUACUUCUAGGAGAAAAGGCCAGUGCACCGAGUCAAACGCCUUCGAGAUACCCAAUUUCAACAUUACAGCCUCCUCCUUUAGUGCAUGUAGCCGACGUGACGUGCCUUGCACGAGCAUGAAGUUCUCAUGGAUCAAUCUACCCUUCACGAAGGCACUUUGGUGCAUUCCAACAAGCGAUGGCAAGUCAGGCGCAAGUCUGUUUGACAAAGUCUUGUCAAAGAUUUUUAUCGUUCCGUGGAUGAGGCUAACUGGCCGGAAGUCUCGGAUGUCUACCGCACCAUCUUUCUUGGCAGGAGCGACACAAUGGCUUUGUUGAUAGCCGGCAGUCCUCUCAUGUCUCCUCGGUAGAAACAUCAACUUGCUCCAGACCAACGUCGCCGCGAAGAACAGGAACACUGACCUGACUUUCUUGAUGGGCGGCGCAAACAUGCUCCAGAGCGGAGGCAUCAUCACCUGGCGAAGCGCGGCCUCAUCUUGAACCAGAUACCGGCGACGCCGACGCCGACGCCAACUCCCACGCCGACGCCAACGCCGCAGCCAAGCCCGAGUGGUGAUGCCUCCGCGACGCCCAGUAGCACAGACGCCGCGCCGCCCAGCCCAGAAGCCGCGCCGACGCCGCCCAGCCCGCGCACGCCGACGCCGACCCUUCAAACGCCGGAGGCCGACCCUGCCGUUUGAUGAUGCAUUCCUUGUGUGUCCUUUCUUUUUGUGCGCCGAACUUUUCAUUUGAUCGCUGAACUGUGGCACGGUGAUGAUCGCCAAAUUGUUGCGCCGAUCGCCGGUUAUGGCUUUUUUUGGAGCAGGAACGGACCAAGUUUGAAUAUGCUGCGCCUUGGGGGCGUGGCUAGGGCCUUGAUCGCCCCCAGGGCGUAAAAAUCGCCGGGAGCGUCCAAAAGAGCGCCGGCCUAUGCGCUAGGUGGGGGGAGGGGGGGGCAGCGAGUGGAGAUGCUCUUAAUAAGACGACCUUAGUAGUUAAUCUUGACCCGGCCUGGGCUUCCUAGAUCCUGCGCUUGCUAUAAAGCUGUGCGUGUGCGUUGCUGGUAUGCAUGAUCUUGGGGGUGCCUGUGCGUUGUCAUAGUUGUUGCUGGUGGGAGUUCGUUUGUCAGAUACGAACCAAAUGAUUUCCUUUAUCUCUCCCUAAUAUAUAUAUAUAUAUAUAUAUAUAUAUAUAUAUAUAUAUAUAUAUAUAUAUAUAUAUAUAUAUAUUAUUUAAUAAUAAAGCACGGAUUGGGUCUCCGGGUUCACCGUUAACAAAUUUACAGAAACCCCCUUGAGUUUUAUGGAAAUAAACCCGCAAUCCUGGUCACCAUUAUCCGUAAGUUAGCGUGCCGCUUCGUUUUCCUGUUCUUCAGAUGCCAUCGCCUAUCCCAACCGGCCACCCACGAUCCCCAAUUUCAGGCCGCAUGGCCGCUCGCCGCCGGGUGCUACUCCGCCCCGAGCACCGUCAAUGUCUCCGUUGCCUGCUCAGGUCCGCCCUCUUCAUCCCCCUCCCCUCAUCGUCCUCCAUUGCCCCGAGCUCCCGUCGCCGCGCCGCAGACCACCUGCUCCUCCCGAUGCACUGCCCACGCGCGGCCACGUCUCACCUAGCUGUCCACUCGCGCGUCUCCUACCUCGGUGGUUCAGCGAGCGGCGCCGGCAGCCAUGGCAAACUGCCAUGGGUGCGGCCAGUCCGAGCUCCAGUUUAGGCAGGUCGGUCCAAAAAGAAAAGAAAAAACCGUGACCCCGUCCUCCAAUACGCCACCUGCUCCCAUCCAUUCAGCACCGCCACCCGCUUCAGCACCUGCUCGUCGGCCGCCGCCGUGCAAAGCGACCUGCCCAGCUCUUCGUCCCGCCUGCCUACGCCGGUAGGCUUUCCACCACAGCCACGCACCACUUCGCCUCCCCCUGCCCAUUGCCUCCUACACAAUCGCCUUGAAUAACAGGAGCUGCAUCUCAUCUCUCUCCCUGUAGUGGUGGUCACGGGCUGAUGUUGCUACUCCUCUCCAUCAGGAUCUAUCUCUUUCUCAUUGUCUCUAUCUCUCUCUCAUGGAUCGGCAACUGCAUUCUUCCCAAAUAUGUGUGCCCCUCUGCUCUGGAUAUUACGCCCACAACAUGUUUGAUGUUAUGCUUAUGAGGAGUUGAACUUCAAUUUUUUCAAGUUUUUCUUUGGUGUAGGCAUUCAGGCCUAGUGUAAUUUCUUUUCAAAAGUGAACAUGUUGUACAGUCCAAUGUAUCUAGGAAAAUUAAGUUAUGGAGAGUUGUUCAUCAUGUUGCUUGCAUAUUUUUUUUGUCUAACAAACUAGAUACUUCAAUUUUGGAUAUAAACAUUGAGUACGUGCUGAAAUAUUUCGCUAAUAAUAGUUUCCAACUUGCUUUUUAGCAGAACUACAGAACUAUUUGCAGCUUUUAAUUAUGUGUACUUAAAAUGGAUUUGGUGUCCAGGACAUGUGGAGUUGACAUCAAGUUGAAUUAUGUGCUGAUGUUCUUCGAUAGAAUAAUUGUUCUUCUCCUUUAAAAAUGAUGGACCAUUGACUUAUUUUUUUUAGAUGCUCAAAUACACACACAAACGACAUCCAGUAAGUGCUUGGACACCCGGCAGAUUGAAAGUACAGAAGCAAAGAUAUCCAAUACGAGGCCACGAUGCCCGACAGAGACGCGGCCAAUAUGCUCCUAAUCUUUAUUUCUUGAUUUUGGAACCACAAGUAAGAGCAUGUUCAUGUUUACUUAUUAUUAUUUUUUUGGAGAAAUUUUGGGGAUUUAUAAGCUGAAAUUAUUGACUGUUUGAAAAAAAAUGUUUUAACCAAAACUGUUUGAACAAUGUUGCCCUGGUUCUGCAUUCAUGGAAUUGCUAAAAAAGUUGAACAAGUUCAGUCAGAGUUUUGUCCCUGUUAAUAUUCAGUUUGAAGUGCCAGUUUGUUUCCACUUGCUCAUCUUAAUGUUGAACUAUACAUGUACUUAUCUUUAAAGUUUUGUUGUCUUCAUGAACUAAUUAGAUUUUCAGCACUACUGAACUAAUUGGAUGCCAUCUUAAAUUACCUUCCCUUUGAUAUUAUUGUACAGAUUCCUGGAACACUGCCCAGUGUUUCAGCUGCGUACAUGUCUACAACAAUACUAGCAGAUCUGAAUUUGUGUUGCUAAGGUGUAGACUAACCUGACUUCGAGGGAAAAACAUGGAGAUUAGAGUGCCCUUUUUUCCCUUCCAAUUCCAUUUUCAGCAGCUAUCAGACAUGCAUAGACAAUUUACUUUUGAGUACUUACAAUAUUAUUUUGCUACUUGCAGAGUUGUUCAAGUGGUAAUUUGUUUUACAAAUUUCUACAACAGGCUGCAUCAGCGGUUCACAACGGAGGAAGCUGUGGCGACUGCUACUGCUAGGUGUACCUGAAACAAUAAGUUUGCUUUUCACUUCAGAAUUCGGAGGAAGUCAAUGUUUGUUUUGUAGUUCAAACCAACCACUGGUUGAAAGAUCUAUUCAAAAGAUCUAUUCCAAAAUGAUACUGUCUCAUGGUGCUAGGUUAUCAAAAUAAUCCAUCAUGGCCAAAGGUAAGUUUCAUUCUUGGUAUUAGUUUGUUUCAUCCAUUCUUCCCAAGACAAAAAAUAGGUGGCAUAUGGCGAUGAGAUGAGCUUCUUUGGCUUUUUAUUUGGCAGUUCUCUUCUUGCAUCCCCUCUCUUUUCAAUGUUGUCCUGAAAUUUCAGCAACACAAUUUGUGAUCUUGUCAGGUAAUCAUGCUAAUUGAGAAAGAAAUGGUAUUCAGGACUCUGCACUUCACUAAUAUUCAUGAAAAUGUAUGUUGGUAUCUCUUUCAUUUCUAUCUCACUACUGCACACGUAACUUUAAAUCAUAUAUAUGAUGAAAGCCUGCAAACAAUUAGAGGUCAAUCUUCUUGCAUUUUUUUCAUGAACAGUUUGAUGACUCGCUAGAUGUGUUAGUCUAACUUAUAUAAGUAACCUAAUCUGUUAUUAGGUACCUGGAAUGAAUGGAUGUUACGAAUGCCUAAGCAAUAAGUGAAAAAAUAACUAUAUUUGUAUCUGUCACAAACUAGAAUAUUUUCUUAUUUGCAUUACAAAAUAAAAAAUAUAUAGUACAAAUCCUUUCCUCGUCAUAUUGUAGCCACCCAGGAGUCAUCUUUAUCCUUUAAAUGGCAACUCUUGAUGUAUAAAAGAAGCUUUUGCAGAUUCCAUUGUUAGUAGGUUAUAUUUUCACCAUUCAGUGCAAUUGUGUUGUUUCAUGUGAACUACGGGAGAUAAGAAAAACUUUAUAGAAUAAUUGUGUUUCUAGGUUUUUUUCUGAACUAGAACACUAUGAUUCCAUUAACUUGCAAGCUUAGCUGGAUCGUCAGGUGCAUAGACACAUACAAAGUCCCGUUCGUCCUCAAGCCAAAAGAGCUUGGCUCAUGCGCACCGAAAACCGCUAGAGCGUGUGCUACCUUAUUACAUCAACUGGGACCAAAUUCCACUGCUACAGAAUUGAAAUCUGUGCUAAGGAAGAUACAAAGGUCCCUGUAGAUGAUUCCUUCCGGCGCCCUGCCAUACUCAUUGCUCUUCAGUGCAUGAAAUGUAGAAGCAUGCACAGCGGCAGCACAGGCGGUAGCAGAAUGGGCUAUAAUGAAUGGUGUAUUUGAGUCUGACUGAUCAAACGCUGGUUCGUGUUUCUAGAUUGUCUAGCUAAGGGCUGGAUUUGUUUAGCUGGAACACAAAUCACGAUCAGAUGUACCUAUUAGGAUGAUUUCGUGUCCCUGCUAGCUAUUUCUAAUUUUGUAGCUAUUCCUUCAGGGUACAUGAUUACAUUACAUUACAAGUUGAAAAACUGUGCAAAGUGAAAGUUGGCACUAAAGCGGAUUGCUUUUUUUGAUCUCCACAGAAAUUUCAGUAAUAAUAUGUUCCACUCAUUUUGUUACUAAAAGCUGGGAUGAUUUUUACACUUUGUUUUAUUUUAGUAAUUCCCAUGCUCACCUGAUAUUCUCCUCAUCACCUUUCCAUUUUGACAAAUUUAUCAUCUCGAAGUUUAUGCAUAAUGAUGAAAUAUUCUAUGGUAGUAUGUCAAAUGCAGUUUAGUAUAUUCCCGUUGGUUCUGUAGUGAUUUUUAGUUCCGGCCAUUUUCUUUCUAAUUUUAUUUUAAGAGAAGUGGAAUCAUAGACUAGGACGAGCAAGGAUUUGUUUCUCCCGUUGCAACGCAUGGGUCCUUUUGCUAUCUCUUCCUAAUAAUAAAGCACGGAUUGGGUCUGCGGAUUCACCGUCACAAUACGUUUUCUUCCUGUGAAUUUACGCUUUCGGUUUGAAUUUAAACGUAUAAGCGAGGUGGUACUAAUAUUUUCAUGUGUUAGCGUUCGUUCGUACAUCGCCCAGGUGUCCAUGAUAAAACUCUCUGGUUCGGUCACUUGGGCCUGAAAUUUCAUAAUAACCACGUACAGGCAGCUAUCCCAGCCCAGCUAACUGGCCGCAAAUAACAUGGGCCUUCCCUUAUGGGCUGCAUGCACGAGAGUGGGCUUCCUUAUAUUAGAUCAUAGAGAAAGAAAAAAAAUACAUUACUGUGGAGAAUCGAACAUUAGAUCUCAUCUAUUUCUUUGGGCUACAACUACCAACUGAGAUAAACAUCCCCUUGAUGAAUAGUCCCACCUCGCGAUUUUAAGGACACACAUACCGGUUAAUAUAGCCAAAUAAUUAACAAACAGACGUGAAAAGGGAAGAGCUAAAUAAGCGGAUGGGCCAAUUAAGGAAAGGAAUGUGGCUAAAUAGAUGCGGCUAAUUCAAAGGAAGGAUUGUGGUGGGUGGGCUCAGCACAAUAUUUAAAUGGAUGGGAUCCUUAAUUAAUAUAAGGCACGGGAAAACGGAAGUAAGAAAUUAUGUGAGGCUAAUAAGUAAAAGGAAUGAUUUAAUAAGAAAGGAUUUAACAAGGAAGGAUUUAAACGGGCGGAAUCAGGAUUGUGUGAGGCUAAAAAGGAAGGUUUGAGGGUGCACACAACGAUAUUUAUGGAGGAACGAAAAUGAGCACGGCAAAAAUAACAAAAUAAUUUUUAAUUAAUGUUGUAUUUGUACGACUAAAAUAUUAAUGAUUUUAUUUCUUUAUACUAAGAUUUUUACUCUUGCCGGUUUGAAAUAUCAAUUAACAUACUAGGAGCAUUAAGUCCACAAAAUUAUAAGUUGGUGGGCAAGAGAGACUCACGAAGCUUUGUGAUACAGUAUGAUGAUCAAACCCAUAUUUCUGGGAUUAAUAAUGUUAAGCUACAUGAAAACAGAAAAAACAAAAAAUAUCAACAAGCCCAAUAAUAAAAGCAAAUCUCAUGCUACUGAGCCCCAAGUAUAUCCAUUAUCCUCUUCCAUAAAUAAUAUUAAUGUGUCAAUCAAUCGUGUGAUCUCAUUAUUUAUGUUUCUUAUUAAUAUUAAUUUUAUUUAUAUAGAUAAGUCGGUACAUCUUCUCCUUAAAAAUUUAUGACAUCUGUAUCAUCUUUUCAUAAUUGAAACACGUGUUUUUAGGUCCUCUGGAGCUUGCUACCUACUAUUUUUGUUUUGUAGAAUUGUUUGUGUAAAAUCCCAGCAUUUCCACUUUAUUAUUUUUUGUUUUGUUAAUAUUGUGUGACAACGACAUGGGUCGAUGACAAGUGGUUCUCACCAGGCACCCAACACAUGCCGACACCACCUCUACAACCAUGAUGAAAUAUAUUUCAAGCUGUGAUAAAAGAUAACCAGUUCUAUUUUAAAUUAGAAUAUGAUGAUGAAUUAUAGCUCUAUAUAAAUAAAUUUGAAAUCCAUCUGGAAUUAGCAUAUAAAUUGUUAUUGUGUUGGUCUACGGAUUUUGGUGAGCAUUAAAUUUCACAUGAACUAUCAUUAUGCUUUCCCAAUAAUUCUAACUAAAUUUAAAUACACUUCAAUUAUGUCUCCCGUUGCAACGCACGGGUAUUUGUGCUAGUAGAAUUAAUAGAAAUCAGAGAGGAAGGCUCUCUUUUGCUUAAAAAGGGUGUAAGUUCAUUAAAUUUGCAAUUUGGGUAAGUCGGUUUUGUGGAAGGAGGAACGGUCGGACGAAAAAAAAGCUGGAGGAAGAAAAAAAAAUGAUGGUUGGAUCUUAGUCUAUCGGCAUAGAAAAUAAAAUAAAGGCCCUGAAUAAUUUUUAGGCAGCUUACACAUAUCUGCUGCCUAAAUAAUAUAGUAGGGACCUUUUUUUAUUUGUUUUGGUAUAUUGGGUGCUAUGACUCUCAAGUGUAAACCAUAUAAGCCAAGCGCGUAUUUGGUUACUCCCAGAUUUUUAACUGAAAAAACUGGUCAUAUGCAACCCUGCAAGUACUUGUUCUGUUACCUCCAUACACGCGGGGUUCCUUGCGCAAUCCACGCGGGUCCACAGGUAUCACAUUUGCCGGGGUGUAACCCCGGUCCAACCGUUCGUACGAGACCUGAGGCGAACUCCCGGCGGCGGAGAAGCCCAAUGGGAACUCGACGAUGUGGAUGAGGACAGUACCCAGGGAUAUUUUCACUAAAAUUUGAAUUAUCAAACUCAUCUCAUGCGCGUAAAGCAGAAAAAUCCUUUGCGAUGCACACAAUCAUUCAAAAAGAACGGUGUUCGACGGCAGCACGCGCAAAGUUUCCCUCCACAUUUAAAAUAAUUUGGCCUACCAACGAAAUAUCUACCCCCUCCCCACCCCUUUUCUCCCCGACCACAAGUCACAUUUCCCCUGUUUCCCCUUCCUUCCUUCCGAAGCUAUAGACACUUUCUCGCUUGCUUCCUCGCUCUCGCCGUAUCGCAUCCUACUUCCGGGGUUAGCAAUUCAGCAUGGUCUUCUUCAAUGACCUCUCCAACGGUUCCUCCUCCGACGACUAAUUUUUCAGCACCCAGGUAUACGUCUCUUCUCUCUCUCUCAGGUUAUGACUUGGAACGAAGGAUUAACCCGACGGUCAAUUUGAGUCAUUUCUUCCUCUUGUAGCUCUCUAGGACCAUCAGUUGCAAUGAAUGGAGCGGGUGGCUGAAGAUCUGCCUGCUCGUUGUUAUCAUCAAUAUCUAUGCGUGAAGCUAGUUGCGUUCGAAUAUGUGGACAGUGGGAGGAAGUUUCUGGCAUGUGCAGAGAAGGUUACACUAGUGCAGAACCGGGCUAUAGCACCAGUUCGUAAGGCAACCGGCACUAAAGGAUGGGGACUAAAGGUCCCCCAUUUUAGUACCGGUUUUGCACGAACCAUCGCUAAAGGGCCACCACAUGGCACAUGCCAGCACCAGGGGCGGGGAGCCCUUUAACCGGUACUAAAAGGUUUGGUGGCUUUUGAUAUUUUAUUUAUUUUCCCUUUAAUUUUGUGUUUUCCAUUUAAUUUAGAGAUUCUUUUUCAUUUAUUUAAUAUAAAAACUCUUGCAUCUCAUAUCAUCACCAACAACAACACUAGUUAAUAAUCAUCAUAUAUAUAUAGUCAUUACCACUAUUUUUAUCAUCAUUAUUUAAUCACCACCAACAGUAGCUUAAAGAAGAAACAUUCACUUGUACAAAAAGCAAAGAUAUCAUCGAGUUCAACAUGGUCAUGAGAUUAUUUAUAAGCAUUCAUAACUAAGACCACAAAAGCAAAUCACUAAUAUUUAAGUUCAUGAUGAAACACGGGCAUGAGACGACAAGUACUAAUAGCGGGAACUAGCUAAUCACUCCUACUGCUCUCUCUCAGGUAAAAUGGCAUAAAACAUGUGUAGCUCUCCUGAUUCAUCAUAUUGGAGCAUGCAGAUGAAUCUGUCUCCUAAUCGUGGGUUGCGCUUCUGAUUGUUGCCCCCAAGUACUUCUCUGCGACCAGUCACAAUUUUUCUCCAGUCUUUCACUAUUAAGCAUUCAUCGGUUCUAGAAAUCCUGAAUGCACUCGUGUGCAAUGUAGGAUGUCUUGGCCGUAAGCUAACAAUUGACAGGCGACCGUUAGUCGAGAUCAACUGAGGUACAAAUAUCAUCGGCAGUCCCUUUUGAAAAAUAUAGUAUAGUAAUAUACUUAGCAAUAAAGUUUAGCUUAAAAUAAUGUAUGCAAAAGAUGCAACGAGGACAAAUAGUAAAAAUCUUACCAUCUUUCCUAAAUACAUGUGACCGUAGUUCAAUAGGAAAACUGUUGGUCGCACGUUUUGAUCACUAAGAUUUGCAUGUCUAGGAAAAUAAUUUCUCUUGACAGCAUCAAGAUACUCAAGCCAUGAAACAUAUUGACUUAUCUCCUCGCAGUUUAAUUCAGCCCCAGGACAGUGGAAGGUCAUGUCUACCAAGCGCCGGACAUGUUUGCUUAAAUAGAAAUAAGUUGUCAAUAGAAAUUAGUUGUCAACUAUUUUUUAAAUAAACAAUAUCGAAGACAUAAUAUGGUUGAGAAACACUCACAUAAUGGUAGAACUGGAGGCGUCUGCCACAUCGACCCAAAUAUCGGUAUUACCUUCAAUAUCAUCUUCCGGAUGAAUAUAAAAAAUGAUAACCAUAUCAGACUCGAAUACAUAAGCCUUGCAUAGUGCUUGCCAAGUUUUGCAUUCAAAAUAGGUGUAGGUGAAUGCAUUGUAUAAUUUUGCAUGGAAAGUAUAACCAUGCUCGGUCUUCAAAUAAACUCUCUUUACCUCCAUAGUUUUCAUAGUACUGAAACCUAUCUUAUCCAAUACAAAAAUUCUUGCAUGGCAGAGGAUAUGUUAUAGUAGAAUAGUAAAAAAUUAAAACUAUAAGUUGAAGCAAAUGAAGCAUAUGCUUAAUUAAGAAAAAAAAACUUGUCGUUGUGACUUAUUGCAUUCACUUCGAAGGUCUCAUCCAGCUUGAUGCUGAAGCGCCUAUCAUCAACUAGGAAAUUUUUGUCGCACGUAACGCGCUUGUAUUCGCAGUAUUCGCACAUAACGAAAUCAUUCUCGUCGUCAGACUUUUCCUAUGUUCAUAUAUAGUUGAAACAUUAAUUGAUAUAAAUACUUACUAGCAGUUCUAUUAAUUCAACUAGCUAGUUCUAUUAAUUCAACUAGCUCUAUUAAUUCAACUACUAAGCACUUAUUAAAAAUAAACUAGUUCUAAGCUUCUUACUAANNNNNNNNNNAUAUAUAUAUAUAUAGUCAUUACCACUAAUUUUAUCAUCAUUAUGUAAUCACCACCAACAGUAGCUUAAAAAAGAAACAUUCACUUAUAAAAAAAGCAAAGAUAUCAUCGAUUUCAACAUGGUCAUGAGAUUAUUUAUAAGCGUUCAUAACUAAGACCACAAAAGCAAAUCGCUAAUAAUUAAGUUCAGGACGAAACACGGACACGAGACGACAAGUACUAAUAGCAGGAACUAGCUGAUCACUCCUACUGUUCUCUCUCAGGUAAAAUGGCAUAGAACAUGUGUAGCUCUCCUGAUUCAUCAUAUUGGAGCAUGCAGAUGAACCUGUCUCCUAAUCGUGGGUUGCGCUUCUGAUUGUUGCCCCCUAGUACUUUUUUGCGAUCAUUCACAAUUUUGCUCCAGUCUUUCACUAUUAAGCAUUCCUCGGUUCUACAAAUCCUGAAGGCACUCGUGUGCAAUGUAGCAUGUCUUGGCCGUAAGCUAACAAUUGACAUGUGACCGUUAGUCGAGAUUCACUGAGGCACAACUAUCAUCGGGAGUCCCUGUUGAAGAACAUCGUAUAGUAACAUACUUAGCAAUGAAUUUUAGCUUAAAAAAUAAUGUAUGCAAAAGAUGCACUGAGGAUAAAUAGUAAAAAUCUUACCAUCUUUCCUAAAUACAUGUGACCGUAGUUCAAUACGAACACUAUUGGUCGCAUGUUUUGAGUACUAAGAUUUGCAAGUCUUGGAAAAUAAUUUCUCUUGACAGCAUCAAGAUCCUCAAGCCAUGAAACAUAUUGACUUAUCUCCUCGCAGUUUAGUUCAGCCCCGGGACAGUGGAAGGUCCUGUCUACCAAGCGUCGGACAUGUUUGCUUGAAUGGAAAUAAGCUGUCAAUAGAAAUUAUUUGUCAACUAUUUUUUAAAUAAACAAUAUGGAAUACAUAAAUAUGGUUGAGGAACACUCACAUAAUGGUAGAACUGGAGGCGUCUGCACAUCGACCCAGAUAUCGGUAUUACCUUCAAUAUCAUCUUCCGGACGAAUAUCAAAGGUGAUAACCAUAUCAGGCUCAAAUGCAUAAGCCUUGCAUAGUGCUUGCCAAGUUUUGCAUUUAAAAAAGGUGUAGGUGUCUACAUUGUAUAAUUUUGCGUGGAAAGUAUAACCAUGAUCGGUCUUCAAGUAAACUCUCUUUACCUCCAUAGUUUUCAUAGUACUGAAACCUAUCUUAUCCAAUACAAAAAAUCUUGCAUGGCAGGGGAUACGCUAUAGUAGAAUAGUAAGAAAAUUAAAAUUAUAAGUUGAAGCAAUUGAAGCAUAUGCUUAAUUACGAAAAAAGACUUGUCGUUGUGACUUACUGCAUUCACUUCGAAGGUCUCAUCCAGCUUGAUGCUGAAGCGCCUACCAUCAACUAGAAAAUUUCUGUCGCACGUGCCGCGCUUGUCUUCGCAGUAUUCGCACAGAACGAAAUCAUACUCAUCGUCAGACAUUUCCUAUGUUCAUAUAUAGUUGAAACAUUAAUUGAUAUAAACACUUACUAGCAGUUCUAUUAAUUCAACUAGCUAGUUCUAUUAAUUCAACUAGCUCUAUUAAUUCAACUACUAAGCACUUAUUAAAAAUAAACUAGUUCUAAGCUUCUUACUAAAAUCUCAUAUAUAGUAAACUUUUAAAUCUUUUAAUUAAUUANNNNNNNNNNAUAUCUACAUUAUUUUCUAUUUAAUUCAUCUAUGACAUUAAUAUCUAACAUUUCUAACAUGCAUUAAUCUAACCUAGAUUUAUAAAAACUAAAAAUAAAAAAAAUAAAAAAAGAUUAUAUAUAACAUGUACUACGGCGGCGAUGGCCGGGGACGAUUGACGGCGCGGCGACGGGGCAACGACGGGGACGGCCGGGCGCGGCGGCGCAGGAGGGCGGCGACAGGGUGAAGAGGCGACGGGGGGCGCGGCGGGGGCGGCGACGGGGACGGCCGGCUGCGGUAGGGGGGGGCAGCGACAAGGCGAAGGGGCGACGACCACGGGCGCGACGACGACGAGAAGAAGCAGAUGGAUGAAAAGUAACUGAAAUUUCGUAAGUGCUAUAUAUAUAGGAGAGAAUUUUAGUACUGGUUCGAGACACAAACCGGUACUAAAUGUCAAAUUUGGCCAGGCCAAACGGCGGGAAGCGACAACGUUUAGUACCGGAUCAUGGCUAGAACCGGUACUAUAGACUACCCUUUAGUACCGGUUUGAGCCAUGAACCGGUACUAAUGGCUUACGUCCGGUGCGGCAAGUUUAGUCUCACCUCGGUAGCCGAGAGGCUUUCAGAGUCAUUUAGCUCAAAACAAAUCUGUAAAUGCAUGAAAAAUAGCAAAUUGUCUAGUUUGUACACGAGGUGCAUCCAGUUUUUGCGGUAACCCUUCUCUACUUUUUCGCACAUGCUAUAUGGGUGAAAUGAUGAUACCAUGCCAAGUUCCAACCUUUUCAGAGUUCAUUUGUAGUGUUUUUCAAUUUUAGGGUCAUUUAGCUGAAAACAAAUCUUUAAAUGCAUGAAAAUUAGCAAAUGAUGUCACAAAGGUUUAAAAGUUUAUGACGUGGCCUUGAAUGGUGCAUCCUAAACGCAAAAAAUGUCUGGAGUUGUAAUAAGGUUAAAACAAUGAAAUGCUGGUGUAACAGAUGAUUUUUGUCCGAAACCCUGAUACUUCGAAAGAUAUUGUCCAGUUUGUACACGAGGUGCAUCUAGUUUUUGCCGUAACCCUCUCUAUUUUUUCGCACAUGCUAUGUGGGUGAAAUGAUGAUACCAUGCCAAGUUCCAACCUUUCAGAGUUCAUUUGUAGUGUUUUUCAAUUUCAGGGCCAUUUAGCUCAAAACAAAUCUUUAAAUGCAUGAAAUAUAACAAAUGAUGUCAGAAAUGGUUGAAAGUUUAUGACAUGGCUUUGAAUGGUGCAUACUACACGCAAAAAAUGUCUGGAGUUGUAAUAAGUUUUAAAAAAUGAAGUGCCGGUGUAACAGAUGAGUUUUCGUCCGAAACACUGAUACUUCGAAAGAGAUUGUCCAGCAUGUACACGAGGUGCAUCCAGUUUUUGUCGUAACCCUCUCUACUUUUUCACACAUGCUAUGUGAGUGAAAUGAUGAUACCAUGCCAAGUUCCAACCUUUUCAGAGUUCCUUUGUAGUGCUUUUCAAUUUCAGGGUCAUUUAGCUAAAAACAAAUCUUUAAAUGCAUGAAAAAUAGCAAAUGAUGUCAGAAAGGGUUGAAAGUUGAUGACGUGGCUUUGAAUGGUGCAUACUGAACGCAAAAAAAAGUUUGGAGUAAGUUUAAAAAUAUGAAGUGCCGGUGUAACAGAUGAGUUUUCGUCCGAAACCCUGAUACUUCGCAAGAGAUUGUCCAGUUUGUACACGAGGUGCAUCCAAUUUUUGUCGUGAUGUCAGAAAGGGUUGAAAGUUUGAUGCUGGUGUAAGUUUUCGUCCGUGUAAACAUGUAAAAAUAUACAUCAAAAAUACAUUGAUCAUCAAUGAUCUUUUUGUGUAGAAUCUAAAUUGUCAAUAGGAAUCUACCCCGGUUUAAGAACCGGCGAAGACUCCUAUUGCAGCCACAGAUAAUACACAUAAAGUUCACUGAAGGCCAAGUGGUUGUGAUAGUUUGAGAAGUAACAUAUUUAUGGUCGUAAAAACCUUCUUAGCCGAGCGAGGUGGGACUAAAAAACAGCUGCAACUAAAUAACUUUAGCACCGAUUUGUGGCACGAACCGGUACUAAACGUGCUGGGUGGGGCCCCAACCUGACAAAAGCCUGCCACAGCCUCAUUAGUACCGGUUCGUGGCAUGAACCGGUACUAAAGUUUCUCCACGAAUUGGUACUAAUGAUCGACGACCGCCUAGCCGUUUGAACCGGCACUAAUGUGACCAUUAGUGUCGAUUCAUCGGCAAACCGGUACUAACGUGCUGAACAUUUUACCCUUUUUUUACUAGUGUUAGCCCCACUUUCGUUGUUACAAAUCAGUUGUUAGAUGCGAUUCAAACACUGUCACUGUGCUAUGUUAUUGUGGACGUUAAGACAGUGUCACAGUUUAUACCUAGUAUCUAAAAAUGUUGCCAUCUCAUCAGCGGCGCCAUUAGAAAAUUAUUUCAUACCGCAUCAGCAGUUUGUGCAGCCAACUUUGAUCCACACAUCCGAGCAGCCAAACAGUAAAAUACUAAAUCUUUAUGGCACGAAGGAACUGGGCAUCAGAACAACUAGGUGCUUGGAGUUCGGGUCCCUGAUUUUUUUCCGCUGCAUCGGCUCGCCAGUGCAGGGCACCGGUGCCAAAUGUAGCAACAGUUGUCUUUACACCAAAUUUGGCAUACACAAUGGAUGUCCUUAGUGCUAUUAGUUCUAUGUUACUAAAUUUGUGAAUGUACACAUCUGUUAGUAUCAAUUUGAUUUCAUCCAAACACUGUCGCUAUGCUGUUGCAGUUAUAUUUAACUUCCUCAUAAAAUAUUCAAUUUGUUAUUUAUAGUUCAUGACUAAGAAAUUGUAGCGUUGUUGUAGUUAAUUAUGGCUUUUGAAAUUUCAGAUUUUGGUUGUUGUCUCUGUAGCAAUUAAUUCAUUUGCACAUUGAUCUUUUUGAGAAGAUAUGCCGUUAUUAACCUGUUUCUUCAGUCUAUGAAAAUAUGUCUAUGCUUAUUUUCUAUGUUUCUACAAACCCAUUUCUCUUUCACUUGUUACUGAUCUAGUUUUAGAUAUUAUAGGAUGAACGAAAGUGUUCUUACCUGGAGUGGGUUGAUCAAGAGUGGCCAUAGUCUUUAAAGAUGUGUUUAGCAAAGCUCUGGAGCAUGUAUAAGGAAGGGAAUAUAGGUAUGCUUAGAGAAAGUGUUGUCAACGAUGAAGAAGUGAAGAUGCAGGAUAAAAAGCGGGGAAUGGAGAAUGAGCUCAGAUUUUUUAAAUCACACUUUGCUAAGAUGGUGUUGGCGAAGGAGGAGUCACUUUUCCUGUUGGCCAGUGUGAAACAGGUUCUUACUGAACUGAAAGCAGAGGUGGAUAAGACGAGUCUGGAUGAUUUCGCUUAGGAAAAUGAAUAUAUUGUUCAAAUAUUGUUCUCAUGAAGGUGAACUAGCUAUAUGUUGUACUGUGUUGUUUUCAGGUUGCUAUCAUACUGUGAUAAGAUGUAUUUAUGUGCGUGAUAUGAAAUUGGCAAACAACUGUUCGAUUUGAAAUGUGAAUUUGCGUAAUACUGAAAUUAUUAAUUAUAAACUAAUAAACCUGCUAAAUGGGUCAAGAAACUUUGCAAAUGAUUCUAGCAGUAAAAGCGCUUGUCAUGGACAGCCCGAUGCCAUACAUUAUAGGUUAUAAAUAGAUUUGAUUUGCAGAUGUGGAUAGCAUUGCCCGUCUAGCUCAGUCCGUAGAGCGCAAGGCUCUUAAUCUUGUGGUCUUGGGUUUGAGCGCCAAGGAGGGCGUCAAUUUUUUUUUCAUUUACGUUAUUCAUUUAAUUGGACAAAAUUACUUGAAGUUGCUUUAGAAAACUUUCCAUAUAUCUUUUUCCUUUAAAGCUACAAGUUCAAUGUUUCAUAUUGGUUUAAUAAAUGACCCCACUUUAUCGUUGACUACGUGGAAUAAGGCCGAAAAAUGCAAACCAGGGAUAUGCGUCAUAAAAGUCAAAGUUAAAACGCGGAUAUUUAAAGUUGUUCUGCAUCUUGAUGUCCCACUAGGACUCACUUAAAAAAAUGCACAACAAAAAAUCCUUCUGAAUUGGAUUAAUCUCAGAAUUUUGAAAAACCGGAUGAGUCGAAUAUUGUGAGAACCUAAAAUCAUUGCAAGUCUGGACACAUUUUGGUCGAAGACAAGAGGUUUGCAAGGUGAACUACCACUGCUUCCUUGUUGUAUUAUCGACAACGAAGAUCUUAGGUACAAAAAAUAAAAAAUUGGGGGAAGCUCUAAUCAAAACACAUGUGAUGCCAUCGUGGACACCAUCAUUGCCAAGAGGUUUGUACUUUGUACCGUGAGAGACCACCACUACCAAGAUAAUCAGACGUUUUAUGAUAUCAAAACACCUUAGAUUUUCGUCCACAAAGAAAGAUGUAUGAGACAGCCCUGAGUUUUUCCCUCCUGGAAUAGUAGAUGCCAUUACGGCCGAGACGUUGGUAUGUGUUGGGUUUGAUUUUUCGUGGCGUGUUGGCUCUGUUGGGCACUCUGGAGUUUGUUGCAUCCAUCAUCCGUUUGUUUUUGUUUGCUUCCCCUCACCUGAUUUCACUCACAUUUUCCAUUCUUUCCUUGCCUUUGUUUUACGGAGUUGCAGGAAGAAUUUGGGAGCGAGGAGAGGCUAGAGGAUGCAUGAGAGGGCGAGUUCACAAGAUUCUUGCUAAGGUUGCAACAUAAUCCGAAAAGCAUCGGAACCCAAACAUAAAGCACUUAUAUUUUGCAACACAAGAAGGAACAAAACCCCAAAUUUAGUUGACCAGACAUAAACAGGUUAAAAAAGGACUGGCAAAAAAAAAACAAAGUGUUGAUGAAAAUACAGCACAAGGGGUGCGCCUAUUUCUUGUCCUCAAUGAUAUUUGAGUUGUUCCAUUUUGUUCUUGACCUCCCCACCUUCUCGAUGUCAUUUGUAUUCCAUUUGAUCUUAUUUGCUUAAUUAAGAAUAGUUGUCAUUUCAAUUAUAAUACAUACCACUUUGUUGGUUGAUAGCUUGAUGUCAUGCAUACACAUCACUCGUGGUGCGUGUAUGUGUCUCUUGUUAUGUUAUUGCAAACGAAAUGCAUGUAACAUUUUUAUGCCUAGUAUAUCCCCACAACCAGAUACAUAUAUACGCUUCCACUAUCCCGCAUAGAGAAUGAAUCUCGGCCACGCUAAAAGUACACAUUAAUUCAGAAUCUACGAGGAAGAGUAGGAGGGGGGAUGCAGUAUGGCUAGUCUUGGUCACCCAGACCAACUUUCUCCGGAUAUCUGCGUUGCCUUGCCUUGCUCAUACACCAAACUGAAGGCCGAGACUACAUAACACAACUGUAUGUAUUGUAAAUUAUUCCACGGUAGCUAUAUAUAAGUUGACUAAAUUGAAUAAAUUAAAUGUCUAACAUGAAAGAUACCAUCAGGUGGAUGUUGACAUCUGAUGGUGUCUUCACUAUAAAAUCUUUUUUACAGACAACUUGUUAUUGUGUACUUUUAGCCUGGCUGACAUCUGACGAUACAGUAGCUUCCAACAGAAAUGUAUGUGGAAAAUACAAGUUGCUCCUAAAAUUAGAGUGUUUUUUGGCUGAAGGUUGGAUAGGUAAACAAAUGUUUUGCCCUUUGUGGCAUGUUCGAUUUUUUUUUUCGUUGCUAAAUUGGUUUGGAGUUUGUUCAAAUGUGCUUUCGAGUUGAGAAAUCUUCCUGACACUUAAACACUUGUUUUGGUGUUUGGAUUAAAAGUUUUUCGAAGAUAAAUAAGAAUCUGAUAUUGGUGGGGGUUUCUGCCAUCUUCUGGACUAUAUGGAGAUGCAUGAAUAAUAUUGUGUUUGAGACAAAACACAAUUAUGAUCCUAUUAUUCACAUCAAUUUGAUAUGUCAUUGUAUAUCUUAUUGGGCCAUUCUGUAUAUAAAGGAAAUUGAAGGGUCCUGAUGAUGGGGGGUAAUAGUCAUACAACAUGUGGGAAAUGAGGUGCAUAGAGCUCAUGUCAUACUAGACUCGUGCUUUGUAAUUUUUCUGGAGGCUGACCAUUGCUUGGUGUUGUCCUUCCUCUAGAUGCUGAUGCCUGACUUGGUUCUAUCUUCUGUAUUUGUAGUUGUGGUUGGGCUCUAGGUUUGGUGCUGGUAGUUUCUGAUGUUGAUGAGUUUAGAACUAUGGUGGUUUAUGUAAUGUUUAUGUGUGCCUCUAUUUGUGGCGUUGGAGGCUAGAUAUUCAUCUGGUGAGCUGGUUUUCUUUCAGAUGUUUUGCCGCUUGGUUUUUGGUGGAGCUGUUGUUGGGUGUUAGGGAAUUUUCAAGGUGGACCCACAAACCUCCGCUUCCGUCUAGACCGUGUUGUCCAGACCGCCGGAGCCAUCCACGCGGGCCUGUAUCGGUCCGCGGGGCGGUCCGGACGAGUUUUUUCCUACAAAAUGAAGACAAAUGGGGGGAGCUUUGCGGGAGUCUAGACAUCAGACACGUAUGACUCCGACACCCCAGGCCCACCCAAAACCCUUCCCGGACCCUCUGCCUCCAUCCUCCCCAUUUUCUCUUCUUUCUUCUUUCUCUCUUGCCUUCGCCGCCGCUCCACCACCCCGUCCGCCACACCACACCUUGCUCAUGGUCCUCACAUAUGAUGAGCAUGGUGGGUUCUUCGACCAUGUUCCCAGGCCGGUCGACGGCGUGCCUAGUCCCGACGACAUUGUUGGCCCACCGCCGUACAACUUCACGUUCAACAGGUUAGGGGUGCUUGUCCCGGCCAUCUUGAUCUCUCCAUGGAUUGAGAAGGGAACAAGUCAGUCAUCACUUCUUUGUUAAUACUAUAUGAAAACGGAUGCCAGAUUUGCUCAAUGUACAUUCGUUGCUGAUAUUUGUUUGGGUUUCAGUUAUGCAUGGGCCGAAUGGAAGUCCGUCCCCGAUGUCGCAAUUCGAGCAUUCUUCAGUCCCUGCAACCGUGAAGAAACUGUUCAAUCUGCUUCGGGAUUUCCUGACCAAAAGAGACGCGUGGGCUGGGACCUUCAAAGGCGUCGUGCAAACCAGAACUGAACCGAGGACAGAUUGUCCAGGUAAUUUGUCAAGUUCAGCAUAGGACCUGGCUUGUUUUGUAUUCUGUCUGUGAGUUGUCUGCUUAUCCAUUAAAGUUGUGAAAUGUGCAGAGCAACUCCCGACGCCGACGAGGAUCCGUCAGACGGAGGCGAACGAGGAGGCGAAGCUGAGCUCGUUCCAGCAGGAGAUCGUGCAGCUGGCGGCGGUGCUGUACGGAGACCACCAGCUGAGCAGCCUGCAGCAGAGGAUCAGGGAGAGGAUGAACGUGAGGGAAGGGACCUCCUACAUGAGGAGCGCCGUGCGGCGCUUCUUCGAGGCCGGCAUGUCGGCCAAGAGAAUGGGCGUCGCCGACGACGAGCAGAUCGUCAAAAUGAUGCCCUCCCUCACCACCAGGACAUCCAGUGCGGACCAAGAUAAUCUUCCGUAGAGAGCACACAUACACACAUGCAUAGGAAAUUGAUUGGUGUUGGGGAAUUUUUGGAAAAUGUUUAGAAACAGCCGGAUGAAUUCUUGGCCUCGUCAGCCGCGUCCGUCACCGUGCGAUCGCACGCAACCGUGGGGCGCAGAGUGCUCUCUGUCCCCCACGUAAAGUAACUUCACCUAUCGUGACGUCUGAAGCUGACUGGCACCAUGAUUGUUUAACAAUUUCCUCAUACUUCUUUCUCACACGUAGAGCUUGGCCACGUACCUACACAUGUACGUGACUAGUAAGCAUCGAAACUUCUUGACGUUGAUUAUGGGUGUUUGUUGAAUUUGGUACUAGCAUGCUCAUGGAUUCAUGAUUGUUUGGAUAUAGCAAUGCUUAGAGUAGUGUUCUUGACGUCUACGUCGUCCCCAUAACAGCCGUCGAAGCAUAUCCGUCAUCAUAGCUUCAUCACAACAGUCGGGUUGUCGUCGCAGCAUCGUCAAAACAACCAUGUCAUCAUCACGGCACUGCCACAGGUGGGAAGCACGCCGUCGUAGCAGUCGGGCCUUCGUUGGAGCGUCGUCGCGAUCAUCGAAGCAGGCCGUCGUAGCAGUCGGGCCUUCGUCCGAGCAACGCCGCGAUCAUCGAAGCACACCCUCGUAGCAUGGUCAUGAUCGAUCGAAGCACGCCGUCGACGCGGUUCAUCGCAACAUCACUGCGGCUGUCACAACAUCAUCAAAGGAUCCAGGUUGUUGACGCAGCGUCGUCGCAACCGUUGAAGCACCCGCCGCGGCCGUCUCAACAUAAUUGAACCAAACAGGUUACCGUUGUGGCACCGCCGCGGCCGUCGAAGCAUAAACACCAUCAUAGCGUCACCGGAGCAACCAGGUUGUUGUUGUAGAAUCGCCGAAACAGCCGUGCCAUCAUCGCGGAACUGCCACGGCAGGAAAGCUCGUCGUCGCCGCAGUCGGGCCUUCCUCGGAGCAUCGCCGCAAUCAUCGAAGCACGCCGCUGCAUCAUCGACGCGCCGUCGCGUUUCGUUGCAAAUCAUCGUGGCAGCCAAAGCACGACAUCACAUCGUAGGAGCCGGGUUGCCAUUGUAGCAUAGUCACAGUUCUCGAAGCACCCUCACGGCCGUCGCAACAUCAUUUGAAGUUGACAGGUUGCCGUCGUGGCUCCGCCGCAGCUGCCAAAGCACGUCGUCGCGCCAUCGCCACCGCUGCCGAAGCAUGUCAUCACAAACAUCAUUGAAACGGCCGUGAUUUCAUCGAAGGUGCCGGGCUGCCAUCGCAGAGACCGUUGUCCAAUGUCGCAGCACUGCUCGCGCCCUCACACUACACUCGCAACAGCCGGACCACCCCUCGCGAUAUCGUCGUCUCGGCUUGCAGCGCGUUUGGUCUCGUAUGCAGCAGCCACCCCCGCCGCUGGUCUUUUGAAGCAGCUCAUGUCGCUGCGUGAGCAUGGACGUUUUUCUUUUUUUAGGGCAAUGGCUGACUUGCUACUUAACUGAUACUACUAUACUACAGGAGCAUAGAUGACUCUGGGUCACGUAUGCGUUGAUGCGCUAUACCAACUAGGCUACGUGGAGUCGCUACUUAGAGUAUUACUAGUAGAGUCCUCAUUGUCUCAAAAAAAAACUAGUAGAGCCCUCAAACCCUUAAACCCCUGAAAAUAACCGCUUUUUUUACAGCUUUCGCCGAAAAAAUGCCGUAGACUAGAACCUCUAAACCCUCAAACCCGUAAAAAAAUUUAGAGGUCCAACCCUCAAACCAAUUUGCAAUCUGUAGAAGUAGGGGUUGAGGGGAAAAUCUCCCCCCAACCCACACUCCUCCUUGUCGCUCGCUCCGAGCCCACGCGGGAGCCAACCGCUCCUCCUCCCGCCCGCGUCCCGCCGCACUCCUCCUCGUCGCCGGCCAUGGAAGGCCCCGCCGCCGCCGCGCCCCCGCCCGCCGCGCCCGCCGCUCCCNNNNNNNNNNNNNNNNNNNNNNNNNNNNNNNNNNNNNNNNNNNNNNNNNNNNNNNNNNNNNNNNNNNNNNNNNNNNNNNNNNNNNNNNNNNNNNNNNNNNNNNNNNNNNNNNNNNNNNNNNNNNNNNNNNNNNNNNNNNNNNNNNNNNNNNNNNNNNNNNNNNNNNNNNNNNNNNNNNNNNNNNNNNNNNNNNNNNNNNNNNNNNNNNNNNNNNNNNNNNNNNNNNNNNNNNNNNNNNNNNNNNNNNNNNNNNNNNNNNNNNNNNNNNNNNNNNNNNNNNNNNNNNNNNNNNNNNNNNNNNNNNNNNNNNNNNNNNNNNNNNNNNNNNNNNNNNNNNNNNNNNNNNNNNNNNNNNNNNNNNNNNNNNNNNNNNNNNNNNNNNNNNNNNNNNNNNNNCGAAGCGGCAGCGGGCGGGCCUCGCGGCGCCUCCUCCCGCCUCCCAGCCUCCCGCCCCGGCCCCCGUCUCCGCCCCGGCGCCUGCCCCCGCCACGGCCCCGGUGCCCGCCCCCAAGAAGAGCCGGCCGAAGGCGGCCGGCCAUGGGCCUCGAGGGGCCGCCAAGGUCGUCGGCUCAUGCCCGGCCGUGAAGAAGCCGCGGAAGAAGCCCGCCGCCGCGGCCGCGGCCCGCCCGCCACCAUCGCUGAACCUUCUCCCGCCGCGCACGAGGUGCUCGAGGAAAUGGCAACCCCAUCCUCAUUCAUGGACCUCCUCCAAAACGCGGAGGUGGACCUCGGAGCUCCGCCUCUAGACCCCUUUAGGGUUGGCGACGACUUGGAGGAAAAGGAGGAAGAUGAGGAGGAUGAAGGGGAUGACGAGGAGGAGGUGGCCGAGAUAGGGGUGGAGGCAUUCACCGCCGCUUCCCGCCCACACGCUCGAUCGACAAACUACACCGAGGCGGAAGAUGUCCUCUUGGUUCGUGCUUGGGCAGCUGUGGGAAUGGAUGCUACCACCGGCACCGAUCAAACCGGUAAACUCUAUUGGCAAAGGAUCGAGGACGUCUAUUGUAGGAUCAAGCCGAAGACUAGUGGGUUCAUCCAUCGCACUUACCGGUCGCUUCAAGGCCGGUGGGAGUUGAUCAAGCCCGCUUGUUCUCGUUGGACUGCGGCCAUUGGCCAAGUGAUGGAUGCACCACCUAGUGGAACCGUGGAGAGUGACUAUGUGAGUACAUAUUUCUUCACUAUUUUGAUUAUGUGUCUGCACUAUGCUAUUGGUGGGUUCUUAUGUGAUUUAUGUGUGGUUGAUAGGAGACAAUUGCCGGCUUGAGGUACAAGGAGAUGGCCGCUUCCAAGGGCAAGCCAUUCCCAUUUAAGCAUGUUUGGUCAAUUCUUCAAACCUUUGACAAGUGGAAGUUGAGGGAUCAAGAGACCGCACCCAAGAAGUCGGCAAUGCUAAGGAUGGACGAUAGUGAAGAUGAGGAGGAGAGGAACGUGGGCAAGCCCGAGGGAAACAAGAAGGGCAAGCUAAGGGUGAAGAUGGAAGAAGAGGCGUCAAGCCUAAGGGAGAAGAUGGACCACAUGAUGAAGGCAAGAGAGGAAUUGACAACGAAGACAUUGGAGAUGAAGCUUCUUAUCACCGAGAAGAAGAAAGAGGUCAAGCUUGCACAAGUUGAAGCAAAACGUGAAGAAGCAAAGCGCAAGGCCGAGUUGGAGGAGAGGAUGAUCAAGCUCAAAGAGGCAAAGGUAUAGAAAGAACUCAUUGUGGAAGAGAAAGAGCACAUGAUGAUGUCCAAGAAGGACAUGGAUCAAGAGCAAUUGCAAUGGUGGAAGGACUACAAGGAGGACAUCGCCGAGAGGAAGAGGAUGUUCCGUGUUGCGUCCUCUACUUUUCGAGGUGACACUCCGAUGAGUAGUUGUGGUGAUGGCGGUGUGUACGACUCCACCGGUGCCGAUGGAGAUGCUUGAUGGAGCCCGCUUGUGGUCUAGGAGAUGGCGCCGAGGUGCAACUUUUGGUGAUGGUGCCGAUGAGAGGAGGAAGAUGAUGAUUUUGUGAUGUAAACUAUUAAACCAUGCAUCAAUGAUUGUCAUUUGAUAGUUUGUUUGGAAGUUGAUUGUGUUCUUGUUGUCAUAAAUUGUGAGUUCUCAAAUGAUAGAUUUAAAUGUUAGGGUUGAGGCAAAGACUAGAACCCUCAAAUCCAACCCUUAAAGCAGUUUACGGGUUGGGUUUGAGGGUUCUAGUAUUUGCCCCUAUUUUUGAACCCUUAAAAAUGUCAAAAAGUGGCACUUCUCAAUCCUUAAAAGUGCUUUAAGGAUUUGAGGGUUUGAAGGUUCUACUAGUAAUGCUCUUAGGGCAUUAGUUAAAACGGGCCGGACUCGCGUGGAUCGGACGGUUCACAAGAUGGACAGGUCGAACCAAUCGAGUGGCUGGCCACCCGGCUGAUCAGCCGGAUGACGCCGCAUCCGCCAUUUUUUUUACUAGUACUACACAUAGAAGAUCAGCCAGCGUAUGUAGCGUAGCCAGUACCAUACGGUGUGCUCGUGCUAUAUGGGAUGGAAGUGCUGUAGGAUGGAUGGAUUCGGCAAUACAUGGGCGGUAAAAAAACCAAACAUUCGUUCUAUGUGGUAUACAAGCAAUGCAUCAUUGCCCCUGUCACAGGCCGAAUAUGUUGAGUGAACCGCCGCGUCACGAAGCAAGUCCUGACCAUCAAGCAGGGGAAAUAGUUCAUCCUGACCAUCACCGUGGAGUCACUGGCUGGUUGUGACUACAAACCUAAUUAGCAAUGCUAAUUAACAUGUUGAUCUAAAGCCAUGACAAGUCAGGAGGCUAGGACCCCAUUCCCCGCUCGGUUGGCACCUGGUACACUACACAGAGCUCUCCGGUGCGUUGGCCACCUGGGUUUUAAAAUAUAUAUAUGCAGUGUAUGUAGAAUUGAUUUGCAACUUUGCCGAGUAUUGCCCGUCUAGCUCAGUUGGUAGAGCGCGAGGCUCUUAACCUUGUGGUCUUGUGUUCGAGCCCCAAGGUGGGCGUCCAAUUGUUUUUCAUUUACCUUACUCAUUUAAUUGGACUGAAUUACUUGAAGUUGCUUUACAAAACUUUCUACCCUUUUCCUUCAAAUUUACAAGUUCAAUGUUUCAUAUUGGUUUACUAAAUGACCCCACUUUAUCGUUCACUACGUGGAAUAAGGCCGAAAAAACGCAAACUAGGGAUAUGCAUCAUAAAAGUCAAAGGUAAAACCAAGAUAUUUAAAGUUGUUUUCCAUCUUGAUGUUCCAGUGGGACUCACUUAAGAAAAAUGCACAACAAAAAAUCCUUCUGAAUUGGACUAAUCUCAGAAUUUUGAAAAACCGGAUGAGUCGAAUAUUGUGAGAACCUAAAAUCAUUGCACGUCUGGACACAUUUUGGUCGAAGACAAGAGGUUUGCAAGGUGAACUACCACUGCUUCCUUGUUGUACUAUCGACAACGAAGAUCUUAGGUACAAAAGAUAUAAAUUGGGCGAAGCUCUAAUCAGAACACAUGUGAUGCCACUGUGGACACCAUCAUUGCCAAGAGGUUUGCAAGGUGAGCCCUCAUUGAUGUACCGUGAGAGACCACCACUACCAAGAUAAUCAGAUGUUUUAUGAUAACAAAACACCACAGAUUUUCUUUCAAAAAGAAAGAUGUAUGAGAUAGCCCUGCGUUUUUCCCUCCUGCAACAGUAGAUGCCAUUACAGCUGAGGCGUUGAUAUGUGUUGGGUUUGGUUUUUCGUGGCGUGUUGGCUCUGUUUGGCACUCUGUAGUUUGUUGUUUCCAUCAUCCGUUGGUUUUUGUUUGCUUCCCCUCACUCGAUUUCACUCACAUUUUCCCUUCUUUCCAUAACUUUGUUUUUUGGAGUUACUGGAAGCAUUUGGGAGCGAGGGAGGCGAGAGGAUGCAUGAGAGGGCGAGUUCACGAGAUUCUCGCUAAGGUUGCAACAUAAUCCCAAAAGCAUCGGAGCCCAAACAUAAAGCACUUAUUACAACACAACAAGGAACAAAACCCCAAAUUUAGCUGACCAGACAUAAGCAGGUUAAAAAAGGGACCGGCAAAAAAAAAAACAGUGUUGAUGAAAAUACGACACAAGGGGUGCGCCUAUUUCUUGUCCUCAAUGAUAUUUGAGUUGUUCCAUUCUGUUCUUGACCUCCCCACCUUCUCGAUGUCAUUUGUAUUCCAUUUGAUCCUAUUUGCUUAAGAAUAGUUGUGGUUUCAAUCAUAAUUCAUACCAUUUUGUUGGUUGAUGUUGUGAAUCAGGGGAAUAUUGAAUAAAUCUAGAUUGGAAGAUUGUCGAAGGAAGAACUGGAAGGGGAAAAACUGGAGCGCCUUAUCCUCCAGCCUCCUCUCUCUCUGUAUUCUAUAUGGAUAUGUCCUUUUUCAUCUUAGCCUUGCCACUAUUACAUAUUCACACAUUUACACAACUCAACACUCCCCCUCAAGAUGAGGUAAAUGCAUCAUAUAAUCCCAUCUUGCUACAAUGGAUAGAAAACAUUCUAUCUGGUAAGCCCUUAGUCAAGAUGUCUGCAAGCUGGUUUGAGGAGCUCGCAUAUGUCAUACAAAUAAUUCCUUGAUCCAACUUCUCUUUAAUAAAAUGCCGAUCAAUUUCAACAUGCUUUGUUCGAUCAUGUUGUACAGGAUUUUGUGCAAUAUUAAGGGCUGCCUUAUUAUCACAAUAUAGCAUCAAUGGUUUAGUCUGAUAUAAACCCAGCUCCAUCAAAAGGAUUCGCACCCAUAACACUUCACACACUCCAUCUGCCAUGGAUCUAAAUUCUGCCUCAGCCGUGGACCGCGCUACAACACUUUGCUUUUUGCUGCGCCAUGUGACAAGAUUACCUCCAACAAAUGUACAGUAGCCUGAUGUUGACCUUCUAUCAUCCAAAGAGCCUGCCCAAUCUGCAUCUGUAUAACAUUCCACCUGUAGAUUUCCAUGUGAUGUAUAUAGUAGACCUCGACAUGGACAUCCCUUAAGAUAGCGAAUAAUUCGGAUCACAGCAUCCAUGUGGCGAGUCCGUGGAUCAUGCAUAAACUGGAUAACAACACUUACAGCAAAAGCAGUAUCAGGACGAGUGUGUGAAAGAUAAAUCAAUCGUCCAACAAGCCUUUGAUAGCGUUCUCGAUCCACGGGAGAUCCGGCUUCACUAACUAGGCGAUGAUUUUGCUCAAUGGGAGUGGGAGCUGGACGACAUUUGGAUAGCCCAGUUUCUAGUAAUAAAUCUAAAAUAUACUUUCUUUGACAGAGAUAAAUACCUUUUUUGCUCUGAGAGACCUCAAUUCCAAGGAAAUAUCGUAAUUGUCCAAGAUCUUUCACCUCAAACUCCUUCGCUAGCCGCAUCUUCAAGUGUUCUAUUUCCUUAGUAUCAUCUCCUGUAAUGAUGAUAUCAUCGACAUAGACUAUCAGUAUAGCUAACUUGCUCAUAUUACGCUUAUAGAACGAGGUAUGAUCAGCAUUACUCUGAUGAUAGCCCAUUUUAAGUAAGGAUCUCCUAAAACGAUCAAACCAAGCUCGAGGCGAUUGCUUUAAUCCAUAUAAGGAUCGAUGCAGCCGCAACACUUUAUCCUUAGUCUAAGCAGUGUCAAAACCCGGUGGUAUACACAUAUAAAUUUCUUCUUGAAGAUCCCCAUGGAGAAAGAAAUUUUUUACAUCUAGUUGAUGAAGAUCCCAACCAAGAUUAGAUGCACAUGAUAUUAAAGUUCGUACUGAACUCAUCUUAGCAACAGGUGCAAAGGUUUCUUCGUAAUCAAUCCCAUAUGUUUGUGUGUAUCCCUUUGCCACCAGACGUGCCUUAUAUCGCUCCACCUUGCCAUCAGGGUUCUGCUUGAUCGUAUACACCCACUUGCAACCCACAGGCUCCUUGCCAUGUGGUAGUUUUACGAGUUCCCAUGUGUUAUUUUUCUCCAAAGCCUUCUUUCCUCCAGCAUUGCUUCCUUCCAUUUAGGAUGUUUAAUGGCAUCUCUCCAAUCUGUGGGUAUAGAGGUAGAGUCCAAAGAAGCAAUGAAGGUCUUAAAUGAGGGGCUGCAAUUUUCAUAAGAGAUAAACUUAGCAAUAGCGUGCUUAUAACCCACACAAUCCUUAAGACGUGCUGGUAUGUCUCGAUGUCUCACAGGUUUCCGUAAGGCGAUAGGGCAAUCAUCAAGUGGAGAUCUAGGAGCUGCAAUAGGAAUUUCAGUACCUUCCUCAGUCGUGUCAUCAGUACAACCAUCAACUAAUGGAGAAUCAGUAGGAUCCAUAGCAUGUCCGCUACCUUCCUCUGUUUCUUCACGAGGCACUGAAUCAAGAGGCAAUGACAUGUAACUUGUAGACAGAGGGUUGUCAUGUUGUAUAACUUGUUGAGGAGUAGGAGUGUCACAUACCUCAUGAACGGUUGAGCUGCUCCUACUCUCAUUAGUACUCGCAUUUUCCUCCCCCUCCGUUCCUUGAUCUGGUUGAGAUAUAUCUAGCAAAGGAAUCAAAACUGAACCAAUACGAACAUCUCCCUUAUCAUAAUUCUCCCCCUCACGACCAAUACUAUCAAUAGUAUUGAUGGCUGACGUGUAAUAAGGUUCUUUCUCCCGAAAAGUGACAUCCAUACUCACAAAAAAACCGUUUCUCAGUAGGGCACCAACAACGAUAGCCUUUUUGAGUAGAAGAAUACCCAACAAAAAUGCAUCUGACAGCACGGGGAUCAAGCUUUCCCACCGAGUUCCUGUAAUCAUGAACAAAACAAACACAACCAAACACCUUUGGUGGUACAAUAAACGAAUUAGUACCACUCAAGCAUUCAAUUGGUGUUUUAUAAUUCAAAACCCGUGAUGGCAUGCGGUUUAUUAAGUAUGUUGCUAUUUUAGUGGCCUCGCCCCAAAGAAAUUUUGGUACAUUCAUUGUAAACAUGAGGGACCGAGGCACCUCCAAUAAAUGUCUAUUUUUUCGUUCAGCGACUCUAUUUUGAGCAGCAGUGUUCACACAUGUAGUCUGGUGUAUGAUGCCAUUUGAAGCUAGAAAAUAGUCAAACUCCCGAUUAACAUACUCGGUUUCAUUGUCAGAGAGAAAUAUUUUCACUCUUGCAUUAUAUUGAUUGCAAAUCAAGGCAUAAAAGUCUUUAAAUGCAGAUAACACAUCACACUUUUGUUUGAGAAAAUAAAGCCAAGUAUGUCGACUAAAGCCAUCGAUAAAAGUCACAAACCAACGCUCUCCUAAUAGAGAGGUUACAGCUGAGGGACCCCAAACAUCUGAGUGCACAAUUUCAAAAGGGGUUUGACUUCUCUCACUACUACUAGGAUAAGUAGCCCGCGUAUGCUUAGCUAGUUCACAAACAUCACAUACAAGCUUAUCCUUGCAGCAGGAAGCAAAAAAUGAUGGAAACAUACGACUUAGGACUUGGAAAGAUAAAUGCCCAAGUCUACAAUGGAGCAACAACAACUCAUCUGUGGAUGAGGUACAUGCUGUAGCAAAUGCAAGUGGAGCUGCAACAUUGUCAAGAUAGUACAGGCCAUCACGCUCAGUUCCAGUCCCAAGUAUUUUUCCUGACUUCAGGUCCUGAAAUACACAGAAUUGGGGCUCAAACAAAGCUCUGCAAUUAAGUGACUUUGUGAUUGAACUGACAGACAGAAGGUUCACAGGGAAAUCGGGAACAUGUAAGACAAGACUUAAAGGUAAGGACGGUGUACAAAUAAUGGUUCCACAUCCCAUUAUGGAAGACGAAGACCCAUCAGCUAUACGGACCUUAUCCUUUCCUGAACGAGGUAUGUAUGAUGAAAAAUAUUUUUGUGAACCCGUCAUAUGAUUUGUGGAACCCGAAUCAUUUAUCCAGGGCACAAGUAAAUGGUUCUCACCUUCUGCACUCCGAGAGCUGGCAGCCUCACUAGAUCCUUCAGCAGUAACAGCCAUCAAUUUUGCCUUGAACUCUUCUAGAGCCCGAGCAACAAUUGCAGGUAACUCUCCUGUGGAUGAUGCAAGAUGAACUCGGUCUUGUUUCUUCUCGAAGUUGUUACCGCUGCCGUUGAACCUGUUUAUUUUCCUUUGCUGCCAUCCUAGAGGAUAACCAACCAACUCGAAACAAUCCUUUUUCAUAUGGCCUGGUCUCUUACAAUGAUCACAGACAACUUUGUUUCUCCGUUUGUGGUCAAACUUGGUAGUAUUUGCUUGACCACUUCUAAAGCUAACAGAGGUUUGUGUGUGAGUAAGUGCAGCACGAUUAUCACCAUGCAUCUGUGGCAUUGCUUCCUGAUUAGCCAAACGAGUUUCUUCUUCAAGAAUACUGGCAAUAGUUUCAUCCAAGGUAGGCCAGUCAGGAGAUGCUUGUAUCAUCUGAGAGCGAAGUUUGAACUCAGGAUUCAAACCUUCCAGGAAAACCUGCACCAACAAUGGUUCGAACCAUUCUCUGAGGAGAGACAAAUCUCUAGGAUCAUGUGGCUUGAAUGGUCUAAAAAACUCUAGAUCCCUGUAAAGUUUCUUGAGUUCCCCUGCGUACUCUGUAACUGAUCUCUGGUCUUGCCUCAAGUGCAACAUCUCAUGUAGUAUUCUGCUAACCUGCAUUUUGUUUGAUUUACCAGAAAACUGUUUUUCAAUACUUGUCCAGACUUUAGCGGCAGUUUGAAAACUUUCAACUUGUUCCCGAACAGUUUUUUCCAUUGAGCCCAACAGCCAAACCAUUACUCGCUUCUGAUUUUGUUCCCAUUGUUCCUUCAUUACAUCUUCUGGCUUUUUCUCAUCUCCAUUUAGGUACUUAUGCAGACCAUGCGCUUCCAGAAUUAAUGACGCAUUGCGAGCCCAACUAAAAUAGUUACCCGGACCAGUCAAUUUUACUAGAUUUGGCUCGAGGAUAGACUUCAGAAUUUCAGUCGAGCUACUAGACUUCACCUGUGCUUGUUCCAUCAGCUGAGCAAGCAUUCACUGCAUACUUUCACAUAAUUUCUCAACACUUGAGUCCACAUCCUUGUCCUUGUCUUUGUCUCCCAUGGUCACUAGCUAGCAAGAGAACUCUACAAGAAUAGACCACAACACAACACUCGCAGGUCACAAGUUCUUAUGAGCUGAACUCACCACAAACAAAUCAGCCCAGCAAACGAAGUUGCCCCAACCACAGAAAGAACGGGAUCACAAAGGACUCGAACUGACCAGAAUCUUGACAACUUACGGUGAGAACAGCACCGCACCGUAUUCGUCGUUCGUCUCCGCCGAACCUCGAUCCUGCUCAACCACCACCAAUGUCGCACACUGGACUUUCUCCAAAUGCGGCCAUGCUUGGCUCCGCCAAAUCGCAAAGGAUCUGAGCGAAGACAAGGUCCAGCCGCCACAGCGAAUCGACGGCGGCAACACCUCGAUGAUGUGGCGUCGCGGCACAAUAGGGACAGCCAAAUCCGCUCAAAAUCGUGGUAGAGACGCAAUAGGAUCGUCUUGCUCCGAUGCCAUGUUGUGAAUCAGGGGAAUAUUGAAUAAAUCUAGAUUGGAAGAUUGUAGAAGGAAGAACUGGAAGGGGAAAAACUGGAGCGCCUUAUCCUCCAGCCUCCUCUCUCUCUGUAUUCUAUAUGGAUAUGUCCUUUUACAUCUUAGCCCUCCAACUAUUACAUAUUCACACAUUUACACAACUCAACAGUUGAUAGCUUGAUGUCAUGCAUACACAUCACUUGUGGUGCGUGUAUGUGUCUCUUGUUAUGUUAUUGCAAACGAAAUGCAUGUAACAUUGUUAUGCCUAUUAUAUCCCCACAACCAAAUACAUCUAUACACUUCCACUAUCCCGCAUACAAAAUGAAUCUCGGCCAGGCUAAAAGUACACAAUAGUUUAGAAUCUAUGAGGAAGAGUAGGAGAGAUGUGGUAUGGCUAGUCUUGGUCACCCAGACCAACUUUCUCCGGAUAUCUGCCUUGCCUAACCUUGCUCACCGAACUGAAGGUCAAGACUACAUAACAAAACCGUAUGUAUUGUAAAUUAUUCCACAGUAGCUAUAUAUAAGUUGACUAAAUUGAUUAAAUUAAAAUGUCUAACAGGAAAGAUACCAUCAGGUGGACGUUCACUAGUAGAAAAAGGGCCUAUUGUCCCGGUUCAUAAGGGCCUUUAGUCCCGGUUUUGGAACCGGGACUAAAGGGUCGUUACUAAAGCCUCGCCCUUUAGUACCGGUUCUUACACGAACCGGGACUAGAGGCCGUCCACGUGGCCGCUGCCUGGAGGUCCACCUUUAGUCCCGGUUCGUGGCACCAACCGGGACUAAAGGAAAUUUUAUGUUUUUUUUGAAUUUUUUUAUUUUCAAAUUUCUAAAUUAUUUUAACCUCUAAUCACCCCUCAUCACUGCUCAAUUUAACCUCUAAUCUCUAAUCACCCCUCAUCACUGCUCAAUUUAACCUCUAAUCUCUAAUCACCCCUCAUCAUUCUAAAUCAUCUAACUUCCCGAACGGUCACCCAUCCUCUCACUACCCCAACCUGAGCACGCUUAACUUCCGGGUUCUAUUCUUCCUCGUUUCCAAGUCUGCACUUGUUGUUUUCCUGACAAUAGUAAGAUGUCAAUCCUAUUAACCCUCAGGAAUUUAGCUUGAGCAUGAAGUCACACAUUUCACUGUUUGAGUUUGAAACUAUCAUUCUAAAAAACAAUAAUUAUUUAGUAACACUAAUAUUUCUUGAAUAAGUAGUUUGACCACAGUUUGACCAUAGUUUGACCAUAUUUGACCAAAAUUCAAAAAAACAAAAUAAUUAUUUAGAAACACUAAUAUUUCUUGAAUAAGUAGUUUGACCAUUGUUUGACCAUAGUUUGACCACAGUUUGAUCAUAGUUUGACCAGAUUUGACCAAAAUUCAAAAAAAACUGUAAUAAUUAUUUAGUAACACUAAUAUUAUUGAAUUAUUAUUUAGUAACACUAAUACUUGUUGAAUAAGUAGUUUGACCAUAGUUUGACCAGAUUUAACCAAAAUUAAAAAAAUGAAAUUUGAGCAUAAUUUUUUUUCCUUUUAGAAUUUGAGGAUUCAAAAAAUUUCCAAACAGGCCGUAGACGGUCAAAAUCGGAUGCGGAUUUUCGUGCUGAACAUUUUGAUAUAUUAUACGUUUUUUUGACAUCGUAUGCAAAAGUUAUAGCCGUUUUACAUUUUCCCUACACUUUUUGCAAAACAUGUCCAAAUUUAAGUUUUUAAAUUUUUCUAACUAGUACAUGUAGUAACAUAACUACAUUUGGAAGGAUUUAAAUUUUUGAAGCUUUUAUUCAUUUUCUUUUGCUUUUUAAAAAAUUGAAAAGGCGAUCCACGGGGGGGAGGGGGGUGUGUGUUGAAAAUGGGACCGGUACUAAUGCCUCAAACCCCAUUAUUACCUGUUGGUUGCUUGAACCGGGAUUAAAGGUCUAACCUUUAGUACCGGUUGAUGCCACGAACCGGUACUAAUGGGCAUCGCACCCUUUAGUCCUGCUUCAUGGCACCAACCGGGACUAAAGGUCCCCAUUUGAACCGGGACCAAUGCCUGUACGGUGCCCUAGCCGCUCGAACCGGGACUAAUGCUCACAUUAGUCCCGGUUCGUAAUGCAACCGGGAUUAAUGCUCUUUUCUGCCCGAACGUAAACCCUGUUUCUACUAGUGGUUGACAUCUGAUGGUGUCUUCACUAUAAAAUCUUUUCUAUAGACAACUUGUUACUGUGUACUUUUAGCCUGGCUGACAUCUGAUGAUACAGUAGCUUCCAACAGAAAUGUAUGUGGAAAAUAAAAGUUACUCCAAAAAUUAGAGUGUUUUAUGGCUGAUGGUUAAGAAAAGCAUAUUAACCAAAUACAAUUUGCCGAGGAGAGGUUGGAUAGGUAAACAAAUAUUUUGCUCUUGGUGGUAUGUUCAUUUUCUUUCAAAUGCUUAGUUGCUAAAUUGGUUUGGAUUUUGUUCAAAUGUCCUUUAGAUUUGAGAAAUCUUCCUAACACUUAAACACUUGUUUUGGUAUUUGGAUUAAAAAGUUUUUCAAAGAUAAACAAGAAUCUGGUAUUUGUGGGGGUUUCUGCCAUCUUCUGGACUAUAUGGAGAUGCGUGAAUAAUAUUGUGUUUGAGACAAAACCCAAUUUUAAUCCUAUUAUUCACAUCAAUUUGAUAUGUCAUUGUAUAUCUUAUUGCGCCAUUCUGUAGAUAAAGGAAAUCGAAGGGUCCUGAUGUUGGGGGUAAUAGUGAUACAACAUGUGGGAAAUGAAGUGCAUAGAGCUUCACAAAGGUGGAAACCAGGAGUUCUCAGGAAUUAGUAACUGAUACUAGACUCGUGCUUCAGAAUUUUUCUAGAGGCUGACCUUUGCUUGGUGAUGUCCUUCCUCUGAAUGCUAAUGCCUAACUUGGUUCUAUCUUCUGGAUUUGUAGUUGUGGUUGGGCUCUAGGUUUGCUGCUGGUAGUUUCUGAUGUUGAUGAGUUUAGAACUAUGGUAGUUUCUACCGCAGAUCCGAAGGCAAGAUCUUUGUUGCCAAAAAUGGAACCGUUCUAGAGAAGGAGUUUCUCUCGAAAGAAGUGAGUGGAAGGAAAGUAGAACUUGAUGAGGUAACUAUACCUUCUCUCAAUUAGGAAAGUAACUCAUCCGAGAAAUUCGUUCCCGUGAUGCCUACACCAACUGGAGAGGAAGCUAGUGAUAAUGAUCAUGAAACUUCAGAUCAAGUUGCUACAGAACCUCACAGGUCAACCAGAGCACGAUCUGCACCAGAGUGGUACGGUAAUCAUGUUCUGGAAGUUAUGUUACUUGACCAUGAUGAACCUAUGAACUAUGUAGAAGCUAUGAUGAGCCCAGAUUCCAAUAAAUGGCUUGAGGCCAUGAAAUCUGAGAUAGGAUGGAUGUAUGAGAACAAAGUGUGGACUUUGGUGGAUUUGCCCGAUGAUCGGCGAUCCAUAAAGAAUAAAUGGUUCUUCAAGAAGAAGAUUGACGCUGAUGGUAGUUAUUGUCUAUAAAGCUCGACUUGUCGCAAAAGGUUUUCGACAAGUUCAAGGAGUUGACUACGAUGAGACUUUCUCACCCGUAGCGAUGCUUAAGUCUGUCUGAAUCAUGUUAGCAAUUGCCGCAUUUUAUGAUUAUGAAGUCUGGCAAAUGGACGUCAAAACUGCAUUCCUUGAUGGAUUUCUUAGAAAAGGGUUGUAUAUGAUGCAACUAGAAGAUUUUGUCGAUCCUAAAGGUGCUAACAAAGUGUGCAAACUCUAGCGAUCCAUCUAUGGAUUGGUUCAAGCAUCUCGGAGUUGGAAUAUGCGCUUUGAUGAGGUGAUCAAAGCUUAUGGUUUUAUAAAGACUUUCGGAGAAGCCUGUAUUUAUAAGAAAGUGAGUGGGAGCUCUAUAGUAUUUCUAAUAUUAUAUGCGGAUGACAUAUGUUGAUUGGAAAUGAUGUAGAAUUUCUGGAUAGCAUAAAAGGAUACUUGAAUAAGUAUUUUUCAAUUAAAGACCUUGGUAAUGCUACUUACAUAUCGGGCGUCAAGUUCUAUAGAGAUAGAUCAAGACGCUUAAUAGGACUUUCACAAAGCACACACCUUGACAAGAUUUUGAAGGAGUUCAAAAUGGACCAGUCAAAGAAGGAGUUCUAGCCUGUAUUGUAAAGUGUGAAGUUGAGUAAGACUCAAAGCCCGACCACGACAUAAUAUAAAGAGAGAAUGAAAGUCAUUCCCUAUGCAUCAGCCAUAGGUUCUAUAAAGUAUGCCAUGUUGUGUACUAAACAUGUUGUGUACCUUGCCAUGAGUUUAGCAAGGGGGUGCAAUACUGAUCCAGGAAUAGAUCACCAGAAGAAAGUAACCAGCACGUUCAACGCUGAUGUUGGAACAGACACAACAAGAAGUAAUUGAUAAAGGUAAACCUAAGGUUCAUAUAGUGACUGCGUCACAAAACAAUGGCAUACAGAUGCUUACAAGAACACUAGGAAUCAAGUAAUCAUGUCACUAUUUGAUAAAAGGUAGCUAAAUUAGCACUUCAGACCUAAAUAUACUAAAACAAUGGCACUAGUUAUUAUACCAGAAUUGAAAAAAGGGGAUAGAAGUUAAGAGAUAACAUGCUAAAUCCUAUAAUACACAUCAAGACUACACAAUAAACAACCAUUUUGUCAUAUUUGAUAGCCAUUAAAUUUCAUCUUGGCACUUCAUUGAAUCCUUGAUUGCUGCAGUAGAAACAUGACACGGUGCAGGGGGUAAGUUUGAUGCUUGAUGGGUUUGUGCUCAAAUAUCUCAUCAUUUUUGCUAGUCCAUAGUGCCCACCACAUAGCAAAAAUGCCAGACCACAAAUGCAUCAUAUUUCAGCUAAGGAACUACGUCUUUGAACAUAAUCAGGUGUCCAGUUCCAAGACUAACAAAAAAACAAACAAAUGGGCAUCAACAUGACACUGGAAAAGACGAUUCAUGGAGGACCUGCCAGGACAAGAUACGAAAUUUUAAACUCAUACGGUGCAACAAACAACCUCAUACACGUGAAUAAACAAACAUGAUUAUAAUCAAGAUUCAUAGCUAAAAAUGGGCAGGUAACACCAGAGUUUAUUGUUGGGGAACGUAGCAGAAAUUCAAAAUUUUCCUACGAGUCACCAAGAUCUAUUUAUGGAGAGACUAGCAACGAGGGGAAGGAGAGUGCAUCUACAUACCCUUGUAGAUCGCUAAGCGGAAGCGUUCAAGAGAACGGGGUUGAAGGAGUCGUACUCGUCGUGAUCCAAAUCACCAGAGAUCCUAGUGCCGAAUGGACGGCACCUCCGCGUUCAACACACAUGCAGCCCGGUGACGUCUCCCAUGCCUUGAUCCAGCAAGGAGAGAGUGAGAGGUUGGGGAAGACUCCGUCCAGCAGCAACACAACAGCGUGGUGGUGGUGGAGGAGCGUGGCAAUCCUGCAAGGCUUCGCCAAGCACCGCGGGAGAGGAGGAGAAAGAGAGGUAGGGCUGCGCCAAAAGGAGAAGAACUUCGUGUGUUGGGCUGCCCCUUUGCCUCCACUAUAUAUAGGGGGAGAGGGAGGGCUGCACCCCCACCUAGGGUUCCCUCCCUAGGGGUGGCGGCAGCCCCAAUCCCCAUCUGGGAUGGUGGCCAAGUGGGGGGGAGAGGGAGGCGCACCAGCCAUGGGCCUUUAGGGCCCAUCUGCCCUAGGGUUUGCCCCCCUCUUCUCUCUAGGCGCAUGGGCCUUGGUGGGGAGGCGCCCCAACCCACCUAGGGGCUGGUCCCUUCUCACACUUGGCCCAUGUAUGCCUCCGGGGCCCGUGGCCCCUCCCGGUGGACACCCGGACCCCUCCGGUAGUCCCGAUACACUACCGGUGAUGUCUGGAACACUUCCGGUGGCCAAAACCAUACUUCCUAUAUAUCAAUCUUUACCUACGGACCAUUUCGGAACUCCUUGUGAUGUCCAGGAUCUCAUCCGAGACUCCGAGCAACAUUCGGUAACCACAUACAUCUAUUCCCUAUAACCCUAGCGUCGUCGAACCUUAAGUGUGUAGACCCUACGGGUUCGGGAACCAUGCAGACAUGACCGAGACGUUCUCCGGUCAAUAACCAACAGCGGGAUCUGGAUACCCAUGUUGGCUCCCACAUGUUCCAUGAUGAUCUCAUCGGAUGAACCACGAUGUCAAGGACUCAAUCGACCCCGUAUACAAUUCCCUUUGUCUAGCGGUGUUAUACUUGCCCGAGAUUCGAUCGUCGGUAUGCCGAUACCUUGUUCAAUCUCGUUACCGGCAAGUCUCUUUACUCGUUCCGUAACACAUCAUCCUGUGAUCAACCCCUUGGCCACAUUGUGCACAUUAUGAUGAUGUCCUACCGAGUGGGCCCAGAGAUACCUCUCCGUUACACGGAGUGACAAAUUCCAGUCUCGAUUCGUGCCAACCCAACAGACACUUUCGGAGAUACCCGUAGUGCACCUUUAUAGCCACCCAGUUAUGUUGUGACGUUUGGUACACCCAAAGCAUUCCUACGGUAUCCGGGAGUUGCACAAUCUCAUGGUCUAAGGAAAUGAUACUUGACAUUAGAAAAGCUUUAGCAUACGAGCUACACGAUCUUUGUGCUAGGCUUAGGAUUGGGUCUUGUCCAUCACCUCAUUCUCCUAAUGAUGUGAUCCCGUUAUCAACGACAUCCAAUGUCCAUGGUCAGGAAACCAUAACCAUCUAUUGAUCAACGAGCUAGUCAACUAGAGGCUUACUAGGGACAUGGUGUUGUCUAUGCAUCCACACAUGUAUCUGAGUUUCCUAUCAAUACAAUUAUAGCAUGGAUAAUAAACGAUUAUCAUGAACAAGGAAAUAUAAUAAUAAUAACUAAUUUAUUAUUGCCUCUAGGGCAUAUUUCCAACAUUUAUCCCUACACUAAAGCGCAACACAUAAUAUGAUUGAUUCCAAGAAAAACAUAACACUUGUUCUAUCAAUACACAAUGGCACUAUAGAACUUGUUUUAUUUUAUAGCCAUUAAAAAGUUUGAACCAUAGCAUAUGGAUGCUAUAGAAACUAAGCAUGGGCACCAUUACAAAACCUGCAGCAUGCAGUACAAAUAAAGAACCUGCCACCGAAUUACGAGAAAACCAAUUCGUCGACAAGAAAGAUCAUCACAAUUCCAAGAUUGUGGUAGGCACAAGAACACCACCACAGAAUCAAAAACUAAACCAUUGUCUCGAUGGCCAGCACCAUAGUCACACACGACAUGAUGGAGAGAGAGAGAGAGAGAGAGAGAGAGAGAGGGAGUCACUUGAACUAAGGGAGAGGCAGGCAUGACGUAUCGAUCUUUUUUAUGCCUUAGGUUUGUCCUACCUUAGUUUUUUUCGUCCUCCACCGCAGGGUGGUUUCAUAUAGAAGUCACAAAUUGUCUGAUAUUUUCAAAUCCAUUAUUAAUACCCUGGCACUUAGAGAAAUUCACAUUAGUGGUGGUAAGUACACCUGGACUAAUAACCAAGCCCAUCCCACUUUGGAGAAGCUUGAUCGCAUCCUGAUGUCUGAGUCCUGGGAGGAUCUGUUCCCUUUGGUCUCUGUCAGAAAGUUGGUUCGUGAGAUCUCAGACCAUAACCCCCUGUUAUUGUCCAGGGGUGAGGAGGGACGUGAGGCUCCGAAACCUAGAGAGUUUCGGUUCGACCUAUCUUGAGUGAAAGAUGACAGAUUCAUACCGUUGGUCCAGAAAAUUUUGUCUCGUAGGGUUUUUUCUUCUGAUCCCAUUGAUGUUUUAAACAUCAAACUCAAGAGAUUUAAGUCGUACUUUAAAGGAUGGGGUUCGGAUAGAUUUGGUCACGAUAAAAAGAGAAAGGAAGACCUUCGGAUGGAGCUGGAGAUGCUGGAAGAAGUAGAAGAAGAGGCCCCUCUUUCCCCUGAGCUAUAUAGUAGAAAGAUUGUUAUUUGUUUUGAGCUUCAUGAGCUGCUUGUCAAUGAGGAAAUAUGUUGGCUACAACAAUCACACGAGCGGUGGUUUCUCAAAGGGGACCUGAACACUGAUUAUUUCCAUCGUAUAGCGAAUGGACGUAAACGAAAAAACACGAUCCACUCCCUUAAGGCUGGUGACGUGGAGAUUGAGGGCACUGAUAAGCUGAUUGAGCAUGCCACGAAGUUCUACAAAGAACUGUUCGGUCCUGCUCCUGGGAAUCAGUUUCAUCUUGCUCCUGACACUUGGGCGCUUGAGGAAAGGCUGAGCGAGGACGAUAAUAAUGACCUGUGUAGAGAGUUCUCGGAGGAGGACGUCAAGGAGGCUUUGUUUGACAUGGCCUCCAAUAGGGCCCCAGGUCCUGAUAAUAUCCCAGUAGAAUUCUACCAGGUAUGUUGGGAUAUAGUUAAGGAGGAAAUCAUGGCCUUGUUUAGGCACUUUCAUCGAGGGGAGUUGGAUGUGCAGAGGUUGAAUUAUGGGAUUAUCACGUUGCUCCCGAAGCUUUUCGGGGCUGACAAAAUCCAACAGUUCAGACCUAUAUGUUUGCUUAGAUGCCCAUACAAGCUCAUCACAAAAGUCCUAGAUCGUCGGGUUUCGGUGUAUGCUGAUAAACUAAUUAGCCCAGUCCAGAAUGCUUUUGUCGAAGGGAGAAGCAUCAUGGAUGGUGUUCUUUCGCUUCAUGAGAUCCUAAACUACACUCAUGUGAAAAAAAGGGUUGGCGUGGUGUUGAAAUUGGAUUUUGAAAAGGCAUAUGAUAAGGUUAACUGGGACUUCUUGCUAGAGUGUCAUAAGUUGUGGGGAUUCAAUGAAACUUGGUGUGGGUGGAUUAACCAGAUCCUUCAGAAUGGCACAGUUAGCAUUAAAUUGAACAAUUGUGUAGCUCCGUAUUUUCAAAGUGCUAAAGGGGUGCGUCAAGGCGACCCUCACUCCCCAUUCUUGUUUAACUUAGCUGCUGAAUGUCUCACAAAGAUGAUUAAGAAUGCACAACAUAAUAAGCUGUUGGUUGGCUUAGCUGUGGAUUUGAUUCCUGAUGGAGUUGCGGUUCUCCAAUAUGCGGAUGACACAAUUAUUUGUCUCGAGCAUGACAUCGUCAAAGCAGUUAACCUGAAGUUGCUGCUGUACAUGUUUGAAAUGAUGUCAGGUUUGGAAGUUAAUUUUCAAAAAAGUGAGAUUUUGACUGUUGGGGGAGACGAUGCUGUUAUUAAGCAAUAUGUCGACCUCUUUAAUUGUGAUGUAGGUAGCUUCCCCAUCAAAUACUUGGGCAUGCCUGUUAGUUACACCUCAUUGAGGAACUCUGACUGGGAGUUCAUUGUGUGCAAAUAUCUGAAAAGAUUCGAAGCCUGGGUGGGCAAUGCUGCCUCCAUGGGAGGGAGACACACCCUUUUAGACUCGGUUGUCACCCAGCUAUCACUGUAUCAUAUGUCUAUGUGGUUGAUGAACAAAACUUUUAUUGAAAAACUGGAUAAGCAUAGAAGAAAAUUCUUCUGGCAGGGUUGUAACAAGAAGAAAAGAUAUUAUCUUGUGAAAUGGAGCAGAAUUUGCAGAUCCAAAGAGAAAGGUGGCCUAGGGAUUAAGGACUUGCAUAAACAGAACAUCACUCUGAUGGUGAAAUGGUGGUGGAAGCUUGAAACACAAAGUGGGGUGUGGCAAGAUAUUAUUCAUGCUCGCUACUUGCGGAAUAAAACAGUAGCGGAUGUCGCCCCAAGGUUUUCUGACUCUCCGAGUUGGAAAGCCCUAUUGAAAGUCAAGGAGAUUUAUAUGGCUGGUAGAAAAGUUAUUACUGAAUCCGGGAACAUUGCUAGGGUGUGGAGCGAUCCUAUUAACGGACUGCUUCCGUUUAAGGAUCAAUAUCCGCAGCUCUUUAAUAUCUGUAAUGUCCCUGAGUGUACCAUUAAACAAGUGCUAAGUGUGGAGACCGACUCCUUUUUCAGGCGCAGGCUUAAUCCUGCUCUUGCUGAACAAUGGGGGACAAUCUUAGAUACAGUUAACAACCUGCGUCUUACUGACAAAGACGAUCAAGUGGUUUGGAGUUUAAACCAGAAUGGUAAAUUCAGUACCAAAUCUGUUUACAAAUGGCUUGAAAAACCUCUCAACAGGUGCCAUUAUAAGUGGAUUUGAAAGGCCAAAAUUCCUCUCAAGAUUAAAAUUUUUAUGUGGCAGCUUUCGCAAGACGCGGUGUUGACUGGACAGGUGAUGCGCCAUAGGAAUUGGCCUGGGAAUCCUGUUUGUUCUUUUUGCAAUGAGAUUGAGACUUCCCGGCACUUGUUCUUUACUUGUCCUGUUGCAAAGAGUGGUGUGGCGAUCUAUUGGGGUGGCUAUUGGCACCGAUAAAUGUCCAGAUAACUAUUGGCAAUUCUUUGCUUGGUGCCACUCCUUUCUUCCUGGAGAGGGCAAGUUCUAUACGGUUGGACUUGCAGCCGCGUGCUGGGCAAUCUGGCUCGCUCGCAAUAAGGCUACGUUUGAAAAAAAAGCAAAUCAAGUCUCCUUUUGAAAUCGUGUUCUCCAUGUGCUCUUUUCUUUUGUACUGGACAGGACUGCAUAAAGGUGAAGACGCCGACAAGCUUCGAUCAGGUGCCGAGAUGAUNNNNNNNNNNNNNNNNNNNNNNNNNNNNNNNNNNNNNNNNNNNNNNNNNNNNNNNNNNNNNNNNNNNNNNNNNNNNNNNNNNNNNNNNNNNNNNNNNNNNNNNNNNNNNNNNNNNNNNNNNNNNNNNNNNNNNNNNNNNNNNNNNNNNNNNNNNNNNNNNNNNNNNNNNNNAGGAGCUUGAAGGAUCAUGCAGUUGGGAGGGCCUUCUUCCUUCAUAGUGGCUUUUUAGUUUGCGCUUUGUGAUCUUUUGUCGUGUUGGCAUGUUUGUCUCUUUUGGGUGUACUGGAGCUUGUUGCUCUUGAACUGUAUGUGUUACCAGGUUUUCGCCCCACAGCGUUCGGGUCGACGACGACCGAAUUGCAGUGGGUUUCCUGGUAAUGCUUGAACUCGCCUUACCUCUUUCCCUCCUCCUGACUCUGUUCUCGGAACUGGUUGUAUUUCCGUUGUUUGCAAUGGAAAGGGGUAAUGCCUAGUUCAAAAAAAAAUAGAAGUCGCGAGUUCGUAGAUUGUCGGUUCUUAUGUUUGAUUUAAUUGUGGUUCUGCCUCUCCCGUGUUUAUGAUCCGCGGCAUGUUGGUGCUGUUUGACAAGGCAUUCUUGGUGAUGUGCUGUCUUUGGUCAUUGUGUUUUUCUGUUAUCUAAUCAGUUUGCAAGGGGAAUUUUUUUGCACAUUGCAUUGUUUGACUAUAUGGUUUAUUCUGUAUAAAGUAGAGCGAAAGCUUGCCUCGUAAGAUAUGAUUGAUGCAGUUCCUCCACUGGCAUGCUCUUUAGUUUGCGUGCAUGUGUAUUAUUCUAAGCUAGCGGAAUCUUCCGUCGACCCAGCUGCAAGCAAAGCGGAGUUGUGCCAGUCCAAGCAAAGAAUCAAUGGAGAGUGCCAUGGACGUGUGGGCAUUGAAUUGGUACGUACUGGUACUAUAAAAACACGACGAGCAUAAGCAGCUCUCCAUCUUUCCUAAUUUCUCCCACGCUCCAGCCGCUGCUUGCGGUUUCAUGUUGUUGUCGGAGCAACAUGAGGGUGCUGAAGGAAUGUGGAGACUGCGUCUGCGCCGUGCCAACCUGCCCGCCCACGACUCAACACAGGUAGCUUCAAGACUUAAAAUCCUUAAUAUAGAACGCUCUAGAUAUUGUCGUAAAUCGUAUUCAAUUUGAUCGUACUUUCUAAUAGAUAAAAGUAUACUUUUCGUUACUCAAUUCUUGGUGGAGUCCAGAUUUAGUUUUUCAAGUCUAAAACCAGACAAUUUGCACCCACAACAAUAAAAAUCGGACAAGUUUAGUCCAUCAUCUUGGCUGACCCGGUAUUACUGCUGACUCAUUGUGGUUUUGACUGGUUUUUCAUCCACGUGGCGGUAUUUCUCUCCCCAACCUGGCCCUAUCUCUUCUCCCUAUUUCUGUUUGGGCAUUUCAUCAAACACACGAUGCGUGCCUACCAUCAGAUGGUCCUGCUAGCUACCACAUGCUGCCGUGGCCGCAUCGUGGGCUGCCUACGUACUGGCCACUCGAAGCCGGCGCCGCCUUCUCACCGCUGGCAGCGUGUAACAGUGCCGCUCCAGCACUGGUAGCCCCGUGCACCUCGCCAUGGCGCAGUUCCUUGCUGCCUGCCAACCUCUGUGCGCACCGCCGCUAGCCGCACCAGUACGAGCGACACGAGCGCGCCAGCCAUGCAGGUGACUAAGCUGACGCCCGCGUCGUUCUGGAGCUCCCCUUCAGGAAACCAACGCCGCCUAGGUACGCAUCGAGCUCGACGGUGGUCUAGCUGCUUCCGACAAGCAGCCACACGUUACUUUGCCGCCGGUGGUGCUUUCCCUCGAGCUCGCAACGCUCGCGUCCGGGGCCACAUUGGUGCGCACGUGCUGUGGCAAGGGCAAGGCCGAGGUGUCGAGGUGAAGGUGGCUUCUAUUGAUAGGUUGGUGCACCUCACCUCGAUGCCUCCUUGAGCACCCGAGCACGAGCUCCGGCACGGUGCUCAGGAGGCUUCUAUGGCUGAUUUGGGUGCACGUGCAAUGGCGGCAUGGCUCAGAGCAACUCUAGCAGAUCCCGCAUCCCGCCGACCCGUAAAACGUCUUUGUAGUUCGCGCAAAACCGCUUUUGCGGGCCAGCAUGGGCUCGCACAGAUGCAGACCCCGCAUAAUGGACCCGUAAAAAAGUAUAUUCGCGGAAUAUACUAUUAUUACGGGUCGACUUCUGCGGGUUCUGAUCUGGCGCAGCUCCUCCCGGCCCGUAAAACUUAGAUUUGCAACUUAAAUUGAUCUAGCAUAAUGCUUUUCUUUGCCUUUGCAACUACAUUAGAUACAAAAGAUAUCACCAAAUCUUGGCUAGAAUAGCAAAACCAAAGAAAACAAGAACCACAAGUAUGCAUUUCAGAAGAUUUCCAACUUCCAUAACUGCUCCCACUAGUUGAAGCAAUAUCUUCUCCAUGCACUCAUUGUUGAUCUGCGGAUUCUUGAUCUUGCUUUCUUCAUUCUUCAUCUUUGGUUCCAAAGAAGUAGACGUUGCUUCCCCUCUAGUUGCACAUGCAGCCGCAUCAUUGCCUUUGAUUGUACUAAGGAGUGCACUAACAUCUAUUAAGUUUCUUUGUAUCAACAAAUUAAUGUUUUGGCCUUCCCAAAACCAAAAUGAGCAUCCAUCGUCCUACACAAAAGAAUGAGCAAUCUCGAAGUGAGCUAUCACAAUUGAACUAAAGAAUGAGCUAUGGAACGAGCUACCGCAAGUGCACGUACCCCGUCGUUUUCGCAUUUGUAGAACACCCAUCCGGAGUGCUUCGGCGUGCCCGAAGUGAGCCGCAACACUUGGCGCGGGCAGUCGUCGCACUCUAUGAACGGCAUCGGCCGGCGACAAAAACGCUGCGCGAGCGCCAAGCCCGGUGGACGGCCGGACGAGUCCAUGCCCGCAAACCUUCGGCGGUGGCAGGCGGACGAACCGGUGCCUGCAUGCGGCGAUGCGCCCGUGCCUGGGCUGCGGGAGUGGCUCCCCGACCACUCCAUCGCCUGGGGCAGCAACCGGCGAUCGGAAAAAGCCAAAUCCGGCGGCCCCCGAUGAAGUGCCGCAGAUCUGCAAAUCCGACGGCCCGCCGACGCAGGGGGAAGGGAGGGGAGGCCUCGUGCGCGUGGCGGCCUUCCGGUGUGCUCCUGCCGGCUGCUGUCGCCAGAAUCUUGGGCGGCAGCUGGCGGCGGCGCGAGGGGGGAGAGGAGAGGUGGUUGGUGGGAGAAAGCGCGGGAUGAAAUGCCCCCCCCCCCACCAACCGCUUCCGCUUAUAUGUAGGGCACCGCAGCCAUGAGGGGGAAACCCGCAUUUUCCCGGGUUAGAGUCAGGAUUUUGUCGCACCCCGUAAAAUUUUUUGCGGGCCGGGGCAGGAUGCGGAUCUGAUCGGGCUGCCUACGAAGUGUUCGAUGAAAUCCCCGACUCCAGUAAGAUGAAGAUGAUGAGGUGGAUGUUGUGUUAGACUUACGAGUCAAAACCGGGUUGACUCAGCAGGGAAACAACCUGAAGGACUCGGUGAAGGACUAGUAAACCCUGUUUUAAAAGUUAUAAGGUGCGAGUUAUCUAGUUUCAAGGUUUAAGGGCUAAAUUUGGACUCCACCAAAAGUUGAAGGAUAAACAAUAUACUUUUUCUCUUUUUUAAGGGGGAUUAUCCAUUUUGACUGUAUGUUUCCACAGAGCACUUAUUUACUGUUGUAAAUGUUAUUAGCAUCUUAUCUUUUUUUUAGAAAAGGAGGAUGACCCCGGUUUCUGCAUCUGGGCGAUGCAUAUGGUCACUUUAUUAAUUAUUCUCACAAGACCUUGCAAAAUCAAUACAAUAGUAAGACUAAAGCCGCCGUCUAAGCAACAAACUGUCGCUACACCUAUCCAGUUGAUGAAGCGGCGCAGAUAGUCUGGGCCUAAUACCAAAUAGACAUCGCAGCCAAGCCUAACAUCUAAGAUUGAGACCCCAACCUAGCCACUUGUUGGGUCUGGGGCACACACUGGUCCGGCGUGCUCUCAAAGGCCGCCGCCGCCAACUGCCAUCACUCCAUCUUCAGAACUGUAUUGAUGCAUCAACCUUGCUCAGUCCAGCUAUCGUCGACGCCACCACAGCGCCCAACGGCACCUACUCCCUACGCGCAAACAGCUGAACACGUCGUGGUCGCCACUGAUACACCUAAGUGUCAUGCUGCCAAGUAUCACCAGCCGACACAGCUUGAAGUCCUUGGAGGAUCUGUCGUCCGUAGCACCUGCAGACCAGACAUGACCAAGCGUAGAACCUGUCGCUCAGGCAUGACUUGACAUCUCCACCGAAGCUCCGUGCAAGACGAAGCCGCUCCACCUUCUGCGUCUGACUUCCAGCGCUGUUCCACAAAUGAUGCUCCCAAGAGAGAAACGACACCGCAGUGCCGCCAUCGUCCGAUCUGGAACACCAGAUCCUAGGGUUUCCCCCGGAGCAGCACGAGUGGGUCGACAGUAGUUACACGACGAUGCCUUCAUCAAGGUAACGGCGUAGAACGCCGCCAUCGCCUACCGUCGGCUCGGUUUUCACCGGCAACCAUGUCUCCCCAACUCGCGGCCGGGACUAGAUGAUGGAUCUCAAGAUCCGAUCACCAAGCUUCUGGCCGGCCACCGCUGACGAAGAAGAUGACCACCACCACUGGCUACACCGGCCAGAACAGAUCUGCCAUGGGUGCCGCCAAGCAGUCCACCAGGCCCUCGACGCCGCCGCCGAUCUAAAACCAGAUGACAUGCCGCCGAAGACCGCAUCGCGCCGCCGCCCGAUCCAGGCCAGCCGCCGCAGCAGCUGCCCUUGGCCCGAGGCAGGGCCGACCGCCGCUGCCGUCGAAGCCAACGCCGUCACUUCUAAAUCGGCCGCACCUCCACGCAUGUUGGGGUCCCGCCACCCCUGAGAUGCGGGAGGGAGGAAGAGCCCCCUAAGACAACCAUCCUUCUCUAAAUAGCCCAGAUGUAUGCACAUUAUGGCUAUGGCAGGACGCUCCAUGCUUACACGUGAUGCGAGUCAUCUGACCAAAGCCUGAUGCAUAUCGCUAGAUCCUCCCGAUCCAGCAAAUCACAUCGCCGCCAAACCAUGCGAUCCCGCUCCACUGCUGCAUUCGCGCGAAGACCACCACACCAACAAGACAUCGACCACAGCGGCGCUAGCAGAUGCAUGGUGGGAGACCAUAGACCGUCAACACGGUCAUCAGAAGGCCAGCCAUAAGCCCAUAACACGACGUGGACAUCACCGCUGUCACUCCACACCGUCGUGUACCAACUUGCGACAUGCACACUCCACACCGUCGUGAACCAACUUGCGACAGGCACCACGUCCCUAGGGCCAUUUCCCCGGCAUCCUCUAUGUGAAUUAAUGACGCCCAGAAUGAUGUGGGCCGGUAACGGCAUCUCCAAUGCCGACCCAUAAAUCGUCCACAUACGUCCGGACCACGUUGUCCAGACCUGUUUUGCCAUCCGACAAGGGUCUGUAUCAUUUAUGUUAGCGAACGUGUGUUAGUCGUGUGUUAGUGGGCCUUGUAUAUGGCUAGUUUUCAGGCCUUGCGUUGAGUUUUUUCUGUUGAGCCGUGUAUGUAUAUAAACUGUGUAACCUCCACAUAAUGAGACACGAGUUGCACAACCUCUCUCUCUGCUCGCGAGGGAGUAACUGCCAGGCCACCAGCAUAGCCAAGGUCACCAGAUCAAAAGGACAACUGUCACAUCAUUGGGAGUCAUGGGUUGAUAGGCAGCUGCUGCGCGCCGACACACACAAUGACCAAUCGACUGUGCGUCAUGGUGUGGAGGUGCGCGCUUUAGGUGCGAGCUCAAGCAAGAACGGAUCCUGGCCUGGCGACAGAGGUGGGCAACAGGAUGGAGGUCGUUGGUGUUGCCUCAAGCUACUUCCUGUCGUCUCAUAUGGUGCUGUCGUGGGUAGGACCGCAUGAGGAGGCUGAGUCGCCCGCCCCUACGAGAUUAUAGGAUCAGGUGCUUCCAUAAAUUGUUUAACAUAACAGGAACACAAGAUCAAAAGCUACCACUUAUGCAUUGUCUAACAUUAAGAGAUAAUCCAUUGCAUAAUAUGCUUAUUCGUCUCACUACCGGAAUUUCGCCUAAUCCCGAUGGUCUGUCAUAUGCCGAGGGCCCCCAUCGGCUUAUAUGGAGGUAUGCCGACGGCCUAGGGCAAGCCGUCCGCAUACUUCCACAUAUGCCGACGGUGACCGUCGGCAUAGUUAUGUCAUCGGCAUAGUGGGACAUAUGCCUACAGCGGCCGUCGGCAUAAACCUGGGCCCGGCAACCCGGUGGGGACGAGCGUUUGAUGCCGUCAUAGCUAUGCCGACGGCACUAAUGGAGGUCGUCGGCAUAGCUAUGCCGAUGGCAAAGCCGUUGGCAUAGGCUUGGUCCACGUCCUCGAUUCGCGGCACGUGCCACGUCAUCGAUCCGAGGAGUGUCGGUUGGGCACACCUCAUCGAUCCGGGGCAUAGCUAUUUGAUUAACUUAAAUGGCAUAUCUGUGUAUUGUCUGUUUUUUUAGUUUUUAUCUCUUUCUAAAUUAAAAUUUCAUUAACUUAUCUAGACAUAAGCAUUCAUAAAUUAUAUAUUGAUUUGGUGUAGAAUUUACCAUAGAUUAUGAAUAUGUAGUUUGUAUUUUUUUCAAGUAUGUUAGUAAUGUGACCUCAUGUUUUUUGUAUAUAGGUCCCUAUACUUUAUUAAAAUCACAAAAAAUUGAUAAUUACAUCUAUUUUGACAAGUUUUAUAUGUUUUUUUAAUAAGAAUCUUGAAAGUGCUAGAUCCACCGGUCAACGGUGCCAGGGUUAGUCAUGAGGAUCCUAUCACAACCAGGUGAAAAGGUCCAUCGGUCAAACACCGUCUGGUGAAAGUCAAAGGGCUAGAUCCGCCAGUCAACUGUGCUAGGGUUAGACGGAACGGGGUACUUGGGGGGCAGCUGGGCCGUCGACAUACCUUAGUGCCAGGCUGCACCAGUUGUCGACACAUGGCAGAACUAUGCCGACGGUCUGGCCGUCAGCAUAGAUAUAAAACCAUGCCGACGGAUUGGCCGUCGGCAUAGCUGUGCCACGUGUCGCCCUUUCAUUGAUCAGAACAUGACGACGGCGCCGUUAGCCGCCGUCAUACAUAGAAGUUUGCCGAUGGUUGUAUGAAGGGCGUCGGCAUAGGCCUCUAUGCCUACGGCUUUUCUACGCCGAUGGCCCUGCCCAGCUACACCGACGUACAAGUUGCCGACGACCCUAUGCCCACGGUUGCCGUCAGCAUAGGCCUAUUCCGACGGGGUUUGUGCCUAUGCCGACGACUGCGGGCUGUCGGCAUAGAAUGUCAUUCCGGUAGUAUCUUCUUUAAAUGGCAUGCGUGGGGUAAGAUAUGCAUAUAUUGAGUAGAUCAACUUUUGUUCCAUGCGAUAUCUAGCCCUUUUUUUUUAAUGAAAGGGUCUCCCCCGCUCAACUUUUUAAAACAUGGUAUAAUCGAAGUCGCUCACAUACACGAGCAUACGCCCUCUAUACCCCUAUGAGCACGUCCGAGAGACUGAGCCGGCACAUCAUCUUGAGAUUAACGAGGUCGCCACAGACGCCUUAGUAGUCGACGGGAACAUCUCCUCCGUUUUAUAUAUGAAGCAAAAAUAAAAUAACAGAGUUCUCAGGCCAGGCCUUUUGCUUUUAGCCUUUUAGAAACCAAUGUUAAAUGAUAGUAUUACCUUCGUUCCAAAAUGUAGGACGUUUUGGUAGGCUUAAAUAUCCUACUAAACUGUCCUAUAUUUUGAAUGGAGGUAGUAUCACUUUCCAGCCCAAUGCUUGACGCAAAGUUUGUCGCCCUCAAACACUUACGCGCUGACGUUUGCUCUAUAUAUAUUCCUUUUCGUCCUUUCUAACUUUUGUUUCGUAAAACGUAUCAGCUCAGUGGAGCAUGUCCAGCAACUCUGGAAGGAAUGGGAGAUCCAGUUGCUCGUGCUAGCGAGCUUCUCCCUUCAAGUCAUCCUCCUCUUCUCUGCAGCGUUCCGGAAGCGCCACAGCUCCCGCGUGCUGAGCGCGCUGUUGUGGCUGUCAUACCUAUCGGCAGACUCCAUCGCGGUCUUCGUCCUCGGACGCCUCGCCGCCCACACUAGUGACCCACAGCACCAGCUUGUGCUAUUUUGGGCGCCCUUCCUGCUGCUCCACCUUGGCGGACAGGACACCAUCACCGCCUUCUCCAUGGAGGACUGCAUGCUGUGGAAGCGCCACCUGCUGAACUUCACCAUCCAGGUGGCACUGGCCAUUUACAUCGUCCGCAAGCAGUGGCACGGAGGCAGUCAGCUUGUAGCUCCCAUGGUACUAAUGUUCAUCUCUGGAACUAUUAAAUAUGCUGAGAGAAUUAGGGCACUCAGGAGAGCAGGCUCAAGGAGCAGCAGCUUCAAUGCCGGUGGGAGGCAUCUUGCCUCCGGCUUGAGCAGAUAUUAUGAUGGCCUGCUAUCAAUAAUUUCUGAGAAGAAAGAGGAAAAUUUCGAACAUGUGAUGGAUGUGACCUGCGGGGGCUUCUUUAUGAAGUUUGAUUUUUUGAUGGACGUAAAUCCUCCAUUUAGCGGAAUUGAUUUACAGGAUUUAAGGAUUGCAAUUGCAGAAAGGAUUCACAGGUUUGACGAUGGAGCUAAUGAUCUAGUGUACAAGAUUGUUGAGAUUCAACUCUCACUGGUACAUGACUACUUGUACACCAAGUUUGGACGGGUCACUGGUGUGUUACAUCGACUCAUCACACUUGUCCUAACCUCUACGGCUCUCGUUUUGUUUUUGGAAGCCAGGGUUGAUCAUCAAUUGCAGGGACUAGUCAACUACAGUAGAGCUGAUGUUACCAUAUCUUACAUAUUGCUUGUGGGCGCUGUCACAAUGGAGAUAUCCUCUACCUUCAUGUGGUCCCUGUUAUCAUAUUGGCCAUACAUGCCAAUUGCAUAUUGGCGGACAUUUGAUUAUGACAAAAUCUUCCAUUGUGUACCCAAGGGUCUCCAUCCAGGAAGCAGAAUGGAGUGGCCGGGGAAGAUGAAACAGUAUAACAUGCUUGAUGGAUGCAUCCAGGAGAUACAAGCUGGCCGACUGGAACGGAUUAUGGGCAGUAUCGGCAUCAAGCGGGAUUACACAACACAUGUCGUCAUAUCUCCUGAGGUAAAGAAGGUGCUACUUGUAAAACUGCUUGAGAUAAAAACCAAUGCACCUGGUGGUGGGGGAUUGUCCUCCAGCAGCUUCCGUGGCCAAUGGUCUCAAUGGUGGGCUGCGCUCCAGACCAAAGAUUAUCUUGGUGCAGGUCAACAAUCUGAAAGUGCAGCUCAACGGGCACUUCAGUUAAGCAACAUCCAAGGUUUGGCUUUUGUGUCAAGUGUCUAUCUUUGGCACAUGGUGACUGAUAUAUGCUUAGUGGCCGAUAAGACUGCCAGUGCCUCCGAAUUCAGAAGUUUUAGCCAAGCAUUGUCCAAUUACAUGAUGUAUCUUGUCGCCAAGCGUAAUGUGAUGCUUGAUAGCUGUGCGUAUCAUGUGCUUCAUAAAAGUCGACAUAGUUUGUUGUGCACUCGUCCUGCUAUCGUUGCUGAUCGGAGUGCGUUCCUCCAGAAAGUCUAUCACGGUGUCUACCAUGGUACCCGUGCACUUGACCAAGCUCGUGAGGUCUCCUUGGAAUUGCUUAGGCCCGAAGGAGCAGCUUAUCGGUGGGAGCUGAUUGCAACGGUAUGGGUGGAUAUGCUAUGCUACAUUGCUCGUAAUUGUGGGGCUGAAUUCCACGCCAAACAUCUAAUCACUGGCGGGGAGUUCGUUAGUCAUGUCAAAAUUGUUCUGGUUGUUCUAGGCUUUUCCUUCCAUGAGUAUGAAGAGGUCGAGCUAGCCUGACAUACAUUUCUUUCCUUACUUUGGAAGCUUAACUGUUACUGUUAUGCCACGUGAGGGCCAGUAUGGUUGUAAUUUAUUAGAAAAACUCCAUUAAUAUAUUGAUUGUAUAUUUUGGAACUUAUUAAUAAAAUGGUACUAGUAAGUUGUCUAUGUGUUGGUACGAAAGAUAGCUUUUCCUUGGUUUUGAUUCCUGCUCUGAUCCGAAGUCAAUUCUCCUAUGGCACGUGUUUCUCUGAUGACAAUGAGUCGAACAAUUUUAAAUUAUUUUUGUUUUGGUAAGGUAUAAGAGCAGCAGGUAAAGAUAACAUUCUGUAGAAAAUUUGUAGUCUAAAUCAGUAGCAGUUUAACAGUCUGUAGUCUAAGUUUCCAAGCUUGUCUACUAAAGAAAUUGUAUCAACUUAAUAAUUAGUCAUGCAUAAGUGUUUGACAUCAAAAACAUAUAGAAGUGCAGACUCGAGAUUGACAAUUAGGAUGCAUGCUCUGAACAUACAGAAGUUCUACAGAGCAGUAGCAAUGGCAUCACAGUUGAGUUGCCAAACCAAAACAAAGCCAUGUAUGUAUGUAUGUAUGUAUGUAUGUAUGUAUGUAUGUAUGUAUGUAUGUAACAAAAUCAGCCAAACUGAAUAUGCAUCAUCAGCUGAUUAAAAGCAGUGGAUAAUAGUAUAUUUCAUCAACUGAUAUGGGCAGCUAGCCAAGUUUCCCAAUGGGAAGAGCUCACAAGAGCAGACAAAGAAAUGGAUGUUUUAAACUAGACUAGCUUGCAGGGGAAAGGACACGGGAUGUGUGGCGUUACCAAGACAACACUCCUAAUUUUUCUCAUGAAAGGAUCAUGAUAGACAUAGACAGAUACCAACAGGAAGAGGAAAAUGGAAAAUGCAGGCUACAUGACAGAGGUUCUACCGACAAGAACCAAGCAAAUUAUUAACCCAGCAAGUCAGUCAGAUGAGGCAAGCAGCCCAGAUGCAUAAGGGUGGAUUGCUCAGUUCACUUCAGAAUGGCCGGCUGGGUUCACUUCUUGUGCACCCUGCAUUUUGGGGAGUUUGGCUGCAAGGGGGACAACGGCUGCCUCGAUGCGUCCGGGCUCGUGUCCUUCAGGCUCGACGACUUGCGCUUCUGCUGCAACACCAAGAAUGCCAUUGUUAAUGUAGUCAAGGUAGCCAGACAGUAGGGUAAUUCAGGUUUCGACUAACAGUUGUACUCCUGUCUUGUGUGUGUACUAAAUAAAAUUAAAUCAGUAAACACUUGAGCUUUUAUGGUUGGGUUGGUUGGUGCUUUUACCUUGGUGGAAUUGUUGGCAGAGUGCUUCCAUUCAGACCGAUGUUUCUGUCCCAGCAUGUAAAGGUCCAGAAAUUGGUGCAUACAUAUUGUGGCCCCUACAGCAAAAUAAACAUCAGUUGUGCAAUUCAAAGAAAUGGCAAUAUAACAACAUCUAGCAUCAUUCAGAGAGUUGAGUAAAUAUAGUGACCUCACUACAUUUAAUGCAAGAUUACAAAGGUAGGAUUCAACAAAAGUUAAGCAAUGUAGACACCUUUCAGUCAACUAAGCGACCAUCGUUACAAACAUAGUAAGGAAAUCUACAACGUAAAAAAUACGCAAGAGCAACACAAAUUGCUUCUACUGACAUUAAAAGUACCAAACUAACAACACUUUUAGCCAACUAACACUAUUAGGAAAAACCUUAUACACAGAAUCUUAGCAGCAGCGCAACACAAAAAGAGGCGCUACUGCUAAUUAGUAGUAGCGCGGGUUGUAAACCCACGCUACUACUAAGUUGAUAGCAGUAGCGCGGGGUGUAAACCGACGCUACUACUAAGUGUUCUCCACCGCGCCCGCCCGGACAAGUAGUAACGCGGGGUAUAAACCCACGCUACUACUAAGUUGAUAGUAGUAGCGCGGUUUGUAAACCCCGCGCUACUACUAUGUGGUCUUCAUCGUGCCUCGCGUGACAAUGCCGUAGUAGCAGCGUGCGGUAUAAACCCAGCGCUACUACUAUAGAACCACCGACGCAUGUAUACACACAUAGGCGGAGGCCAAAGCCCAAAUUCCCCUCCUGACCACUCCGCCGCCCGACGCCGCCGCCAAGCACCACCCGUCCGCCACCGCCACCGCCUCCCUCUCCCUCUCCACCCCCGCGCGCGCCGCCUCCCCCAGCGCCCUGUCCCCCUUGCCAUCUCCUCCGGCAGACGGGGUCAGCCCCGCGGCGCCGACACGGGGCGACGAGUACCUGGGGCGGCAGCUCGCGGCCGGGGCCGCGGCGGGCGCCUGCACAUGCGCGCCGGAGGAGGACGCCGAGAGGCGCAGCGGCCACAAGGAGAAGCAGAGGGCCCUGGCCAAGAAGAUGACCCCAACACACACACUCCCGCUCCCAUCCUCUUCUCCCGGGAUGCAAGCAGCUGCAAGAAAGGGCGCGGCGGCGGCAGCGGCAGCGUCGGCGUCCUUCCACUCCACCGCCGCAGCGCUCUCAAAGUCCACGGUGCGCCCACCCUGACUUUCCCCAUCCAUCUCUUUCUCCCUCUUUCUUUUUUCCGAAUGACGAAUCAAUUCGAUCCACGCAUCCAGUUCAGUUCUUGCUCUCCAAAUCCCGUUAGGAUUGCUAUACUAGAUAGGCUAGGAGAGAUGGCUAGGCUGUAAAAGAGGAAUAUUUACUGCCCGGGAUCAUCAUCACAGUCAGCUUAGUAGGGUGAUUAGUUUGCAUGCUUCAGCAAUGGAAGCUCUCCAAAGAAGGCUCUGCUAGAUGGUGCUCUGAGCCAGCUGGACACAUACGAGAAACUAGAAUGACUCAGUCAGGUCACUAUGUUGCUGAGCCUCUUCAGUCCAUGGUUUCGCUGUUGUACUCUACAGUCUACAGUAUGAUUAUGGUUGGCAAACAUUUUUGUUAGCUAAUGCCUGAUGCAUUGUUGUUUGAAGUGUCAACAAGCCAUGUGGUGUAAAUUUCCAUGCCACUACAGUCUACAGCAAUGACUCAGUCUGGUUCAUUUAAUUUUACUUACUGAAAUGUGAUUCGUAAGCACCGCAGAGUUGCCUCUGUUUAGAUGCAAGUUAAGUUCAGAAACAGAAGCACUGCAGAGUUGCCUCUGCUUAGAUGCAAGUUUAAGUUUCAGAAAGAUAUCAUUUUCCAAUAGGCAAAGCAGGAGCACCAUCAGAAACAGCAAACAAAUGCACCAUUCAAAUGCACCAACAGUUCUAGGCAAAGCAGAAGCAGCGCCGGAACAGCUAGUGUACAAAUUCCAUCGCAUUUGAGAUCAUACAGGAGAGCACACAAAUGCCCGUGUAUGCAAUUGCAGACCAAAAUGAAACUACAAUUAACAGCCCCUGUUUUGCAAGUAAAUUUGAUAUCUUAUACUCCCUCCUCUCUGGUUUACAGAUCCUGCGUGUAAAUCUAGGUUGUCUAUUUUACCAACAUAACAAUACAUAUCACAAAAGUUAUACAGUACCGUUAGUAGAAAGUACAGCAAGAACCAAUAAGGUCUAAAUAGGGCUCUGGCUCCAACUAUAUUAUGUUUUGUUUAAACACGGUAUGUUUCAAUUCCUCCUCUACACAAAUCUUCAGCAAUCCGGAAAGCCACUCUGUUAGUAAUACAGAACUAGCAUUUAUUUAGACUGAAAAUAUGCACUGUAAUUUAAUGUGCAUUUUUGCCCAGUAAUGUGUAUUCCUUCUCUUUUUUGUUGCCUGAAUUUAAAGUGGUUUUGGACUGUAAUUUUCAGUAAUGUGUCACUUCUAGUUUACCUGAAUAUUUUUGUAUUCUUAUCAGUUUUGUGCCCCAUUCUAAAGAAGUUCAGUAAAUGUGUACGUCCCAUUUUGUAAAUACAAUAUUUUACAAACCAUUUAGAUACAAAAACCUGAUCUUUGUUUUCUUUUUCACAAGAAGCUAUUUUUGGCUUACAUGAAGGGAUGCAUGCUCUUCAUCUUGCAGGUAUGACUCAUCCUCGCAUUCUUACUCUGCCUUUGUUUCCUUCGGCUUCUUGAUUAUGAAAUUUUAAGAUAAUUGUAAGUACUCAAUAUCAUGUUCUUAAGCAAAGCUACUGUUUUUUGCUUGAAUUACAGUGUUUUGUCUGACCUAUGUAUAGUGUCAAUAAAAUCUAAAUUUCAAGAUGGAGAUACAUUUUUUGGUGGCAUCUUACAUCACAGUCGUUGGUCAUAGGAUUUUAGAAAAAAACACUGUAUGAGGAAUACAAGUGUUUAUGAAACUACUGUUGUUGGUCUAGCCAAACACCUCACAGUUUCCGAAACUUUAGUUUUGUAGAAACCAAAGUAUUCUGAUUGAGCUAAGCUAGCCGUGUAUUUCCACUUGUGGGAGUCAAGGUGCGUACGCUCCUUGUCUUUUUCACUUUUUAGAUUAGGUUGAAUAACAAGAAUUUCCAAUCAACUGUAAAAAAAAUUCAUUACCAAUCUGCAUGCACAAGACAUAUAUCUUUCUCAUCAUUUUAAACAGUAACCGUUGAUACUCCAAGCAUACAUUUUCUGAGAAUUACUCCAUAUAUGUAGGCUGGCAGCGGUGUUCGCAAAUCACCACGGAGAAAGUAAAGAUCUCGAAAGGAUUCCGUUUGUUUACUCUAUGUAUUGUCUUUCGAAGCGCACGAAAAAACACAAAAAAAUUCUAGUUUAUUUUAGUGCCUUUUGUAGUAUGAAAAUCACAAAAAAAUGUUUGUUUCUCUGCCUUUUGUACUAAUGGAGAGGGAAAGUCACAAAAAAAUGUUUGUUUUUAGGGUCAAGCAGUCAGUUGGUUUGUUGCUCACUCAGAAAUGUUUUUGGUUUUGGGGGGUUAGAUGUGUACAUUGUGCAUCAGCAUACACUGCUAGCUGCCUGUGGAGAUCAGCACUAAAGAAUAAACAAAUCCUGGUAAUUCUUUCAUCUAGGAUGCUUAUGUCGUCUCAAAACUGUCAACCUCGCUCAUAGAAUGAUCUUUUUAUUUAGGAUUCAUGGUUAUUUUUCCUUUUUCUUGUUAUUAUGCACUACUAUGAGUUCAUUGUAUUAAGAUUCCUUACAAUGUUAGGCACCUGAGCUAUUUACAGAAGGAGGGGACCCAACCUUCUUCACGGCUCGCGGCAAUGUCUCCCAAUGAUUCGUUCGUGCAACAAGGAGGGGACCCGCCCUUCUUCAUGUCUCGUGCAACAAGUAAGGACCACCCUCUGGCUAUUACUAUUGAUUCGUGUGCAUGUGCUAAAAAGUAAGAAAAUACCCUACUAGAUUUGGACGCUGACGAGCACUAACAAGUUUUCACUUUCCCGACGUGGCCACAGGGGUGAUCGACACGGACUACCGCUGCCUGGUGGGCGUCGUGCUCUUCAACCACUUGGAGGUGGACUUCACCGUGAAGCCCGGCGACCGCGUCGCACAGAUGAUCGUCCAGGUGAUCGUGACGCCGGAGGUCGCUGAGCUGGAGGACCUCGAUNNNNNNNNNNNNNNNNNNNNNNNNNNNNNNNNNNNNNNNNNNNNNNNNNNNNNNNNNNNNNNNNNNNNNNNNNNNNNNNNNNNNNNNNNNNNNNNNNNNNNNNNNNNNNNNNNNNNNNNNNNNNNNNNNNNNNNNNNNNNNNNNNNNNNNNNNNNNNNNNNNNNNNNNNNNNNNNNNNNNNNNNNNNNNNNNNNNNNNNNNNNNNNNNNNNNNNNNNNNNNNNNNNNNNNNNNNNNNNNNNNNNNNNNNNNNNNNNNNNNNNNNNNNNNNNNNNNNNNNNNNNNNNNNNNNNNNNNNNNNNNNNNNNNNNNNNNNNNNNNNNNNNNNNNNNNNNNNNNNNNNNNNNNNNNNCAUCUGAACUCCGAGCCUUGGUAGAUACAUUUAGAGAAGUGGUAUGUUUAGGCUAUUGGUGGAACACUAGGAAAGGUACGUACCCACCUUUGGUUGUGUGCGUUUACUGUUAAAUGGAAUCACGUGAUCUCUUGCAGUUGAGAUGUUCAAUGUUGCAUCCAUGAAUGGUGCAAGUGUUAAGAUGGUCAUGUGACCUUAAUUUAUUUUGCAAUGGACGUGUCUUUGAUCUUCAUCCAUGAAUGCUGCAUCUAAUUUUUAUUUUUUUAUUCUUAAUUUGUUAGUAGUAGCGUGGGGGGAAAAUGUAUGCUACUAGUAUUUAAGAUACUAGUAGCGUGUGUUAUAACAGAUGCGCUACUACUAUUCUUUUAUUAGUAGCGCGGGCUUCAAAUAGUAGUAGCGUGGGUGGCAUCCGCGCUACUACUAACUUUUCAGUAGUAGCGCGGGUUGCACCCACGCUACUACUAACUUUUAGUUGUAGCGCGAUACUAGUAGCGCGGGUACCCGCGCUACUAGUAGCCAAUUUACCCGCGCUGCUAGUAGCCUUUUCCCUAGUAGUGUAAGCAACUUCACUAGCAAACAAAUGAACGACAACUGCGCACAGGAGUAACGAGGAUCUUGGCAGACCAAAAAGAGUCCUGAAUUAACAGACCAGACCAGCAAUUCUAGAUUACUCCAAUAGCAACAAGAUCAACAGUUUAUGCAAGCCAUCAAGGUAAUUCCCCUAUUGAUCGACCAAGCAUCUAGCCAUCUAAAGCAAAACGAUACAGGUAGGUAACAGUACCAACAUAGCAGCAAUGAAAAUAACAGAAAUUAAAAUAUAAGUGUGGCAGCGCAUAUAACAUUUGCCAGAAAGAACAUGCUUCCACCUUGUUUUAACAAGACUUUUAAACUUAAUAGUAAUGUGGUUAUCCAUGGCAUCAUCAGUCUUAUCCAAACCAGAGCAAGUAAAGGAGCUAAUAGUCCUAAUUCAGGUCAUGUUAUCAUAUCAGGUAUUGCAUAAAGACAUAAUUCACACUUUCACAGAUGUGGUAGACAGAGAUGCGGAAGCCUUUCACCGAAUAAACCUCCCCAGAUUCGGUGCAUGGAACAGCUCCCUUCCGUUCCCAACAGCAGCAAGGUACUGGUGCUGCUGCCUUGCUAGGGUCCAAUGGCAUCCUCGCCGUCCCCCUCGCCGGGUUCCACGAAGGCUCACCAAUAACAUUAAUGAUAUGUCCAAGGGUGGCCCUCCCAACAGGAACCUGAGAAAGAGAAACAUCUUCCAGGUCAACAAAUGAAGCGACUACAUGUGUGUAUGAUUCAACUUCCAAAAAGACACCACCAGUGUACAUGUAUGUAUCAUAUACAAGAGGCUCUUGCACCAGACUGUAAAUUGAUCCAACUAAGGACAUCAAAACCAAGUUUCCAGUAUUCACAAAGCAACACUUGAUAUAGAUAACUGUAACAAACAGACUGUAAAUUGAUCCAACUCAGUCCAGCAGACACUAGUGUAGGUCGCAUCGCCAUAGAAAAACCAGCAGCAUGGGUCAAUCAUGGAUAGAAACCAGCAUCAAUCAACUGCUAGUACAUAGUAAUUCAUAGAGAAAAGGUUCAACAAGUUACUACUACUAAUUAGUCCUAGUACAACAAAAUAGGAUAACAUGGCAAAUAUUUGAUAUUACUCUGUUUAGAACAUGCAUGGUCAAAACAAGCAGUGCUGGUACAAAAUUCCUCGGAAAAACAAGUCUGAAUAGUUGACUAUAAUAAUCUACUGCAACGAAAUUCCCAAAACAGAGAAUCUGACACUAGCAGUGGUAAGAUUAUGUAAUGUUUUACGAUCAGAGGAGCCGACAUGCCUGAGAAGUUGUGGCAUUACAAAAGGAUUUGAUUAAACCAACAGGCUAGAGCACAAGUACUGUGUGUUGAAUUGAUAAACGCAACGAACGAUCACGACCCCUUACUCAAAUAGAUUUAAUCAAAAGGACAAACGAGAGUAAUUCAGUAAAGUACUGCAAUAUUAUCUAUUAUUGAUUCCAAAUAAGUGGUAUCUGACACAGACACUUAACCUGACGGAACUAUGCAUCAACUAGGCACGAUUUCAGAACUGAUCGUGUCGUGCAGCCGAAUAAUUCAGGAGGGCGACUCUGCUAAAUUCCAAUCCACUGUUGCAGUCGAUCUAAAGUACUGACUGAAACAAACAAGUUGCCUCAUCCGCGACCAUCUAAAAUUCAGUAAGUAUGCGAUACCGCUUGCUUUUUGUUAAGCCGACGAAAGUAAACAAACUAGCACAAUUUGACAAAGCAACAUACGAAGGUGGCCUCUCCCUCUCUGCUCUCUCCCCACCCCCCAAAUCCAGCAGUAGCGGGAGCAUGCCCACGGCGACAACAAACACAUGCCCUAGUGCACGAGCUACUCCCUUGGAAACCAAACGCGUCAGCGAAGGGAAUGGAUGGGAUGGGGAGAAGAUGGGCGAGAUAGUGGCUACCUUGACGUGGGAGAAGCUGCGCUGUGGCGUCUCUAGCACUCCUAUGGCGUCCGAGCAGAAGCAGACGGAGGAAGGAAGGACCCCGCCUCAAUCUGGAACCUGUGCUGGCGCCGCUCUGCCUCCUCUAUUGGAAAACCUCUGCAUUGUGUCAUUAUAUGUGACCAAGUUUCCAGGAAAAAUAAUAAACUUGUAAUAUGGUAAUUAUUUUAAAAAAGUGUUCUCAGAAAUGACCUACCAUGUGUGGAGAUCAAUGGCUUUCAAGCCAAACGAUCAAUCUUAUGGCCAUAUUCAUGAUAUAGUUUGUUCAAAUGACCUCAUAUCAUGCACAAGGGUGCAUCUUGACUCACAAACAAUGUUGCCUAAGGAAGUUUUCAUUUUCUUUGGACGAAAAAUUCAUUUUCAAUUUUUUCGAGUGCCCAAAAUGAGUUUUUUUGUGAAGGACCUACCAUAUAUUUGUUGCAAAAUUGGACCUAAUCAAUUUUAUAAAAUACUAGGACAUAUAUAAUGCACAAUUGACAAAAUGGUUGGGUGUCAAAAGUUUUGAUCCACCUCUGGUGAAAACGACAAAUUCCCGCUGAUUUAGUUGGAAGCGGGUCAAAUUUGAACUGCAGGUGCCUCAUAGUUUGCUCUUUAUUUUUUCCAAAAAUCAUUUCUAGGUAAAUAAGUAUCUAUUUAAUCAGAAAUACAUUUUUUGAUGGCGAGACAUCGAGGUUUGGACGGUGGCUGAGGGCCCCAACUCUAGAGCACAUAAGCUCGCAUGCCCGCCGCGUGGUCACCGCGUGACCGUGGCGUUGCCAUGCAUUUUGGGCGGCCUAGGCAUGUCUAGUGGGUUGGUCACUCCCCAGGUAGGUGCUAGGAAGAAAAUUAUAACAUAAGAUUUUCAUGAGGAGACCGAACUAUGCUCAAACAUGAAUUAGCAGCCAAGUGUUUUAUUAGCGGUACGGGAAAUGCACAUGGCCAAUGGGCGUGAGUUUUGGCUAAGGAUGAUCAUAUACUAAGAAGAAUGUCUUCACAAAUAUGUAGGGAAAUCAAGAAUAUAUAAAUAACACUUCCUUCACAAAGUGCUGCUCUGAAUAGGAAAAUGAAUAUAGUUGAGUUAUUUUUGAACUAGGCAAGGAAGGUUUUUGACAUAUUUGAUGAAGAUAUGAUCCAAACAAUUUAUGAGAUUUUUUUGGGAAUUUUUGGAAUAACAGAAAUAUAGGUUGCUUCACAACCUAGGGAAAAAAUUGACACAUGGACAUGACACAUAGGCAAAACUGAUGAGAUGGCGCCUAGUCAUCACAACCCACCACAAUCUACAAGGCUAUGACCAUCUAUAUUGGUCGUUAACAACUAGAAAUAAGGCAGCGAACCAGCACUGUUUGCUUUAUGACCAUUUUGUGUAAGGAAAUUACGACCUUUCUGACCAAAAUGGUCGCAAUGGUUUAGGGUUUGGACCCCCCGAACAGCUUUUGACCAAUUGGUCUCAAAUGGUCAUAGAUCUAUGACCAAUUCUUCUAGGGUCAAUGACAGAAGGUCACUAGUUGACAUAUUUCUUGUAGUAUCUUCCGAUAUGAGGAUGUAUGGCAGUCCCAUGCAGAGUAUGACAGUUUUGUUGCUGAGGCGUGGAGAAGGAACCAUGCUGGACAAGGACUUGCAGGAAUAUAGGACACCUUACAUAAACUCCAAAGUGAUCUAGGAGCGUGGGGUGCCAAGGAAUUCGUAUGCCUUGCCAAGAAGGUUAAAAAGCUACAGUCCAAGCUUGAGGUUUUGACGAAGCAAUCUAUUGGCAGAGGCCCAACGGAUGAGGAGAAAGCUACAGUGCUGAAACUUCGUGAAGCAUUAAGGCAAGAGGAGGUGUGGAUGAGACAGCGUUCCCGAGUGUCGUGGCUGCGGAAAGGAGACCGAAACACAGCCUACUAUCAUGCACAAGUGGCACAGCGGAAACGUUUGAAUAUGAUUGCCAAUCUUCGUCGUGCGGAUGGAUCUUUUUGCGCAUCUAAGCCUGAAGAUAUGGCGGAAGUAUAGUCAUUCUAUCAAAACUUAUAUUCCUCUCAAGAGUAUAAUGAUAUGAGUGAGUUGUUGCAGUAUGUUCCCGAGCAUGUCACCGGGGAAAUGAAUAUGAUGCUGGAUAAACCAUAUGAAUUGGAGGAGGUCCGAGCUGCACUGUUUCAAAUGUCGCCCUCGAAGGCUCCGGGAGUUGAUGGUUUUACUGCGGGGUUUUUCCAGCGGCAUUGGAAUAUCAUUCAAGGAGAUUUAGUACCCACUAUUCUGGGUUUUCUUAACGGGGGCGAGCUACCAGAGGGUUUCAAUAAUACUUCGAUCACACUCAUCCCAAUGGUACGCAACCCUCAAUGCAUUGCUCAAUACCGACCCAUUUCGUUGUGUCCGGUUCCUUACAAGAUCGGGGCCAAGAUGAUCACUAAUCGCUUCAAAGAGCUAAUGGACAUUGUGGUUGGUGAAGAGCAAAGUGCUUUUGUCCCCGGUAGGUUGAUUACUGAUAAUGUUGUGGUGACUUUUGAGAGCGUCCACACGAUGAGAAGGAGGAAGAAAGGGAAGAAUUUUUCUUGUGCUGUCAAGUUAGACAUGAUGAAGGCCUAUGAUCGAGUCGAAUGGCACUAUUUGGAGGCAAUUAUGACUAAACUUGGUUUCAGCGGUAAGUUUGUGAACUUAAUAAUGAAGUGUGUUUCUUCAGUAAGGUUUACAAUGAGAGUUAAUGGGGAGCUUCUGCCAUAUUUUACACCAUCCUAUGGUUUACAUCAAGGAGAUCUCGUAUCACCUUUUCUCUUCUUAUUAUGUGCAGAAGGACUUACUUCACUGUUGAAUUCCUAUGGCUCCCCUCUUAUUGACAGAGGCAUCCGUGUGUCCUUUCGGGCACCAUGGGUGAGCCAUUUGUUAUUUGCCGAUGAUAGUCUAAUCUUCAUCAGUGCAACGCAGGAGAGCGUGGUUCGGCUGAAUGAAAUUUUGAUCAUAUACGCCUCAUGCUCCGGCCAGGCUGUAAACAGAGGAAAAAGUGCAGUCUUCUUUUUGCCGAACACUCCAACAGAUAGAAGGCAUGAGUUGAAGAUCCUGUUGGGCAUACAAGUGGAGGCAUUCAGCGAGUGGUAUCUUGGACUCCCAACUGCGGUCGGGAGGAUUACUAGUGGUACUUUUGACCACAUUGGUGAGAGAUCACGCAGUAAAAUGAACGGGUGGGCCGAGAGACUUCUAGCCUGCGCUGGAAGAGAAUCACUUAUCAAAUCGGUCAUCCAAGCAAUCCCAAUGUUCAGUAUGAGCUGCUCCCUUUUGACAAAUAAGGUCUGCAAAAGUUUGACGGCCAGUAUGGAUAAGUUUUGGUGGAGUGGAUCCCUGGAUCGUCGAUCUAUGCAUUGGUUGGCAUGGGACAAGCUCGAUUCCCCAUAAGCUCGUGGGGGCAUCGGUUUUAGAGACCUGAAGCUCUUCAACUUGGCGCUGCUCGGCAAGCAUGGGUGGAGGUUUAUCACUAACCCUGAAUCGCUUUGUGCUCGGGUAAUGAAGGGCCGUUAUUUUCCUGAUGGUGACUUUAUGGAGGCCACGGUGCCAAAGAUUUCCUCUGCCAUUUGGCGAGCGAUAGUGGCAGGCAGGGCGGCGCUCCAAUCUGGACUGAUUAAGAGGGUGGGAGACGGGACUACAAUCUCGAUUUGGCAUUACAGAUGGAUCCCAGGCCUCGUGGGGGUAUGUGUUUUAUAAGGCAGACGGGGAAAAAGUUUCGGCUGACGGCAAAUUCUUUGCCGUCUAUCAGAUAAAAAGUUGACGGCAUAUUAUUCUUUGCCAACUUAUCUUUGCCGUCUGAGUUUGCCGUCUGCUUCCUGACGGCAAAAUCUUUGCCGUCUGGAUUUAGGUCUUUGCCGUAUGUGAUCCACAGACGGCAAAUUACCUGUUUCCUAUAGUGUUACUGGAUCCCCACAGACCGAAGAACAGAUGUGGAAGUCGCUCUGGAAACUCAAGGUGUUGCCAAAGGUUCAUGUUUUCUGGUGGAGGGUGGUGCGUGGAAUACUCCCAGAUGAAUGUACCUUGAGGCAUCGACAUAUAAAGGUAAUCAGCAGAUGUAAUGUCUGCAAUUUAAUGGAUGAGGACCUAAUGCACGCCCUAUUGCAUUGCUCCCAUGCAAAGUUGUUCUGGGAACAAGCAUUUGCUCUCUUCAAUCUUCGAAGGCCGCGAUUGCACCCGGAUACAUGGUCCCGUGACAUUUUAUGUGAGGGGCGGUUUUUUGAUGUUGAAAGGGCUCAAAUGAUAUCAGUAAUGUGGGCGAUAUGGCACUCGCGGAAUAGAGUUACUCAUGCAGAUGAUCAGCUUGACCCUUAUACUUCGGUUAAGAGAAUCCUGGAGGAUUUGGCCUUGCUUGAUAUGCCAGACAAACAUGCAUCGGUGCUCCCGGGCUUUGGGUUGAUUCCACCAGAGUUGGGGAUCGUCAAGAUCAACACAGAUGCGGCUCUGAACUUGGACUCCAACAGGAUAGGAGUGGGUGGUGUUGCUCGCUCCACAAAUGCUUUGUUGGGUGCAUGGAGUAAACCCCAUCCGGGGAUUUCGGAUCCGUUCAUUGGGGAGACAAUGGCGUUGCGCGAUGGAGUUAUCUUUGCUAAUCUACGUGGCUUCUCCCAUGUGAUCAUGGAAACAGACUGCCUGAAGACUGCACCUUUGUGCUAAACAUAUUCAACAUGUAAGUAGAUCAGCCAAUGUUUCGUCCCACCUUUGUGCUAAACAUGCAUGCACAUUGAUGGUCAUCGAAAGUUGGACUGGAUCUAGACCAUCUUUCCUACUCACCAGCCUCUUGGCUGAUGAUGCUAGGAGUUCUUUCGUUGAAUAAAAAGCUCUCAAUUGGAACGCAAAAAUAAUAAUUCCUACAUGCAGUCAGCACCUGCUAAUGACACUAGUGCACAAGGGCCUGGUCCAGAUUUCGAGCAGAUGUUGUCUGCACGGACGCGGUGAUAACCGGGUGCCUAGACACCCGGGUGCUAAAAGUCCAUUCUCAUGUGUUACCACAGUAAUACUAAUGCAAAGGAAUGCAGAAGAAUGUUUUGCGUACAUCUAUUUUCUUCGGAAUUUAAGACCUUAUAUAUGUCUUUGCCCCAAACAUUUCUAAGGUAUUCGUUUUAGGAGAACAACUAUAGUUUUUGCAGUUGGAUUUUAUUUCUUCUUCUUGCAAAUCUUAAGUAACUCAAACAUGAAUUAUAUGAAGUGGCAUACUCAAUAUGACUACCGACAUUUAUUUUGUGAAUCACAAGGCAAUUAAUGGUGGCAUCUCACUAGUAGAAAAAGACUCAUUUGUCCCGGUUCUAGAGGGCCUUUAGUCCUGGUUCUGGAACUAGGACUAAAGGGUCGGUACUAAAGGCCGCCCCCUUUAGUCCCUGUUUUUAUACAAACCGGGACUAAAGGCCCUCCACGUGGCCGCUAUCUGGAACUCCACCUUUAGUCCCGGUUGGUACGAAAUUUUAUUUUUUGAAUUUUUUUCUGAUUUUCAAAUUUUGGAUUUUACAAUUUAAUCUCUAAUCACCACUCAUCACUGCUCAAUUUAACCUCUAAUCACUAAUCACCCCUCAUCAUUCCAAAUCGUCUAACUUCCCGGCCGGUCACCCAUCCUCUCACUACUCCAGCCUGAGCACGCCUAACUUCCGGGUUCUAUUCCCCCUCGUUUCCAAGUCUGCACUCGUUGUUUUUCUGACAAUAGUAAGGUGUCAAUCCUAUUAACCCUCAGGAGUUUAGCUUGAGCAUGAAGUCAUAUGUUUCACUGUUUGAAUUUGAAACUAUUAUUCUAAAAAACAAUAAUUAUUUUGUAACACUAAUAUUUCUUGAAAUAAGUAGUUGGACCAUAGUUUGACCAGAUUUGACCAAAUUCAAAAUACUAAAAUAAUUAUUUAGUAACACUAAUAUUCUUGAAUAAUUAUUUAGUACCACUAAUACUUCUUGAUCAUAGUUUGACCAAAUUUAACGAAAAUAAAAAAACUGAAAUUUGAGUAUAACUUUUUUUCCUUUUAGAAUUUGAGAAUUCUAAAAAAUUGGAAAUAGGCUGUAGGCCGUCAAAAUCGGAAACGGAUUUUUGUGCUGAUUUUUUUGAUGUAUUAUGCAUUUUUUCGACAUCGUAUGCAAAAGAUAUAGCCGUUUAUGUUUUCAUAACACUUUUUUUGCAAAACAUAUCCAAAUUUAAGUUUUUUAAUUUUCCUAAGAUGUAGUAGCAUAACUACAUCUCGAAGGAUUUUAAUUUUUGAAGUUUUUAUCAUUUUUUUUUGCUUUUUACAAAACUGAAAAUGCGAUCCAAGGGGGGGUGGGGGGUAGACUUUGAAAAUGUGACCUUUAGACUAAAGUGGGCGAUGCCCUUUAGUCCCGGUUCGUGUCUCAAACCGGGACUAAAGGGCUCAUUUGUACCUGGACUAAUGCCUUUAGCCGCAUGAACCGGGACUAAUGCCCACAUUGGUCCCGGUUCGUGACUAAACCGGGACUAAUGGGCUUAUCUUGCUCGAAUGAAAGCCCUGUUUUCUACUAGUGUCUACUGCAUAAUUUGUAGAUUAUCGAUCACUACUGUGAGGUCUACAUCUUAUCAUUUUGAUAAUAUGACUACCUUCAAUGUGCUCUUCCAAAUAUUAAUACUGAAUGUGACUACCUUCAAUGUGCUCUUCCAAAUAUUAAUACUAAAUGUGACCACCUCCUUCCACGUCUGCGCACAUUCCCGCCCAACACCAGCAUUGAAUUGGCGCUCCGGCCAAGGGCGCCACCCGCUACAUGCCUGACUGAAUACGCCUCCUCACCGCAUUAAACCCGCGUGGAAGUCGAGAAACCUACUCCGGCCACACGUCCGUUCACGAGCAUGGCGACAUUAAACACAAUGCUAGGCAAGAAGGAGGCCAGACGUUGGGGAAAAAUAGCAUCACUCCGCCGUUCCCCAUCUCCUCCUUCCACCAUUUUUCUUCACCCUUUCCAUGGCAUUUGAUGAGAAGGAAGAGCAGUUUUUCGGCAUAAAAGCCGGUUGGGUAGCCCGCCGGAUGUGAGCGGCAGCUUGCUGCUCUACCUCUAAGACAGAUGGAGCAAAUUGCCGCUCCAAGCCGGCGCGUGGUUCAGCAACUCGCCGCUCCAAGCCAGCUCGCAGAGGAGUGCCGAAUUGAUCACAGACGACACGGGGGAGCACGGCGGCACGGGCAUCAUCGCUGUUGUGGACAGUGUCGGGUCGUACCACGCCUCCCGUGCCUGCGACCGCGCCAUCCGUCGUGCAUCUGCGUCUGCCGCCAACAUCGAAGGAAAGUAAAACAUGGAAGGAUGCCGUUGCUUGGGUCCCAGGAAGGCCACCACCGGCGCAUCACCGACUUGUACAGUCGUUGACAUGUUCGGUUCUUUAUCUCAGACCAUCGUCGGCCACCAUCUGGGCUCCACGGAAGCGCAGGAGCCCCUCCCAUCCCUUCCGGCCGGAGCACCCUCUUUGCCAGUCUACUGAGCGGAGCAACCUAACAUAGGGAAGAUAGGGGACGUAUGUGCCUCCGGGACUCUCAGUAGUAUGAUGAGCAGGCUGCCGGCCAUGGGAAAGACAAAGCGAUGCAUCACGGUUGGUCGUAGGCUAGCGUAGUGUAUCCUUGUCAUGGAGUGGAGCUCUGCAUGAACGUACGUGCACAUAGUUUUAUCUUUUUUAUUUAAAAUAUGUCCAAAAUGUAAAUUUACAGUUUUGUGUGAAAUCUGCUUAGUUUGUAUGAAUUAUAUCUGGUUUGCUGAAAAAAUGUUUGUAAUGUAUGUGGGCAGCGUUUGAUGGUUGCCUCCCGCGUCCUUGUCUAGGACUGGUCUCUUUUUGGGGACGAUUACGGGAGGAAAUUUGCGAGUCACCGUCGAAGUGGCACGAUGGCGACAUGACAUGAAUUGGAAGGAACCCUUGCACGGACACACGCUAACACGAAGGCACCAACAAUUCCCCGGCUAAGCAAACAUGCGCCACUCCAACUUUUCGUCGAAGCAGAUUUUCCCCGUGCGCUCCCCUGCUUUUCUCCUCCACGAGAACCAUCUCGACUGUCACGCCAAAGUCACGUAUGCCCCCACGAAAGCUUCACAUCCUUUUCCACUUGCUAUCAUUUGUUGAACUACGAGACUAUGACAUGCUCACAAUUAUUCACCUCUUUUUUCCCUUUUCCACUUGUUAUCGAGUGUGCACCCUCCUUCCUCUUUGUGCCACUUCCAUUUGUGUGUUCUAUAGAUGGUGCUUGGAUAGUGAUCUCACAUGGAAAUGAUACUCCAAUAAAUGACUCAAGUUCUUGCACCUUCAUCUGUUGACAUGGUCAACAACAUCAAGAAUACCCUUAUGCAAAUAUUUCAUCUUCUCCUCAUAAUUUUUGGCAGCCAUCAUGCCCAUAUUGUACAUAGUGCAUGUACCUGAGUAUAGUUGAUUAGUGGCAAGUGAAAUUGAUUUAGUUGACCCUUGAAUGGUGGUGCCAUUUGAGUCAAUUAACGUCAUCUUUGUAGCCAUUUUGUCCACCUAUCAAGAAUAUAUUGACUUGGGAUCUCCUUCAAUUUCUCUCUUUUGAGGACAAGGAUGAUGUGUGAAUAGGGUAUACCCACAUAUUUAAGCAAUUUGCAAAAAUAGUGUGAAAUCUUCGUCGUAGUAUUUUACAUCACCUCUCUAACUUUGCCACUUAAAUUAGAGAUACGAGUGGUUUGUACCUUCACCAACUUGUUCUAUUGUAAGUACAUCACACAUGUCCCUAACAGCGAUCAACUCAUCUUGAAAUAGAUGAAAAAAUAGUAUGAGUAUAGGCAUCUCUAGCAUGACUCUUAAUGCUCCAAGUGGUCUCUAGUAACAGUAGUGUAUGAAUUGUGCUAUUGUCAUCACCCAAUUCUUUUUGGCAUUCCUUUUCAGUGACACUUUCAAAUCCUAUCCAAAACUCAAGUAGAGAGUCGACGACUAACAAAGUGACUAAAGAAAACAUUUUCACUCUCAGAUGUCGAUGUAGUCCGCAAUAACCCACCAAGGAAGACACCUAUGAAGUAUGCAGGUAUCCAUCAUUGACUAACUUGCCAGUCAACCAUGUGUUGCUCUCUAGUCCACUAGUUCAUGUUCAGUCGAAUUAGUGUGUAAGACACGAUAGUCAGUUAAAAAUUCAUAAUUCUUAUCGUUUUGUACUAAACUUUUUUAUUUUGUAACAUUUGGUAUUUUCACUAAAUGUAUGCCGUGUUUUUUUUGUACAUCGUUGCAUAAUAUUUAUAAAUACUAUUUUAAUGAAUAACUAGCAUGAUUAAUAAUGUAAUCAUGCACAUGCAUGUUAUAGUACAUAAUUUUCAUAUUGAUUAAGCAUUUAUCACUACAACAAUAGUGUGCUUUACUAAAGUGAAAUUAUGUUCUCGAAAUAAUAAAUUUAGUUUUAUAUUGGGCUGUUUAAGGAGAUCCUUUGUUACAAUGGAUUUCACACUAAAUCUAAGCAAACCCAAAAGUUUCAAAUUACACUCAAUAUUAAUGUAUGCACCUUAUUAUUUAUUAGAGUGAAUCUAUAUCAAUUCAAUGUCCAUGGUAUCCUUAAAUAUCUAGAAACCUUGUAAGUAGUGUUUCAAAUUGUAUGAAUCUAACAAUAAUUUGGAGGUUUCUAGAAAAUCGGACUAUUUAGUUUAUGAGUAAUGAAAAACAUAUAUCUUAUGUGUAUCAAGUGUGAACAAUUAGAUUGUCGUCGAGACCCUUCUCCAGCUCUGACUCGUUAACAGUGAUAUGUUUGCAACAAAAUUUUCCUUACUUGUUUUUGAACAUGCAUCCUCUAUUGUUGCGGUAUAAACAUACAAGAUCAUAUUAUUUGUUUAGCAUGCAUGAUAUAUUUUUUAGAAUAAAACAUAUGUCUGCUGUUUUAUUCAUUUGGUUUUAGCUACAAUUCUUCCUGAAAUAGCCGUUGUUACUAUAAGGUACCUAGUUAACUAAUACCAAAGAAUUAGUCUUUUUGAAGUCGACUCGGAAAUGAACCCCAUCAGAUUGGAUUUGUGUUUUAAAAGCAACAACAGAAGAGACAAUGAAUGUAUAAACGCACUACAAUUCAUAGGUUUAUAGAUGCUACCGCUACUCUUUAAUUUGUAUGCAUGCCGAAGUUUUAUUUCCAUGAUAUCUUGCAAUGCAAGUGUAUGCAUACAUUUCCGGCUGAAAAUAACAUUAGGUUCGAUAUUAGAGUUCCAAAGCUGUAGUGUGGAAAUCAUAAUCAUGGUUGGGACAGCGCGUAAUGCAGAAAAACUUAUACAUCAAUUUUGAGAAAUGGCAUUGCAGAAAUGGUCUAUAAACACUGUACAUUUGCAAACUUGUAGAAUCUGUCUCCUCCAAAGGAUUACAAAUAACGUCUAUUCGAUGGCUUUAGAUGUGGAUGUUAUCUCUAUGAUACAAAUUUGAUCGUUGUUUUACUAUAUGCACACACUAGUACAAAUAACUAAAAAAUGUAUACCUUUAAACAUCAUAUAAUACUCUGAAACGAGCCAAGUAAGGUAAAUUCUACAAAACAUAUCAUAAAACAUGGCAGAAAUCUCAAAGCGAGAGUGAACAUUGUAUCCGAUGCACGGUAAAACAAGAAAAAAUGAAUCUAUGGAAGAGGUGAAACACGUGAAAUUGAUACUUACAUGCUGGAGUAUUUAACAAAAAAACUACCACAUUUAAGGUUUCGAUCCUACGGAACUACUACAUUAAAAUCGUAAGCAAAAACUAUCAGCUGAACCUAAUUUUUUUCCAAAACGACCACGGAUAGUGGCCGGUUUAGACGAUUUAGAUGCAUUUACGGCAGGAGGGGCCUGCUUUUCGGGGGAAGUGUGAGGGGAAAGUCAACUCCAUUACGUUGGACCGUUAAGUUGACCGUUAUGACUCGGGGCUCACAUGUCAACAGGAACUUUCUUCUUCCUCCCCUCUUUCUCUCUUUGACAAUUUAACUAGCACCUUGUGUGCAUCGGGCAGCACCACCGCACCGACAUCGGCGAGCAGCGGCAGCCCGUACUCGUACGCACCUUGUGUGCAUCAGCGCUCCCAACCAAAUAAAUGGUUGGAAAACACUACCGCUCCAUCCAACUACAGCGGCACGAUGGCGACAUGCAUGAGAAGGAAGGAACCCACACACGCACGCACGCCAAACGCGGAGGCGGCGCCCACAUUUUCCCGGCAAAACAAACGCACGCGCAGCCAACGUCGAACUUUUCAGUCCCCGAAGCAGAUUUUCCCCGUGCCUUCUCCACGAGAACCAUCUCGGCCGUCACGCCAAAGUCACGUACGUCCCCCACGAAAGCUUCGCAUCCAUUCCUGGAGAAGACUACUGACCUGCCGUGGUUGACCACCCAGAAGAAAAAGAAAAACCCGCCGUCGUCGAGCCCGCCACACGGCAUGUACGUACGUCCACGACGACCACGGCAUCUCUCCUCGGGCCCUGCAUGCCGUGAAGCUUCCAAGGACCGCGUCGCGCCCGAGUAUAUAUGCACACGCGCACCUCCAAGAUCACGCAGCAGCAACCUACAGCUCUAUAGCAAAGCAGAUGAUCUAGGAAACACAGGCAGGAUCAAGAUCAACUAAAGUCUUAUCAAGUGCCUCUCGAUUGUCGACCAUCCGGCGAGAAUGGUUGUGACGAAGUCGGGCGAGCUGAGGGCGCUGUUCUUGUCACUGGACCGGGACGCGGACGGCAGGAUCUCGGCGGCGGAGCUGCGUGGGUGCAUGCGGGCGACGCUGGGCGAGGACGUGCCGGUCGAGGAGGCCGAAGCGAUGGUGUCGUCGGUAGACGCGGACGGCGACGGGUUGCUGUGCGAGGCGGAGUUCCUUGAGCUGGCGCAGCAAGCGGCCUGGGCGGGCGCGGACGACGAGAACGACGAGCUGAGGAUCCGGGCGCUGAGGGAGGCGUUCGGGAUGUAUGAGAUGGAGGGGCAGGGGUGCAUCACGCCGGCCAGCCUUGGGCGGAUGCUCGGCAGGCUUGGCGCUGAGCAGGGCGCCGGCGAGUGCCGCGCCAUGAUCUGCCGGUUCGAUCUUGAUGGUGACGGCGUGCUCAGCUUCGACGAGUUCAAGAUCAUGAUGAGCUAGAGGCCUGACCCCGGACCCAAGCAUAUACCAUCUCCGUCUUGCAUAUAGCCCCUUCGCUCGUUCAUUCAUUCGAUUGUUACAUGGUAGUAGACUAGUAGUACAAAAUUUGUAGUGAUGAUGCACAGACAGUAAUUGAUCUAUGUGAUACCUUUGGUCUCAAUCGAUUGUCGGUGCUUUUGGUAUUUGAUUGUGUGUAUCUCGAGGAAUUCAGAUGCCGGAAAUGAAUGGAAAAGGUGUAUGUGAAGGGGCUGACUUCUCAUCCUCGGCUCCAACCCUUUAAGCUGGGGAGUAUCAUACACUAGUAUCCUGUUGUUGUAUGACACUACCUCCGUAAUGCAUAGCAUGAACUAAUCUGAAAUAUCAUGACACAUAGUACUCCCUCUCUCUCAGUUUACAAGGCGUGCGCGUAUCCCUAGGUCGUCUAUUUGACCAACCUAAUACAAGUCAUAUAUUACAAAAAAUAUAUCAAUAUAAAAUUCAGAUAUUCUAUUUUCAAACCGUAUAAUUUUUGUGUUAUAUAGUUUAUAUUAGGGUGAUAAAAUUGACAACCUAGGUAUACGCGCAGGACUUGUAAACUGAGACGGAGAAAGUAGCGUAGAAUUUAUUGAAGAAUAUAUACACAGGAGCUCCUGGGUGCAUCAGGCCUGCCAGCCUCGGGCGGAUGCUUGGCAGGCUUGGCGCCGAGCGGGGCGCCGUCGAGUGUCGCUCCAUGAUCUGCCGGUUCGACCUCGAUGGUGAUGGCGUGCUCAGCUUCGACGAGUUCAAGAUCAUGAUGAGCUAGAGCGCCUGACCCCGGACCCAAGCAUAUACCAUCGUCGUCUUGCGUAUAGCCCCUUCGCUAUUUUAUUCAUUCGUUCAUUUGAUUGUUACAUACAUGGUAGUAGUACAAAAAUUGUCAUGAUGAUGCACAGUAAUUGCUCUAUGUGAAUACCUUUGGUCUCGAUCCAUUGUCGGUGCUCUUGGAAUUGGAUUCUGGGUUUCUCAAUGAACUCAGAUGCCCGAAAUGAAUGGAAAACGUGAUUGUGUGAAGGGGCUGACUUGUCAUCCUCGGCUCCAAACCCUUUAGACUGGUCGUAGCGGGGAGUACCAUAUACUAGUAUCACCCAUAUGAUACUAGCAUAUGAUACUUGCAUAAUAUUAUAAGUUAGUAUCUUAGAUGGUCUCAAUUAUUAUCAUGCAUGACACAUAGUAGCAUAGAAUAUAUUAUGAUAUGGUAUCAUAAUAUGAUAACUCAACCCUCUCUUUCUUUGUUUAAUUCCACGCCACCUCAUAAAAUUACCUAGUUCGCAUGCAGGAUACUAGCUAUGGUACUCCCAUUACGACCAGCCUUAAGCUUUGUUCGGUAGUCAGGGGACCAAACCAACCCCCUAGGGCAUUCAAUCCACCCAGAGAUUGGGUAAUCCCCACUCCCUCACCCAAUCCAUGUAGGGAUUAAAUCUCUAGAUGCCCUCAAUCCAUCCCUCACCCAAUCAUGUUCGGUUAAAUCCCUGCUAGUAGGUAGCCGCUGCCGCCAAGUUCACAUUGGGCUUCGCCGCCGCCAAGAGUUCACCUCCUGGUCCUACGUGGUUUGUUUUCUACAGUUGAGGUGACGAUUCUGUUUCCCCAUGUUUUUUGCAAGGAUUGAAGGGGUUUCGGUUGGGAAACGGCCCACGCGGGGCUUAACUGAACCCGCACGAACGGAUGGGCCGAGAUACACCCCGGCGAAGGUGCUACCUGUGGACCCAUGUGGGAUUGAGCAGGGAACACCGCGUGUAUGGGCGUAAUCGGACAAGCACUUAGAGGGCUGCAUGUGAAUAGUUUGUUUCUAAUUCAAAAUAUAGGAGUAACCAAAUACACACUCGGGUUAUAUGGUUUACAUUUGAGAGUCAUAGCACCAAAUAUACCAAAAUAGUCCCUGCUAUAUUAUUUAGGCACAAAAUAUGUGUAAGUUGCCAAAAAUUUAUUUAGGGCCUCUAUUCAAUUUUCUAUGCCACUAGACUAAGAUCCAACCAUCAUCUUUUUUUUCUUCUUCCUCCAGCUUUUAUUUCGUCCGACCGUUCCUCCUUCCACCAAACCGACUUACCCAAAUUGCAAAUUCAAUGGACUUACAUUUUUUUAAGCAAAAGACAGCCUUCCUCUCUGAUUUUCUAUUAAAGAGAUAAUUUGGUUCCUAUCUUACUAACUAACUCCCACCAGCAACUACAACAAAGCUAAAAACAUCUUCAACCCAAGAGGCAAAACAUCUGGGAAAAAACAGCUCAGCAGAUGAAGAACCUAGAGUCUCCAACGCCACAAACAAGGGCUGACACAAACAUAUUACACAAAAACUCCAGAGUUUUAAACUCAACAAUACUAGAAGCUACCAACACAAGACCUAGAGCCAAACCACAACUACAAAUACAGAAGGUAAAUUUGAAGCAGACAUCAGCAUCCAUGGGAAAGAUAUCACCAAGCAAAAGUCUGCUUCCAGAAAAAUUCCAAAGCGCCAGUCCAGUAUUAGCCACUGAUCCCUGAGAACUCCUAGUCUCCACCCUUGUGAAGCUCUAUACACCUCGUUUGCUACAUGCUCUAUGAUUCUUGCCCCCAGCAUCAACACCCUUUGAUUUUCCUCAUUUAUCUACAGAAUGGCCCAAGAAGAUAUCCAGUGAUAUAUCAGUUUGAUGAGAAUAAUUGGUUCAUGAUUGCGGCGGAGAAGAAGCGGAGUGGAGCCCGGGUGUAGCAUUGGAGGAGACGGAGUCGUCGAGUUCCGGCAAUGGUGUGACCGGGUGGCUAGAGUGGUGGAGCGGCGGCGGAGGCGAGAUAGAAAACGGAUGUAGAGAAAAAUGAAAGGAUAGAUGCAUGGGGUCCGGGAUGAGUUUUGGGUGGCCGGGGGUGUGCGAGUCCUACAUGACUACUAUUCAGUCUCCCGCAAAGCGUCCCACGUUUAUUUUGACUUUGCAAAAAAUGCGUCCGGGUCGAUCAGCAGAUCGAUAGAGACCCUUGUUCAAUGGCUAAACACGUUCGGAGGUCCGAACGGUUGUGGGUGGUGGUCUGCUUUGGAGAUGCCCUAACAGAACCAAACCUAUCGCAAAAAAACACACACAAUUAUUGAACGGAGGCAAGUGAAAUGUGUACACCUUGCAUCAACGCUCGCAACCAAACAGCUGACAAAAUAAAUUGCUCCAUCCAACAGCAGUGGCACGACCUAUCUCAUUGCCAAAACGCAUCCCCCCGCGGCUCUCGCGUCGCCCCUCACGGGCGACUCGAGAGCGACCUAACCCUAGCCUCGCCGUCCCACUCCCUCCCCCUUCCCCGCCCCGCCGCCACCCAAGGCGCUCGCCGGCGCGGCUGCUGGUGAAGGUGGCGGCGAGGCACUGCUGCUCUGCGCUGCAGGGGCCCCUGGAUCUCAGGGUGGCGGCCCUGGUUGGCGAGGGCGGCGUCGAUCUCGUCCGGCGGAUGGCACCGCCGGUGCUGGCCGUCCCCACUGGCCGUGUGGGCGGCGGUGAGGCGGUGGAGACUCAUCGCUGCUGCGGGCUGCGCUGCUGGCCUCGGCUGGCUUGCUUGCCGGUCUUCUCUCCUCUGCUGUGGUCCUCCCUCGCCGAUCUGGGUGCUGCUCCUCCGGGCGGCCAGAUCUGGCACUUGAGGGUGGGUGGUGGCCGUCCUAGAACGGGGGAAACCCCUGGUCGACCUCCCGCGACCCCGACGAUGGCGGCGCUCCGGUGUCGAUCUCCCUCCUAAGGGUGUGUCGGGCUUCUUCGUCACCUCACUCCUCCUCUCCCACGAUCCCGGGCGAAAGCCUUGGCCUUGCUGGUGGAACGGCGGCGGCGCUGUGGCGUCUCGGUCCUCCUUGGAGGCAUCGUUCAAGGGAGGGUGAGGUUGUGGUCUCGCGGCAAGGUGCGUGGUGGCGGCGGCGUUGCUCUGCUCUCCGGGAUGGCGGCUAUGGUGGUGACGAGGUGGCCCCCCCCUGCAAUCCUUCAACGGCUCUUCGUCUUGUUCGGCUCUGGGCAGCCGGUCGGUGGACGGCGUCUGCGUGUUGUGGCAUGGUUCAGACGUAGGGGCGAUGGGAUCUCCCCUCCGGCAAGGCUCGGGGCGGCCAGAUCUGGAGCCAUGAUUUUCUCCAUGCAGCACGGGUCCUCUCUGCAUUCACUUGUGCUGUCUACUGAUUGCAGUUGCUCCGCUGUUCUAGCUUGCGUAGAGUUCUCCGGCAGCUUGAUCCUGUUUUCGCUGUGGUGGCGCCCUGCUCGCCAUUGCUCUGCUUAGCUCUGUAAUAUGUGUGCACGCCGCCUUUUUCUUUCAGUUUUUCUUCAAGCUUUCGCCUUUGUAUCAGCACUAUUAUAUCCUAGCCGGUUGAUGGCUUCACUAAUUUGAAGUCGGGCUUUACGUCUUUUGUCUAAAAAAAGAGCAGUGGCACGAUGCCGACAUGGAACGAAUUUGCGUAGGAACCCACGCACGCGAGCGAACGCGGGGACGGCCAGAAGACUACACGCGACGCCAACCGACGCCGACCCCUUUUGCCAAGUCGGACCGCACGCACGCGCAACCAACGCUCAUCUUUCGGGAAACAAAACACUCUUCCCCGCGCGCUUUUCUUUGUUUCUCGAAUAAAUCGACACACGGACGCCACGCGAAAGCUUCGAAUCCAUUUCCUGGAGAAUACUGACCUGCAUGCCGUGGUUGACCGCCCAGACCACAAGAAUAACCCGCAUGUCCACCACGACCACGGAAUCUCUCCUCAUGCCGUGAAGCUUCCAUGGACCGCGUCGCGCCCAGAGUAUAUAUAUGCACACCCGCACCUCAGGACCUAGGAAGCCCAGGCUGAGCCUGUCUAUAGUCGUCCAUCCAGAGAGAAUGGUUGCGACGAAGUCGGGCGAGCUGAGGGCGCUGUUCGCGUCGCUCGACAGGGACGCGGACGGCAGGAUCUCCGCGGCGGAGCUGUGGGGGUGCAUGCAGGACACACUGGGCGAGGAUAUGCCGGCGGAGGAGGCCUAGGCGCUGGUGGCAUCGGCAGACGCGGACGGCGACGGGCUGCUGUGCGAGGCCGAGUUCCUCGAGCUGGCGCAGCAGGCGGCCUGGGCGGGUACGGACGAGGAGAACGAUGAGCUUAGGAUCCAGGCGCUGAGGGAGGCGUUCGGGAUGUACGAGAUGGAGGGGCAGGGGUGCAUCACGCCGGCCAGCCUGGGCCGGAUGCUCGUCAGGCUCGGGGCCGAGCGGGGCGCCAGCGAGUGCCACACUGCCACGCCAUGAUCUGCCGGUUCGACCUCGACGGCAACGGCGUGCUCAGCUUCGACGAGUUCAAGAUCACGAUGAGCUAGCUACCUCGCGCCUGGACCCAAGCAUAUACCCCUAGUUUCGUCUGCAUAUAGCUCUUUCGCUCGUUCGUUCGUUCAUUCAUUCAUUCAUUCGAUUGUCAUAUGGCACUAGUACAAAGUUUGUAAUGAUGAUGCUCAGACAGUAACUGAUUAUUUUUACCAAAAGGGGUCAAAAAAUAUUUUUUGAACAUCAUUUUAUUACUUACGUUUUACAAAUAUUUAAAAGAUUAUCUUGAGUGUUUUAUUUAAAAAAAAUAUUAUUUAAGUUUUAUUAAAAAAUAGAUAAUACACAAUUUAUACUAAAAUGUUCCUAUUUACUAAUCAACUUGUGUAUGUAUAAUAUUUUUACACACAAAUAUUUGAAAAUAAUCAUAUUUCUUAUGUUUUACAAAUAUCUUAAAAAGAUAGCGCGUGCAAAAUGGGUCACAGUAUCUGUAUCCCAAAUAAGCUCCACAUGAUCCUCGCUUAAUAUACUCCCUCCAUUCCUAAAUAUAAGUCUUUUAGACAUUUCAAUGCGGACUACAUAUAUACGAAGCAAAAUGAGUGAAACUACAUUCUAAAAUAUGUCUAUAUACAUCCGUAUAUAUUUUUUAUUGAAAUCUCUAAAGAAAAAAUUUAGGAAUGGUGAGAGUAUAAAUUUGUUCUCCAGUUUACACAUCCAAAUGUGAAUGCUGGAGUGGCCAUACGAGCAGUUGAUCUAAAAGUGGGUGUCUGGUUAGAGCUUGGAGGUACCCUUUUUGUGUGUGUAUAUAUAAAUUCUAGGACUUUUUGUGCAAGUGUAUUGCGUAGUUGGAUUUUUUGGCAAAUGAAAAAUACGAGUGUGUCCUACACAAAAAUGCAUAGGUCCAGGGUCCUCACUCAAUGACAAGUGGGGCCAUACACAUGGAUAUGCCAGCAUACGCGUUCGUGACCGUAUCUGCACGCUUGAGUUAUGUUUCAAUACCAUAUUUUUAAAAUUUUAACACCAAGCUGAACAUGCAAUGCAAGUUUCUAUGUGUUUCAGUGAUAUUACCUCUUUUUCAACUGGUAAUUGAUUUUUUCCUUCUUUUUAGUGUCAGAUUUUGUGUGUGUGCGUGUGUGUCAUGCAUGUGCCGGUGUUGUGCAGGUGCAGGUGUUGUGUAUAGUGUGCGUGUGUUGCCACCAUGUCCGUGUACAUGUACAUGUGCAUGUCUCUGUGUGUGCUUGGUUCUGAGCGUGUGUGUGUGCGCGUGCGCGCUUGUGCGGAAGAUGACAUCAUUGGUGGAGAUACGUUCUAUUUCGACAUGUAAGGUACAAUUAAUCUUUUAAUUUAAAAACUACAGAAAACAUAAAUAUACACAUUUCAGUUUGACUUUUUUUUAUUGUUUAUCAAGUACAAUUAAUCUUUUAAUUAGUCGUUUUUUCCUUUAUGUGUGUUGUGAAUAUUAGGGGUAGGGGGGGUUGUACAUAUACACAUAAGUAUUAUACCAGAUGUGAGAAAAUUACACUAGAAUGCAAAAUUUGCAUUAUUAUACGGUUAUUUUUGCAUUUAAGAAAUUAUGCAAUUUCAUUAGAAAUUGUGUGCAAAACAAUUCAUCAUUUGCUUUUAUUUUCUUAUUUUAUUUUCUUUCUUAUUUAAUAAUAAUACCAACACAAAUAAUUGAUUCUUUCCUUGAAAUUUAUUUUUUCAAAAAACCACUAUUAUGCACUUAUUGUUUCAUAUUAUGAAAACGCGUAAUUUCCAUGUAAUUUUGUGCAAAAAAAAUUCAUUCUUUUUUUCAUUUUCUUUCUUCUGGAAGGGUAAUACCAAUACCACUAAUCCAUUCUGUCUUACAAAACUUUAUUAUUUUGGUUUAUUUUCUUCUUUAAUUAAGGGCAAUGCACAUGCUAAUAAACCAUUCCUUCUUAGAUUUUUUUUGCGAAAAUACCAUUAUUAUGCUUAUUCUUGUAUAUUACAAAAAACGUAUUUUUUGUCUAAAUUGUAUGCAAACUUUAUCAUUACUAGUAAAUGUGCACGUGCAACGCACGUUAUAUCCGAGGAAUUUUUUUCAUUAGGACGCGCAUAUUCAAUCGAAACAAAUUAAAUCCCCUUUUAAAUCUGAUCACAACUCACGAGUUGAAUUGCAGAAAAUUUAGUACACAAUGGGUAAUUGAGCAUACACAAAAAGUCCAGUCACAUAUCUCUCGUAAUGCUACGCCUUUAAUUCUUCUAUCGAAAAAACUACCAUAUGCCCUAGGAUAACCACCAUGUGCGCAUCCAUGUGACAAUAGCUUGUACCUUUCACCUGACAUGAUUCUUAGUUGGUUGUGCCUCCUCUAUUUCUCUAAAAGAUACAAAAAAAGACAAUGUCAUGUGUAAAGCUAGAAUAACCAGACAAUGAAGUUGUGCGAACUAAAAGCUAUCUAACUUGAUUACAACUCAAAACUACUCCCUCUGUUCCUAAAUAUAAGUCUUCUUAGAAAUUUCAAUAUGCACUACAUAUGGAUGUAUAUAGACUUAUUUUAGAGUGUAGAUUCACUCAUUUUGCUCCGUAUGUAGUCCAUAUAUGAAUCUCUAAAAAGACUUGUAUUUAGGAACGGAGGGAGUAAAAUUUUUCAGGUUAAGAAUGAUCCUGAUGACAUAUGAUGGCCGCACCUUGAAACUAAUUAUUUGAAUUAGAACAUGCAUUUGGAAAACAAAGAAGUACUACACUGGAACAUGCAUUUAUAAAAAUACAAUGAUGCAUCUGAAGAAAGAUACUACUAUACUGGGAAUGCACUUGGAAAAAUCAGUGCAACUUGCUUAUCACGUGUAGAAGAUGUGAAUUUUAACAAGCAAGAUAUGAGCAAUAGCGUGAGCCUGGUCUUGACAAGUUAGACAAAGCCACAUAUGCACUCUUCUUUCUUAAUGCCUCAUUGUCGCCAACAUCUGAAUGGUUGCCUUGAUACUUUGGCAAAGCCACUGCAAUCUAUAAAAUAAAUCCAUUGAUGGUCACACUAAAAGUUUGCUCUUUAUAAGCAUUGAGUUUUCGACAGCCUCUAGAAUAGAGAACACUACAAAGAGCUAUUUUUGUCAUGGAUAAUAAAUUAAAUAGGCACUAAUGAACUGCUGCAUGCACGCAAUCAGUUUCAGUGAUUGUACAAAACAAAAACGAAGGUGAACAAACAUGUACAUGGGCGUUUUGAAGGUAAGGGAAGCAAUAACAUCACCCAGUGCAGACAAUGACUUGUCGAUGAACUUUGCCUCCUUAUACCUCUCUCCUUCUAAUUCAGUUUUGGGAAAGUGGUCACUUCCAGCAUGGUCAAACAACCAUAUGUGGGUUCUACUCCUUUGCCCAGUAAGCAAAUGCCCACUCAUGAUGGUGACCCUAACCAAGAUGCAAGUGAAACAGAAGUUCGGAUGUCAUUAUCCCAUUGCUAAAAUAUGCUCAUUACUAUGUCAAGUAUGCUAAAUUAAAUAGAACUGGUUCAGUAACACUUCUUGAUUAAAUCAACUAACACAUCUAUUAUCUGGAACAACUUCCAUAGUGAACAUUUUCACUGUUCCAGUUUGCCCACAUUGAAACCAUACAUCACUGACCUCACGACUGACAGAUUCUUAGCAAAUACAACAUCUGAAUAAAACAUAUAGAACAGAACCAAUUAAAUUCAACAUCAUCCAAUAAUAUUAGCAUAUUUAAAAUAUAUUGAGAAAAGGAAUACAUAUGCUUAUUAUCGUGUUGAAAGACUGUCCAAUUCAUGAAUUUGAUACAUCACAACAUUUGGAAGAAAACUUAAAUGAUUGCCCUAUUCAUAAAUUUUCAUGAAUGCAGGAGCGGUAAAAUUCAAUUUGCAUGAAGCUUUUGAAAAUGCAGAUUGUGAUGUUCCACACACCAUCUAUUGUAUUAUUUUCUCAUCCAAAUUUCAUACCAUGCAAUAAAUAGGAGAUAGAAGAAUAUAAGGAACAUGCUUAGGCCUGCCUCUGUCAUUCCCUCUCUGCCACUUCCCUUCUGUUGUACUCCUGCUAGUGUUAUGCAACAUAUAAGAACAAUCUGCAGGGUGGAAGAACAGAAUUACAGACGGGAAAUAAAGUUUGAUGCAAAUAUUUUAAAACUGCAAACAUUAUACAAUGCCAAGCUCUCUGAUAUUUUUUAGGGAAGAAAUCACUCUUUUUCGGAUGAGUGAUGUGAGAGACGCAUCAAACAAGGGUUUUACGUCAAAUUUGGACUAAAAAGUAAGUUUUUAGAUAUUUAUACUAUUAUUAAAGAGGGAUCUGUGGGGAUGAUCCGUCGUAUUUCCAGCUCUGAAUUGCGUCUUCCAAAAAAAUCGUCCGCUAAAAUGAGGGCCAUUGAAUCAGCACUCUCUUGUCUCCCAUUCUCCCUUCAAGCCUUGUGUCUUCUCCAGCAGAACCAUAUGCUGAUCUGCAUAUCUACCACUGCCACAUACACAUACUAAACAUUCAGAUUAAGCUCAAGUUCCACUCAUCACUCUUUUCGUAAAAGACAAACGAUCUGUUGUUCUAGGCUGCUUGCUAUAGACAGAGGGGCACUAUAAAGCUUUGUUUAGUUUAGGCACUUGCAGAUAGCAUGUGAAUCUAUGAAGUGUCCUUACUUUACACUACACAUGUUCUUUUUAGAAAAGACGCUACAUUUAGCAAGAUGUUAAGUAAGAUGAAGAUCCACGCAAUGGACGGGUAGAUUGCUGCACAAAAGCACCCGAGGGGCAACAAUGUGUAUGAACCUGAAGUCCCGAAUAACUCACGAAAUUUAUUUUGUUACCCUCUAGCGCUUCAGCCCAAGAUCAACUCAAGUUUACUGUUCGGAUAGUUCAGACAACUGACAAGUUGGUCGCUCUACCUGUGCCCGGCCAACAAGAACCCUACACAUUCUAAAUGUCAUCGCAAUCAUAAUGCCAACACAUCUGUUCAUAAAUUUUGCAGUUCUAUGUAUAAUCUGGACAUACCAUUUGCAAUGGUGCCGAAGCUUUUCUGGCAGAUUUGACAAUUAGCUUCACCAAUUAGGUUCUUCAUAUAACGGAAGAGAAAAAAAGGCCAGUCACAAACUCACAAUGUUGAAUGGAUAGAUAAUCAUCUAGUAGCAAUAUCAACCAAUUAACAGGACAAAAGAAACAGUAAGCAAACACUACAAAGUGGUCUUGAUAUAUGAAUAAAGUUCUGUACGUUACAGUAAAUUACUAUAUAUGAAUAAGAUUAGGCGUAAGUAAUUGGACACUGCUAUGAGAUGCUAAUAUUAAAAACAUUAACCAUGAUAUUUACUGGGAAUAUGGAGUAUCACGUCGCUCCUAUGCUUCAUCUGCUUGCUUCUCAAACAGAUUGGAAGAGCCAAAUCACCUUCAUCGGAAUGGUACCCAAUGGUUGAAACGACAUACUCCCUCCGUUCCAAAUUACUCGUCGUUGAAAUGGAUGUAUCUAGAACUAAAAUACAUCUAGAUACAUCUAUAUGCGCGACAAGUAAUUCGGAACGGAGGGAGUAUCAGUGUACAACUUCUGCCUUCAGAGAAAAAAUAUCGAACACAUACCUAGGGCGGCAGGGCUGGCUGGGAGGUGGGACAGAUGCGCACUACGGCUAGCCAAGGCGGACACGACGGAUGCUGCGCGCGGGAGGAAGGGGGGGGGAGGGGGGAGAUCCGCUUGUGGUCUGACGGAGCUCUGCUCCAUGCCAUGGCGCCCUGCAGCGCGGAACGGAGAGAGGGAGAUAUAUUAGUCAGGGGAUGGAGAGAGAAGGAGUUUGAGGGCGUUGAGCGCAGCUUGCGCAGCUUACCAGCAGAGGAGGUCGGCGGCGGCUUGCUGUACGGCGGGCGACGACCAGAGGACGGGUCGACUCGCGGCGAUGGGGAAGGAAGCACACGGGAGGAGGGGAUCAGGGGAAGGAAGGUGGGGCCGUGCAAGUUGCUGCGGAUCCGUUUUUGUGGCAUGAUUUCGGGUGGAGUCAAUCUGGAAAUCUGUGAACUGCCUGCGGGAUUGCGGGGAUUGGGGACGCGGAGCGCUACGAGGAUUGACAGACUACCGCGUCUGGUUGGUAGAACAUCUGAUCUGAGACGUUGAUCUCGGUAACAGACUAUUGAUGCAUUAUGAAUGGUGGGAUGUAUUUAAGUUAAUUUGAUCCGAGGGUCCUGGUAAACCUGUGUAUAGUUUACCGUGUGGCUUUAGGGGGAUUGAUGUUUGCUUUUUUAAUAGUAGUAUAGAUAUAGAUAUAAAUUUAUUUUAUUUCAUUUCUUCUAGAAGGAUGAUUCCAAUGCUACUAAUUCAUUUCAUGAACACGGAAUUUAAGGAUCGAGUACAUAUAUUAGUGGUGUCACAUUUUCCAUCUCUCACACACGCGCACGCAUACUCUACACAUGCACACACACGUUGCACCGACAGCCACUAACGUGCACGUACAUAAAGAAAAUAAACACCGUUGAAUGAACUAGCUACCAUCGUAUCACUAGUAGUUUGGGCAUAGCUUGGCGUAGCUAGCGGAUGGACAGGGUCGUUCAUGGACCACCCUAGAAUUCCACCAUAGCUCAUGCACAGUGUAGUAAAAAAAUCAUUUCCGUGAAAAUAAACAAAAUUCAUGUAAUAUUUCUAUUACGGGACCACCCUAGCACAUCAGGUUGGCUACGCCACUAGCCUAGGUGCAGUGAGUACGCUCCAAGACUGACCCUUAUAUUAUUUUCAAUCGACUGGCAUAUAGCCACGCUCAAAUCUGGAGUAACUAAAUACGCACUCGGGUCAUAUGGUUUACACUUGAGAGUCUGUGACGCCCGGAUAAUUAAGCUACAGUAACUCUCUACUAAUGACAUCAUGUCACCACAUUUACUGUUGAUAAACUCGCGUUGAUUCAAACCCGCUCGAAAUUCAAAUUUAAAAUGGAGUCAAACGGUAAAGGUUUUCAAACAUUAAAACUAAAAUCUCGAUCAUGUGGCAAAUAUUCCAUUUCUAAUUAUGGUUGUGAACCAACAAGUUUGCAAAGUGUUUAAAUGACCUAAGAUAACUAAAAUAGUGGCUAAAAAAUUUGUUUAAAUGUUUUUUAAUUUAUAAAAUACUAAACUAUUUUAUUUAAACCUCACCUAAAAGUGGCAGUGGCCUAAGUUUAUUAAGCUACAUUAGGUACAAGUUUUAUAAAUUAUAAAACUGUUUUGGUUUUAAAAAGUUUNNNNNNNNNNNNNNNNNNNNNNNNNNNNNNNNNNNNNNNNNNNNNNNNNNNNNNNNNNNNNNNNNNNNNNNNNNNNNNNNNNNNNNNNNNNNNNNNNNNNNNNNNNNNNNNNNNNNNNNNNNNNNNNNNNNNNNNNNNNNNNNNNNNNNNNNNNNNNNNNNNNNNNNNNNNNNNNNNNNNNNNNNNNNNNNNNNNNNNNNNNNNNNNNNNNNNNNNNNNNNNNNNNNNNNNNNNNNNNNNNNNNNNNNNNNNNNNNNNNNNNNNCACCCGAGCCAGGCAGCCCACCUACCCCCACCGGUCGUCUUGUUCUUCUGUUCACCCGACCGAGCCGACGGAUCUGGCAGCUGCCAGAGUUGCGAGGUAGGAGGAGGGAAGGGGGAGGGCCGGCGGCGAGCUGCGAGAUGAUGGAGGCGGACAGGUGGUGGGUGGCGCCGAUGCGUUGGAGACGAUGAGGAAUCGGGACGAGGGUCUAGCCACGAGCCGAGGAACAAGGUAUUAGGGUUAGAUUUUAUAUGGGAGUGCCUAGGCGGGCUUUAGCGGGCCUGGCAGGCUGUACCGGGCCAUCAAUGACAGUUUGUGAAUCUGUCAUAAGAAAUCCGUCAUGGAUUAACAUAUUUCUUGUAGUGAGUGCACGUCUCCAUUCCAUACCAAGCUCCUUCUCUAGUCGGGGAAAGGCCAUUCUAAAACAUCAGAUCUCCCAUUUUUGCUGAACAAAAAUCAGUUUAUUCACCUAUAAUAUAUGACAGGUAGCAAAAAAUUGGAUGCGUCAACAAGAGAUUGUAUGUCAUUUCUGAACACCACCUCGGAGGAAAGCGUUGGAAGGAUUCCUUUCAAAGCGUAAGAACCACCGAAGAGCAUGGGAUUGGUAUUUCUUUUCUGGGAGUUUCCAGUUCUUGAGCACUAAUAACGUUUUGAUCAUUCUUGUUGACCCUCCAUGACCAUAGGUUGGUUUCAUAACUAGAGCUUCUGUUCAACUCUUUACAUACCUUGAUGGGAAGGAAAACUCCACUUUAGAUGGAUUAAAGGUUUUACAAUUAUACCUUGCUAAUGUUAUCAACCGGAUGAAUUUAAAAUUGUUCGACUCAUUGUCAUCAGAGAAACACGUGCCAUAGGAGAAUUGACUUCGGAUCAGAGCAAGAAUCGAAACCAAGGAAAAGCUAUCUUUCGUACCAACACAUAGACAACUUACUAGUACCAUUUUAUUAAUAAGUUCCAAAAUAUACAAUCAAUAUAUUAAUGGAGUUUUUCUAAUAAAUUACAACCAUACUGGCCCUCACGUGGCAUAACAGUAACAGUUAAGCUUCCAAAGUAAGGAAAGAAAUGUAUGUCAGGCUAGCUCGACCUCUUCAUACUCAUGGAAGGAAAAACCUAGAACAACCAGAACAAUUUUGACAUGACUAACGAACUCCCCGCCAGUGAUUAGAUGUUUGGCGUGGAAUUCAGCCCCACAAUUACGAGCAAUGUACCAUAGCAUAUCCACCCAUACCGUUGCAAUCAGCUCCCACCGAUAAGCUGCUCCUUCGGGCCUAAGCAAUUCCAAGGAGACCUCACGAGCUUGGUCAAGUGCACGGGAACCAUGGUAGACACCGUCAUAGACUUUCUGGAGGAACGCACUCCGAUCAGCAACGAUAGCAGGACGAGUGCACAACAAACUAUGUCGACUUUUAUGAAGCACAUGAUACGCACAGCUAUCAAGCAUCACAUUACACUUGGCGACAAGAUACAUCAUGUAAUUGGACAAUGCUUGGCUAAAACUUCUGAAUUCGGAGGCACUGGCAGUCUUAUCGGCCACUAAGCAUAUAUCAGUCACCAUGUGCCAAAGAUAGACACUUGACACAAAAGCCAAACCUUGGAUGUUGCUUAACUGAAGUGCCCGUUGAGCUGCACUUUCAGAUUGUUGACCUGCACCAAGAUAAUCUUUGGUCUGGAGCGCAGCCCACCAUUGAGACCAUUGGCCACGGAAGCUGCUGGAGGACAAUCCCCCACCACCAGGUGCAUUGGUUUUUAUCUCAAGCAGUUUUACAAGUAGCACCUUCUUUACCUCAGGAGAUAUGACGACAUGUGUUGUGUAAUCCCGCUUGAUGCCGAUACUGCCCAUCAUCCGUUCCAGUCGGCCAGCUUGUAUCUCCUGGAUGCAUCCAUCAAGCAUGUUAUACUGUUUCAUCUUCCCCGACCACUCCAUUCUGCUUCCUGGAUGGAGACCCUUGGGUACACAAUGGAAGAUUUUGUCAUAAUCAAAUGUCCGCCAAUAUGCAAUUGGCAUGUAUGGCCAAUAUGAUAACAGGGACCACAUGAAGGUAGAGGAUAUCUCCAUUGUGACAGCGCCCACAAGCAAUAUGUAAGAUAUGGUAACAUCAGCUCUACUGUAGUUGACUAGUCCCUGCAAUUGAUGAUCAACCCUGGCUUCCAAAAACAAAACGAGAGCCGUAGAGGUUAGGACAAGUGUGAUGAGUCGAUGUAACACACCAGUGACCCGUCCAAACUUGGUGUACAAGUAGUCAUGUACCAGUGAGAGUUGAAUCUCAACAAUCUUGUACACUAGAUCACUAGCUCCAUCGUCAAACCUGUGAAUCCUUUCUGCAACUGCAAUCCUUAAAUCCUGUAAAUCAAUUCCGCUAAAUGGAGGAUUUACGUCCAUCAAAAAAUCAAACUUCAUAAAGAAGCCCCCGCAGGUCACAUCCAUCACAUGUUCGAAAUUUUCCUCUUUCUUCUCAGAAAUUAUUGAUAGCAGGCCAUCAUAAUAUCUGCUCAAGCCGGAGGCAAGAUGCCUCCCACCGGCAUUGAAGCUGCUGCUCCUUGAGCCUGCUCUCCUGAGUGCCCUAAUUCUCUCAGCAUAUUUAAUAGUUCCAGAGAUGAACAUUAGUACCAUGGGAGCUACAAGUUGACUGCCUCCGUGCCACUGCUUGCGGACGAUGUAAAUGGCCAGUGCCACCUGGAUGGUGAAGUUCAGCAGGUGGCGCUUCCACAGCAUGCAGUCCUCCAUGGAGAAGGCGGUGAUGGUGUCCUGUCCGCCAAGGUGGAGCAGCAGGAAGGGCGCCCAAAAUAGCACAAGCUGGUGCUGUGGGUCACUAGUGUGGGCGGCGAGGCGUCCGAGGACGAAGACCGCGAUGGAGUCUGCCGAUAGGUAUGACAGCCACAACAGCGCGCUCAGCACGCGGGAGCUGUGGCGCUUCCGGAACGCUGCAGAGAAGAGGAGGAUGACUUGAAGGGAGAAGCUCGCUAGCACGAGCAACUGGAUCUCCCAUUCCUUCCAGAGUUGCUGGACAUGCUCCACUGAGCUGAUACGUUUUACGAAACAAAAGUUAGAAAGGACGAAAAGGAUUAUAUAUAGAGCAAACGUCAGCGCGUAAGUGUUUGAGGGCGACAAACUUUGCGUCAAGCAUUGGGCUGGAAAGUGAUACUACCUCCAUUCAAAAUAUAGGACAGUUUAGUAGGAUACUUAAGCCUACCAAAACGUCCUACAUUUUGGAACGAAGGUAAUACUAUCAUUUAACAUUGGUUUCUAACAGGGCCGGCCCUGUGGGGGGGCAGGGGGGCGGCCGCUCCGGGCCCCCAAAAUCCAGGGGCCCCGAAGGGUAUGUACGUAGCCUAUAGGCCUAUGGCCCAUACAGGCAGGCGCGCGCUAGGGAGCAGCAGGCCAGCAGCCCGAUCUCCCCGAUCCCCAGCGAUCGAGUGUUUUGAGCUAUCAGCGGUAUUUCCUUUCACGUAAGAAAAAAGCGAUCAAUCAGCGGCCUGGACCAUUCCUUUCCUGUUCUGUUAGACUCUUUCAUCACGCGGAGUCACGCAACACCCAGGUCCCAGCGAUAGUUGAUGUCCGCCGACGCCGCCGUACACGCACGCUGCACGCACGCACUCCCGCCUUGCCGCCGCCUGGUAAUUUCCUUCGUAAUCUGUAUAUGUUCGCCACUGAUUUCAAUUCCGGGGCCCCCUUUCGCAUCUGCUCAAUUGUUCUCUUCUCAAUCCUUUGCAAACUCUAGGCGCUGUGCAAUCCCCUGUGUAUUGUAUUGUAUAUAUACGCGCACGCACUGAAGUUUGACCAUCACUCCAUCACGUAUUGAGGUAUAUUGAUAUAAUACUGAUACAAGAAAAAUCCUUUGAUGGAUAGCCGGCAAUGUUCAACAAUUGAUAGAACAAUUUUUUUUAUUUUCAGCAUUUUGUGUGUGUUAUUAUGAAGUCCUCCAGUAAGAGGAAUUAUCCAUCAUGUAGCAGCAAAAGGAAAAAGAAGAAGGAAGUGGAGAAAUUGACACACACAAAACGCUGGUGUUUAAAGAUAUAUUCAGAUUUUUAUUGAGCUCGGGCACUCUGAAAUCAUUAAGUGACAAUGAACUUGAAGAAUGUUGCACAAAAUUUGCAGAAACUUUCUCUCUUAAUGAUUCAUCUCAUAUUGAGGUAUAUGAUCUUAUUUCUGAAUUAGAGAUUAUGAUUAUGAGAUUAACUUUGCCAGAUGGCGUAAUGUCUGCUAUGGAGAUUUUCGGGCAAGUGAGAGAAGUCAACUGCUAUCCUAAUAUCUCUAUUGCCUCGCAUCUUAUGUACUGUGCCUGUGACGGUCGCAUCGGCCGAAAGAAGCUUUUUGAAGUUGAAAUUAUUGAAGAAUUAUUUGAGGUCAACAAUGACUUAAGAGAGGUUAAAUGGUCUGGCUAUAUUAUGCAUCGAGAAGAAAUUAUUGGAUGAUAUUAACAUCGACCCUAUCAUAAGCGACUUUGCAUCGAGGAAUGUUAGAAGAAAAUUUUAAGGUAAUAUCUAUAAAUUAUUUGAUACGCAUACUGAUUUUAGAUGCAUUGAAGUGUUACUGAUAGUAAUUUAUAUAUACACUAUUUUUUAGAUAACUUUAUAUAUAUACGUAUAUUAUAAUGACUUGUAUAUUAAGGGCCCCCAAUUUUUAGUUCGCCCCGGGCCCCCGAAAUCUCAGGACCGGCCCUGGUUUCUAAAAGGCUAAAAGCAAAAGGCCUGGCCUGAGAACUCUGUUGUUUUAUUUUUGCUUCAUAUAUAAAACGGAGGAGAUGUUCCCGUCGACUACUAAGGCGUCUGUGGCGACCUCGUUAAUCUCAAGAUGAUGUGCCGGCUCAGUCUCUCGGACGUGCUCAUAGGGGUAUAGAGGGUGUAUGCUCGUGUAUGUGAGCGACUUCGAUUAUACCAUGUUUUAAAAAGUUGAGCGGGGGAGACCCUUUCAUUAAAAAAAAGGGCUAGAUAUCGCAUGGAACAAAAGUUGAUCUACUCAAUAUAUGCAUAUCUUACCCCACGCAUGCCAUUUAAAGAAGAUACUACCGGAAUGACAUUCUAUGCCGACAGCCCGCAGUCGUCGGCAUAGGCACAAACCCCGUCGGAAUAGGCCUAUGCUGACGGCAACCGUGGGCAUAGGGUCGUCGGCAACUUGUACGUCAGUGUAGCUGGGCAGGGCCAUCGGCGUAGAAAAGCCGUAGGCAUAGAGGCCUAUGCCGACGCCCUUCAUACACCCAUCGGCAAACUUCUACGUAUGACGGCGGCUAACGGCGCCGUCGUCAUGUUCUGAUCAAUGAAAGGGCGACACGUGGUACAGCUAUGCCGACGGCCAAUCCGUCGGCAUAGUUUUAUAUCUAUGCUGACGGCCAGACCGUCGGCAUAGUUCUGCCAUGUGUCGACAACUGGUGCAGCCUGGCACUAAGGUAUGUCGACGGCCCAACUACCCCCCAAGUACCCCGUUCCGUCUAACCCUAGCACAGUUGACCGGCGGAUCUAGCCCUUUGACUUUCACCAGACGAGAUUUGCCGAUGGACCUUUUCACCUGGUUGUGAUAGGCUCCUCAUGACUAACCCUGGCACCGUUGACCGGUGGAUCUAGCACUUUCAAGAUUCUUAUUGAAAAAACAUAUAAAACUUGUCAAAAUAGAUGUAAUUAUCAAUUUUUUGUGAUUUUAAUAAAGUAUAGGGACCUAUAUACAAAAAACAUGAGGUCACAUUACUAACAUACUCGAAAAAAAUACAAACUACAUAUUCAUAAUCUAUGGUAAAUUCUACACCAAAUCAAUAUAUAAUUUAUGAAUGCUUAUGUCUAGAUAAGUUAAUGAAAUUUUAAUUUAGAAAGAGAUAAAAACUAAAAAAAUAGACAAUACACAGAUAUGCCAUUUAAGUUAAUCAAAUAGCUAUGCCCCGGAUCGAUGAGGUGUGCCUGGCACGUGCCGCGAAUCGAGGACGUGGACCAAGCCUAUGCCAACGGCUUUGCCAUCGGCAUAGCUAUGCCGACGACCUCCAUUAGUGUCGUCGGCAUAGCUAUGACGGCAUCAAACGCUCGUCCCCACCGGGUUGCCGGGCCCACGUUUAUGCCGACGGCCGCUGUAGGCAUAUGUCCCACUAUGCCGAUGACAUAACUAUGCCGACAGUCACCGUCGGCAUAUGUGGAAGUAUGCGGACGGCUUGCCCUAGGCCGUGGGAUGGCAAAACAGGUCUGGACAACGUGGUCCGGACGUAUGUGAACGAUUUAUGGGUCGGCAUUGGAGAUGCCGUUACCGGCCCACAUCAUUCUGGGCGUCAUUAAUUCACAUAGAGGAUGCCGGGGAAAUGGCCCUAGGGACGUGGUGCCUGUCGCAAGUUGGUUCACGACGGUGUGGAGUGUGCAUGUCGCAAGUUGGUACACGACGGUGUGGAGUGACAGCGGUGAUGUCCACGUCGUGUUAUGGGCUUAUGGCUGGCCUUCUGAUGACCGUGUUGACGGUCUAUGGUCUCCCACCAUGCAUCUGCUAGCGCCGCUGUGGUCGAUGUCUUGUUGGUGUGGUGGUCUUCGCGCGAAUGCAGCAGUGGAGCGGGAUCGCAUGGUUUGGCGGCGAUGUGAUUUGCUGGAUCGGGAGGAUCUAGCGAUAUGCAUCAGGCUUUGGUCAGAUGACUCGCAUCACGUGUAAGCAUGGAGCGUCCUGCCAUAGCCAUAAUGUGCAUACAUCUGGGCUAUUUAGAGAAGGAUGGUUGUCUUAGGGGGCUCUUCCUCCCUCCCGCAUCUCAGGGGUGGCGGGACCCCAACAUGCGUGGAGGUGCGGCCGAUUUAGAAGUGACGGCGUUGGCUUCGACGGCAGCGGCGGUCGGCCCUGCCUCGGGCCAAGGGCAGCUGCUGCGGCGGCUGGCCUGGAUCGGGCGGCGGCGCGAUGCGGUCUUCGGCGGCAUGUCAUCUGGUUUUAGAUCGGCGGCGGCGUCGAGGGCCUGGUGGACUGCUUCGCGGCACCCAUGGCAGAUCUGUUCUGGCCGGUGUAGCCAGUGGUGGUGGUCAUCUUCUUCGUCAGCGGUGGCCGGCCAGAAGCUUGGUGAUCGGAUCUUGAGAUCCAUCAUCUAGUCCCGGCUGCGAGUUGGGGAGACAUGGUUGCCGGUGAAAACCGAACCGACGGUAGGCGAUGGCGGCGUUCUAUGCCAUUACCUUGAUGAAGGCAUCGUCGUGUAACUACUGUCAACCCACUCGUGCUGCUCCGGAGGAAACCCUAGGAUCUGGUGUUCUAGAUCGGACGAUGGCGGCACUGCGGUGUCGCUUCUCUCUUGGGAGCAUCGUUUGUGGAACAACACUGGAAGUCAGAGGCAGAAGGUGGAGCGGCUUCGUCUUGCACGGAGCUUCGAUGGAGAUGUCAAGUCAUGCCUGAGCGACAGGUGCUACGCUUGGUCAUGCCUGGUCUGCAGGUGCUACGCACGGCAGAUCUCCAAGGACUUCAAGCUGUGUGGGCUGGUGAUACUUGGCAGCAUGACACUGAGGUGUAUCAGUGGCGGCCACGACGCGUUCAGUUGUUUGCGCGCAGGGAGGAGGUGUCGUUGGGUGCUGUGGUGGCGUCGACGAUAGCUGGACCGAGCAAGUUUAUGCAUCAGUACAGUUCUGAAGAUGGAGCGGUGGCAGUUGGCGGCGGCAGCCUCUGAGAGCACGCCGGACCAGUGUGUGCCCCAGACCCAGCAAGUGGCUAGGUUGGGGUAUCAAUCUUAGAUGUUAGGCUUGGCUGCGAUGUCUGUUUGGUAUUAGGCCCAGGCUAUCUACGCCGCUUCAUCAACUGGAUAGGCGUAGCGACAGUUUGUUGCUUAGACGGCGGCUUUAGUCUUACUGUUGUAUUGAUUUUGCAAGGUCUUAUGAGAAUAAUUAAUAAAGUGACCGUAUGCAUCGCCCAGAUGCAGAGACCGGGGUCAUCCUCCUUUUCUAAAAAAAAAAGAUGCUAAUAACAUUUACAACAGUAAAUAAGUGCUCUGUGGAAACAUACGGUCAAAUUGGAUAAUCCCCCUUAAAAAAGAGAAACGUAUAUUGUUUAUCCUUCAACUUUUGGUGGAGUCCAAAUUUAGCCCUUAAACUUUGAAACUAGAUAACUCGCACCUUAUAACUUUUAAAACAGGGUUUACUAGUCCUUCACCGAGUCCUUCAGGUUGUUUCCCUGCUGAGUCAACCCGGUUUUGACUCGUAAGUCUAACACAACAUCCACCUCAUCAUCUUCAUCUUACUGGAGUCGGGGAUUUCAUCGAACACUUCGUAGGCAGCCGAUGCCUAGGUGCUUGUCAUCUCGUCCAUCCCGCCUGUCAUGGUGCUCAACCCCCACGUCUAGCAGCCGCCUUCCAAGAUCCCAUGGCUGGCGGCCAGUAGCAACUCGCGGGGGCCGCGGCGAUAGUUGGAAAGCUGGCCUGCGCGGCAUGGAUACGGCGGUGGAAGGGCGGGCCGGCCGCAUACAGCAGCCUGAGAGCAACUCUAGCAGACCCCGCAUCCCGCCCCGACCAUUUAAAUAACAGUCAAAAUACGAGUCGGGGCGAAAAAACCAGCCCGAUCAGACCCCGCAUCCCGCCCCAACCCGCACAAAAUUUUACGGGGCGUGGCAAAAUCCCGACCCCAACCCGGGAAAACACGGGUUUUCCCAUCGCGGCUGCGGUGCCCUGCAUAUAAGCGGAAGCGGUUGGUGGGGGAGACAUUUCAUCCCGUGCUUACACCCACCAAACACCUCUCCUCUCCCCCCACGUGUCGCCGCCGGCCGCCGCCAAAGAUUCCGGCAACAGAAGCCAGCAGGAGCACGCCGGAAGACCGCCACGCGCACGAGGCCUCCCCUCCCUUCCCCCCUGCGUUGGUGGGCCGUCAGAUUUGCAGAUCUGCGGCACUUCAUCGCGGGCCGCAGGAUUUGGCUUUUGCAAGCCGCCGGUUACUGUCCCAGGCGAUGGAGUGGUCGGGGAGCCACUCCCGCAGCCCAGGCAAGGGAGCAUCGCCGCAUGCAGGCACCGGUUCGUCCGCCCGCCGUCGUCGAAAGUUUGCUGGCAUGGACUCGUCUGGCCGUCCACCGGGCUCGGCGCUCAUGCAGCGUCUUUGUGGCCUGCUGAUGCCGUUCAUAGAGUGCGACGACUGCCCGCGCCAAGUGCUGCGGCUCACUUCGGGCACGCCGAAGCACCACAUAUGGGUGUUCUACAAAUGCGAAAACGACGGGGUACGUGCACUUGCGGUAGCUCGUUCCAUAGCUCAUUCUUUAGUUCAAUUGCGGUAGCUCACUUCAAGCUUUCUCAUUCUUUUGUGUAGGACGAUGGAUGCUCAUUUUGGUUUUGGAAAGGCCAAUACAUUGAUUUGUUGAUACAAAGAAACUUAAUAGAUGUUAGUGCACUCCUUAGUACAAUCGAAUGCAAUGAUGCGGCUGCAUGUGCAACUAGAGGGGAAGCAACGUCUACUUCUUUGGAACCAAAGAUGAAGAAUGAAGAAAACAAGAUCAAGAAUCCGCAGAUCAACAAUGAGUGCAUGGAGAAGAUAUUGCUUCAAUUAGUGGGAGCAGUUAUGGAAGUUGGAAAUCUUCUGAAAUGCAUACUUGUGGUUCUUGUUUUCUUUGGUUUUGCUAUUCUAGCCAAGAUUUGGUGAUAUCUUUUGUAUCUAAUGUAGUUGCAAAGGCAAAGAAAAGCAUUAUGCUAGAUCAAUUUAAGUUGCAAAUCUAAGUUUUACGGGCCGGGAGGAGCUGCGCCAGAUCAGAACCCGCAGAAGUCGACCCGUAAUAAUAGUAUAUUCCGCGAAUAUACUUUUUUACGGGUCCAUUAUGCGGGGUCUGCAUCUGUGCGAGCCCAUGCUGGCCCGCAAAAGCGGUUUUGCGCGAACUACAAAGACGUUUUACGGGUCGGCGGGAUGCGGGAUCUGCUAGAGUUGCUCUGAGCCAUGCCGCCAUUGCACGUGCACCCAAAUCAGCCAUAGAAGCCUCCUGAGCACCGUGCCGGAGCUCGUGCUCGGGUGCUCAAGGAGGCAUCGAGGUGAGGUGCACCAACCUAUCAAUAGAAGCCACCUUCACCUCGACACCUCGGCCUUGCCCUUGCCACAGCACGUGCGCACCAAUGUGGCCCCGGACGCGAGCGUUGCGAGCUCGAGGGAAAGCACCACCGGCGGCAAAGUAACGUGUGGCUGCUUGUCGGAAGCAGCUAGACCACCGUCGAGCUCGAUGCGUACCUAGGCGGCGUUGGUUUCCUGAAGGGGAGCUCCAGAACGACGCGGGCGUCAGCUUAGUCACCUGCAUGGCUGGCGCGCUCGUGUCGCUCGUACUGGUGCGGCUAGCGGCGGUGCGCACAGAGGUUGGCAGGCAGCAAGGAACUGCGCCAUGGCGAGGUGCACGGGGCUACCAGUGCUGGAGCGGCACUGUUACACGCUGCCAGCGGUGAGAAGGCGGCGCCGGCUUCGAGUGGCCAGUACGUAGGCAGCCCACGAUGCGGCCACGGCAGCAUGUGGUAGCUAGCAGGACCAUCUGAUGGUAGGCACGCAUCGUGUGUUUGAUGAAAUGCCCAAACAGAAAUAGGGAGAAGAGAUAGGGCCAGGUUGGGGAGAGAAAUACCGCCACGUGGAUGAAAAACCAGUCAAAACCACAAUGAGUCAGCAGUAAUACCGGGUCAGCCAAGAUGAUGGACUAAACUUGUCCGAUUUUUAUUGUUGUGGGUGCAAAUUGUCUGGUUUUAGACUUGAAAAACUAAAUCUGGACUCCACCAAGAAUUGAGUAACGAAAAGUAUACUUUUAUCUAUUAGAAAGUACGAUCAAAUUGAAUACGAUUUACGACAAUAUCUAGAGCGUUCUAUAUUAAGGAUUUUAAGUCUUGAAGCUACCUGUGUUGAGUCGUGGGCGGGCAGGUUGGCACGGCGCAGACGCAGUCUCCACAUUCCUUCAGCACCCUCAUGUUGCUCCGACAACAACAUGAAACCGCAAGCAGCGGCUGGAGCGUGGGAGAAAUUAGGAAAGAUGGAGAGCUGCUUAUGCUCGUCGUGUUUUUAUAGUACCAGUACGUACCAAUUCAAUGCCCACACGUCCAUGGCACUCUCCAUUGAUUCUUUGCUUGGACUGGCACAACUCCGCUUUGCUUGCAGCUGGGUCGACGGAAGAUUCCGCUAGCUUAGAAUAAUACACAUGCACGCAAACUAAAGAGCAUGCCAGUGGAGGAACUGCAUCAAUCAUAUCUUACGAGGCAAGCUUUCGCUCUACUUUAUACAGAAUAAACCAUAUAGUCAAACAAUGCAAUGUGCAAAAAAAUUCCCCUUGCAAACUGAUUAGAUAACAGAAAAACACAAUGACCAAAGACAGCACAUCACCAAGAAUGCCUUGUCAAACAGCACCAACAUGCCGCGGAUCAUAAACACGGGAGAGGCAGAACCACAACUAAAUCAAACAUAAGAACCGACAAUCUACGAACUCGUGACUUCUAUAUUUUUUUUUUGAACCGGGCAUUACCCCUUUCCAUUGCAAACAACAGAAAUACAACCAGUUUCGAGAACAGAGUCAGGAGGAGGGAAAGAGGUAAGGCGAGUUCAAGCAUUACCAGGAAACCCACUGCAAUUCGGUCGUCGUCGACCCGAACGCUAUGGGGCGAAAACCUGGUAACACAUACAGUUCAAGAGCAACAAGCUCCAGUACACCCAAAAGAGACAAACAUGCCAACACGACAAAAGAUCACAAAGCGCAAACUAAAAAGCCACUAUGAAGGAAGAAGGCCCUCCCAGCUGCAUGAUCCUUCAAGCUCNNNNNNNNNNNNNNNNNNNNNNNNNNNNNNNNNNNNNNNNNNNNNNNNNNNNNNNNNNNNNNNNNNNNNNNNNNNNNNNNNNNNNNNNNNNNNNNNNNNNNNNNNNNNNNNNNNNNNNNNNNNNNNNNNNNNNNNNNNNNNNNNNNNNNNNNNNNNNNNNNNNNNNNNNNNNNNNNNNNNNNNNNNNNNNNNNNNNNNNNNNNNNNNNNNNNNNNNNNNNNNNNNNNNNNNNNNNNNNNNNNNNNNNNNNNNNNCAGCUGCAUUGUGCUGUGUGCUGGUUCUGAUCAUCUCGGCACCUAAUCGAAGCUUGUCAGCGUCUUCACCUUUCUGACAGUCAUGUCCAGUACAAAAGAAAAGAGCACAUGGAGAACACGAUUUUAAAAGGAGACUUGAUUUGCUUUUUUCAAACGUAGCCUUAUUGCGAGCGAGCCAGAUUGCCCAGCACGCGGCUGCAAGUCCAACCGUAUAGAACUUGCCCUCUCCAGGAAGAAAGGACUGGCACCAAGCAAAGAAUUGCCAAUAGUUAUCUGGACAUUUAUCGGUGCCAAUAGCCACCCCAAUAGAUCGCCACACCACUCUUUGCAACAGGACAAGUAAAGAACAAGUGCUGGGAAGUCUCAAUCUCAUUGCAAAAAGAACAAUCAAGAUUCCCAGGCCAAUUCCUAUGGCGCAUCACCUGUCUAGUCAACACCGCGUCUUGCGAAAGCUGCCACAUAAAAUUUUUAAUCUUGAGAGGAAUUUUGGCCUUCCAAAUCCACUUAUAAUGGCACCUGUUGAGAGGUUUUUCAAGCCAUUUGUAAACAGAUUUGGUACUAAAUUUACCAUUCUGGUUUAAACUCCAAACCACUCGAUCGUCUUUGUCAGUAAGACGCAGGUUGUUAACUAUAUCUAAGAUUGUAACCCAUUGUUCAGCAAGAGCAGGAUUAAGCCUGCGCCUGAAAAAGGAGUCGGUCUCCACACUUAGCACUUGUUUAAUGGUACACUCAGGGACAUUACAUAUAUUAACGAGCUGCAGAUAUUGAUCCUUAAACGGAAGCAGUCCGUUAAUAGGAUCGCUCCACACCCUAGCAAUGUUCCCGGAUUCAGUAAUAACUUUUACACCAGCCAUAUAAAUCUCCUUGACUUUCAAUAGGGCUUUCCAACUCGAAGAGUCAGAAAACCUUGGGGCGACAUCCGCUACUGUUUUAUUCCGCAAGUAGCGAGCAUGAAUAAUAUCUUGCUACACCCCACUUUGUGUUUCAAGCUUCCACCACCAUUUCACCAUCAGACUGAUGUUCUGUUUAUGCAAGUCCUUAAUCCCUAGGCCACCUUUCUCGUUGGAUCUGCAAAUUCUGCUCCAUUUCACAAGAUAAUAUCUUUCUUCUUGUUACAACCCUGCCAGAAGAAUUUUCUUCUAUGCUUAUCUAGUUUUUCAAUAAAAGUUUUGUUCAUCAACCACAUACACAUAUGAUACAGUGAUAGCUGGGUGACAACCGAGUCUAAAAGGGUGUGUCUCCCUCCCAUGGAGGCAGCAUUGCCCACCCAGGCUUCGAAUCUUUUCAGAUAUUUGCACACAAUGAACUCCGAGUCAGAGUUCCUCAAUGAGGUGUAACUAACAGGCAUGCCCAAGUAUUUGAUGGGGAAGCUGCCUACAUCACAAUUAAAGAGGUCGGCAUAUUGCUUAAUAACAGCAUCGUCUCCCCCAACAGUCAAAAUCUCACUUUUUUGAAAAUUAACUUUCAAACCUGACAUCAUUUCAAACAUGUACAGCAACAACUUCAGGUUAACUGCUUUGACGAUGUCAUGCUCGAGACAAACAAUUGUGUCAUCCACAUAUUGGAGAACCGCAACUCCAUCAGGGAUCAAAUCCGCAGCUAAGCCAACCAACAGCUUAUUAUGUUGUGCAUUCUUAAUCAUCUUUGUGAGACAUUCAGCAGCUAAGUUAAACAGGAAUGGGGAGUGAGGGUCGCCUUGACGCACCCCUUUAGCACUUUGAAAAUACGGACCCACAGAAUUGUUCAAUUUAAUGCUAACCGUGCCAUUCUGAAGGAUCUGGUUAAUCCACCCACACCAAGUUUCAUUGAAUCCCACAGCUUAUGACACUCUAGCAAGAAGUCCAGUUAACCUGCAUGACUGGCGCGCCCUACUUUAUAUAGAAUAAACCAUAUAGUCAAACAAUGCAAUGUGCAAAAAAAUUCCCCUUACAAACUGAUUAGAUAAAAGAAAAACACAAUGACCAAAGACAACACAUCACCAAGAAUGCCUUGUCAAACAGCACCAACAUGCCGUGUAUCAUAAACACAGGAGUGGCAGAACCGCAACUAAAUCAAACCUAAGAACCGACAAUCUACGAACUCGUGGCUUUUAUAUGAAACCAUCCAGCGGUGGAGGACGGAAAAAAAAACAAGGUAGGACAAACCCACCCUAAAGCAUAAAGAAGAUCGAUACGUCAUGCCUGCCUCUCCCUUAGUUCAGGUGACUCAUCUCCCCCCCCCCCGACCCCAUCAUAACGUGGUGGCUAUGGUGCUCGCCAUCGAGACAAUGGUUUAGUUUUUAUUCUGUGGUGGUGUUCUUGAGCCUACCACAAUCUUGGUACUGUGAUGAUCUUUCUUGUCAAUAAAUUGGUUUUCUUGUAAUUGGGUGGCAGGUUCUUUGUUUGUACUGCAUGCUGCAGGUUUUGUAAUGGUGUCCAUGCUUAGUUUCUAUAGCAUCCAUAUGCUAUGAUUUAAACUUUUUAAUGGCUAUAAAAUAAAACAAGUUCUAUAGUGCUGUUGUGUAUUGAUAGAACAAGUGUUAUCCUUUUCUUGGAAUCAAUCAUAUUAUGUGUUGUGCUUUAGUGUAGGGAUAAACUCUUGUGUUACCUGCCCAGUGUUAGCUAUGAAUCCUGAUUAUAAGCAUGUUUGUUUAUUCACUUGUAUGAGUUUGUUUGUUGCACCCUAUGAGUUUGAAAUUUUGUAUCUUGGCCUGGCAGGUCCUCCAUGAAUCGUCUUUUCCAAUGUCCUGUUGCUGCGCUUUUGUUUUUUUGUUAGUCUUGGAACUGGACACCUGAUUCUGUUCAAAGACCUAGUUCCUUAGCUGAAAUAUGAUGCAUUUGUGGUCUGGCAUUUUGGUUUUGUGGUGGGCACUAUGGACUAGCAAAAAAGAUGAGAUGUUUGCGCGCAAACCCAUCAAGCAUCAAACUUACCCCCUACACUAUGUCAUGUUUCUACUGCAGCAAUCGAGGAUUCAAUGAAGCGCCAAGAUGAAACUUAAUGGCUAUCAAAUAUGACAAAAUGCUUGUUUAUUGUCUAGUCCCGAUGUGUAUUAUAGGAUUAAGCAUGUUAUCUCUUAACUUCUAUCACCUUUUUCAAUUCUGGUAUAAUAACUAGUGCCAUUGUUUUAGUAGAUUUAGGCCUAAAGUGCUAAUUUAGCUACCAUUUAUCUAAUAGUGACAUGAUUAUGUGAUUCCUAGUGUUCUUGUAAGCAUAUGUAUGCCAUUGUUUUGUGCCGCAGUCCCUAUAUGAACCUUGAGUUUACCUCUAUCAAUUACUUUUUGUUGUGUCGGUUCCAACAUCAAUGUUGAACAUGCUGGUUACUUUCUGCUUGUAAGAACACUUCCUGUGUUCUUCUUCUUCAUGCCACAAGUGAAUAGAAUUACUGAUUUGUAUGCCCUCUUCAUUAGGUGUUGCCCUGAUCUAAGCAUUUUUUCUUGGUGAACAGCACCUCUGGUGGGCAUUGUCGCCUAGACGGGAACUAAAACAAGAUGGCGAGCAAUAACAUAUCUUCCUUUCAUCAACAUGUGUUCUUCCUCGUCCUUGAUCCGAUGGUGCACCCCAAGCAUCUGCGAUGACCUCUCCAUCUCUAAUUCAAAGCCUUUGUAGUGUGUGAGGUGAGCUAUAGGGACUUCUAUGCUUUAGAUUUGUUUUGUGGAUGAGGAGUUUAAUCUGUGACUUGGUUUGUGCAUGCAAAUAUUUCUGUUACGGACUAAACAUGGCUUUCUAUCGUUAUAUUCUUGGUCUUUGGGGCUUGUUUAUCUUGAUAACUAUUCAUUAUUAUUUACAUGUCGUAAUAUCUGUUCCGUUUUGGGUAUGCACGACUCCUCUCAUGUUUAAGUUCCACGUGUGAUGGUAUUAGGCAUAAUACGUGUAUGUUUGGUGCAUAUUUAGGUGCCAUAUACUCCUAUUUCUGUCUUUAGCUAAGCUGUUAGUUCAUGUAUGAUCUGGAUAGUGUAGUGUUGUGCUAAUCUGGGUUAAGAAGGAGCAACCAUGCGAUCGCAAUGCAUGGUUCUUUCUCUAGCACAAUGCCGAUAUGUACAAGGUGUAAUGGGUUGACUCUGGAUCUCUAGUUUAUGUUAUUUCUAUCUACAAAAAUGCUUAACAACAUGCCAUGCUUGGUGCAUAUAUUACUCAAGCCUAUAUGGAGUGUAUAAUUUUAUUAUUCUUUCAAAUAUGAGCUUUUCUUUCCUCUAAUUUGCUUUGUUUCACCAUCUUCCUUUUUCCAGAAAAUGCAGAUGAUUAUGUGAGGUACUCUAACCUUCUACAUCAUUGGCUUCCUCAACCUCAACUCAUUACAUCGCUGCCUCUCCCUCGGUUCAGGUGACUCCUUGCUCUGUUUCUCUGUCGCCAUCGAGCUGUGGGUGACUGGUGCUGGAUAUCGAGAUGAUGGUUUAGUUUACGGUUUUAUGGCGGUGUUCUUCUGUCCACCGCAAUCUUGUUAUUGUGAUAAUCUUUCUUGUCGAUGAAAAUGGUUUCUUGUAAUUCUUUCUGGGCUAUUUUUUGUACUGCAUGCUAUAGGUUUGGUCUUGGGUGUCCAUGUUUAGUCUUAAUAGCAACCAUAUGCCAGGAUUUAAAACUUUUUAAUGUCUACAAAAUAAAACAAGUUUUGUAGUGUUGUUGCGUAUUGGUAGAACAAGUGGUAUCCUUUUCUAGGAAUCAAUCAUAUUAUGUGUUGUGCUAUAGUGUAGGGAUAAACUCUCUAGUGUUACCUGCCCAGUGUUAGCUAUCAAUCCUAAUUAGAAGCAUGUUCAAUUAUUCACCUGUAUGACGUUGUUUAUUGCACUGUCUGGGUUUGAAAUUUCGUAUCUUGGCCUAGCAGGUCCACUACUACACCUGAUUCUGGUCAAAGACAUACUCCCUCUGUAUCAAAUAUAAGACAUUUUUUUAUACUCCCUUUGUAUCAAAAAAGUUUUAUACUUAUCCCCUGAAAUAUAACACAUUUGAUACAAAGGGAGUAGUUCCUUAUCAAAAAAUGUUUUUGAUACACCUGAUUCUGUUCAAACAUGUAGUAGUUCCUACUUGACAUAUGGCACAUUUCUAGUUUGGCAUUUUGGAUGUGUGGUGAGCACUAUGGACUAGCAAAAAUGAUGUGAUAUUUGAGUGCAAACCCAUCAAGCAUCAUACUUACCCCAUGCGCCAUGUCAUGUUUCUACUGCAGCAAUCAAGGAUUCUAUGAAGUGCCAAGAUGCAGCAACCUCUUGCACCCUCAUCACCAAACAUAUGCUAAGCAGUGUGGUUGGGCCUUUUGCAGAGUCAGUGAGUUGAUAGGAGUUGUUUUACCAGCCGUUUCCGCAACUAAACUGUUAGUGGGGGUGCCUUUUGGUAGCAAUGACCUUGUACAAACCUAUAGUGUUGGGUUUGGUUAUAGUUGAUGCUUGCUUGUAUACGGCUUUGUUGCUUUUUUGUUUUGUGAUUUUCUUAGGGGUUUUAGGAUUUUCUCAAGCAAUAUGUUCAAGGAGCAGCACAUCCAUCUUGUUUGGAGGAUGCUUUAUCUUCCUGUAGUGUUGAAGUCUUGAUCUCUAAAGCUUUUGUAGUCCUUACAAACCUGUAGUGUUCUAGUUGAUGCUUGCUUGUUAUCCCCAGAGAUCUUUGUUUUGGUGCUUCUUUUACUUUGAGAUAAAUAAAAAAUCGUAUAGUUAAGUUGUUUCUAUCAUACUUAGAACUCUUCUGUUUUGUUGUCCUACGCAAUACCGACAUUCAUUCUUUUUGAAAUGGCAAAAUGAUUCUCAGUGAUUAAAUGCAUUGGUUUGGUUUUUAGCGCCCGGCCUACUGCUGCAAAUCAAAUCAUUUCCAACUACUCUCCUUUUGUGUUUGAACAAUCUGAUUUUUAGUCUACAUUUGAUCUUGGAAAUACUGUGGAUUUUUUUUCCUGUAACAGUUAUUGGCAUGUUGUACAGUAUCCAUCUCAGCUCUAUGUGUCAACCAACCGGUUGGAGUUUAGGGAAAACAUACUUAUACUUUGGUUUCCAGAUGAAUUAAUUAUAGUAGUUUGUUAACAUUUCAAGUAGGAGCUACACUUCCUUGCAGAUCUUAUAAUAUUUUCAGUAUUUUCAGGGGAGUGCUUCUAGCAUGACUGUAAGUCCUCUAGUUGUAAAGGCAACAACUUUGGUUUCUUCACAAAAGGGUCCCUUGCUGAGUUUGCAACUGUGCCACCGUAGACAAUGGAGCCGGCUUUUGGGUCCCUCCUUUAUAUAAAAAAAGGCAUGCCUUUUUUUCUUCAAAUUUUCCUAACUAUCGAUAUUUUUUAAAAUAUUAUCUAAUAAUAAAAAUAUUGUGCUUUCACGGACCCUACUUAAGUUUUAUUAUGUUUUUCCGUCCAUUGUUGGCAUGCUCUCAAAGCAAAAUCAUCUUAUUUGCAAACCUUAAAGGUGUGGACUAUUGACAAAAAUGUUACAAAUAAAACUGAAGGUGCUUAUUUAGAUUGAUUCAAUCCUUCCUUUGUUACACAUCAAUACAAGAAAGCGGGAUAGGGACACUUUGGUUUCGUCCUUUUGGCCCCACUUAUAAUUAUACUACCUUAUUUGCUCCCAGUGCAAUGUACUCAUGAUGGAAUGGAUGACUGGAAUUUGUUAGUUUUGUUUAAUGAUAUAUUGCAUUGAAGUAAACAAUAUGCCCCCUCGGGCUUUUCGUUUCCAUGGAGUCUUGUAAUGUGAAUAACACUCAGGCCAAAGUCCACAUCAAAUUAACUACAUCUAGUUGCAUCAAUGCUCCCAACCAAACCAUUGACACGAACUAACCUUUGGGUAGAUGGUUAGGAGGAUUGUGCUAUCCCAGCCCAUCAGGGUUCGAGUCUAGUGCUCGCAUUAUCCUGGAUUUAUUUCAGGAUUUUCGGUGAUGUGUGUUCAGUGGGAGGAGACGUUUCCGUCGAUUACGAGACAUCUGUGGUGACUUCGUCAAUCUUAAGACGAUAUGCCGACUCAGUCUCUCGGAGGUAAUCAUAGGGAUAGUGUGUGCGUGUGUGUUUAUAGAGGCAAGUAUACGUCCGCCUGCACGUCCUCGCCCAGCGUCGCCCGCAUGCACCCCCGCAGCUCUGCCGCCGAGAUCUGGCCGUCCCCGUCCCUAUCCAGCGACGCGAACAACGCCCUCAGCUUGCCCGAUUUCGACAUAACCAUGCCGGAUGGUCGACGCUAGAGAGGUUUUAAAGACUUUAGUUUUUGAUCUUGAUCCUGCCUGGGCUUCCGAGAUCUUCUGGUGCAGAUAUACUCUGGGCACGACGCGGUCCAUGGAAGCUUCACGGCACGAGGAGAGAUGUCGUGGUCGUGGUGGACAUGCCGUGUCGCGGGUUGGACUGCGGGUUAUUCUUCUGGUGUGGGUGGUCAACUAGGGCAGGUUAGUAUUCUACACAAAAUGGAUACGAAAAUGUGGCGUGGCAUCCGUGUGUCGAUUAACUCGAGAUGGUUUCCGUCGAGGAGAAACCAAGAAAAGCACGCGGGGAAGAGGCCGGGGUGCUAGUGGAGCCGGCGGACGCGGACGGCGACGACCUGCUGUGCGAGGCUGAGUUCCUCGAGCUUGCGCAGCAUGCAGCCUGGGCGGGCGACGCGGGGGAGGGUGACGACGAGCAGAGGAUCUGGGCGCUGAGGGAGGCAUUUCAGAUGUAGGAGAUGGAGGGGCUGUUAGAGUUGUGUCGAAUAUAAUGUACAAGGUAGGUUACAAUUGGACUUGUAGUUGUAUUGUGUCUAUAUAGGAUAUGGAGUCGUGUCCUGAUAGGACACUUGUAUCCUAGGCCUCUCAUAUAUAGCAGGGAUAGACACACGAUGUAACCUAUGCCAACAUAAUAGCACAUGCGCGCAAGGGGGAGCCGGCGACGUGUGCCGGCGCCCGGGUGGCCGGUGUGCGGUAUUGUGACGGUGUCAUGGAGAGGCGCGCCCAUAGUCAAGCACCGUGGAUGUAGCCAUAUCGGUGAACCUCGUUAACAAAUCUCGGUGUCGUGCCUCGUGUGAUUGCUUGGUCCUCGAAUGAUCGAUGAUGUGCCUCGGAUUUAUUCUAACAAGUGGUAUCAUGAGUUAGGUUGUUCGGAGGUUUCAGAAUUGAUUCAGAGGAGGCCGAGUUGGUUCGUUGAUUUAGUUCGUCAUAGGAGAAGAUCGUGUAUCAAUGGAUGGAAGCGGUGGUCAAAGCAAUGGAUGCAAGGAGGGGGGCUAGCAAGCUGGUAGAUUUGUCCGAGUCUCGGCGAGAUGCGAUUGGAAACAAUGGCGUCAGGCGGGUCCUGCAGCGGUGGAUCAAUGGAUCAACCGGGUGAGCGUACUGGAGGCGCGUGCUGAGACAGACGCCGCAGCCGCUCCGUCUGCUGCGGCGUCUAGCAGUACAGCCAGAGGCGGGAGGCAAUACAGAUACGGUCCUUCUCUCAAGCCUCUAGAGAAGUUACCGUACGAGAGGACCAAGGAGGAAAACGCGAAGAUCGUGCGGGCCGAAGUGGACGACUUCUUUGAAGGGUUGAAAGCAAAGAGACAUCCACCUCCGGAGGAGAAGGUAGAUCUGGUGAAAGCAAAGCGCACUCUCGAUGCCCUGAGGAAACCAGCAAAGUCUCCGCCGAGAAGCAACUAUGAGCGCAUUGCUGAACAGACAUAUCUCCAAGCGGAGCGGUCGGGAAGUACUGUCAGACAUCAAAGGUCAAGAGAACGAGCAGCUGUGAAAAAAAUUGCCCAGCUCGGCGAACAAGCAAAUCAAUCGUGCCCCCCGCUCAAUGUGUUUAGAGGCGAUUUCAUCGCUAAUGCUCCGGGGACGGUGGCCGGUUAUGGCAAUCUUGCAGAUUACCUACCUGAUGAUCAACUUCCUGAUUUCAUGGAGGUGGACGAACACAGAUACGAGUACGGGAAGCCUCUCGUCAAAGAUGAAAAAUCUCUAACAACGAUGAUGCGAAGAUUCCAUAAUUGGUACAUGAAAACCUGCAGAGAGUCUGGGGGGACGAAUAGUUUGUAUCUGAGAAUUAAAGAGGAGCACGACCUCGUUGGAACUGAUCUGUUGCCUGUUCCAUUUGAGGUGUUCUUCGCGUUCUUCAAUCAAAAGGCCCUCGAUAAAUUAACGGUCUUUUGCUACUGUCUGUAAGUACUAUUUUUGUCAUUAAUUCUCUAUAUAUAGCUCAGCUCUUUCAUUGCAUGUAUUUAUAAUUAAUUAUCCUCAAUAUAUUAUGCAGAUUGAAGAUCGUCGAGUGCAGAAAACAAGAAAUGUAUGAUAUUGGGUUCAUUAACAAAAAUAUCAUAGAUGAAAUUCAGAUUCAAAAGCACGCCGAAGAGGCCGAGGCCAACUUGCUAGAAUCGUUGAUCAAAAAUCAAAACAAAGAUACCAUACUCUUUCCUUACAACUUUGAGUGAGUGUUACUGUCGUGUGCAUAUUCGGUUUCCCUUAUUACUCGAGCGAGGUUAUAGUAAUGUAAUUGAUGAGUUGUGCAUGCGUGCGCAGCUUCCACUAUGUUCUUCUAGAGAUUAAGCUUGAGCGGGGACUAGUAACCGUCUUAGACUCGAGAUGAAAAGAUCCCAAAACCUAUGCGGACAUGAAUAAAUUGCUCAACAAGUAAGUUCAAUCAAUCAUUAUCGCACCAUAUCGGCAGCUUUUUGUUCAUUUCCUGAUAUCUCAAGUAAUGAUAAUUAUUUUAUUUGUCUUGCAGGGUUUGGAAAUAGUUCACCGCAGAAGCUCCGAGACUGCCGAAGGAGCUGUGAUAUACAUACCCGAAAGUAAGUACUACUGGCUAGCUAGUUGCGCGCAUCUCCCGUCGAUUCUAUAGCUAUACUUUCAUCAAUGCCAUUUAUAAUGCUUCAUUAUCAGUUUGAUUGACCUCUAUUUCUCGUAAAGUGCUUGUGGCAGGAGGAAGGGAAUGAUUUCUGUGGAUACUACGUGUGCGAGUUCAUCCACACCGCGACUUUGAAAAACAAGCGGGGCUACUCUCAAAGACAAUAUGAAGUGCGUAAGCAAUAAUAUUCACAAUUUCAUUUUAUUACACCAUCAUUUAUGUUGAGUUUCAUUCAUAUAUAUGUAUUAAUUAACCCCCUUCUUCAAAUUAGACGUGGCAGAUGCGGAAUGAACUCCUAGAACAAGAUCGCAUGAAAGCAAUUCAAGAGGAAUUGGCGGGAUUCUUUCUUGACCACGUCAUCAAUAAAGCCGGAGAAUACCAUGUGGAAGUUGAUUUCAAUUGCUAGGGGAUUGUAAUUAAGAGAUCUUACAUAUUGUAUAUGUAUAUAGCCAGUAACGUAGGAUAGGUAAUACGAAAACUUGUUGUUCAACCAAUCUCUCGGAGAAGGAGAGGUCGAUCGAUCACUUCUCUCGGUAUGCAUGACGAACUUCUGUACUUAAUGGUUCCCUUCAUUUUCUUACUAGCUAGCGUGUCGAGGGCCUCUCUAUGUAUAGUACGUAACGUCGACCAAGCACGGACAUAAGAGAGGACACUUAUCCCUAUUAAUUAGCUAGCUAACACAAUAUAUGAAACACCUAAAUUAACCUCNNNNNNNNNNNNNNNNNNNNNNNNNNNNNNNNNNNNNNNNNNNNNNNNNNNNNNNNNNNNNNNNNNNNNNNNNNNNNNNNNNNNNNNNNNNNNNNNNNNNNNNNNNNNNNNNNNNNNNNNNNNNNNNNNNNNNNNNNNNNNNNNNNNNNNNNNNNNNNNNNNNNNNNNNNNNNNNNNNNNNNNNNNNNNNNNNNNNNNNNNNNNNNNNNNNNNNNNNNNNNNNNNNNNNNNNNNNNNNNNNNNNNNCCCUAGCCACUGUAAUGCUGACGCGUGGAUGCCUUUUGGUCCCGGUUGGUGGCACCAACCGGGACCAAAGGCCCUCCUGCCUGGGCUCGGCGCACCGGCCACGUGGAGGCCCAUCUGUCCCGGUUCGUGUUAGAACCGGGACUAAAGGGGGGAGGUAUUAAUAACGACCCUUUAGUCUCGGUUCAUGAACCGGGACAAAAGGCCCUUACGAACCGGGACUAAUAGGUGUUUUUCUACUAGUGCCUGUUGACCCUCCAUGACCAUAGGUUGGUUUCAUCACUAGAGCUUCUGUUCAACUCUUCACAUACCUUGAUGGGAAGGAAAACUCCACUUCAGAUGGAUUAAAGGUUUUACAAUUAUGCCUUGCUAAUGUUAUCAACUGGAUGAAUUUAAAAUUGUUCGACUCAUUGUCAUCAGAGAAACAUGUGCCAUAGGAGAAUUGACUUCAGAUCAGAGCAGGAAUCGAAACCAAGGAAAAGCUAUCUUUCGUACCAACACAUAGACAACUUACUAGUAUCAUUUUAUUAAUAAGUUCCAAAAUAUACAAUCAAUAUAUUAAUGGAGUUUUUCUAAUAAAUAUACAAUCAAUAUAUUACACAUAGACAACACAUAGACUACAGACUGUUAAACUGCUACUGAUUUAGACUACAAAUUUUCUACAGAAUGUUAUCUUUACCUACUGCUCUUAUACCUUACCAAAACAAAAAUAAUUCUAACUAGGAGUAGUUUUUUGUUCAGAUUUUGUAUUUAUUACUGCUCACAUAUUGUCGUGAUUUACUUUUUGUACUGAAUAGAUCUUUCUAAUAUUCACAGGUUUUAGCGAUCAGCCGUAGCUCUUUCAUCAAAGGUGCAUGGUGCAACUGAGGACAAGCACUUCAUGUCCAACCAAGGUGCAUGGUACUUGCAAUUGAUGAAUAGGAGGUCUAUGAAAUUUGAAGUUCAAAGCCGGAUAGCCCUACUUAGCAAAGAGUUGUCUCUUUUGUUUGACUGUAAAUAUUGUUAUAUUGUAAUAGUAGGAAUAUUUGGGUUGUAAUAGACUAUGUACAGAUUGUAGUAGACUUAGUUAGUGUUAUUUGAUGAACUACAUUUGUACUGUUCCAUUUGAAAUAUUGAUUAUGUAUGUGAUUUGAAAAUGUGUGGAAUGGAAACCUGACUUGUGGGACCCACUUAUGAGAAUAAUCUGAGCAAUUUUGAAUUUUCUGUCAAGUGGGCCUAAUGUGUGAGAAGAUGAAAAAUGGGACCAGCCCCAAAAUAUAAUGGCCCAAACAAUUUAAAAGGCCCCGGCCCAGAAAUAAAUAAAAGGCUGAAAUGAAAAAAAAAACAAUAAAUGGGCUGAAUUAAUGGGCUCAGCCCAUAUAAACACUGAAUUGGACCGGGCUGAUUCUUGUGCCACAUCAGAUUGCCACGUCGGAUGCCUACGUGACCUAGGGAGGCUGCUAGUGACCAAAACGAAACAGUAGGCAUAUUUUGGUCGUAAACGUCUACGACCUUCUCACAGAGAAGGUCAAAAAUGUCAGUUUACGACCGUCAGCUUUUGAUCUUCUGGUUUUGGUCACAAAAAGGUCACAAAUGGAAAACCAUGACCAUUCAGUGACCAAUAGUGGUGGUCACAAGUUGACAUAUUUCUUGUAGUGAGAGUUUUGGUCUUCUUGCCGAUUGAGCAAAUUUCGUUUCAACCAAAACAAAGCAAUGAUCUGAUUCAACCGUGCUAAUAUGCCGAACACGGACCGGAUCAAAUCGCUGCAGAAAAGCUUCAUUCGCUACACGUCUAUCAAGGCGGGAUUUAAAAUUCAUUGGCCCCCCUUGUUUGUUAUCCCAUGUGAAUGGUACCCCUAAGAACCCUACACUAGUAGAAAAGGGGGCAUUAGUGCCUGUUCGUAAGGGCCUUUAGUCCCGGUUCUUGAACCGGGACUAAAGGGUCGUUACUAAUGCCUCCCCCCUUUAGUUCCGGUUCAAACUGGAACCGGGACUAAAGGUCGCGGCCACGUGGAGCUCCACCUUUAGUACCGGUUGGUAACACCAACUGGGACUAAAGGAAAUUUUAUGAUUUUUUUUUGAAUUUUUUUUAUUUUCAAAUUUCUGAAUUAUUUUAACCUCUAAUCUCUAAUCACCACCCCUUAUCACUGCUCAAUUUAUCCUCUAACCUCUAAUCACCCCUCAUCAUUCCUAAUCAUCUAACUUCCCGAACGGUCACCCAUCCUCCCACUCCCCCAUCCUGAGCACGCUUAACUUCCGGGUUCUAUUCUCCCUUGUUUCCAAGUCUGCAUUUGUUGUUUUGCUGACAAUAGUAAGAUGUCAAUCCUAUUAACCCUCAGGAAUUUUGCGUAAGCAUGAACUGACACAUUUCACUGUUUGAGUUUGAAACUAUUGUUUUAAAAAACAAUAAUUAUUUAGUAACACUAGUAUUUCUUGAAUAAUUAGUUUGACCAUUGUUUGACCAUUGUUUGACCACAGUUUGACCACAAUUUGACCAGAUUUGACCAAAAUUCAAAAUAACUGAAAUAAUUAUUUAGUAACACUAAUAUUCUAGAAUAAUUAGUUUGACCAUUGUUUGACCAUAGUUUGACCAUAGUUUGAAAUUUUUUCGAUUUUUUCCACUCUAGAUCUUAAAAGCCCCGUAACUUUUUUCUGUUAGAUUUUUGAGGAUUCUAAAAAUGUUUAACGAGUAGAUGAUUUUUCAUAUAAAAAACUUUUUCAUCCGAGUCAGUAUGCAAAAGUUAUGCCCAUUUUACUAAAUUCUAGAGAGAUUUUGCAAAUAAAGUCGAAAUUCAUAUUUGUAAAUUUUCCCAACAACUAGACCACAUAUCACAUGGGAAACUUAUUUUCUUUUAUUUUUUGACAUUUUCAUCAUUUUCUUUUAUUUUUUUUAAACUGAAAAGGCGAUCCACAGGGGGGUGGAGUUUGAAAAUUGGACCUUUAGUACCGGUUCGUGCCAUGAACCGGUACUAAUGCCUCAAACCCCAUUAUUAUCGGUUGGUGGCACGAACCGGGACUAAAGGUCUAACCCUUUAGUCCCGGUUGGUGCCACGAACCGGGACUAAUGGGCAUCGCACCCUUUAGUCCCGGUUCGUGGCACCAACCGGGACUAAAAGAUCCAGACGAACCGGAACAAAUGACCCACGUGGCCCCUGGGCGCACGAACCGGGACUAAUGCCCCCAUUAGUCCCGGUUCUAGACUGAACCGGGACUAAUGGGCUAACCCGGGGUGGACCAAAGCCCUCUUUUCUACUAGUGCUAGGUCCUGCAAGGAACAAUCUUCCAAUGCUUCUCGAAAAGCUAACAUUUGCGUCUCUGAUCGCGCAGCCCUGCUAAAGUGUUCUGCGCCAUACAUAGUCUCGUUAAAAUCUCCAAAACACAGCCAGGUAAGGUGCGGUAUUGCAUGCAACAUUCUCAAGCAUCUCCAGCUGUGGUGGCGAUCUUCAGACCUUAAGGCUCCAUAAAACCCCAUAAACCUCCACUCCGGAGUAGAUAAAUCAGCUGCCCGGAUGAUUACAUCAAUAUGUCCAACACUGUAACUCUUUAACUCUACUUGUACAUCCCUUGACCAAAACAGGACAAUUCCACCAAACCGCACUGUCAACCGCAAAGCACCCCGCAAACCUAAACUGUGUUGCAGAAUCUCCACCCUCUUAGCUCUGAUCUUCGUCUCUGAAACAAAGAGCAAAGCAGGCCCUUCUUGCUUCGUUAAUUUCCGAAGCUCUCGAACUGCCUCGGGGUUCCCAAGCCCCCGGUAGUUCCAACUCAAACAUUUCAUGGCUCCUGGCAGGGCUGACCCGCAGCCGCUGCUGAGUUUUUAGAAGAUGUGGGGGUUGGCUUCUUCUUCUUUGGAUCCGGUUGCGUAGCUCGAGCGUCUCCUCCCCCAUCCCCCUCUACACCAGCCGAACCAUCAGGUUUCUGAGCUGUGAACACAACCAUAUCAGUAGGUUUGCCACCUGUGUCUGUCGGAUUUCCAGCACUUGGCAGGGCAAGUGUUUCAACCCUACGAUAAACUUUUUCAUUCUGAGGGACACCCUUCCUUUUGUGUGGAGCUCUCUUCUUCGGGGAAUUAACCUCCUCAUUGACACCUGAUUUGUUGUUCGAUGAAGCUGCAUCUUUCUUACUGGUAGCAGAAUUUUGUGGCUCCUUAGCCGAGCCAUCACUCGACGCAGCUCCCUUCCUGUCCUCCGGCGCUCGCAAACUAGUAUUAAAAGGUAGAUCUCCGUUCUCAUCACGGGUACCCGGAGUAGGACAAACUAGAUCAGUGUGGCCAAGCCGACCACACGAGAAACAAAAGUUCGGCACGUGCUCAUACUGAAUAUCAUACCAGUCCUGAGACUUCCUCUUCGCUGAAUCAAUCAGGAUCCAACAUCACAAAGGUUUGUGGACAUAAAUUGUAACCCUUGCCCUCAAGAAUCCUCCCAUGGGAUCAAAGUGGACUGACGUAGCGUUGACAUCAAUCUGUUUAGCAAUCUGUUCCCCCCAAUCUUCAGUCUGCAGGUUGAAGGGGAGAUUUGGAACCCUAGCCCACAAAUGCAAUCUGUCAAACUUUAACUUCGACGGUCUCAUGCAAUCAUCAAAAUCUGCAAGGAUUACUGCAUGCCGGCUCACAUGCCACGGCAAGCCGUCACGCACACGAUCGCGAUCACGACGAUUCUCAAAAUCAGCCAUGAAGGUGUUCUCACCCACCGGCCUAAAAGACAGACCCCUAGGAUUACCCCAUGCCGGCCUCAAUGCAUUGGCCAUGGUUUGGAUAUGAAAGAUCUUCCGAUGCAGAACUUUGCCGGCAAUUUACCACUUCUGCGGGACUCCUUCAUCGAGAUCGUCAACCACCAAGGGGUGGCUUCUUCCUCGGUGAGGUCCAACUUUCCCAUCACCUCCUCCAUCCGUGCCCUCGCCGUCCUCGGGCAUUGCGGCCCCCUCGAACUGCCGCUUGGAUCCGUAGAUGCAGCUGUCGGUGUCAAAACCGGGGGAUCUCGGGUAGGGGGUCCUGAACUGUGCGUCUAAGGCUAAUGGUAACAGGAGGCUGGGGACACGAUGUUUACCCAGGUUUGGGCACUCUCGAUGGAGGUAAUACCCUACUUCCUGCUUGAUUGAUCUUGAUGAUAUGAGUAUUACAAGAGUUGAUCUACCACGAGAUCAGAGAGACUAAACCCUAGAAGCUAGCCUAUGGUAUGAUUGUUGUUGUCCUACGGACUAAACCCUCCGGUUUAUAUAGACACCGGAGGGGCUAGGGUUACACAGAGUCGGUUUACAGAGGAGGAGAUCUACAUCUGAAUCGCCAAGCUUUCCUUCCACGCCAAGGAGAGUCCCAUCCGGACACGGGAUGAAGUCUUCUAUCUUGUAUCUUCAUAGUCCAAUAGUCCGGCCAAAGUAUAUAGUCCGGCUGUCCGGAUACCCCCUUAUCCAGGACUCCCUCAGUAGCCCCUAAACAAGGCUUCAAUGACGACGAGUCUGGCGCGUAGGUUGUCUUCAGCAUUGCGAGGCGGGUUCCACCUCCGAAUACUCCAAAAUUGAUUCCGAACACAAGGACCGUGUACGGCUCUGUAAGAUAAAUUCCAUAUACCACCAUCGAGAGAAUAAUAAUCCAUAAAUCUAAUCUGCUGACAAUUCUUCGAAAAGUGACAUCAUGCCACGGUCCGGUUUUUAUUCGAACCGUUUUUACAACUUGCUACCGCACAUACCACGAGGCGGUUUCCUUGGCAAGUCCUGUCAGAGAAGAGAUCGUGUCCCCCUUACUACGGGAUUCUCAUCAAUACGGGUAUGGGUAAUCCAACCGUGCCUGUUGGCAUGACCCCGUGUUUUUAGGCAAGUCCCGAGCGACCACGUUCGGGACGCUUGAUGUUCUUCCCCCUUUAUAAAGGAGCCGAGGCCUAUCCCUCUAUCUCCACGCUCGCACAUCUCGCACCCUGAGUUCCAACACCCAAAGCUCGAGCCUAAGCACCCCGGAUCUUCGAUCAUGUCCGGAUCCGACCAUCAAGGCCGAUGGAUGGCUUCCUCUGUCACAGAGGAGGAUAUUGCGAAGCUCAGGGAGGCUGGGUAUUUGACCGCCGAUGUCAUGCACAGGCUUCCUGCUCCCGAACAGGUUAUCCCCACUCCUGAGACCAACGAGAGCGUCGUAUUUGUCUCCCACUUCCUUCGGGGCUUGGGUCUUACUCUUGACCCCUUCGUGAAGGGGCUCAUGUUCUACUACGGGCUAGAUUUCCAUGAUCUAGCUCCGGAUUCCAUCCUACACAUCUCGUCGUUUAUCGUUGUGUGUGAAGCCUUCCUCCACAUCACCCCCCACUUCGGCUUAUGGCUCAAUACUUUCAAUGUGAAGCCGAAGAUGAUUGAGGGGCGACACGCAGAGUGCGGAGGCGCCAUAAUAAGUAGGAACGUCGAUGCCCCGUGGCCGAAGGCUCCUUCCCGGAGGUAUCUGAUUUAUGGCAACAGAGGUGGUUCUAUGUCACAGCUCCUCAAGGCUCGAAGUGGGCGGCCGCGCCCGCCUUCCGCUCGGGCCCUUCACCUCAACUGGCAUCGUGGGCCAAUGUGGGACUAAAGUGGGGGCCUGCGAACGAUGUAGCAAUGCUACAAAGACGCAUUCGGGAGCUCCUCGAGAGGGACAUUACUCUUGUCAAAAUAAUCCAGGUAAUGCUGGUUCGGCGGAUCCUGCCGUGCAAACGUCGGCCUCUCCGGAUGCGAGAAUUCAAUCCAGAAGGUCCGCGAACCAUUCAGCAUUUCUUCGGCAUGACGCCCGAAGGGAUGUAUAAGUUGUUCUUCGGACCACGAAUAAAGUGUCCGGACACCACCGAGGAUGCAGGCCUGAGCUACAAUCGCCUAGAUAUCCAAGUAAGUAACCCUAUAACCGAACACUUUGAUUAUAUUUGUCAUAGCAUUGUUCUGAAUACUGUCCGCAACCAGGAUUGGCUUAGUAAGGAGGAGAGGAUCAGGUGUCCGGCCCCGCUGCCCGAAGGCUCGCCCGGUCCGGCAAUGGCCAGCAUUCAUAAACGGACACUAAGUCAAGUGCCACCAGAGAAAGCUGAAGGGAAGAGUGGGGAGGCCAAGAGUGGGCCUCACACAUUGCACAUCCAAACAGGGGGAAUUAACAUUUCCACGGAGGAGGAGAAUCGGGGGGCGCGAAUCUGAGGUUUCCUCCCCCCGCAGGAAGAAGAGGGCUGCCUCCGAAGAUUUGGAGACGGGGGCGCCUAAACAAGGGAAGAGAACUUCAUCAAAGGGCCCUUCCCCAAAGGGAGUCCUCACCGUGCAGUGCCCGCAAACGGGCCAGCCCUCCACCGAGCUGUAAGUUUAAUUAAACAAGGAACUUAUUGCUUUUUCCUCUGAGAGUAAUAACCACGACCUGUUUUUUGUAGUCCGGUCAGCAGUUCAUCUCAACAGGGCUCGUCCUCGGGGGAUCUUCUUCUGGAGAUUAUGGAGAGUGAAACCCCACCUGCCUCUCUGCCCAGUGAAGCGGGUGACCCUGAGGUAUCGUCACAGAGGAGUCCAGAUCCAAUGGGGCCGGAAGCUAACACUUCGGCCGCCCCGAGCCCAGCGUGUUUGGCUCCCGUGGCAGACAAUGAAAAGGGUCCGGGAGAGUCCGGUGUCGGGCUGAACAUGCUGACGAGCCUCCUAGAGUCAGCUGCUCUCUUGGAGGAUCAUCGUACACUAAUGGGUAUGGUGUUGGAGAAAAUCUCCUCCGCCACAAGAGCUUUAAACGAAGCUUUCAAGAGCCUGCUCAAAGGCUUUGAGGUAAGCCGCAAAAAUACACAGAUUUUAGUUGUACCGCACGCGAUACAUGUGCUCUGUAUAGAUAGUAGCCCCUGAGACUGUGGAUGCCAGCCCAUGGCGGCAAAGGGAGGAUCACACUCCCAGAUAAUGAUCACACUUGUAUUGAUGUGUAGGUUGCUAAGGGUUCGGCAAUAGACCAGGCCGUUGAAUGCGCUGAAUUGAGGCGGCAGAUUGACGUGGUGGAGGCCGACGUCACGCUUGUGAACAAGUGAUUCGAGGAGUCGCAGAGUAUGCUUUCCUAUAUCCACAUCUAUUUUGGGAAAUUGCAAGAAGGUUGUAAUAUUAAUGUGAUGUGAUGUAGUUGCAGGCGGAGCUGCUGCCGUUGAGGCCCUGAGGGUGGAGCUUGCCCUAGCCAAGGAACAAGCCCAGGUUAGCAAUGCGGCUUCCCUAAAGGCAGCCGAAGAAUUGAAAGCCGAACAUGCCUCUCAUCUCCGAAGCGAAGAAAAGAUAGCCGAGGUGGAUGUGGAGCUGAGGGACGCCGCCAGCCGGUAUGAGCUUCUCAAGAAAGAGAAUCAGGCGAAGGUGUCUGACCUGAAGAAGGCGCUGGACUCGGCUAAAGAGACACGCUCUCAGAUUAGAGACGCGCGGGAGGAACUUCGACAAGUCGGGGAAAUCGUGGCUGGAAAUCCUUAUUUGUUGUGGAUGAAGUUUUUAGAUCCAAAGUAUGCUCCAUUGGAUAAGCUGUGGAGUGCUGCAGAUGAGUAUGCGGACUUGGCAAAGAGUGCGGCUGAUGCAACCAAGAUGUUCAAGGACCAUGAAGAUAAAAUAGAAAGACUAUUCUGGUCGCAGUUUAAUGCCCCAGCACGUUCCUUACCCUUGAGUGAGAAGAUGGCCGCUAUAGCCGAGCUCCAUAGGCUGCCCGGCCUUGCAAUGAGGUCUGUGAUAGACCAUCUAUGGCCGAAGGGGGCGAAGCCGGACAGUUACUUUGGUUUGGUGCAACAAUUAUUUGGCGCUAGAGCGUAGAUCGAUGCCGUGAAGAGAUCGGCGUGCAUAGAGGGUGGGGAUGGCUCUUGCCUAUGUGAAAAGAUACUAGGCGGAUAUGGAGGCCACUAGCAUUGCAACCCAGGGUCCGACAGGAAGCCAGGAACCAGCCAGCACUAUUUUGAGUAGGUCAUAGAAGGUGCUCGUAGAAUAGAGGCACAGUGCUCAAAGAAUGUCAUGUUUGAAUGACGAUUCUAUUAAGUGUAAACAAUUAUUUGUUUGAUUAUAGAGGCUGUUUUUUAUACUUUUUGCCUGAAAGUAUUAUAAUGUCUCAUGUGCGGCUGUUUAUGUAUGCAUAUAACAUGAAAGUUAGCAGUCGUUGGCUUCGGCCCCCACGCACAUAAUGCGGGGGUGUUCGAGAAAAUAUGUGUGAACACACUUGAUCCAACAUCUUGGUCCUUUAAGGAGGUGAUCGCACAUCGAACCAGGCAACCGGACUAUAUAGCUGUAACACUUUUCACUUAGCCAUAGGAGUUUGAAAGGUGGGGCUACUAUGUAGCCCCUAGUACUUCCGUGAGCGUCCAGAUACGGUGCGCGUACUUGACCGGUAGACCGGUCCUUCGUUAAUGCGGAGGAAUCUUAUAGAUUCUGACGAGUCCUCGAGUGGUUGACCAGUCUCUCGAUGUAUCAUGACAGUCAGUUUUCGGCUUUCUCUACUGAGGUGCUCAUCCGGAAUAACCAGGGCACAAUCGCAGUAAUUCUCCUUUGGCCGCCUUAGCCGAUAGAACGGAACGUAAGGCAGCAAACCUAGGAGCCGGGCUAACCCAACAUUUGACCAAAGACAUGAUUCGGAGCUGAUGCAUAUAAGGCCAAACUCGUGACGCCGAACACUCCCGAAGGUAUUCGGACUUUAUAACAUAUCUGGCUGAAUAACGCCCUUGACCCUGUGAUUCCAGGUACGUGCAUUGAUCUAUCGUGGCAAAAAGCCUAUAAGCCAGUAUCCCUUAUAGGUUUAUGAAAUACCCACGGGAUGUCGAGCAACAAGAAACAGUAAAGAAGGUUUACGCAGGGGCUUAAUCUAAAGAGAAACAUGUGGGCGGGGCCCUGCUGCACGUCUGCACCUAUGUCUCUAUUGUGCCGUAUCCUGGAAGGGUGUCUCACUGGUAGUGUCUGUAGAAAAAAAAAGCGUUCGAAAAGUUAGUUAAGCUCGAGGAAUGUUCGAUAGCCGGCUUAUUAAUGAGGCAAGCCGAAUUGUGGGCCUUUGUUACAUGUUUGCAGCCCCUCGUAUUAUUUAUGGGGACACAUGUACAUCACCUAGCUCAGGUUUAUCCGAGCCAUUGUGAAAAAUGGUGUACUGGACUCGUCUAACCGUGUACGUGGUCUUGACGACCGGUCAUGCGUUCCGGUGGGAGAGGCCGCCUAGAGUCCAGCGCCGGGAACUGCCGCGUACUGCUCUGUGUUUCUGCUAACCGUGAUGACGCCGCGUGGAUCGGGCAUCUUGAGUUUAAGGCAGGCGUAGUUCGGUAUUGUGUUAAAGCAAGCGAAGGCCGUUCUUCCAAGCAAUGCAUGAUAAUCGCUGCUGAAAGGGGUGAUGUUGAAGAGUAGGUUCUCGCUUCUGAAGUUGUCGGGAGAAUCGAAUGUCACUUCCAAUACGAGGGAGCCCCAACAGUGGGCUACCACGCCUGGAAUCACUCCAUUGAAGGUGGCGUUAUUUUGACUUAUUCUGGAUGGGUCUACCCCCAUCUUGCGGAUGGUGUCUUGAUAUAUCAGAUUAAGAGUACUGCCGCUGUCCAUUAGGACGCAAGUAAGAUGGUAUCCAUCAAUUAUUGAGUCGAGCACCAAGGCAGCCGAUCCUCCAUGCCGGAUACUGGCCGGGUAGUCCUUGUGAUCAAAAGUGGUCGGGCAGUUGCCCAGGGACUGAAUUGGGGGGCUACGAACUCUGCGUGAGUUACGUGUACCAUGUUUACCGUUCUGACUUCCGGUGGGAAUUUUUUCUGGCCCCCGGUGUUCGGCUGGUGUGGUUCGCCCUCGUCUUUGCUUCGUGUUUGGCUUCCCUUGUGUUCGGCGUUUAAUUUGCCGGCCUGCUUGAAGACCCAACAUUCUCUGUGGGUAUGAUUUGCAGGUUUUUCAGAGGUGGCAUGGAUUUGGCACAAUCUGUCCAGGACUUUGUUCAGGCCAGAUGGCCCCUCUUUACUGCCUUUGAAUGGCUUCUUUCCUUGAACGGGCCGAGGUCCCCUGAAUCCGGUGUUGACCGCCGUAUUGUCCGGACUAUCGCUACUCCGACGCUUGUGCUUAGUGUACCGUGGCUUCCCAAUUGCCGUCUCAAAUUUCGGAUGUACCCGAGUCGUUGGUGCCUCUACGGGCCAACUAGCUGUCUUCGCCUGCACAAAAUCGGGUCAUGAGGCUUGUUAAGGCUGCCAUCGUUCUUGGCUUUUCUUGGCCGAGGUGUCUGGCAAGACACUCGUCUCGGAUACUGUGUUUGAAGGACGCUAAGGCUUCGGCAUCCGGACAGUCGACAAUUUGAUUCUUCUUAGUGAGGAAUCUGUUCCAAAGCUUGUGGGCUGACUCUCCGGGCUGCUGUAUUAUGUGACUUAAAUCGUUCGCGUCCGGAGGCCGGACAUAGGUUCCUUGAGAGUUGGCCAUGAAAGCGUCCUCAAGUUCCUCCCAACUUCCAAUUGAGUUUUCGGGGAGGGUUUUCAGCCAAUGACGAGCUGGUCCUUUUAACUUGAGGGGGAGGUUUUGAUGGAGUGGAGGUCAUCCCUACGAGCCAUGUGUAUGUGAAGGAUAAAAUCUUCGAUCCAGACCCCAGGGUCCGUCGUUCCGUCGUAUGACUCUAUAUUCACGGGUUUGAAUCCCUGUGAAAAUUCAUGAUCCAGCACCUCAUCGGUGAAGCACAGGGGGUGCACAACCCCUCUGUAUCUAGCCGUGUCGUAGCAUGUUGUUGGUUGUUGUUGCUCACGGUGUUGAUUCCGGACUGGUAAUUGAUCAGUAUGAUCAUUGUGGUGACCAUAAUCCCGCGUCGGAGCAUGUCCUCUGGAGCUGUAGAUGGAUCUGGCCGCACUGGCCUUUUUGUCCAGGAGCUCUCGUAAAUCAUGUGCGGUAGCAGUGGUUGCUCUACCGCGGCCAUGAGGUGGUUGGUUCGGCCCAAUGGCCGUAUUGUUUUUUGGCGGAAUGGGCGCUGCGGCUUCGUCGUCAAAUUCGGGUAGCAGUUUGUGCUUUGGGUAGCUCUUCGUGUGGCGAUCGUCGCCAAAUUUUCCUUCGGAGUCCAGCACCUUGUUCCAUCUUCCAUUGAGAGUAUCCUGCGCGGCCUUGAGCCUUUGCUUCUGCUUCUUCAGGCUCCGUGCUGUGGCCAGCAGUUUUCUGUGGAGGUUAUCUUGUUCCAGAUGCUUUUCUGGGAUGAUGAAUGCAUUGUCAACCGGACUGUCCUCCUCUUUGGAGGUAGUGUGAUGAGUUCGGCCUUCUGGAUCGCUGUGAUCGGGCGUCUGCUCCGGGCUAUGUUCAACGUGUCCUGGCUUGUCCUGCUCCAUCGCUGGGUCCCUAUGGUCAUUAUUGCCUUUGGAGUCAACCGGAGUGUCAUCCUGUUUUGUGUUGUUAUCGCUAUUUUUACUAUGACGGACUUAGAGCGGCGCUUGCNNNNNNNNNNNNNNNNNNNNNNNNNNNNNNNNNNNNNNNNNNNNNNNNNNNNNNNNNNNNNNNNNNNNNNNNNNNNNNNNNNNNNNNNNNNNNNNNNNNNNNNNNNNNNNNNNNNNNNNNNNNNNNNNNNNNNNNNNNNNNNNNNNNNNNNNNNNNNNNNNNNNNNNNNNNNNNNNNNNNNNNNNNNNNNNNNNNNNNNNNNNNNNNNNNNNNNNNNNNNNNNNNNNNNNNNNNNNNNNNNNNNUCCUCCGUUGUGUCCUUUUUGUCACCAUUGUCUUCUUUAGGCGUAUCCACCAUGUAGAUGUCGUAUGAUGAAGUGGCAGUCCAGCGCCCUGUGAGUGCUGGUUCCAGGUCCUCCCCUACAUCGACGUCCAUACCAUCGAUGUUGUCGGAGUCGACGUCAAGCAUGUAUGUUAGGUCAUCGACAGUGGCUAUAAAGUGUGUGGUGGGUGGGUCGCGAUUCUUCGUCCUCCGUAUCCCACACGGGCCGGAUACAGUCCGGCCAAGAGUCUCCUGAUAAAGAGAGAGAUUUUAACGAAUUUAGCACAUCGCCGAAGGGGGAGUGCUGGAAGAUAUCCGCGGAGGUGAAUUCCAUUAUUGGAGCCCAAUCGGACUCGGUUGGUCCGGAUGCACGCGGUUCGGAGCCCACGCCCGGACACAGGUCCGGGGGCCCGGAGAUACAGAUUUCCUUGGGGGAGGAGUCUGCGUUCGGCCCUAACGCCGAUGGGUGUGCGGCUUCCCGGGCGGAGUCCAUCCAUCCGUCCUCGGGAGGCACAACUUGCUCUAGACCGAAGUCCGGAGCAGUAGCAGGUGCGAUAUUCUGAAUACUGUCUGACGGAGGAUCUAAGUCAUGCGCGUGGCAAUCGUUCGGCGCUCCUGACAUGGGCUCGAAUCCGUCGAAGAUCAAAUCUCCGCGGAUAUCGGCAGUGUAGUUUAGGUUUCCGAACUUGACCUGAUGGUCAGGGGCGUAGCUAUCGAUCUGCUCUAGAUGGCCAAGCGAGUUGGACGGAGUUGUUGAAGGUUGGAGAAGACAUCGAGCCUUAUAGCGACGACACAGAGGAACUCUCAAUGAAAGCACCAAUGUCGGUGUCAAAACCGGCGGAUCUCGGGUAGGGGGUCCCGAACUGUGCGUCUAAGGCUAAUGGUAACAAGAGGCUAGGGACACGAUGUUUACCCAGGUUCGGGCCCUCUCGAUGGAGGUAAUACCCUACUUCUGCUUGAUUGAUCUUGAUGAUAUGAGUAUUGCAAGAGUUGAUCUACCACGAGAUCAGAGAGGCUAAACCCUAGAAGCUAGCCUAUGGUAUGAGUGUUGCUGUCCGACAGACUAAACCCUCCGGUUUAUAUAGACACCGGAGGGGGCUAGGGCUACACAGAGUCGGUUUACAGAGGAGGAGAUCUACAUCCGAAUCGCCAAGCUUGCCUCCCACGCCAAGGAGAGUCCCAUCCGGACAUGGGAUGAAGUCUUCUAUCUUUUAUCUUCAUAGUCCAAUAGUCCGACCAAAGUAUAUAGUCCGGCUGUCCGGGUACCCCCUUAUCCAGGACUCCCUCAGCAGCCAUCUCUAGACCCAAAGUUUUGAUGCGCCCCGCCAACGAGACGUCGACGAGCGCCGCCUUUCCACCGAAACCCUAAUCGCCUAUCGGGAGGCUCCUAGUUUUCCGGGGAACAAAACCUAUCGACUGCAUGUAGGAAUUGACCUGCGCUUUCUCUACUGUCCACAUGCGGCCAAAAUCACUGUUCUGACCUUGUCAAAAAUCUUUAACAUAAAAUGAUCUCUCUCAGAAAUUAUUUCACGAUCUAACCCUUUCUGAAGUGCCAAAUCUUAUGGCGUUACUGACCAAAGUAUAAACGCCGUAUUAUUCAGCGUUGCUAGCUGCCCACGUGGCAAGUCGAAACGCCAAAGUGAGCCGCGUUGGUAGAAUUGCCAGACCCUCUGGCGUUGUUGUUGCACAUCACAACGCCAAAGGCUGUGGCGUUGGCAUCAAGGAGAAUAUGGCUGUAGGAGGGCUGAUGUCUUGCCUUGCCGAUAAUGUUUGGCCAUGGAAGAGGUUAGCAUUGCUAUUAUUUUGCAGUCCAUGUGCUAAAUAUGUUAAAUUAAUCUCUUUUGGAUUGUAGAAUUUAAUUAGGUACUAAAAUAAUGGUUCGUUUAUUUCUCGGUGUUCCCGCAGGUGAUGCAGUAGCCAGAGCAACUCCAAUGCGGCGACCCAUUUCGUCCGUCACCGUCGGUUUGGGUCACCGCGGACAAAAGUGAUGGCCCGACGCGUCGACCCAUUUACAAAACGCGUCUGCUUCGCGUCCGCGUGGACCCAUUUUUAGACUAAAUUUGGGCAUAAAUUGCGUCAGCGCGGAUACAAAGAGGAUGCGUCGCGUGUUCUCUCGGUGUCCGCCGCGUCCCCACAUGGCAGCCUGUCAACUAACCCAUACUUCUUUAUUAAUGACGAUCGCAAACCACGGGCCCAUCGUCAGUGACGACAGGCGGCCUUUUUUAAUCCGAGCGUGCGAGAAGGGGAGGGGACGCCCUCAUCCUCUUCCAGCCUCCCGUCCCCAUCUAGCCAUCCUUCUGUUCCCCUGGGCUGGGCCCGGCGCCGACGCUCAUCGACCUCACCGGCCCCCACCACGACGAGGAGGACACCUCGAGCAGCGCGUCUCCUCCUCGUUUUUAGUUAAGUUAAAUGUUUUUAAUUAAUGUGACGUGGAUUUGUGGACUCUCGCCGGCUUUUGUGGCCGGCAAUUAUGUUUAUUUAACAUUUUAACUUCAAAAUAUUUGCGUAAUUUAUUUUUUCGCGCGCGGACUCGAGAAAUGGGUCCGGCCAGUGAUGGGCGCAAGCGCUGACCCAAACGCGAAAGCAGAAAUGGGUGUUGCUCUCACGUACAAAAACCGCGAGAGAUUGACCGACCCAAACGGACAAAAACGGACAAAAUCGCUAUCCUUUUGGGUCGGCUAGUUGGAGUUGCUCUCAUGUAUAGAAACGGCAAGACGUCGACACAGUAUCUGCGAAACUCAGGCUUUUUCAUACCUGAAGGUCAAAGUCUACAAUGUGUACUACAUGUUGUGCCUUGGUGGCUGACACAUGAUAUGAGAGAUUGGCGUUUUGAAGGACCAGGAUGGCAACGCUACAGACUUUGGCGUCGUGACGUGCAACAGCAACGCCAAGUGUUCUGGCGUUUUUACCACGCGGUACAGUUUGGCGUUUUGACUUGCCACGUGGCCAGCUAGCAACGCUGAAUAGUACGGCGUUUUUACUUUGGUCAGUAACGCCACGAGGUUUGGCGUUUCAGAAAAGAUCAAAUUGUGAAAUAAUUUAUGAGAGAGAUCAUUUUGUGUUAAAGAUUUCUAAGGAUCAGAACAGUGAUUUUGGCCUCCACAUGCAAAGUACUGACCCGUCAUCUCUCUGCUGUCUACAUGCAGGUACUGACCCGUCAUCUCUCUGCUGUCCACGUGCAAGGUACUGUAGCCACGUGAGUUUGCUGGGAACUGAACUGAAGCAGAGAGAGCGCCGUUGUGCAAAGUUUUUUUAGAAGAUUAAGAGAGAGAGAGUUGCAGCUGACCCAGAGAGAAGCAUCGAGUGCAUUGUAUUACUUUUCAGUGAGAGAACCUGGAACCUGCAUGGGAUAGUUACAAAGAGAAAAUAUUUCUUUUAAACUCUGAAGAUAGAUAGGAGGUGACUGUAUGAGAGAGAACUCGGCUUUUUCAGAGAAGUGAUAGAAAGAAUGUUUUUUUUAGACAAGUGGGAAAGAGAAACUGUGUGAGAGGGAUGUUAUUUUGAAGUGGGAAAGAGAAACUGUGUGUGAGAGAGGUCAUUUUUCGGUAAAAAAUAUGUGAGAGAGGAAGCUUGGCUCGUGCAUGCACUGAGGUGCAUGUCUACAUGCGAGACAGCUUUUAACAGUGAGAGACAUGGCAUGGGAUAAAGAGAAGUGACUUGUCUUGUCAGUCAAUAGUAACCAGCCUGUGCCGCUGCACCUCUAUUAAAAUGAUCAAAUGGCCUGGACAGACAUGCUUACGCUGCAAAUCCUCUGUGGCUUGUCAGAACAGGGUACGAAUCUUGGCGAGGCUCCAACGCACAGGAUAACCGAGGGUCCCUCGGGACUCCCGGGUGCUACCACGCUUUUUCGGGUAACACAUAUAGGUGGAAAAGGUUCACAUGCAAAUAUAGUAUAUUCGAACAUGAGGUCUUUGAAUGACAAUUUUACCCAUUGUAAAAUGCUGUAUAAUUGUGUUGUAUGUAAGUUAAAAUGAACUGGAUCUGAUGCACAUAUGUACUGCUGAAAAUAUGUGUUUGCGCAUCACCUGUAUAACCUGAGGGUUAUGAAAUGCGCAGAGCAACUCCCGACGCCGACGAGGAUCCGGCAGACGGAGGCAAACGAGGAGGCGAAGCUGAGCUCGUUCCAGCAGGAGAUCGUGCAGCUGGCGGCGGUGCUGAACGGCGACCACCAGCUGAGCAGCCUGCAGGAGAGGAUCAGGGAGAGGAUGAAUGUGAGGGAAGGCACCUCCUACAUGAGGUCGGCCGUGCGGCGCUUCUUCAAGGCCGGCAUGUCGGCCAAGAGGAUGGGCCUGGCCGACGAGGAGCAUAUCGUCAAGAUGAGGC
rnacentral:lncRNA from 1 species